rnacentral:lncRNA from 1 species
GCUAAUUCAAUCAAAAUGCCUCCCAAAUACAAGCUAGUGCUGUUGAUAGCAUUGGUUUUGGUUGCAACCUCCCUUGCUGGUCGCACAAAGGAACAUCCUAAGCAUCCUCCAUCCCUUCAAGAACAACAACACACCCCACACCUUGAUAGCUACCCGCCGCCAACGCAUAGACACAAACCACCUCAUCCUGUACAUGGUGCCGGGGAGGAACCAACCUCCAUUCCACGAAAGAAGGGACCAAGAAGGCCCCCGAACUGAUGAGUGAGUCAAAGGUUUCCGAUUGUGCAUGCGUCAAAUGGUUUAACUUUGACUCGAUCUCUACCACCACAACAUCACGAUAUGUUGUUACAACCAUAAUCGCAAUUUGAAACCUUGGGCUAGCUAAAACUAUUUUAAUAUAAAGUAUUAAUGGUCACUGCUACAUGAGCGUCUAUGAUUAAAUAAAAAGUAGGGAGUUUGAACCCAUGUAAUACCAUGUUGUGAGGUUCUCCCUCUGUGUGUGCUUUAAAUUUUCACAUUUAGUUUGAUUUGUGUCCGGUGUGGUCUCUGUUUCUUGUAUUUAUUUGUACAAGCUAGAUGCUAAAAUGGAUGAGUUAAAGCUUGCACUUGUUUAAAAAAAAGCUAGUAUAUGUGCUAUUCGGGAACCAGAUAAAAUAAAAUUAUUAUUCAUAUGAAAAAAGUUAAAAAAAUAUAUUAUAUUCAUAUAAUAAAAUUAUGGGACGUUUUUUUUCAAAGGUAUUAUAUAUCUUAUCAAGAAUCACAUUCUUCGAAAUAUUAUUAUGACUGGAAAGAUUAUUCCUGAGCAUAUUUAACUACAUGUUUGGUUACAUUUUGAUCUUUCUAAGAAUAAUUUUUUAAAAUUCAAAAUAAUUGAAUAAAAAAAAUUAAAAAUAAAAGUUACAAGGAUGUUAAAAAAUAACUUGUAGUAUUUCCGUGGAAAUAUCACUUCCCCAACGCCUCUGCAUGAGAAUGGAAAUCUAAAAAAAUAUAUAGGAAAAAUAGAAGUUGCAACAUCCACAAGAAUAAAUAAUAUUGGGAAAUAAUAAACAUGAGCUCAUGUUUAUUACAUACAUGGAGAUCAACUCUUAAUUCACACUCUUAAAAUUUAAAUUAUUAAACAAUAAAAAAUAAUUUUUUAUAUGACUUUUAAUAUAAUUAUUAUAAAAAUCAAUAGAUUUAAUUAUCGUACAAAAUAAUUUAUUAUUAGAUAACAUUGUCAAAAAAUUACAUUUUUAGUGCUUAUAUUUCUUAUUUAUAAAUUUAUAUAAUAAUUUGUAGCAUUUUUUUUUCAUCUCUUUCCCUCUUAUGUUCUGUCUCUACCCUUCCAUAGAAGACAACAAAAACGUAGGUCUAAGGGUCUUCUGCCUUAGAGCUUCAACCCAUCACGUUAGAAUGCAAAAUUUGGUAAGCUUUGCUAUAUAUACGCUCCCUCCAAUACUAUUCAGGCGGUGUUAUUUCCCCUUAACCUCCUCCUUUCCUUUCCCUUUUCUUUUCAUGAUGAAAACAGUAGUGACGGAUAAUACCUGAAGGUUAUAGACGUUUCUCCUAGAACGUCGAAUUCUUUAAUGAAAACCACUCUCUGAAACACUAAAAACCUUGUAAACUUCAUGAGGGAAGGGAAGUUUCUUUUUUUAUUUUUUUCCCUUUCUAGAUUGUGUUUAGUAUGUAGAUGACGUAGAAGAAAAAAAACAUUUAGCAUGUGUUUAGUGUGGAUUAACUUAGAAAUUUAAAAACCAUGUUUGUGCUUUGUGUGCUUUAAAUUUUCUAUUCUAUAUAUUCACGCAUAAUUUGAUGUGUUAACGACAUGUAGUUUGUGUUUUGCGUAUGUUUGCACAAUAUGAAAAUUUUAAAAAAUUAUGCGUGAAUAUAUAGAAUUUUUUGUAAAAAAAUUUUUAAAAAAUAAAAAUUAAGAUGAUUUUUUCAAAAAUCUUCUUAUAAUAUAUUUUUUUAAAAAAAAUUAAAAAUUUUAAGACGGUUUUUAAUUUCAAAAACCGUCUUAAAGUAUAUUUUUUUAACACAAAUUAAAAAACCCCAUAAUUAAAAAAUAUUUUCUAAUACAUGUCUUCCAAUACUCUAAAACUGAAUGACAUUUAAUAGAAACCACAAAAUUACGAAUAAAACUCAAUAAAUAAAGAGAAUCAUGAUAUUUUACAAAUCUAAAAAAAAUCCAAUUAAUAAUAAAUAAUGUCUAGCGAGAAUUUUGCUAAUAUUUAUUUAGAAAAAGAUCAUGAAUAUUCUAUCUAUAACACUCUUAAACAAUGAAAAGGAAAAUAAAAUUUUUCUUUUAUUGAGUAUGGUGUGAAGAGGAAAAGAAAACAUAAAAACUGGCAUUAUUUAUGUGACACUCUUCGGGGGUGUAUGGAAAGUCUCCAAGAAACUACCCAAAUCUCUAUUUGUGUGUAAUAGCUUAGUGUGAACCGCGUAGUCUAAGUGAAGAGCCAGUUGAGACAUCCAAAGGAUCAUCCAAGCCUUCACAUUAGAAGCCGUCUAACUUGCUUUAAAAUUCCUUUACCUUCCAUUGUCAAACCGCCUAGAUAGCUUGCUUUUUACCAAUUAGUUUUUUCCUUGUCUUUUAAACCUCUUUUAAUGUUUAUUUUGGCUAGUUUCAACCAUAGUUUCUUUUACCUUUGUUUUCAAACCCCAAACAAGAAAGAACCACAACUAAGGAACCAACAUAAGUCUUCAUUCUUCAUCUAGUGUUAAUGGUGAUGGAUCUAAUCCUAAGGAUCCCUUGUAUAGAAUAUCAGAUGUGUUGAGAUCCCUUAAAUUGUGAAAAGAAAAACAAGAGAGAAAAGAAAAAGAAAAAAAGAGUGGAAGAAAUAAGUCAAGAUGAAAGAGAGAAAAUAAGAGCAAGGAAGAAAGAAGAAAAUUAAUGAAAGAAUUAAGAAGAGGAAGAAAUGCUUCCUAAGGUAGUCAUGAGUAUUAUAAAAGUUUGAGUGAAGAGUUAAGUGACUACUAUGGAGGGAGGCAUAGGUCCCAUACUAGACCUCACUCCCAAAGAAGAGAAAAUGAUAGAAGGUGUUAAGAGGUUAGUAUUAGCCUCCCAUAUUUCCAUGGAAAAGAUAAUGUUGAGGCCUACCUAGAUUGGGAAAUGAAGGUUGAACAAGUCUUUGUUUGUCAUCAUAUUAGUGAAGAGAGAAAAGUUCCAUUGGCUACCCUUAGCGUCCAAGGGUAUGUCAUCUAUUGGUGGACUUCCCUUACUAGAGAAAGAGGCAUUCAUGGGGAUCCUCUAAUAGAGUAUUUGAAUGAUCUUAAGAGUGCCCUUAGAAAGAGGCACAUUCGCUCCUACUAUGAAAGGGAGCUUAUGGACAAGCUCCAAAGGUUUAGACAAGGGAGUAUGAGUUAAGUGACUACUAUGGAGGGAGGCAUAGGUCCCAUACUAGACCUCAUUCCCAAAGAAGAGAAAAGGAUAGAAGGUGUUAAGAGGUUAGCAUUAGCCUCCCAUAUUUUCAUGGAAAAGAUAAUGUUGAGGCCUAAAAAUGAAGGUUGAACAAGUCUUUGUUUGCCAUCAUAUCAGUGAAGAAAGAAAAGUUUUAUUGGCUACCCUUAGCUUCCAAGGGUAUGUCAUCUAUUGGUGGACUUUCCUUAUUAGGAAAAGAAGAAUUCAUGGGGAUCCUCCAGUAGAGUAUUUGAAUGAUCUUAAGAGUGCCCUUAAAAAGAGGCACAUUCACUCCUACUAUGAAAUAGAGCUUAUGGACAAGCUCCAAAGGCUUAGACAAGGGAGUAUGGGUGUCGAAGAAUAUAGACAACAAAUGAAACUACUUCUUUUAAGAGCUAGACACAAGGAAGAGGAAAGAACAAGCAUAGCUAGGUUCCUUAGUGGGAUUAAUAUGAAAGUGAAGGACAAGGUUGAAGUCCUUCCAUGUAGGGACCUAGAUGAGCUAUUCCAACUUUGUAUAAGAGUGAAGAAACAACUUAAAAGAAAGCCUUCUUCUAAAUAUUAUGGCUUUUACUCUUAUCCAAGGAAGGAACAAGCCCAAGGAAUUUUGGGGGCUGUACCUUCAAAACCCAAGGAAGAUAAGGGUAAGUCCAUAGAGAAACCCACCCCUAAGACUAGUUCCCAAGCAAGGACUAGCAACAUUAAAUGCUUCAAAUGUCUUGGGAGAGGUCACAUUACCUCUCAAGGCCCCACAAAGAAAACCAUGAUUAUGAGGGUUCAAGACACUUAUAGUAGUCAAGAGGAGACUACUUCUUUUUGUUCCUCUAGUGGAAGUGAAGAUGAAGCAAGGGGUGAAGAGUCUAGUGAGGAAGUCUACCCCCAUGAAAAAGGUGACCUCCUAAUGGUUAGAAGGCUCCUUGGAGGCCAAUCUUAUGAUCUAUCCCAAUCCCAAAGAGAGAACAUCUUUCAUACAAGAUGCAAAAUUUUAGAUAAAACUUGUCCUUAGCAUAAGAUUACUAUCAUUCCCCAACCAAAACCUUAUAAACUUCAAUGGCUCAACGAGCAAGGGGAAAUGAUAGUUAACCAACAAGUGAAGGUACCUUUCUCCAUUGGGCAUAUAAGGACAAAGUUAUUUGUGAUAUAGUUCCCAUGGAGGCAUGGCAUAUUCUCUUAGGAAGGCCAUGACAAUUUGAUAGGAAGAUCAUUUACAAUGGCCUAACUAAUGAGAUUAUCGUCACCCAUCUUGGCACUAAAUUUGUAUUGCAUCCUCAAACACCUUCACAGGUAGCUAAGGAUCAACUUACAGUGAAGGACAAGAGGGAUGAGGAAAAGUUAAAAAAAGAAAAGAGAAAAAAGGAUAGUAUGGUCUUAGUUCCAAAGGUCAAGGAAAAGGAAAACGAGGGAGGAUGUUCCUCUAAGAAAGUUGUAAAGAAGGAGAAUCAUUUUGUAACAAAAGGAGAUAUUAAGAGAGCUCUUCUUCUCAAGCAAUAUUUCUACCUUCUCCUCUCAAGGAAGACUUCUGAUGCAAUCUUACCCCCCCCCCAAGGGUAUUGGAUAGAAGACUCCAAGAGGAUUGGGCUAGAGCUGCUAAAGAAGGCCAUAGGAUUCUCAUGAACCUCAGGGUAGAUUUCUGAGCCCAUGGGCAAAUGUUGGGUCCACUCUUCUUUGUAAACAUUAGAAUAGAUUUUUCCUUCUUUUGGGCCUUGUAUUUUGGACAUUCUAGUAGUAUAGGGUUUUAGCCUUGUAUUUUAGGGUAUUUUGAGUAGUCUUUGUAGUAGAGACUUUUUUGUAUUUUCAUGUAUUUUGCAAUGGGGGUGAGCUUAGCUAUUAUGGGGGUUGUGUGUAGCUAAGCUCUAGCUUUUCAUCUCAAGGAGGUGAGUGAUCGAGGCCGUACCCGAAUCAAACGUUCAUAAUAUAUAGUAAUAAAACAAUAACGAAUUGGGGGGGUGUAGAAGCAAAGCUUCAUGGUGAAUCAAGAAUGAUUCAAAGAUGUUUUGAUGAUAACAAAGAUGAUAACAAAAGAUGAUGACAAAGGUGAUGACAAAAAGCUCAAAGGUCAAUCAAAGGAUGAAUUCAAGAUGUUCAAGAAGGAAUCAAGAACAAUUCAAGACUCAAGAGGAAAAGUUGAAGAACACUUCAAGAUUCAAGAAGAAGGAUGAAUUCAAGAAUCAAGAUUCAAGGAUCAAGAUUUAAGAAUCAAGAUCAAGAUUCAAGAUUCAAGAUUCAAGACUCAAGAAUCAAGAGAAGACUUAAUCAAGAUAAGUAUGAAAAGGAUUUUUCAAAAACAGAGUAGCACAUAGAUUUUUCACAAAACAUGUUUACCAAAGAGUUUUUACUCUCUGGUAAUCGAUUAACAGAUUGUUGUAAUCGAUUACCAGUAGCAAAUUUGUUUUGAAAAAGUUUUCAAAUUGAACAUAAGGCAUCCUUAAUCAGUUCAACCACUUAAUCCAACCCUAAAUUAAAUUACUAAGCGAAAUUUAACAUAAGGCAUUCAUUAUGUGAUUAAGCAACACAUACACCAAUUAAUCAUGAAUGAAACUGAUCAUUAAGCAUCAACGUAAAUUAAGCGCAGAGGCAAUUAAUCAAGCACUAAGCAUGCAUGGAUUAAUAGCAACAAAUAUAGAGUAAUUGGUGAAGAGGAAGAACUAAUCAGAAUGCAAUAGUAAUGAUAAAACCUCAAAGAGAAUUGUGCUUGAUCCUCAAAGGAAAACAAUGGUGGAGACUUAGCCUUCCAUUUAGUAGUAGAAAUGAAAUUGUAGAUUGAAGCAGAAAACGAAAUUUUAUUGCUAAGUGAAUAGUAAAAACUGGAAUUGCAAAACCUAAAAUUAUUCUCUCCCUAAAACAAAAAGUGACUAAAACGAAAAAAGAAGCCUCAAACUGGAACCUUGGUGCUGUUAUAUAUUCUUAGCCCCAAAGCUUACAAAUCUGUUUUAAGUCCAAGCCCAUAAAUAAAAUAAAAUCUAGAUAAGAUAAGAUAAGAUAAAAUCUAGAUGAAAUAAUAUAUAGAUGAAAUAAAAUCGCGAUAAGAUAAGAUUAGAUAAGAUCUAGAUGAAAUAGUAUCUAAAUGAGAUAAAAUCUAGAUGAGAUAAGAUUUGGUAGAAUAAAAUUGUCUACUCUCUUCAAGUCCAAGCCCAAUUCCGGAUUCAAGCCCAAUUACUUAUAAUUCUCCUGAAAUUAAAUUAAAAACACAAAAUUAAUCCAAUAGGCCCAAAUGAUAAAACUGCAUAAUUAGUUUGACAAUUAAGGCUAAUCAGUAAUUAAAAUGGUGGCAAAAAGGGUUAAGAAAUAUGACAAAAUGAUGACACAUCAAUUCGCCUCACACUUAGCCUUUUGCACUCCUAGGCAAAAAAGAAAAAAAAAACAAAGCAAGGGACAAAUCCAGAGACAUUAAAGAGAAACAAACAGACACAACAACAAUUACAUAUUUCUCAAUGAAUCUCAAGGAAUGAAAAGAAUGGAUAACAUCCAACACGUAAAGAGUUAAAGAGUCAAGGCCGUCAUGAAAAUCAUCCAAGCAUCUCAAACAUGGCAAGAUAGUAAAUCAGCUCAAGAAUGAAAAGUGAUAAAGCCUAACAAGAUAUGCACUCUAUCUCUCAAGUGUCUAGGCUACUGUUUACUCUCAAAGCACCCAUAACAAACACCACAUAGACUUGGCAAGACUCUAAAAUUGACAACCACAUCACAAACACAUGCACAUGAGGAUCAAAAGGUCUUUUAAGGUUGUAAUGGGCCAAGGACAAGGUAAAUGAAAGUAUGGGAUAGUAGCUAAAACCCAAAGGAAUAGAGGAGCAAUGGGGAAUAAGUGGGAAGUAAGAAAAAGUAGUAAACCCCAAAACCAAAAUUACAAAUUAAGUCUUAGAAAGUAAACCCAAAAUAAAAUCAACCAAGUCUUCAAACCAAGACCUCAUUUAUUCAACAUCAUUCUUUAUUUGUUUUUUUAUUUUAUUAUUUUUUUGAUUUUUUUUUGUUUUUUGUUUUUUUUUAACGUGAACAGUAGCAAUUGAAAGCAUUUGAAAAAUAAAGCAACAAUUAGGCAAUAUAUGUAUAUACGUCAAGCAUGGCCAAAAUACAUCAUCAAGCAUGGCCAACAAAAACAUAUCACCCAACGAAACAUACCCCCCCUCACACUUAUUCCCAAAACAAUUCCAAAGCUCCAAAAUUCCUUAAGGGUAGGGUGAAAUCAUGGUUUUUCACUUAAGGCUUGUAAUGAGCUUCAAAACAAAGAAAGGGGAACAUAGGCUCAAAGGGGCUAUCAAAGGAAUAAAUUCAAGGUGGGCUCAUUUGGCUAAAGGCUUAUAAGAACAAAAUGCCUAGAUCAUCUCCCAACAUGCAUGUGAAGCAAGAAGUAUCAACAAGAGUAAAGCCAAGGCUAUUGUGCAAGCAAUCAAUGGGGCAAAAUACACCGAAUAAAAUAGAUGAUGAUGGCUCAAAUUCUCACCAAGGGUAAAUCUAUCACCUUCAAUUCGAACUUUCAAAACUAACUUGACAUGUAGAGAAAAACAAGGAUUUCAAUUCACAAAAUGCCAAGAAACUCCUAUUUCAAAAAAAAAAUUACCCAUUACCUGUACAUAACCUAUAAUUCAAAGAGAACAUGCAAUGUUGUACACAAAACAUAAAACCAAAAUAACAAAAUUAACCUAAAUAACAAAAUUAACCUAGAAAAAUCUAAUAAAAUUUAACUAGAAUACCCAACAGAAUUAAAGAACAAUCUCCCCCCCCCCCUCUCUCACACUUAAACAACACAUUGUCCUCAAUGUAGCACAAUCAUAAGAUCAAGAGCCAUCAAAACAAUCAAUAAAUUUGGACAAAUGCAAUAAAAGUAAAGAAGGAGAAAGAAAAAGAAAACUCCCUAAGUCAUGGUGGAAGAGAAGUAGGGUGAAGUAAGGAGGUCUCCUCCACCACUACAUCCACUAAGGAGGGAUUUGUGAGGAAUGGUUUCAGCCGAUGUCCAUUGACCUUAAAGCCCUUAUCUGUGGAUUCACUUUUGAUCUCAACUGUACCAUAAGAAAAAACAUUAGUCACCACAAAAGGACCAAUCCACUUUGACCUCAACUUACCACUCAUGAGUCCGAGCCUAGAGUUAUACAAUAGAACUUUCUGUCCGACCAUGAACUCCUUCUUAGCUAUCAAGCUAUCAUGGAACUUCUUGGUCUUCUCCUUGUAGAAUUUGGAAUUCUCAUAGGCUUCUAAACGGAUCUCAUCUAGCUAACUUAGUUGCAACUUCCUUUCCUCUCCAGCCUGAUCAAUAGAGAAGUUGCAGGUCUUUACAGCCCAGUAGGCUUUGUGCUCUAUCUCUACAGGAAGAUGGCAUGCCUUGCCAAAGACAACCCAAUAAGGAGACAUUCCUAUGGGUGCUUUGAAGGCAGUCCUAUGAGCCCAAAGAGCAUCAUCUAGCCUGGUGCUCCAAUCCUUUCUGUUCGGCUGCACAAUCUUCUCCAAGAUCCUUUUUAUCUCCCUGUUUGAAGUUUCAGCUUGCCCAUUGGUUUGGGGGUGGUAUGGUGUGGAAAUUCUGUGCACGACCCUAUACUUUUUGAGCAAGGCAUACAUGGAUCUGUUACAAAAAUGGGUGCCUUGAUCACUAACGAUGGCUCUAAGGACUCCAAACCUGCAAAACAUAUUAGAUCUAACAAAAUCCACGACAACUUUAGCAUCGUUAGUUCUGGUGGGUUUCCACUCAUUUUGAAACAUAAUCAACAGCAAGGAGAAUAUAAACAAAACCAAAAGAGACAGGGAAAGGCCCCAUAAAAUCUAUACCCUAGACAUCAAACACCUCACAGAAUAACAUGGGUUGUUGAGGCAUUUGCUGUCUCCAUGAAGGUGAGCCACCUGCUCUCUGACAAGGCUCACAAGUGCUCAGAUUCUCCACGCAUCCUUGAAGAUGGUGGGCCAAUAGAAACCGCAGUCUAGCACCUUGCUAGCUGUCCUCUAUAUGCCAAGAUGGCCACUUGGUGCCAAAGAAUGACAAAAUUGCAGGACUGAGUCAAUCUCAUGGUCUGGAAUGCAUCUCCUAAUAACCUGGUCACUGCACAACUUCCACAAAUAGGGGUCAUCCCAAAUAUAAUGCUUAUCAUCGCUCUUAAUUUUAUCAUUUUGAGCUUUAGAUGCUAAGGGAGGAAAAAUAGAAGCAACCAAAUAAUUCACAAUAUUAGCAAACCAGGGAGUGGGGAAGGAAUUAGAAAUACUAUACAGAAUGUACAAAUGGUCAUCUGGAAAAUCAUCCCGAAUGGGUGAGUCCACAAACACACACCCUAAAUUAUUCAGAUGGUCAGCCACGAGGUUCUAUGCAUUGCUACGAUCACGGAUCUCCAAAUCAAACUCUUGGAGCCAAAGCAUCCACCUAAUCAAUCUAGGCUUUGAUUCAGCCUUCUUCAACAGGUACUUCAGAGCUGCAUGGUCAGUACAAACAAUAACACGAGUACCAAGCAAAUAUGAACAAAAUUUUUCAAGAGAAAAAACUAUCGCUAAUAGCUCAUUCUCUGUGGUAGUGUAAUUUUGCUUGAGCAACAUCCAAAGUUCUGGAAGCGUAGUAGAUCACCCAAGGCAGCUUAUCAAUCUUUUGAGCAAGGACAACCCCCAAUGCAUAAUUGGAUGCAUCGCACAUUAGCUCAAAUGGGGUUGUCCAAUCAAGUGCCUGAAUGAUAGGGGUUAUAGUCACCGCACGCUUGAGGCAAUCAAAAGCCUAUUUGCAUUGGUCAUCAAAAUCAAACUCCACCUCCUUUUGCAGCAGAUUGGAUAAUGGAAGGGCCACUUUGCUAAAAUCCUUGAUAAAGUACCUAUAAAACCCUGCAUGACCAAGAAAAGAAUGAACUUCUCGCACAUAAGAGGGGUAAGGCAAUUGUGAAAUAACAUCUAUUUUUGCAGGGUCUACCUCUAUGCUCCUAUUGGAAAUGAUAUGCCCUAAAACUAUACCUUGUUCUACUAUGAAGUGACAUUUUUCAAAAUUCAGCACAAGGUUAGUUUCAAUGCAUCUACUAAGAACUCUAUCUAGACUAUCCAAACAUGUAUCAAAAGAGGAUCCAUAAACAGUAAAAUCAUCCAUAAACACCUCUAUGAAACUCUCUAAAAAAUCACUGAAAAUGCUAAGCAUACACCGCUGGAAGGUACCAAGGGCGUUGCAUAGGCCAAAGGGCAUACUCCUAUAGGCAAAAGUGCCAAAGGGACAAGUGAAUAUGGUCUUUUCUUGAUCCUUAGGAUCAAUAUGAAUUUGUAAAUAACUAGAAAAACCAUCAAGAAAAUAGUAAUGAGACUUACCUGCCAAGCACUCAAGCAUUUGAUCAAUGAAAGACAGGGUUAAAUGAUCUUUUCUGGUUACCUGAUUCAGCCUCCUAUAAUCAAUGCAGACUCACCAGUUGUUAUGCACUCUUGUGGGAAUAAGCUCAUCCCUUUCAUUCUUAAUCACUGUGAGACCUGUCUUCUUAGGAACCACUUGGACUGGACUCACCCACUGGUUGUCAGAGAUGGGGUAGAUGAUUCCAGCUUGUAAGAGCAUGAUCACUUCCUUUUUCACCACAUCUAGAAUAACGGGAUUGAGUUGCCGUUGUGGCUGCCUCACUGGCUUAGCUCCAUCCUCUAAAAGUAUCCUAUGCAUGCAGGUAGAUGGGCUAAUACCAGGAAUGUCUGCUAAAGUCCAUCCAAUGGCUUUCUUGUGCUUCUUGAGAGCUAGCAACAACUUCUUCUCUUGUUCAGCAGCAAAGGAGGCAGAGAUGAUUACUGGAAAUUUUUCCUUGUCCUCCAAGUAAGCAUAUUUGACGGUUGCUGGUAAAGGCUUCAACUUUGGUGUGGGUGGUGGCUGAACAGUGGGAGGAACCAUGGUAGGAGAAAAAGAAGGUUCCUCAGCCUAUACCUCAUAAAGCAAGUCAGAAGUAUAUGUACUUCCUGCAACAUGGUUAGUGCAUUCUAACUCUAAGAAAUCAACAUCAAGAGGUACAACACCCAGAAAAUUAGAACCAAACUCAAAUUUAAAUUCACUCCCAGCAAAAAAAUCAGAUACAGGAUCAAAUUCAAACUCAGAUUCAGAUUUAAUGCAUAAGUAGUGACAAGUAUGCAGAUCAGAUAAAAAUGGAUGUUUCCUACCAUGAAGAACAGAAUCAAACAUAUAAUCAUCAACAAUCUGAUCAAUUAUCUCAGCCCGAAAAAUAGAAUGAUCCUCAGAUGGAUGUUUCAUGGCAUCAAGAAUGUUAAAAUGAACAACAAUAUCACCAAAUUCCAUAGACAAUGUGCCAGCAUAAACAUCUAUCUUGGUUCGGGUUGUUUUCAUAAAUGGCCUGCCUAAAACAAUUGGAACUGAACCAUGGGAAAAUCCCUCUUCCAUAUUAAGAACAUAAAAAUCAAUAGGAAAAAUAAUUUCACCAACCCGAACCAGCACAUCCUCUAUGAAACCUGCGGGGUAAGCAACACUUUUAUUUGCCAAAUGAAUCACCACAUCUGUAGAUUGCAAAGGUUCAAGAGAUAAAGAAUUGAAAAUGGACAGAGGCAUGGCACUAAAUGAUGCUCCUAGAUCUAGCAUGGCAUUCUCAAAUUUACUGUUCCUAAUAAUGCAAGGUAUACAGAAAGUACUUGGGUCCUUACAUUUCUCAGGAAUGUGAGGAACAGAUUUACCUAUCAAUGCUGACACGUUUCUGCCCAUGCUAAUCCUUUAAUUGCCCUUGAGCUUCCUUUUGUGGGUGCACAGUUCCUUUAGAAACUUCGCAUAUCUUGGAAUCUGCUUGAUGACAUCUAGCAGAGGUAUGUUCACCUCUACUUUCCUGAAGGUCUCCAAGAUCUCCUUUUCCGCUUCUUCCAUCUUUUUGUUUGGAAUUGCUCUAGGUGGGAAUGGAAGAGGGAUAGGAGGCUGCUGUAAGUCAGAAUUACUAGAAGAAGGUCCACCUGCAUGAAAAUUUUUGUUAGGAAGCUUUCUCUUUUGUGCAACUAUCUCAUCGUCUUUUUCAGGUGUAGAAUGAAGCUUGACAGGUUCAGGUGCAGGUGCUGCUACUGGUGGAGGCACCUUAGUUUGCUUGUUAGACCUCAAGGUGAUGGCACUCACAUUUUUUGGAUUCUACACAUUCUGUGAAGGCAAUUUGUCAGAAUUUUGGGAUUGAGCUUGGUUCAACUGAGUGGCCAUCUACCCCAUCUGAUUUGUCUGACUCUGAAUGGAGGCUCUUGUUUCUUGUUGAAAUUGCGUAUUCUGGAUGGUCAUUUGCCUCACUAACUCCUCUAAGGAAGGUUGAGGAGGAGCCUCAGUUGCUUUCUGUCUUUGUUGUGACUGUUGCUGUGGAUGCUGCUGUAUUGGAGGAGGAACAUAUGGCUUGCUUGGACCAGCAGCAUUCUGGAAAGGAGGGACAGACUGUUGUUGUUGUGGAGGACUUGUCCAUCUUAGAUUUGGAUGAUUCCUCCAACCUGGAUUGUAUCUAUUGCUUGAAAGGUUAUAAUUAUUCUGUUGUUGUUGGUUUUGCUGCUGAGGAGGUCUAUUAUAAAUGUUUGCAGCAUAAGCUUCAGGUUGCUCAUUGACUCCAGAUUGCUGCAAAGAAGGACAAGGAUCUGUAUGGUGAUCUGCAGAAGAACAUAGACUACAGACUCUUGCAACAGGUGUAGAUUUCUUAUUCAUGGCAAGCUGAGUUACUUGGUUGACCGAGGCAUCAAGUUUUCCUUCAAGCUUUUUAUUUUCAGUAGAUGAAGAUAAAUCCGUGGCCACCUCAUGGACUCCUCUAAGGAAAAUAGCAUCAUUUCUUGCACUAAAUUGUUGGGAGUUGGAAGCCAUCUUCUCAAUCGAAUUCCUAGCCUCAGUAGGGGUCAUAUCACCAAGAGCUCCACCACUGGUAGCAUUAAUCAUACUCAUUUCCAUGUUGCUAAGUUCCUCAUAGAAAUAUUGAAGAAGGAGUUGCUCAGAAAUUUGGUGAUGAGGACAACUUGCACACAAUUUCUUGAAUCUUUCCCAGUACUCAUACAAGCUUUCUCCACUAAGUUGCCUGAUGCCUGAAAGAUAUGAUCUUCUUGGACAUCAGGGGGCUUCAUGGUGGAACAAACAAUAUUGAACUCCUUAAGAUGCUUAUGAGGAUCUUCACCUGCAAGACCAUGAAACUUGGGCAGCAAAUGUAUCAGUCCAGUCUUGAGAACAUAUGGAACACCCUCAUCAGGAUAUUGGAUGCACAAGCUUUCAUAAGUGAAAUCAGGUGCAGCCAUCUCCUUAAGAGUCCUCUCACGAGGUGGAGGUUGAGCCAUGUUCUCAAUAUGAAAAUUAGUAGUGGAAUGUUCAAAAUCAGAAUAUUCAGAAUCACCCUCAACAAAAUGCUCAAAAUGCUCAAAAUGCACAGAAUGACCAGGAUGCACACUAUGCCUAACUAUUCUAUGAAAGGCUCUAUCUAUUUUAGGAUCAAAGGGUUGUAAAUCACCUGGAUUGCCCCUAGUCAUGCACUAUAUGCAGCAAAUAGUGUGUUUCUCAACAAGCACCUAACAAGGGGGUAAAACUACAGCUAUACUCAAACGAUAUCAAAAUGAGCUGAAAUUUUGUGAGGAACACCCUAAAAUCAUGAAAAGAUAGCACAAAAAUUUUCAAACAAAAAUUCAAAGUCUAACUAUGAAAACUACCUAAGCAAAGUUUUGAAAAAUUGGACAAUAAUACUUGAAAAAAAAAAAACUUAGUAAACGGCUGAUUUUUGGAGCUUGGGAGACCCCAACCGGCUUCAGCGGGUUGCCACAAUAUGGGAAAUUUUUACUUCCCCAAAUGCAUAUAUAAUAAUAGUUAUUCUAAUACCCGGAGCAAAAGUUAUAGCCGUUUUAAGUUUUGCUAAAAACAAGUUCCCAAAAUUUUUUUCUCUCUCAAACACUACCACACUAAGUGCUCCUGAUAUUUUUCACACAAAAUAUGGAUCAAAAGAAGCUACCACAGAAAAAAUCAGCCAAAAAUAACAACUCUAACUAUCAAAACAAAAACCGUUAAUUAAAUUGCAAAAUCCGUCGCUAAUUCCCAGUCGCUAAUCAUUGUUCAGCACUGUUCACAACAAAACAAAAGGCUAAAUCAGUCGCUAAACAGGGAAUGCAAUUGAAAUGCAAAACAGAAUGCUAUACAAAAUAAGAUAACUAAACACUAUUAUGAACCUUUGGCCCACUGCUCCCCGGCAACAGCGCCAAAUUUGAUCAAGGUCAUACUCGAAUCAAAUAAACAUUAAAAAUGUAGUAUCUAUGAAGUGAUCCUAGGUCGUCUUCCAACGAGCAAUGGUCAACCAAACGUUCAUAACAGAUAGUAAUAAAACAGUAACGAAUUGGGGGGGGGGGGUUGCUUGUUUUUGUAAAUUAAACAACGAGUAAAUUUUAAUUAGAAAAUAUCCGAAUUAAAACAUGUUGUUUCCCCUUGAUUCACAAGCAAGUCUCUUAUCCUAGGUUACGAGAGUUUAUCCUUAAUCAGUUCAACCACUUAAUCCAACCCUAAAUUAAAUUACUAAGCGAAAUUUAACAUAAGGCAUUCAUUAUGUGAUUAAGCAACACAUACACCAAUUAAUCAUGAACGAAACUGAUCAUUAAGCAUGAACGUAAAUUAAGCGCAGAGACAAUUAAUCAAGCAAUAAGCAUGCAUGGAUUAAUAGCAACAAAUACAGAGUAAUUGGUGAAGAGGAAGAACUAAUCAGAAUGCAAUAGUAAUGAUAAAACCUCAAAGUGAGUUGCGCUUGAUCCUUAAAGGAAAACAACGCUGGAGACUUAGCCUUCCAUUAAUCAUUAGAAAUGAAAUUGUAGAUUGAAGCAGAAAACGAAAUUUUAUUGCUAUGUGAAUAGUAAAAGCUGGAAUUGCAAAACCUAAAAUUAUUCUUUCUCCCUAAAACGAAAAGUGACUAAAACGAAAAGAGAAGCCUCAAACUAGAACCUUGGUGUUGUUAUAUAUUCUCAGCCCCAAAGCUUACAAAUAUGUUUUAAGUGCAAGCCCAUAAAUAAAAUAAAAUCUAGAUAAGAUAAGAUAAGAUAAAAUCUAGAUGAAAUAAUAUCUAGGUAAGAUAAGAUAAGAUAAGAUCUAGAUGAGAUAAAAUCUAGAUGAGAUAAGAUUUGGUAGAAUAAAAUUGUCUGCUCUCUUCAAGUCCAAGCCCAAUUUCGGAUUCAAGCCGAAUUACUUAUAUUUCUCUUGAAAUUAAAUUUAAAACACAAAAUUAAUCCAAAAGGCCCAAAUGAUAAAACUGCAUAAUUAAUUUGACAAUUAAGGCUAUUCAGUAAUUAAAAUGGUGACAAAAAGGGUUAAGAAAUAUGAGAAAAUGAUGACACAUCAGUGAGCUUAUCUAUUAGAGGGGUGUGUGUAGGUAAGCUCUAGCUUCUUUAGGAAUCUUCUCAAGGAAGCUUCUCAAGGAAGUUUCUCAAUGAAGCUUCUGAAGGAGGUGAACUUAGUUAUUAGAGGGGUGCGUGUAGCUAAGUUCUAGCUUCUCAAGAAAGUUUCUCAAGGAAGCUACCUAGGCUAUAAAUUGAAGCAGGUGUUACACUUGUUAUAACUUUGAUGAAUGAGAGUCUUGUGAGACACACUUCAAAGUUCAACUUCUCUCCCUCUUUUCCUCCUUCAAUUUCGUGCCCCCCCUCUCUCUUUCUCUCUCUCUCUCUCUCUUUCUUUUCCUCCAUUGAAGCUUCCUGUCUAAGCUUCUUAUCCAAGGCAUUCUCUUGGUGGUGAAGCUCCUUCUUCCAGGGCUUAUUCCCGAGUGGAUGGCGCCUCCUCUCACCUCUUCUCCUUUAUCUUCCGUUGCAUCUCCAUGGUGCAAAAUCACCAUUGAAGCUCAAAGAUCCAGCCUCCAUAGAAGCUUCACAAGCAAGCUUCCAUUAACUUCCCUUAACACUGCCAUAAUUCCUACACUUUUGGCCGUUCCUCCAAAGGUCCAAGAACUCUUACAAGAAUUUGGUGAUGUAUUUCCUAAAGAGAUACCCCCUAGUUUACUUCCUCUUAGGGGAAUAGAACACCAAAUAGACUUAGUCUCAGGAGUAAGCCUUCCUAAUAGGCCAACUUAUAGGACUAACCCUUAAGAGGCCAAGGAGAUUGAAUCCCAAGUUAAGGAAUUAUUGGAGAAGGGCUGGGUCCAAGAGAGCUUGAGUACUUGUGUUGUGCCUGUGUUGUUGGGCUUCCUAGGACCUAGAGGGGUGUAGACUUUAUCUUUGUGGUGGUGGAUAGGUUUAGCAAGAUGGAACCUUUCAUACCAUACCACAAGUUAAAUGAUGCUAGUCACAUCUCAAGACGCUUCUUUAGAGAAGUUGUGAGGCUUCAUGGUUUGCCUAAGACUAUUGUCUCUGAUAGAGAUGCUAAGUUCCUUAGCCAUUUUUGGAAAACUUUAUAGGCUAAGCUAGGAACUAAGCUUAUUUUCUCCACUACUUGUCACCCACAGACUAAUGGGUAGACAGAGGUAUUGAAUAGAUCUCUAUCCACAUUGUUAAGGGCUCUUCUAAAAGGCAAUCAUAAGUCUUGGGAUGAGUAUCUUCCUCAUGUGGAGUUUGCCUAUAAUAGAGGGGUUCAUAGAACUCCUAGGAAGUCACCUUUUGAGGUUGUCUAUGGGUUUAAUCCUCUCACACCUUUGAACCUAAUAUCCCUUCUACUUGACACUUCUUUUAUACAUAAAGAAGUGGUAUCUAGGUCAAAGUUUGUGACAAAAUUACAUGAAAAGAUUAGGAACCAAAUAAAAGUGUAUGUAGCUAAAGGCAACAAAGGAAGGAAGGAGUUGGUGCUUAAUAUAGGGGACUGGGUUUGGCUCUAUCUUAGGAAGGAUAAUUUUCCUACUAAUAGAAAGUCAAAACUUAGCCCCAGAGGUGAUGGCCCUUUUCAGGUCUUGGAAAGGAUCAACAACAGUGCUUAUAGGCUAGACCUCCCAGAGGAGUAUAAAUUAAGCAACACCUUUAACAUUACUGAUUUGGUUCCUUUUGCAUGUGUAGUUGAUUUAGAUGAUUAGAGGUCUACAAAUUUGAGGACAAAUCCUCUUCAAAAGGGAGGGGAUGAUGCAAUCCUCCAAAGGAGGGGACCUAUCACUAGAGCCAUGGCUAGGAGACUCUAGGAAGAUUGGGCCAGGGAUGCAAGAGAAGGCUCUAGGGUUGUCAUGAGCCUUAGGAUAGAUUUUGGGCUCAUGGGCUAAGUAUAAACCCACUUAUAUUUGUACAUAUUAGAUUAGGGUUUCAUUAUUUUUUUAGGCCUUGUAUUUAUGGCUCCAUAGCGUAGGGAAGGUACCCCUCAAGUUUAGGGUACCCUAGUAAUGUAGGAUUUUUCAACCUUUGUAUUUUAGGGCACCCAGACUAGUUUUUGUAUUAGGGGUAGUUUUGUAAUUUCACACACAUUAAGUGUAGAAUUUGAUGCGUGUGUUGGGAGAGAAAUUUAAUUGAAUUAGGAGAAGCCCAAUCCAGUUAAAUUUCAGACCAGCCUAAGGGGUGGUGAACAUUUGCUUGCUACACCCCAUUGCCACAUCAUAUAGUCACACUUUGCACAUGUCCUUCAUACUUUACAUGCCUCAUGACACCUAAGCAUACUUAGUGGAGAAUCUUGGAAUAGUGAGCUGAACCAUAGUUGAAAUUCACUAAUCAUAAUAAGUGAAAUUUGAAAUUUAAAUUUCCCUCCAAUUUUGUGUGACACUUAGGAUAUAAAUAGAAGCCUUGUGUGUGCAUUUUGCAACUUUGAUGAUUUGAGAAAUUAGAAUUCAAAGUUCAUACCUCAUUCUCCAUCAUCUAUCUCUCAAAAUUUUGUUCCCCUCUCUCCAUCUCCCUACACUUAUCUUCUCCUACCUUUAAGCUCUUAUCCAUGGCUUUCUAUGGUGGUGAGUGCUCGGUCACGGCAAGUGCACCGGAUCGCGCAAGUAGUAAAAAACGGUAAGAACCGACUAUCGAACUCUCGGGGAACUUGUGUUACUUGGUAAAACUACUUCAAUGAAUAGGUGUCUAGUAUAAAAAAAGAUGUGUUUACUAUAAACAUGUGUGUAAACUAACUAUGAAAAUGGAAAAUCACGUGAGUAAUGAUGCGUAAAGACAAGUACGUAACACGUUGGUCUUCCUAAUAGGUGCUUGAUGUUAAAAGGAUAUUCUCUACAUAACAAUGCUCAUGUGUUCUAUGGUGUCUCCUAGAAUGCUAAACCCCGAUUCCUCAUGAUAGUCUAGCCUAAUCCUGAUCAUGCAUCGUCCGCAGAUUCCUCUUAUUGGACUAAACUCGACCAGAACCGCAUUAAGACAAACAUACAACAACUAGGUUACCGUACCCCAAUCCCUCGUGAUAAUACGAUAAACUAGCCCCAUCCUAUCAAGUUCUAAGAAUCAAACCAGUUUCCACUGUUGAAUGAUUCUAAAAACACAUGCAUCUACAUGAACAAGGCAAAAGCAUGGUAGAAUGAAGUUCUGAUAGCACAGUGAACACAUAAAACAUCAUUAAAUAGAUAUACAGGUAUUUACAUCAAGUACCUACAAGGAAGAACCAACAGAGGAUUUAGCUCUCCAUAACUAGGAAGCUUCCAUUACAACAAAGAGAAGAGAAGAUGAAGGAUUAAAGAAAUACAAGUGGUGGGGAGGUCUCCUCCACCUCUAGAACCUCACAAUCACUCACAAAAUCAUCUCAAGCUCUCAGGAUGACUUCCCCUUCAAGCUCGAUUCUCUGCAGGUCUUCACACAACAAAAUCUCUCAACUCUCUGGAACUUGGACCUUUCUCUCUCUAGAAAACCCUAGACAUGCAAAAGCUUCAAGAAAAGGUCCAAACUCCCUUUCCCAAAUCUGAUUUCAGGCUUAAAUAGGUGGCUUUGUUCGUGCUUGCGCGCUUAGUGCAAUUCUGAACCGCUUAGCGCUCAUUAGUGGAUUUUGGCUUAGGGCGUGCUUUUCUCGCUCAGCGGAUGGACUGAAGCGGUGCGCUUCGCUGGAUGAUCCUUCGCUUAGCGCAAAUGCAUAGAUCAUCCUUCUUCCAAAUUCUUCCUUGCACUCAGCCGAGUAGUGUUGCGCUUAGCGGAUGGCUCGCUAAGCCAGAAGGUUGGCUUAGCGAGAUGGUGAAAAUCAGCACUUCACAAACUUGCCAAAUUAACAUGAAAUUUAGAGAAAAUGAUUAUUAAACACACCAAAUGGACAUACUAAGUAUUUAUUACCUAUCUUUAACAAAAAUUAAUUACAAUACUACAAGAUAACCAUAAAUUUGAGGAGUUUGAUACAAUUUACAUAAGUUUAAUACACAAAAGUUAGUCGUAUUCAUCGACUAACAACUCCCCCAAAUUUACAGUUUUGCUUGUCCUCAAGCAAAUAUAGAACAGCUCACUGGUCCCUAAGUGACAAUAACAUGCAGUGACUAUGUACAAAGGUGUAUGCACAAAAGUUAUUGAAUGCAUGAUAAGAGAAUGAAGUAAAAUGCUCCCAUCAUUUGUCUUUCACAAAGCAUGCAAUCAUUCAAAGAGAAGAAUAGAAUGUAACUUGUACAAUUAGAUGCAGUUAGGCAUAAGACAGAUAUCAAGGAAAGUAGCUUAAACCACAGUCUCACAUCUUCUGUUUCACUUAAGCAUAAAUGUUUAGGCUAUUCAUAAUUAACAACUAACAAGAGAUCCAAUCUUUGAAUUUCAUCUCAUGUUAUCAAGUUGGAAAUGCAUAAGUAGAAUCAGAAGGACUUUUAUUGGCUUGUAGUGAGGCUUGGCUACAAAAAAUCAUUGGUUUUUCUAGGAUUCAAAGGCUUAGAUUCUAAGAGAGCACAAAUCCUAGACUUAUCCAAAUAUUCUUUUCAAUACAAUUAACUUACUCACUAGCCUUUCACUUUAAUUUUGCUUUUGACCUUAUUACAACAACACACAUUUUCUUUGAUUGCUUUUUUUUAACACAACUUAUUUGUUAUGUGUGUUGAUGCUUUACCUUUUACUUUACAUCCCAAUCAACUCUACUCCCCCAAAUUUGGGGUCAAUUUGCCUUGAACCAUAUGCUCUCCUAGAAUCUAAACAAGGUAUCUGGAGAUAAUUAUUUAAGUUCAGGGUUCAAUUUUGAAAAUUUAAUUUAGCUCACAAAGAGUGCAAAGGAUACAAUUAUAAUUCAAGGUAAGCUUUUUGGUCAAUUGGCUUGUAUAUAGACAAUCAUGGCCUUCAUCAUGUCCUCAUUCAUACAUUUCAUUCUAGAUUUUAGAGAUUGAUGCAAAGACUAUUACUCAAAGCUAGUCGUUCACUCACAGUUUAAGAUCACACUCUCACCGAUGAUGGUUCUAGCUUUUCUUUCUCAAUCGAUCUGUCUAUUGACUAACCAUUCUAAUUGUAGACUUACAUACUUGUUCUUUCUUUGUCUAACAUACAUACUUGCUCAAACUCAUGAAAAGAAACACGAACUCCAUCAUAAUCAUGCAUUCAAUCCAAAAUCAAUUCAUACACCAAUUUUCACAAAAAGAGUUUCACUGCAUAAUCAUCAAAAUCAAGUCAAAUUGUUCCAUAUGCUUCAAGAUUUUCAAAUUUUUUUUUCACAACAAAAAGUGUGAUGCAAAACAUACUAAUUCAUAUGUACUAAAAACCAUAUAAUUACUAUACCACGCUAGCAUAAUCAUUAAAAGGUACUAAAAACAAAAUAAUUAUAAUAAUAAUAAGGUAGGUAGGAGAGUUGUUUCUGGUGCUGGAGAAGAUGGAUCCACCACUGGAGAUGGUGGAUCAACUAGUACUGGCACUGGCCAAGGAUAAGCAGCUUCAUUGAAUCUUGUCUCUAAUCUUCCUUCCGAAAAAUCAAUAACUCCAAGGUUAAGCUCUAGGCCAGGCCACCUUCUCAAUGAAUUGCUCUACACUCAUGAUUGGCCUUUGUUGGGCCAAUUCUUGCAAGCUACGUAUAAUGAGAAUCGGUCCUUCAAACAAGCUAUGCAACCUAGCAUUUGAAGUCUGGAAGCUUUGGGAAAAUGGGUCUGCUAAUGCUGGAGGUGGAGCUGGAGUAGAAGAUGAAGGGAUGCCAGCUAUUGGUGUAAAGGAAGAGGGAACAUCAACUGCUCUGAGUUUGGUCUUCCUUGCCCCUAGAAAAUUAAUUGUUUGGUCAUUCACAUUCCAACAGUUCCUUGUAAUAUAGACCAAGUUAAUGACUGGCCUCAGGCUCUCGUAAGAAGUAAGAGCAUCAGAUUAACUCCCCUCGACCUACACAAGGCUGUGAUUAAAGCUAGGAAGCCUAGGCGAGAAGAGUUGGGCUGAGCCACCAUGGUUAUCUGUCCAGAGAUCAAACAGCCAAUGUUCAUGUCCAUCCUUGUGAUUAAGCCAUAGACCAACCUAGCUCUGUCUGUGUUCAAAUCUGAGGUGUGGGAGGUAGGAGCUAGGUUAGAGUAAGAGAAGACACUCCAUGUCUGGGCAAGGGUUGUAAGAUCUUUUCUGAAGAGCUUCCAUGGUUGUCCCUUAGUGUUCAGAAUAAAACCCCUGCCUGGAAUGCAUAGGCUAGCCUCCAUCUCUCUAGGAUCAGACCUUAAUAUGCAAAAUCUAGAAUAAGCGGGUAAAGAUUCCCCCUCCUCUAAUAAAACUGGAGUCUGAAGAGACUCAUUCAGGCUGUCUGCAUCUAUCUUGAUUAAAUGGCCUCUUACUCUGGCAUAUUUGGGAGCUUGGUCUUCUAGAAUAUACAAAUUGGCAUAAAAUUCUUUAACCACCGCCACAUCUAUGCUCCCUUCUUGAAGGUUGGCGAGGAGUUUGUGAAAGUUACGCCUCUCCAACUCUGCUUUAAACUCGUCAAACUCAGUAUGAUAAAUCUCAACAUUCCUCUCUAGAAGGAUCCUCCGGUCCAAAAUGAUUGGAAUCUCCUGGUAUCAUACUGAGCCAGUGGCCUAGAAUCACUACUCUUGUGUUUCAUAGAAGCCAUCAGCAAUUAAAAGGACCAAACAGUUAGUCAGGACACAAGUUAUUCAAAUUUAAAAACUGAAAAAGGCACUGGCGGCUUAGCGAGACAUGGUCCGCUUAGCUGGCCUUCACAAAAUACACAUAACAGCUUAGCGACAUGUGGGGUCGCUUAGCGGAUGCUGCAGAAUUUCAACUUUUGCAUAAUUGGCUUAGCUGGCAACUGCCCGUUAAGCCUAAUUGUUGCUACAAGGAUUUGUGUUAAGCUCCUCAAGGUUUGCGCUUAGCGGCACCAUACACUUCAAAAAAUACACUAAGUAUGGGAUUUGCCGCAACGAAAUGCGCUUAGCUCAGGUAUGCUUGGCUUAGCGCGUGGCUUUCAACAAAAAUUUUGACUAAGUUACCUGGGCUUAGUGAUUCAGCCUCACUUAGCCACAGGCAUCUCAGUAAGAGGAUGAGUGUUCAUCCUCAAAAGAUGAACUCGCUUAGCGAGGUAGGCGCGCUUAGCGAGUUCUUCUGAAAACACAUAUAUUCAAUGAAUUUUUUAUGAACUCGCUUAGCGCAGCAUGCUCGCUUAGCGAGUUCAUCACGUUUUCCAGAAAAAAUGCAGAAAACGCAGUACGUUUUCUUCCAUUUUUCAAGCCUCUAAAAGGCAUAUCAAACAUGCAAACCAUCCUAAAUGAUCUAUAUAGUAUAAACAUAUAUAAAGUCCUAAUCUUUGAAUACUUCUAAAAAACAUUAAAACCCUAUAAAUCAAAAGCUACAUCUAAGGUUUUCUAACCUAAGGUUCAACGGAAUAAAAGAGAAAAAAGGAAAUGGGAAUCUUACUUGAAUCUUUGAUAGUAGACGAAGAUGCAGAAGAAAACACGAAUGCACAAAGUUGGGUGUGAGAGAAAAUGCAGGCAUGGUUCAUGAAAUUUGGGCAAUUGUGAGUGUAACUGACGUUACACUCACUUAAGCAGUUUCGACCCUCUCGGUUACCAAAACGCCUCGCUAAGCGAGCCAGAGAGACAUUUGGUUUCUCAAAGAGGCUCGCUUAGCGAUUUUGCACGCUUAGCCCACAUUUGAAAUUCAAAUUUUUUCUUUACACCCAAAAAUGGAUUGGCUUAGCACGAAGAUAUGGUUGCUUAGUGAGUUCUGCAAAACAAAAUAUCUGCAACUCUCGCUAAGUCGGGCUUUGGGCCGACUUAGCUAAAAUGAUGCAUCUUGAUUACAGAGGGGUAUGCACUUAGCGUAUGAUGGAUCACUUAGGGCUAUCAUGGCCGCAAAGAAUUGGGCUUAGCUGGCAGGAGUUUUGCUUAGCUCAAUGAAACCCAAUUUAAGCCGCAAAGAAUUGAGCUUAGCUGCCAUGAGUGGCGCUUAGUCGAAAUCAGAUCGAGUUGAAGUUGGCUUAGCUUAGCCUUGGCCAGCAUAGCAGAUCAAAUCAGCCUGAGAUGCAAGGGUUGAGCGCUAAGCACUAUAGACUCUCGGCUUAGCGCAUGACCAAAGAUGCUCUUAGCGCGGGGCUUGUGCUUAGCGAAAGGACUAUUUUUCAGAAAAAUAUUUCUAAAAGUUAUUUUUCAAUCCCUUCCUUAAGAAUUUAAAACCCUUAUAUCUAUCAUUCAAAAAGAAGUUGAUAUGCCCCAAUGUAAUGAUUAUGUAGCAAGUUUCACAUGAUGAAAUUAAUAAAAAACAAGGAUUAAAACUGGGUUGCCUCCCAGGAAGUGCUUCUUUAACGUCAUUAGCUUGAUGCUUUUACCUCAAUGGGCGAAAUCAUGUUUUGGUUCUUACUUCCAGAACCUCCUUACUCACUUCCAUUACCUGUAAGCAAGCAUUUUGUUCUGGAGCAGACUUGUCUUCAACAAAUAAAUCAAAAUCAAUUUUCUGAUCUUCAAAGCCCAACUCCAGCUUCUUUCUCCCCAUAUCAACUAUGCAGCUUGCAGUUAACAUGAAUGACCUUCCUAAUAUUACAGGAAUGUCAUUAUCUUCACAGAUAUCCAUUACCACAAAGUCUGUCGGGAAGAUAAAAUGUUUUACUCUGACCAGCACAUCUUCAAUUACUACAUUUGGUUUGGUAAUGGAGCGGUCAGCAAGUUGUAAAGUCAUCCUAGUGGGCAUGAUCUCCAACUCUCCCAACCUUCUGCACAUGGAGAGUGGCAUUAAGUUAAUACUGGCUCCCAGGUCAAUAAGAGCCUUUCCCACAAUGACUUAUCCAAUUGAACAAGGAAUGGUUACACUCCCAGGGUCUUUAUGCUUGGGUGGAAGGAUCUUUUGAAUCACAACACUACAAUUUCCUUCCACAACAAUGUUUUCCUGGUGAAUAUACUUGUGUUUCCUUGUCAACAUAUCCUUCAAAAACUUGGAGUAGAGUGACAUAUGCUAUAAAGCUUCUCCGAAGGGCAUGGUUAUUUCCAGUUUCCUGAAAAUAUCUAUAAAUCUUACCAAAUGGCGAUCCUUCUCCUUCUCAGAAGGUACCAUAGGAUAUGGUACUUCCGCCCCUUCAUUCACAACUUUUUCUCUCUUCUUUUCUCUAGCUUGUUCACUUCUACUUCUCUCUUCAUUCUUAUUUUUUUUGAUCUUUUUCAUUUUCUUUUUCUUUUUCAAAUUCUUUUUCUUUUUCUUGGUCAUUUAAUUUCUUUUUCUUUACCAUUAUUUGUUUUUCUUUCUCCUGAUUACUUUCACCUCUCACAUCAUCUUUCUUAUCAUCAGUACCUUUCUUUUCAGCAGCUUUCUUCUUAGGCAUGAUAACCCUGUCCUCAUCCUCUGCCUCCACAAACCUCUUACUCCUUGUCAUCACAGCUUUGCAUUCCUCCUUAGGAUUCUUUUCUAUAUUCACCACAAAACUGUUGAAUGACUUGUCAACUAUCUACUUGGCCAGUUUUCCCACUUGGACCUCAAGGUUUUUCAAUGUUGACUUAGUGCUUUUAUGAUUUGACAUUGUUACCUGCAUAAAUUGAGUCAAAGUCUCCUCUAGCUUAGUAGUCCUCUGAAAAAUAUUAGGCCCUUGUUGGAUUGGCCUGUUAGAAGGUCCACCCUAGUCUUUGAUGAACUGAUUGCCAGGGUGUGAUCUCCAUUGUCCUUGUUGGUUAUAAGGACCCUGCUGGAAGCUUGAAAAUCCUCCUUGAGUAUAUCCUUGCCUCUGUUGAUUUCCCAUAUAGUGAACUUCUUGAGUGUGUUCUUCACUAGGAAUACAUUGGCCUGUUUCAUGAGCCUCACCACAAAUGGUACAACAUGCAACCUGCAAAACAGAAGAAUGCGUAGGUUGACCAAUAGGCAAUUUAGAUGGCAACUUACCAAGUGUUUCUGUUAAAAUCUCAAGUUGCUUAGAAAGCAACUUAUUCUGUGCCAAUAAAGCAUUGUCGAAACCUACCCUUUGGCGGGAGGGCGACGCGGGGCUCGCGGGUGCGUCUUCCAAGAAAGGAAAAUGCGCGGAGUCGCCACCAACGUUUAUUCGAGGAAAACGUCGGAAAAACCGGAAAAGACGUGGUCUACGAACUUUAAGUGUGAAAGGUUCGGGAGUUGUAUUUACGCACAGGGAAGAUAUUAGCACCCCACGCGUCCAUCACAAAGGAUGGCAACCUUUAAUCGAGUGUGCAAAGAUGACUUCAAAUUGUUUUAUUUUCCCAUUUUUUAUGUUUAUGUCUUUUUACGCCCUUUUUUGUAUUUUUAUCUUUUUGUGGUCGACAAGGGUGUUUUCCUUGCUCCUACAUAUUCCUCAAUUGUGAUAAGGAAAUCAGACCUACGUAGUUCUUUGAGAACUGAACGUUGGUUAAGUUGUUUUUAUCUUUUUUCGAAAGAUAGAUUUUGACUGAACAAAACUCAUUUAAGGCGUUGGACCAUUCAACGAUCUUUUGAUUUUGAAAGGAGAGAAACGUUAAGGCGUUGGACCAUUAAUGAUCUCUCGGUUUUUGAAAGGAGAGGAAUGUUAAGACGUUGGACCAUUAACGAUCUCUUGGGGUGGUCGACAAAAGCGGGGCUCUUGCUCCUACAUAUCCUCAAUUUGUGAUGAGGAACUCAGGCCUACGUAGUUCUUGCAAAAAAAGCGGUAAAGUUACAUGUUGAUUUUAUGCUUUUGAACGGUCCAUGUUAACCGAUAAAAGCAAAGAGGACCGUUUAAGGCGUUGGACCUUAAAACGGUUUUUAGUGAUUUUUGCGGACAAAGCUUGAUUUGUGAGUUGAUUUUAGCCUUAGUUUCACUUUGGUUAUUAGUCAAUUGAUCUAAGGAAACUUCUAAAGAAAAACGUUCGAUUGAUUUUUUUUUAUUAUUUUAUUCAAAGAUAUUUUGAUUAUUUUAUUAUUAUUUUCCCUUUUUUGGUUUAACUGAGGUUACAACAUGAACGAUCAGUUAGAUUUUGUUUUAACAGUGAUUAAAAGAGAUUACAACACAAAUGAUCGGUUUAUUAGAUGAGAAAAUGGCUUAAACGAUCGGUUAAAGCUCGUUAAAAAUGGAAGAAAAGAAAACCUUCACAGAUUUGCUCACAGAAACGUCGAAAAACUUACCUGUUGAAGAACGAAGAACGGAUGAAGAACGGUGAAGAACGAUGGAAAACCUUCACGGAUUUGCUCACGGAAACGUCUCAGAAGCAUUAUGGAAGCACCUCGGCUUCAAUUUUCUUCACGGAAACAAUUUUUUUCACCCAAAACAGCUAAAAUGCAUAGCCAGGGAUCAUGGAUCCUUAGAACAACCCCCUUUUGCCUAUUUAUAGGAAAAAAGGGGAGGCGCUUGCCACCCAGCUCACCCAGGCGAGCUGAGUUGCUUCCUCGAGAAGCAAUCCUGCUUCGAAAAUACUCUGAAGGCUCAAAUUCAAAAUUUCAAAAAUUACUAUUUGCACCCCCCAUUAUGAUAAGUUCACCCCAUUCUUUCGUAAUUUACAGAAAAGUUACGGAAGCCUAUAGGACCUAAAUUUCUUCUUUUUUUCUCUUCCUUCUCACCCAUAUUAAGUGAAAUAUGCUUAUUUAGGGUUAUGAGAAUUUUAUGGAAGCAUUACGAGAGUCCUAGAAGCCCCGGAAGCAAUUUUUUAACAAAACGGGGGAGGUGGUUGCCGCCCAGCUCGCCCAGGCGAGCUAGGUUGCUUCCACAUUCAGCAAGGAAAUGCCCAGAAUCCUCUAGAAGGGCCCAGAUUUGAAAAUUGCUAUUUGCACCCCCCAUUUUACUAAAUACACCCAUUUGCCCUUUUUUGUUGAUUUUUUUUCCGUAACGUUACGGAACUUUACGAAUUACGUAACUUUUGUUUUCUUUCCGUAAUGUCAUGAAACCUUACAGAUUACGCAAUCGUCCUCUCUUUGGCUUUUGGAAUGUUACAAAACUUUACAGAUUGCGCAUUAACGCUUCCUUUCGAUUCCCGACAUGUCACGGAACUUCACGGAUUGCCUAACGAUGGGUGUCAAGUACCUCGAAGUGGUCAAGCGAAGGUUGCAUCCCACCAAACAGAUGGUCACCGGACGAAAUUAGAGUAUGACAAGCGUCAUGUGAUGAUAGUUCUAACAAGCUUUUCUUUGUGGGUUGAUGAACUCUGUCGCGUAGAAUGGCAUGAUCGCUAGCUAAAAUAUUCUCAAUUAUCUUAGUUGCCUCUUCAGGGGUCUUCCACUUUAUUUUUCCCCCUACUGAAGCAUCUAGCAGUUGCUUGGUUUGUGGUCUCAGCCCAUCUAUAAACAUAUUCAAUUGAAUGGGCUCUGAGAACCCAUGGGUGGGAGUCUUUCUCAAUAAAACCUCUAAACCUCUCCAACGCUUCACUCAAGGACUCGUCAGGGAAUUGAUGAAAUGAAGAGAUUGCAGCUUUCCCUUCUGUAGUCUUUGACUCCGGGAAAUAUUUCUUCAAAAACUUUUCAACAACUUCUUCCCAGGUUUUCAGACUGUUACCCUUAAAUGAGUGAAGCCACCUUUUGGCUUCUCCUGCCAUGGAAAAUGAAAAUAGACUGAGUCUAAUGGCUUCAUCUGGAACACCUCCAAUCUUUACAGUGUUACAAAUUUCAAUGAAUGUUGCCAAAUGUGCAUAGGGGUCCUCAUUUGGUAAUCCUUGGAAUAAGUUCCCUUGUAUUAAAUGAAUCAAAGAAUGAGGGUAGUUUAUAUUGUGAGCUUGCACUUCAGGACGUGCAAUGCUAGUAAAGAAUUGCGGCAGUAUACUGCUUGAAUAGUCCUCAAGGGUAACCCUUUGCUGGUGCUCAUCUGCCAUGGAAACGACUUCUGGCAAAUAGGUUGCAGAUUCCCUUGAUGAUGGUGAAUCAGGUGAUGAAGAAUUAGAAAAAUGAGUUUCUUCCUCAAGAAUGGACGCUACUGUCCUGUCUUGUAGUAAUUUUCUUCUCCUCUCGGCUCUGUUCCUUCUCAACGUACCUUCAAUCUCCAAGUCCAGAGGAACAAAAUUGUCUGUGGGAGAUCUAUGCAUAUAAAACACUAAUAGAAACAACGGUUAUCCAAUUCAAGAGGAAAACAAAUAUGAAUCGAAUGUAAAUAUACACAGUUUAUCAAAGAAUAAAUAAUAGACACCUAGGACUGAACUAACUUUCCAAAUAGAAAGAAGUUCCCCGGCAAUGGCGCCAAAAACUUUUUCGGUCGUGGCAAGUGCACCAGAUAGCGCAAGUAGUAUAAAACGUUAAGAAUCGAGUAUCGAACUCUCGGGGAACUUGUGUCACUUGGUAAUGCUACUUCCGUGAAUAGGUGUCUAAUAUAAAAAGAGAUGUGUUUACUAUAAAUAGGUGUGUAAACUAACUAUGAAAAAGGAAAAUCAUGUGAGUAAUGAUGCAUAAAGACAAGUAGGUAACACGCUGGUCUUCCUAAUAGGUGCCUAAUGUUAAAAGGAUAUUCUCUACUUAACAAUGCUUAUGUGUUCUAUGGUGCCUCCUGUAAUGCUAAACCCUGAUUCCUCAUGAUAGUCUAGCCUAAUCCUGAUCAGGCAUCGUCCGUAGAUUCCUCUUGUUGGACUAGACUCGACCAGAACCACAUUAAGGCAAACAUACAACAACUAGGUUACCGUACCCCGAUCCCUCGUGAUAAUAUGAUAAACUAGCCCCGUCCUAUCAAGUUCUAAGAAUCAGACCAGUUUCCACUAUUGAAUGAUUCUAAAAACACAUGCAUCUACGUGAUCAAGGCAAAAGCAUGGUAGAAUGAAGUUCUGAUAGCACAGUGAACACAUAAAACAUCACUAAAUAGAUAUACAGGUAUUUACAUCAAGUACCUACAAGGAAGAACCAACAGAGGAUUUAGCUCUCCAUAACUACGAAGCUUCCUUUACAACAAAGAGAAGAGAAGAUGAAGGAUUGAGGAAAUACAAGUGGUGGGGAUGUCUCCUCCACCUCUAGAACCUCACAAUCACUCACAAAAUCAUCUCAAGCUCUCAGGACGGCUUCCUCUUCAAGCUCGAUUCUCUGCAGGUCUUCACAGAGCAAAAUCUCUCAACUCUUUGGAACUUGGACCUUUCUCUCUCUAGAAAACCCUAGACAUGUAGAAGCUUCAAGAAAAGGUAUAGGUGGCUUUGUUUAUGCUUGUGCACUUAGCGCAAUUCUGAAUCGCUUAGCACUCAUUAGUGGAUUUCAGCUUAGCGCGUGCUUUUCUCGCUCAGCGGAUGGACUGAAGCGGUGCGCUUCACUGGAUGAGUCUUCGCUUAGCGCAAAUGCAUAGCUCAUCCUUCUUCCAGAUUCUUCCUUGUGCUCAGCCGAGGAGUUUUGCGCUCAGCGGAUGGCUCACUAAGCCAGAAGAUUGGCUUAGAAGGAGGGUGAAAAUCAACACUUCACAAACUUGCCUAAUUAACCUGAAAUUGAGAGAAAAUGAUUAUUAAACACACAAAAUUGACAUACUAAGUAUUUAUUACCUAUCUUUAACAAAAAGUAAUUACAAUACUACAAAAUAACCAUAAAUUGGAGGAGUUUGAUACAAUUUACAUAAGUUUAAUACACAAAAGUUAGUUGUAUUCAUCGACUAACAGUGAGCUUGUUCUUGACUAUCUUCUCCUUGAAGUAGCGUCUCCAAUCACCGUUCCUCCUUCUCCAUUCCGCUGCGAUUGAUCUUCAAGAAGAAAAGGACUACAAACUCUACAUGGAGGUACAUUAAGAGUCAAGCACAACAAAAAUAAAUUCCUUCGACAUUUUUCAAAACAAUAAUGCUAAAACUGAAAACUAUCAGCAACGUGAUCUCUCCUUUUAUUUUCUUGGCUAGUAUCAACACUCCUACUCACUUUUCUUACAAGUAUUUUUGACAUGAUGUCAAACAAUAAUCUUCAAUAUGAGCAAGUAUAUUUUUUCUAGUAAAACUAACAAAAAUCAUGCAAAAACAACCAUAACAGACCAACAGAAAAUCAGCCUCUAGGUCCUCUACUAUUGUUUUUACAAUCUAUAAGGAAUUUCAAAUUAAUUUAAGACGACUCAUUAAAUAUGCCACAAAUGUGAGAGAAAGGAUAUGAACUUCUCUCUGGCUGGCUGGAUGAAGUAUAUAACAUCCAUGGUGGGUAAUGGCUUCCUUUGCUUGUAUAUGUCUUCAACCACUAUAAAAAGAAAAAAAAAUCACAUACAUAUAAGAAUUAGAACUAGUUGUGCAAAAUAUGGGUGUCUAAGGAAUAAUUUUCUUCCGAAAGUGUAAUCAUAUUCCUUCACUGGCAUUAAGCUAGAAAGGAAGCAACUGCUCUUUUUCUUAACUCUUUUUGUUUAGGUAACUUUUUCUUUUAAUUGUUAGUAGAGGGAAAGUGAAGGAAAAGGGAUGGUAGUAUUAGACACAACAAUUAACAGAAAAUUAACCAUAUAUAACAGACAUAAAAUAUCUAGAAUAAUGUAUAUUCAGAUUGCAAUUUUUGGAGUGUAAAUAACUUAAUUCUACAUUUGAAUAUCAUAAAUCAGAAUUAAUCAAGCAUGGCAUUACAUCCAAAUCAUGAAAAGUCUUUCCCUGACAGUGGGCAUAAGAAAAAUGAUUACUUAUUACUUAAGAAUCAAUAUUGUGAUUCUUACAUGACACACCUUCAUCAGUGAUAUCGGCCAUCUUGCAAGAAUGAGACAUUAUCUUCACAGUAAGUUUUCCCAUUAUUAUUACUUGCAGGAAAGCAGAUCAUGAACCAAUACAAGAUGAUAAAGAAUUGAACUAUCAACCAUUUUACUAGAUUUCAAGCUCUAGCUGAUUUCUUGAAAAAGAAGCAAGUGUGUGUGUGUGUGUGUGUGUGUGUGUGUGGAUUUAAAGUCAUCCUCCAUGUGAAGAACAAAGAAUCCCAAAAGCAUAUAUUAUUAGAAGACUCAUGCAUGGUUCUUACAUCCAACACAAUCCCUCAUAGUCUUGUGUUAGAGUCUUUUGAGCUUGAAGCAUGAAUAAUGAAAAAGCCCAAUCGAACUAUAGAUCACUUGGUCAUUACAAACAAUAAUACCAUGUAAUGAACCAAGCCAACUAUUCCAAAGGGUUAUGAUGUCCAAUAAAGGUUUAUGAAUGAUUUUGAUAUCUUACACAUCUAUACCAUGGCACAACAUUGCAAAAUCUCUAAAAUCACUCUACAUACCUAACCAGGAGAGUACACUGUCAGGACAACAUUGAAGAGAAACCCCAAAAAAAGAAUUACUUAACAACAAUAAUAAAAAUAUCUUAUCCUGACAAACUGAUAAAUGUCAUAUUGACCUUCUUAAAUUGAAAGAUAAAAGAUUCACAAUAGUUUUAAUGCUCCAAGAAUCUCUUGAUCAGGCUACCACUUUGUCUCCAAACUCAAUCCCCCUCCUUUCUCUUUCUCUCUCACACACACAUACUAUUGUCUCAUUUUCAUUAGUUUCUUCAAGAUAUCAUCAUGCACCCCUCCUUCAAGAAUAUAUAUUUAUAGCAAGAAAGAGUAGUCAUCAAAAUCUACUGCUUACUUAAUAGUUGAUAGUAGUAUAGAAAAAUGACAAAUUUUCCAUAAUGAUCCUACUUGAAAGUAUAAGUUGCCAACUAGUAAUUGCUUAGCCAUCAAAAACAUAGAUAUAUAUCAAAUGGAUAAAGAAACCAUUCUAAACAUGAUAUAGCAAUUGACUGUACUUACAAGAAGGUGAAUAUUGAAAGAUUUUCUAAAUAUGUCCUUAGGGGUGAGGCGUCAAGUUGCGACUUACAUUAAGAAGCCACCUCGGUAACCCUGAUUGACUACAAUCAAUUUUUAGUUGAUAAGAGCCUACCAUUGUACCAUGAUAAAAGGUGUAUAUAACCAAAUCGUCAUGGUUGAUAGAUUAUAUGUGUAUCUUGUUUAAGUCUUUUUGUGUCUAGUUGACUAAGUGGGAAGAUUCACUCCUUAUGUGUUUAUUUAGUAUCAGAUGUCUAGCGAGGAGUCGACCCUCCAUCUUGAGGAUGAAUGCAAUUGGAAGUGGUGCAUACCCAAUGUGACCAAAGGCGUGGAUCACUUCCUAGGACAUCUUUGUUAUUCGUGGAUGCCUGCUGACUUAUGCUUUUGUGUAGUUUCCACACUAGGCGGGAAGUUAGAGAUGAUUACUCUGAGUUUAAGACCUUUUCUUUUGUAUGUAUUUGAUCUGGGUAGGCCUAGUGAUGUAAGCUUGCUUGAGAAGCUUCUAUGGAGGUUGGAUCUUUCAAUGGUGAUUUUCAGCCAUGGAGUUGCAGCGAAAGAUAAAGAAGAAGAGGUGAGAGGAGACGUCAUCCACUAGAGAAUAAGCCAUGGAAGGAGAAGCUUCACCACUAAGAAAGUGCCUUGGAUAAAAAUCUUAGAGAGGAAGCUUCAAUGAAGGAAGAGAAUGAGAGACAGAGAGACAAAGAGGCAUUGAAAUUGAAGGAGAAUAGGGAGAGAAGUUAAACUUUGAAGUGUGUCUGAUCGAGGCCGUACCUGAAUCAAAUAAACAUUAAAAAUGCAAUAUCUAGGAAGUGAUCCUAGGUCGUCUCCCAACGAGCAAUGGUCAACCAAACGUUCAUAACAGAUAGUGAUAAAACAGUAACAAAUUGGGGGGGGGGGGUUGUUUGUUUUUUUGUAAAUUAAAUAGCAAGAAAAUUUUAAUUAGAAAAUAACAGAAUUAAAACAUGUUGUUUCCCAUUGAUUCACAAGAAAGUCUUUUAUCCUAGGUUAUGAGGAUUUAUCCCUAACCAGUUCAACCACUUAAUCCAACCCUAAAUUAAAUUACUAAGCGAAAAUUAACAUAAGGCUGUCAUUAUGUGAUUAAGCAACACAUACACCAAUUAAUCAUGAACGAAACUGAUCAUUAAGCAUGAACGUAAAUUAAGCGUAGAGACAAUUAAUCAAGCACUAAGCAUGCAUGGAUUAAUAGCAACAAAUACAAAAUAAUUGGUGAAGACGAAAAGUUGAUCAGAAUUCAAUAGUAGUAACAAAACCUCAAAGAUAGUUGUGCUUGAUCCUCAAGAAAAAACAAUGCUGGAGACUUAGCCUUCCAUUAAUCAGUAGAAAACGAAAUUGCAGAUUGAAGCAUAAAUGAAAUUGCAGAAAACGAAUUUUAUUCUACAUGAACAGUGCGCAUGAACAGUAAAACUGGAAUUCUAAAACCCUAGAAUUAUUCUCCUCUCCAAAAAAAAACUCCCAAAACUAAAACCCUGGUGCUAUUAUAUAGGUGCUCCGCCCCAAAGCUUACAAAUCUCUUUCAAGUCCAAGCUCAUAAACGAAAUAAAAUAAAAUCUGGACAAGAUAAGAUAAGAUUGGAUGAAAUAAAAUAUGGACGAAAUAAAAUCUAGAUGGAAUAAAAUCUGAAGAAGAUAAGAUUUGAUAAAAUAAAAUUGUCUACUCUCUUCAAGUCCAAGCCCAAUUCCAUAUUCAAGCCAAAUUGCUUAUAAUUCUCCUGAAAUUAAAUUAAAAACACAAAAUUAGUCAAGUAGGCCUGACAUACCCUAAUUUCGUCCGGGGACCAUCUAUUUGUUGGGAUGCGACCCUCGCUUGACCACUUCAAGGUACUUAACACCCAUCGUUAGGCAAUCCGUGAAGUUCUGCGACAUGUCGGGAGUCGAAAGGAAGCGUUAAUGCGCAAUCCGUAAAGUUCUGUAACAUUCCAAAAGCCAAAGAGGGGACAAUUGCGUAAUCCGUAAGGUUUCGUGACAUUACGGAAAGAAAACAAGUAUCAUUACGUAAUUCGUAAAGUUCCAUAACGUUACGAAAAAAUAAUUAGUAAAAAAAAAAGCAAAAGGGGAGUGUAUUUUGUAAACAGGGGUGUGUAAAUAAAAAGCAGUGCAUUUAGCAAAGGGGAGGGGGUGAACUUAUCAAGAUCCUACACGUUUUGUUGGAAAAUGGUUUCUUGAGCAUCCGAGGCUUUCGUAAUACUUCCGUAAAAUUCCUAAAACUUUGAGUAAGCCUAUUUCACUCAAUAUUGGUGAAAGAGAAGAGGAAAAAGAGGGAAAUCAAGUCCUAUAUGCUUGCGUAAAAUUCCUAAAACCCUAAAUAAACAUAUUUCACUCAAUAUGGGUGAGCAGGAAAAGAAAAAUGAAGAAAUUCAAGUCCUAUAUGCUUCUGUAAAGCUUCCAUAACUUUUUCGUAAAAUUACGAAAGAAGGGGGUAAACUUAUCAAAAGGGGGGGGGGGUGCAAAUAACAAUUUUCAAAUAUUCGAAUCUGGGCCCUUCCAGAAUAUUUUUGAAGCAGGGUUGCUUCCCUGGGCGGCAACCUCCUCCCCCUUUUUGCUAUAAAUAGGCGAAUCGGGGUUGUUCCAAAUAUCCUUCAUCCCCCUGGCUAUGCAUUUAAGCUGUUUUGGGUGAAAAAAAUUAUUUUUGUGAAGAAAAUCCAAGCCAAGGUGCUUCCGUAACGCUUCCGAGAUGUUUUCUUGUGCAAAUCCGUGAAGGUUUGCCAUCGUUCUUCACCGUUCUUCAUCCAUUCUUCGUUCGUUCUUUGUUCUUCAACGGGUAAGUUUUCGAAUUCAAGACUUUCAAUUCAUUUCUUGUUUUGUUAGCUUUCAUCUUUAUUUCGUUCACUUUCAAUUUUCUUUUCUUUCGUUUUUAACGAGCUUUAACCGUUUAUUUAAGCCGUUUUCUAACCUAAUAAAUGAUAAAAUGAAUUUCAACCGAUCAUUUGUGUUGUAAUCUCGUUUAAUCACUGUUAAAAUAAAAUCUAACUGAUCGUUAACGUUGUAACCUCGAUUAAACCAAAAAAAGUAAAAUAAAUAAUAAAAUAAUCAAAAUAUCUUUAAAAAUAAUAAUCAAAAUAUCUUUGAAUAAAAUAAUAAAAAAAAUCAAUCGGACGUUUUUCUUUGGAAGUUUCCUUGGAUCAAUUGACUAAUAACCAAAGUGAAACUAAGGCUAAAAUCAACUCACAUUUUUCAUGCAUAACAUACGUAUUCCCGAGUCUUCCAUCUCUAUCAAAUGUUAUCGAAGUAUUGGCAAUCAAAAUUGUCAUUCCUUGGAUUAUGGGGUUGAACCAAGCUCAUGCUUUUGUGAAAAGGUUCAUCAAGUCAAGUUGAAGUAUGGAAGUAACCAUCUUGCAAAAAAUUUGGGCAAAAGAUGGAUCGAGUUACAUCGCUACUUCAUCUACUGCCAAACACAUUUAGGAUUGUUCAUGUCCUUGUUACUUGCAGUUUCACCUUAACAAAGAUGUCAUGGACCAUGUUGAAAAUCUAAAUUGAUUCAACCCCAUGUCUUGCAUAAAAAUUCGCAAUACUUCAACUGUGCAUCAUUCGCAUACAUCCAUGCUUUUCAUUGGUUGCAUUGCUCAUUGCAUUCUUUCCUUGAAAAAAAAAUGAACUUAAUCAUUGUUAUUAAAAAGAAAAGAACAUGCUUUACGGCGCCCUUACCAAACCCGUGCUAGAGCUAGAGUAAUGGGUGAAGUGGAGGAGGUGCAAGAGCAGAUGAAGGCCGACAUGGAGGCCAUGUAAGAGAAAAUGGCCACAAUGAUGGAGGCCAUGAUGAGCAUGAAGAAGAUAAUGAAAGCCAAUGCGGUUACAAUUGCUGCUACCAGCACUAUUGCUAAGGUGAACCCGAUGCCCCCAUCUGAUCUCAACCAAAUGAAUCACCCAACCUCAGAUAUGGUGGGCAAAGAUUUGGGAAGUACGGAUGGCCCCAUGAUGUGAAAAUUCAAAAUGAGCACGCCUUCCCGCCAUAUGGCUUGCCUCCCAACUAUACACCACCCAAUGUGGCGUACACUCCUAAUAAGGAUGUCAAUAACUCCGCUCCCAUACUCAUUGAGAGCCGACAACCUCAUCAUGUACAUGUCUCUCAACCCAUGGGGGAGACACAUGAAAUUCCCCACCACAAUCUAGCAGACUUUGAGCCUUACCUUAGAUAUGCCACUAAAGGGCAAGCAGUUGGUGGUAUACCCCUGCAAAACACUUUGGAGGGCCUUCAGUUUCGCCCCCAACCACAACCUUUGCAUUCCACAGCAGGUAAAAUCCCUCCUAUUAUGGAAGGAAAGGGAAAAGUUGGAUCAUCUAGAGGAAAGGCUCAGGGCCAUUGAAUGAGGCAAAGAUUAUGCCUUUGCUAAUCUAGAAGAGUUGUUCCUAGUACCCAAUAUCAUCACCCCUCCCAAGUUCAAGGUGUCGGACUUUGACAAAGUACAAGGGGACUACUUGCCCUAAGAACCAUCUAAAGAUGUGUUGUCGAAAGAUGGGGGCAUACGCAAAAGAUGAGGAACUGUUGAUACAUUUCUUCCAAGAAAGUCUUACUGGAGUAGCUGCUACUUGGUACACUAACUUGGAACCUUCCCGAGUCCAUUCUUGGAAGGACCUAAUGGUUGCCUUCGUUAGGCAGUAUCAGUACAAUUUUGAUAUGGUUCCGGAUAGGAUGCAACUACAAAAUAUGUGCAAAAAGGGGCACGAAUCUUUCAAAGAAUACGCCCAAAGAUGGAGAGACCUGGCAGCUCAAGUGACACCUCUAAUGACGGGGAAAGAGAUGAUCACAAUAAUAGUAGACACAUUACCAGUGUUAUACUAUGAAAAAUGGUGGGAUACACACCUUCAAUCUUUGCUGAUUUAGUUUUUGCCGAUGAAAGGAUCGAAGUGGGUCUGAAAAGAGGCAAAUUUAAUCAUCCUGCUUCGAUGAAUGAGAAAACUGGGGCAAAUGAAGAGGGUGAGAAUGAGGGAGAAACCCAUGCUGUGACUGCCAUUCCUAUACGGCCAAGUUUCCCACCAAUCCAACAAUGUCAUUACUCAGCCAAUAACAACCCUUUUCCUUACCUACCACCCAGUUAUCCACAAAGGCCAUCCCUAAAUCAACCACAAAACCCACCUUCCACACAACCAAUGCUAAACACCACCUUUAGCACGAACCAAAACACCAACCAAGGAAGGAAUUUUGCAGCAAAAAGCCUAUAGAAUUUACCCCAAUUCUGGUGUCCUUUGCUAACUUGCUCCAUUAUCUACUUGAUACUACAAUGGUAGCCAUAACCCCUGCUAGGUUUCCUCAACCUCCAUUUUUCCGAGGAUACGAGUCAAACGCAAUGUGUGCUUAUCAUGGAGGAGCCCCGGGGCAUUCCAUUGAGCAUUGUAUGACCCUGAAGUGUGAGGUGCAAAGUCUAAUUGAUGCGAGCUGGCUGAAAUUUGAGGAGAAUCGCUUGUGAUUCCUAACAUUGACAAAUGACACCACACAUGGGGCAAUUUUGAAAGUUGUUGUUAGAUGUCUCUAAUGACUCAUCAUGAUUUUCAAGUUUAUGCCAUUAUUAUAAACCACAGUUACAAUGCUAAAAUGGAUGAAUUUGACAUCCUUGUCUCUCUCAUCCUCUCACAAACACAUCUUUGCUUAUUCAACUUCCACCGGAAUGUGAGUGUAAGCCAUUGGUUUGUUUUCUCAAAGCGACCUGCGUUCCUGAGUGUUGACUUCCAAGACCGUUCAAUCAGAGAUUACUCGUCCAGCACGUUGGUGGGGUGCCGUAAACAACGAGUAAAGCAGAAAAGGUCAAAAAGAAAAAAAAGCAUUUGAUUGACUGUGUUUUCAAGUAAAAAUAUAGACAUUCAUGUGACCUCAUUUUAUCAUUCCAGAAAUUUUGCCUUUUUAGAGAGAAGUGAGUUAUCAAGAAUAAGAGUCAUUUGACUUAAUCCGUCGAUUUAAAAAAUCCUUCAACUAUUUCUCGUCCUUGGAAAAUUAUUUUUGCAAGAAUCAACCGCUUCUUUCAUUCUUCCUUGCUACCAGGUUGUGAAAACAAAAAUGGAUACCUCAGAGCCCUACACUGGGGCAAUGAGGGGCAUCGUGCAUGAACCUCAAGUGAACAUAGGGGCAGAUUAGAAGUUCUCACCCAAUAGGUUCCCUGCUACAAGGUCAUGACAAAAGACAACGAUUGGUACCUCAAAGCCUUACACUGGGGCAAUGAGGGGCACCGUGCAUGAGCCUCAAGUAAACCUAGGGGCAGAUUAGAAGUUCUCACCCAAUAGGUUCCAAGCUACAAGGUCAUGACGAAAGAUAACAAUUGGUACCUCAAAGCCUUACACUGGGGCAAUGAGGGGCAUCGUGUAUGAGCCUCAAGUGAACAUAGGGGCAGAUCAAAAGUUCUCACCCGUCGAUGUUUUUAAACAAAAAAAUAGGGGGACAAACCCUGAAAUUUCAAUGGAUUGAUUAAACGUCAAACGACUUCAUUGCUGUCACUCCAAAAUGGUCAAGCGACUAAAUCAAAUAGAACAUACACUCUGAGGGAGUUCCCGGAGAGAUUUGCAAAAGAUAGGAUAAGGUUGCAUGAAUUAUCACCUCUUUCAAAAGGACAGUAAAUUUGUGUUUUCCAAUAAAAAUUAAAUCAAAAUCAAAAUCACAAAAUAGGGAAAAAAAUGUCAUGAACAUUGUACAACUUUCCAUUACAUUGCAUUGUUUUGUAUGAAGUCCGCAUUUACCAAAUUGCAUGACAAAGGUUGCAUGCAUCUGCAUCCCUAAAAAUCAUGUUAACUGCAUACAUUACCUACAUCUAAUGUCCAAUCUUUUGAAUUUUGGAUGACCGGCCCUCUCGAUGAGUCGAUCUCUCGCUUUCUCAUAAGGGUGGACCCUUGGGUACUAGUACCUAUCUUCUUUAGAGGACUACAUGUCCUCACCUUCAGAGGACUUCAUGUCCUCAACUUCAGAGGGCUACACGCCCUCACCAUCAGAGGACUACACGUCCUCUCCUUCAGAGGGCUGCACGCCCUCACCGUCAGAGGACUACACAUCCUCGCCUUCAGAGGGCUGCAUGCCCUCACCGUCAGAGGACUACACGUCCUCACCAUCAGAGGGCUGCAUGCCUUCACCUUCAGAGGACUACACAUCCUUGCCAUUAGAGGACUACAUGUCCUCGCCAUCAAAGGGCUGCACGCCCUCACCAUCAGAGGACUACACGUCCUCACCUUUAGAGGACUACACGUCCUCACCUUUAGAGGACUACACGUCCUCGCCAUCAGAGGGCUGCAUGCCCUCACCUUCAGAGGACUACACGUCCUCGCCUUUAGAGAGCUACACGUCCUCGCUAUCAGAGGGCUACACGCCCUCACCUUCAGAGGACUAGACGUCCUCGCAAUCAAAGGGUUGCACGUCCUCACCUUCAAAGGACUACACAUCCUCCCCAUUAGAGGACUAGACGUCUUCGCCUUUAGAGGACUACACGUCCUCGCCAUCAGAGGGCUGCACGCCCUCACCUUCAGAGGACUACACAUCCUCCCCAUUAGAGGACUAGACGUCUUCGCCUUUAGAGGACUACACGUCCUCGCCAUCAGAGGGCUGCACGCCCUCACCUUCAGAGGACUACACGUCCUCGCCUUCAGAGGACUGCACGUCCUCGCCUUUAGAGGACUACACGUCCUCAGCAUCAGAGGGCUGCACGCCCUCACCUUUAGAGGACUACACGUCCUUGCCAUCAGAGGGUUGCACUUCCUCACUCUCAGAGGACUACAUGUCCUCGCCAUCAGGGGACUACACGUCGUCGCCAUCAUAGCGCUACACAUCCUCACCUUCAGAGGACUACACGUCCUUACUGUCAGAGGACUACAUGUCCUCGCCUUCAGAGGACUACACGUCCUCCACUUCAGAGGACUACACGUCCUCGCCUUCAGUGGGCUACACGCUCUCGCCUUCAGUGGGCUCCACAUCCGCACCUUAAGAGAAUUUAAGGUCCUCUGCCCUUAAUGCUUAACCAAGACUUGCGCUCCCGGUUAAGGGGCCAGUAGUUUUCUUUUAUCAGCUCCGGGGCCACCCCCUGAUCUGGAGGAGGGCCAACUAUGCAAGUACAACCAGAGGAGGAGGCUAUCGCGUAGCUACUAUGCAUACCGGGGCAAGAUUUCACCCAUGCCGCUGCAAAGAGACGAGUGCGGAUCAUGCGCACCAACUUGACCACUCUUACACAGAUAUGGAUGACGUGGCUACUUAGCAACAUUCUGCCAGUGACCGCAAUGCCGAUCUCCCCCUGCAGAAGUAUCAGUUGGUCUAUGUCGUCCCGACAUAGGUAGGUAUGCAUUAUGUCCAACUGAUUUCUGACACAUCUACUAUUUGCAGGGAUCACGCCCACAAGACACCCAGUGGACCCGGAGGAGCCCAAUAGGGCCCUGGGGUUUCGAACUCUAGUUACGGGCCUCUGUCAGUCCUACAGGGUGCCUGUCACCCCAACAAGGUCAUGCCAUCAUGACAUAGGUGAGUAUGCACUUCUCUGAAUUGAUUUCUGAUGCCAUCUAUUAUUUGCAGGGAUCGCGCUCGCAGGACACCCAGUAGACCCGAAGAAGUCCAACAGGGUCUUGGAGUUGCCAGCUCUGAUUACGGGCCUCUAUCAGUUCUACGGAGUGCCUAUCGUCCCCAGCAAGGUCAUCAGGCCCCCUACUAAUCAAGCUUUCAUCAAGAAGUAUUGCGCCUCCAGGUAGGCGCAGGGCAAGAUACCACAGCAGCCUGCGAAUGGCCGACAGCGGGCCAUAGACGCACCGCCGCCACCUCCAGUUCACCUCAGCUCAUCCACAAAAAGGUUAGAGCGUUUCCUAUGACACAUGGCCGACCAAUAGGCGACCAAGUCCAAAGCCAAAGGUAAGCAAAGUACUAGGUCCGUGAUCGACAAGUCGUCAAGCGUCCAGCUCAAGACGUUAAAGAAGCGCUACUAGGAGGCAACCUAGUAACUUUUAAAUUUCUGCUUGUUAUAUGAUCACUUUUUGUUUCUCAAGUCAUAGUAGGACACACCUAGUUGCUCAUGAUCCUAGGAAUUUAAAUGAAACAAGCACAAGCUCGGAAGGUAGUCAUGCCUCACAAAAUAUAUAUAUAUGUAUGUUUAGGUAGUAAGAUACCUUGGAUAUGCAUGUAUAUAGCAAAGAUACCUCACAAAAUAUAUAUAUGUAUGUUUAGGUAGCAAGAUACCUUGGAUAUGCAUGUAUAUAGAAAAAAUACCUCACAAAAUAUAUAUAUGUAUGUUUAGGUAGUGAAGAUACCUUGGAUAUGCAUGUAUAUAGCAAAAAGAUACCUCACAAAACAUACAUACAUACAUAUAUAUAUAUAUAUAUAUAUAUAUAUAUAUAUGUGUGUGUGUGUGUGUGUGUGUGUGUGUGUGUGUGUGUGUGUGUGUGUGUGUGUGUGUGUGUGUGUGUGUUUAGGUAGCAAAAUACCUCAUGAAAAAAAAGGAAAAAACAAAAAAAAAACAAGAAAAAGAAAUAAACAAAUGAUAAAAAGGAAAAAAGAAAAAAAUAAUAAUGAGUUGUCUAGCUAAAAAACCAACAUGCUUUUGAAAAGAGAUGACUUCCAGCUUUUCUUUGAAAAAAUUCACUGAUCAUAACCAGUUUUUUAAAAAAAUGUGAAUACACCUGAAGAGUGAAUGCUGUGAAAAUUUUCCCGAACACCCAAAAUGGACUCGGAUGAAUGCAUGAAUUGAUAAAAGAACAUAUUUUGGAAACACUGGGUUGACUAAAAUAGAGAAAAUGAAUCCUGAGCCCUAGUAUCACUUGACCAUAAAAACUUGAUCUUUAGUGUCCACAUAGGUGCAUGCAUGACCAGUUUUGCAUAAAAUUUCCUAAUCAUCAUUGUUGCAUGUGUAUCAUGGAAAUAAUGUGGGACAUCCCCUUUAUCCCCGAACCCCUGGCCAAACCCUGACAUAUAUCAUGACCAGCCGUUCUACAAGCCUUGAGCCAAAAUCCUAACUUACCAUAAACCUUGACCCAGGGUGAGAAUGUCAAUCCUUGCCCUCGAAAGAAAACAAAGAAAGGAAAAUUCCCAAUCAAAGAGUGGGAGAAAGCAAAAAAGAAAGAAAAUUUCCAAUCAAAAGAGUGGGAGAAAGAAAAAAAGGAAAGAAAAUUCCCGAUCAAGGAUCGGAAGAAAACAGAAGAAAUAUGUAGAAAAGUCUUUGGACCAGACAAUAUCUGAACAAUACAAAAUUGUCGCCAAGUAAACGAAAAAAAGAAAGGAAAUCACGACCUAAAGUGGUCCUCUCCCUUUGAUUGCCAACCAAAAUCCUGCGCGUCGGUGGUUUGUUCUCCUCACACUAAGCAAAAACAGAAAAGGAAAAGGCCCAAAAACACUCAAAGCCAAAUUUCCCACCAAGAAAACAAACUGUUCCCAAGGAAAGGUCCUAUUGAUCCAUGAUCACGCAUGUAAUCUUUGAUUUGAUAGGAAAUGAUUUGCAAAAUCAAGUCAUGACAUAUCUAUGGUUCGGAAUUAGGAUGAAACACUUACCCGUGUGAGAUUGAUACACUUUGAGUGAUUUUCUUCUGUUUUUGUUGAACCCAGUGUUUCCUUUAAAUGGUCAUUUAGAAGCGAAAUGCUAAACAUCCAAAAUCUCAUUUAUGGUUAUGAGAAAAUUUCAUCAGUAUACUCUCUUUUCCCGGUAGACACAUUGUUUUUCAUCCAAAAAGCAUAUGUUGCUCUGAUCAGUUGGAAGUUUUGUCUCUUUACUAAAGCAUGUUUGCAUUUUUAGUGAAGAAAACACCGAGACUAUUUUAGUCUCCCAGUUAUCCAGAACUACGUAGGUCUGAGUUCCUCAUUGAGGAUACGUAGGAGCAAGAGCCUCGCUUUUGUUGGGCGCUCCACAAUCUCUGUUAUACUGGCCCUGAGGUCAUGUGACAUGCGGAGACAAAUUAUGGUCAUUCCGCACAUCUUAUCGCCAUCCAGACACGAUCGUGUCCAAUGGCACGCAGAGACAAAUUAUGGUCAUUCAGCGCCUUUUGUCAUCCAGAGGCGGCGAGCUCGAUGACAUGUAGAGACAAAUUAUGGUCAUUCCGCACACCUUUUCGCCAUCCAGACACGACCAUGUCCGAUGGCAUGCAAAGACAAAUUAUGGUCAUUCUGCGCCUUUUGUCAUCCAGAGGUGGCAAGCCCGAUGACAUGCAGAGACAAAUUAUGGUCAUUCCGCACACCUUUUCGCCAUCAAGACACGACCGUGUCCGAUGGCACGCAAAGACAAAUUAUGGUCAUUCUGCGCAUUUUGUCAUCUAGAGGCGGCGAGCCCGAUGACAUGCGGAGAAAAAUUAUGGUCAUUUCACACACCCUUUCGCCAUCCAAACAUGAUCGUGUCCGAUGGCACGCAGAGACAAAUUAUGGUCAUUCUGCGCCUUUUGUCAUCCAGAGGCGACGAGCCCGAUGACAUGCGAAGACAAAUUAUGGUCAUUCCGCACACCUUUUCGCCAUCCAGACACGAUCGUGUCCGAUGGCACGCAGAGACAAAUUAUAGUCAUUCUGCGUCUUUUGUCAUCCAGAGGCGGCGAACCCGAUGACAUGCGGAGACAAAUUAUGGUCAUUCCGCACACCUUUUCGCCAUCCGGAGACGAUUGUGUCCGAUGGCACACAAUUAACUUGAGGUCAUUUUUCCUUUUGGUUGUUCGGUGCUGAUCAUUUUCAAAAUUUUUGCAGGUUCCAUUGGUGGGGAGAUUGACCGACCGAAUGGUGUUCCGCUCAAACGGAAUUAGUGUCUUAUCUUUACCUCCCCUUUAUCUCCAAUAAAAGACAAGUAAAGAGGGGCAACUGUCAUACCCUAAUUUCGUCCGGGGACCAUCUGUUUGUUGGGAUGCGACCCUCGCUUGACCACUUCGAGGUACUUAACACCCAUCGUUAGGCAAUCUGUGAAGUUCCGCGACAUGUCGGGAGUCGAAAGGAAGCGUUAAUGCGCAAUCAGUAAAGUUUCGUAACAUUCCAGAAGCCAAAGAGGGGACGAUUGCGUAAUCCGUAAGGUUUCGUGACAUUACGGAAAGAAAACAAGUAUUGUUACGUAAUUCGUAAAGUUCUGUAACGUUACAGAAAAAGAAUCAGCAAAAAAGGCAAAAGGGGAGUGUAUUUAGUAAACAAGGGUGUGUAAAUAAAAAGCAGUGCAUUUAGCAAAGGGGAGGGGGUGAACUUAUCAAGAUCCUCCACGUUUUGUUGGAAAAUGGUUUCCGACGCUUCUGAGGCUUUUGUAAUGCUUCCGUAAAAUUCCUAAAACUUUGAGUAAGCCUAUUUCACUUAAUAUUGGUGAAAGAGAAGAGAAAAAAGGGAAAUCAAGUCCUAUAUGCUUGCUUAAAGCUUCCGUAAUGCUUCCGUAAAAUUCCUAAAACCCUAAAUAAACAUAUUUCACUUAAUAUGGGUGAGAAGGAAGAGAAAAAAGAAUAAAUUCAAGUCCUAUAUGCUUCCGUAAAGCUUCCGUAACUUUUUCGUAAAAUAACGAAAGAAGGGGGUGAACUUAACAAAAGGGGGGGGGGGGGGUUCAAAUAACAAUUUUCAAAUUUUCGAAUCUGGGCCCUUCCAGAAUAUUUUUGAAGCAAGGUUGCUUCGGAACCAACCCAGCUCUCCUGGGCGAGCUUGGCGGCAACCUCCUCCCUCUUUUUGCUAUUAAUAGGCGAAAGGUGGCUGUUCCAAAUAUCCAUCAUCCCCCUAGCUAUGCAUUUCAGCUGUUUUGGGUGAAAAAAUUGUUUCCGUGAAAAAAAUCCAAGCCAAGGUGCUUCCGUAACGCUGCCGAGAUUUUUCCAUGAGCAAAUCCGUGAAGGUUUUCCGUCGUUCUUCACCAUUCUUCAUCUGUUCUUCGUUCGUUCUUCGUUCUUCAACGGGUAAGUUUUUGAAUCCGAGUCUUUCAAUUCAUUUCUUGUUUUGUUAGCUUUCAUCUUUAUUUCGUACACUUUUGAUUUUCUUUUCUUUCGUUUUUAACGAGCUUUAACCGUUUAUUUAAGUCGUUUUCUCACCUUAUAAUGAUAAAAUGAAUUUCAACCGAUCAUAUGUGUUGUAAUCUCUUUUAAUCACUGUUAAAAUAAAAUCUAACCGAUCGUUAAUGUUGUAACCUCGGUUAAACCAAAAAAAGCAAAAUAAAUAAUAAAAUAAUCAAAAUAUCUUGAAAAAUAAAAAUAAAAUAAUCAAAAUAUCUUUGAAUAAAAUAAUAAAAAAAAUCAAUCGGACGUUUUUCUUUAGAAGUUUCCUUGGAUAAUUUGACUAAUAACCAAAGUGAAACUAAGGCUAAAAUCAACUCACAAAUCAAGCUUUGUCCGCAAAAAUCACUAAAAACCGUUUUAAGGUCCAAUGCCUUAAACGAUUCUCUUUGCUUUUAUCGGUUAACAUGGACCGUUCAAAAGCAUGAAAUCAACAUGCAACUUUACCGCUUUUGCAAGAACUACGUAGGUCUGAUUUCCUCAUCGUAAUUGAGGAUACGUAGGAGCAAAAGCCCCGCUUUUGUCAACCACUCCAAGAGAUCGUUAAUGGUCCAACGCCUUAACGUUUCUCUCCUUUCAAAAACAAAAGAUCAUUUAAUGGUCCAAUGCCUUAAACGACAUUUGUUCAAUCAAAAUAUAUCUUGCAAAAAAGAUAAGAACAACUUAACCAACGUUCAGUUCUCGAAGAACUACGUAGGUUUGAUUUCCUUACCACAAUUGAGGAAUACGUAGGAGCGAGGGAAACACCCUUGUCGACCACAAAAAGAUAAAAAAAAUAUAAAAGGCACAAAAAGACAUAAAGACGUAAAAGGGAACAUAAAACAAAUUGAAGUCAUGUUUGCACAUUUGAUUAAAGGCUGCCGUCCCUUGUGACAGACGCGUGGGGUGCUAAUACCUUCCCCGUGUGUAAAUACAACUCCCAAACCUUUCACUUAAAGUUCGUAGACCACGCCUUUUUCGAUUUUUCCGACGUUUUCCUCAAACAAACGUUGGUGGCGACUCCGUGCAUUUUCCUCCCAUGGAAGACGCACCCGCGAGCCCUCGUGUCGCCCUCCCGCCGAAGGGUAGGUUGCGACAAGGCUCAAAUGAUAAAACUGCAUAGUUAAUUUGACAAUUAAGGCUAAUCAGUAAUUAAAAUGGUGACAAAAAGGGUUAGGAAAUAGGAGAAAAUAAUGACACAUCAGUGUCUCACAAGCUUCUCAUUCAUCAAAGUUAUGACAAGUGUUACACAUGUUUCCAUUUAUAGUCUAACACAUGGGAAACUUCCUUGAGAAGUAAGGAAGGUAGCUCCCUUGGGUAGCUAGAGGAAGAAAGCUUCAUUGGGAAGCUAGAGGGGGCUAAACACACCCUUCCAAUAGCUAAACUCACCUUCAUUCCAAAAUACAUGAAAAUACAAUAGGAAGCUUCUUUGAGAAGCAAGGAAUGUAGCUUCCUUGGGAAGCAAGGAAGAAAGUUUCCUCGAGAAGCUAUAGGGGAGCUACUCACACCCCUUCAAUAGCUAAGCUCACCCCCAUGCAAAGAUACAUGAAAAUACAAAAAAGUCACUAUGACAAAGACUACUCAAAAUGUCCUAAAAUACAAGGCUAAAAUCCUAUACUACUAGGGUACCCUUAACUUGUACCCUUAAUUUGUAGGGUCCCCUACAAACCUAAAAUGGCCAAAAUACAAGGUCCAAAAGAAGGAAAACAUAUUCUAAUAUUUACAAAGAUAAGUGGGCUCAUACUUAGCCCAUGGGCCCAAAAUCUACCCUAAGGCUUAUGAGAACCCUAGGGCCUUCUCCUGCAUCUGUGGCCCAAUCUUCUUGAAGUUUUCUAUCUAAUGCCCUUGGGGGGUAGGAUUGCAUCAUCCCCUCCCCCCUAAAAAGGAUUUGACCUCAAAUCCAGAGGUUCUUGAAACUCCUGGCUUCUUCCUUCAACACCUGUAAAAAGAAAUAAAACAUAUAUAUUAGUGGUGUUGAGUAUGUUAGAGUAGGGUGAGGUCUGAAAUACCCUUUCCUGGGCAUCUUCCCAUGAGAUAACUUGGUUCUUCACCAACUCAAAGAGUGGUACUACAAGUAUAGAAAAAUAUGCGACAAACCUUUUGUAAAAGUUUGUUAAGUCAUGGAAGCCCCAAAUUUUCCUUAUACUUGGUGGAGUGGGCCACUCAGGAAUGACCUUUAUUCUCUUAGAGUCCGUGGGAACCCCUUGAUCACUAUUUAAAAAAUUAAGAAAAUAAUGUAAUAAAACAUACCUUUUCUGUAUUUUCAUGUUGAUUACUCCUACCAAAAAGUAUGAAAAACCUAAGGUGUCCCAUAUGAGUACCUUGGUUUGUAUUGAAACCAAAAAUAACAACAAACCUACCUAAUGAGUCCCUAUGUAUGUGAAUCAUGAAGAUGUUGGAUGUGUGGGUGAUUUUACAAAAAGAGGGUUGCACACCACUCAACACAUUCAUCAUACCACCAAAAGCACAAGGAUUUAAGCUCUUACGACCCAAACCCUCAUCCAAAAACUCAUUUACUUAAGGAAUAACCUCAAGCUCAAUAGGUAUCGUAGUGCUAACAAGUGUUCUUUUAUAGAGGAGAAAAUAUGGAGGUUGUAUAAGAAGGGAAGUUUCUUUAAUAUUUGUCUUUAUUGCAAAAUGACUUUCCUUCUUAGCUAACCUUUUGGAGGAGACACUUACCUCCUUACACUCCUCCUUAACUAUUAAAGUUAGUUCUUCUUAUCUCUUUCUAUUAUUUUCCUUAUCCCUCUUAUCUUUCAUAGUUAGUUGAUCUUUGGCCACCAGUGAAGGUGUUUGAGGAUGCAACACAAGCCUUGUUCCAAGGUGGGUGAGGGUUAUCUCAUUAGUUAGGCCAUUAUAGAUGAUUUUCCUAUCAUAUUGACAUGGCCUACCUAAGAGAAGGUGUCCUGCCUCCAUAGGAACUACAUCACAAAUCACUUCAUCCUUAUAUGUCCCAAUGGAGAAGGGCACUUUCACUUGUUUCUUGACUAUUGUCUCCCCUUGCUCAUUGAGCCAUUGAAGUUCGUAAGGCUUUAGAUGGGGAGUGAUAGCAAGGCUCAACUUAGAGACUAAUCUUGUGUGGUAACAAUUGAAACAUGAACGACUAUCUACAAUGAGAGAGCAUGUGUUAUAAAAUUUUUUACUCCUUGUAUGAAAAAUAUUCCCUCUUUGAGAUUGGGUCAAGUCACAAGAUUGGCCUCCUAGAAGCCUUUUGACCAUUAAAAGGUCCCCUUCUUCUUGGGGGUAGAUUUCUUUAGUAGAUUCUUCCCCUUUUGCUUCUUCACUUUCACUAUAGGAAAGUGAGGUAGUAGCCUUAUCUUGGCUACUAUAAAUGUCUUUGCUGUAACGACCCGCCUCGUCGCUAUGAUAUCACCACUCUAAACCGCGAAAGUUACAAUUUUUAAAUGAAAACUCCGUUAAUUUGCUUGUGAAAAAUGAAAGUAAUUUUUUUUCUUGAUAUACAUUCACCAAACAACAUACCAUUACUUAAGUGAAUAUAUAUAUAUAUAUAUAUAUAUAUAUAUAUAUAGUAACUCAGUACACAUCAUUCACAUAAUGGAAAGUAAAUUUGUUCAUACAUAUAAUUAAAUUUGUGAUUUACAUCCUCAAUUCAGCAAAAAGAAUUAUGGAACCAGCUAUGGAGGAGUUGAUUAAAAAACAUAACUCUCUUCCAAAAUAAUCCCGACGUCAUCAUGUCAGCUCGGUGGCUCCACAAAAGAAUCUCAAUUCUCGUACUCUACUGCUAUCAUUAUGCUCCCACAAACAAAGGUUCACGAUCAUCACAAGUACCAACCACACGGUACAAAAAUUGUGAGGGGUGAGUUUAUUAUAAAAGAAAUUAAUACAAAAUCAAAUAACCACAAUUAUUAAGAAAACAUUAACAAAUAUCAUAAGCUUACACAAACAUUCAUUAGUCCAACACACACUCAACAAAUAGUCAUCAUCCGUUCAUAACUCCAAUCAAUCAUGCUCAGUAUGAUGCAUGCACCUGACCUCAAAUGCAAUAUGGUACCAUCCCCAAGGAAAUAGCCUAAGCAUGUCCGCACGAUACUCUCACUUAGGAAAACUCGGCAGCAAGUGUCAAGGUCACCCUGUGCUGCACAGGCAACUCCCCCUCAGGGUGAUCAGCCUGAGUCUCAAGGGAGUUCCAAACUGAGUGACAAGGCCCCAAGUACAAGCAUUCCUCCUCAUGAGAAACUACAAGUACUUACUGACAAAGUUUAUACUAUUUCCAUAUCAUAUGAAGUAUGAAACAUGGGCACCAUCAAUGCACUGAUUGUGGAUAAUUAAAGAUUCUAAGCCAUCCCUUUCCAGAGAUGCUUAAAACUCUUUAACCACUCUAUUUCCCGCACCAGGGAUAUCCAACAAGGUCACUGCACCCCCCAUGUACAUACACAACAUACAACGUGUGAAACAUGGGCACCAUCAAUGCAUUGAUCGUGGAUAAUUAAAAAUUCUAAGCCAUCCCCCUCUAGAGAUGCUUAAAACUCUUUAACCACUAUAUUUCCCCCACUAGGGAUAUCCAACAAGGUCACUGCACCCCCAUGUACAUACACAACAUACAUUAUCAUAAUGACAUUUUCAACAUCAUCAAUAUCUCAUCUCAAUAUCAUUAUCUACAUCAACAUUGCCUCAUCUCAUUUCAAUGACAUUAUCAACAACAACACAUCAUAUCAUAUUAACAUAAUCAUCAAUAACAACAUCAACUCAUAUCAACAUAAUCAUCAAUGACAACAUCAUCUCACAUCAAUUAAUAUCCUCAAUGAUAGUAUCAUUAGUAAGUCGCAUUCCGCAUAUACAUACAUGUAUAGUUCAUGCAUGAGAUUCACACUCCCCAGGUCUUAAGACCAUACAAGUCUAAUAGAAACAAUAAUCUUAUUCAUCAAUGAUAGAUAUAUCGCAUUCCAUUAGUCAAAAACAUUGUUUUCUUGAAAACCAACAUGCAACAGGGACAGACAUACAUCCCCAUAGUUAGGUUCCCUGAACCCAACUAUGGUAUUAAAAAUGGUAAAGGAUAAUAAACUCCCCUCACCUAUCUUGAGCUCUCCGUUAGUUCCUCUUUGCGUCACUCAGAGGUUUCUCUCAUUCAUGCUCGUUAGUCCAAACGCAAGGUUCUAUAUACCAAAUUGAAGGAAAUUUAGUAUAGAUUUCAAAAACAAGGUUAAUAAUAAUAUUCGAAGUCAAAUACCCCUGUCAAAACAUAAACGGCUGAGGGGUGUUUCAGAUUCUACUAAAAGGAGACGUCAUUUUAAAAUUCCGAUCAUGCCAAUGUGACUGGGGUUCAGUGAAAGUCACGAAAAUAACAUCAAUGUUAUAAAAGAUAACUUUUACAAUGUCUCAUUCUUAAGGGUUUUUCAAAGGAAGUGUAAAAACACCCUAUUACAAUACCCAAAACACAAGAGGCACUAAAAGAAACUUAAACUAGCUAGGAGAAAGGCUUAGAAGUCAAGAUUAGCUCAGAGACACUACAAAAUGAAGGAUUGGGGGAAUUUUCUCCAUUGAAUCCUUGAGGAGGAUUCUGAGGAUUCUUCUCCGAUUACAACGUUCUUCUUGGUGUGGAGGUUCGGCGGAAAGCAACAGCGACUAGUGGUGGCCAUCGGUAGUCAUGGGUGGUGGACAGGGAGGUGUUAGGGUUUGGGUGGUGUUUGGAGAGGAGGAGAGGGGGAAAUUGUGUUUUUACACUGAAGAACAUAUUUAUAAUCUAUAGAUCUUGCUUAGCGAGCUUGUCUCGCUAAGCAGGAGUCCACUUUUUGCGCUUAGUGAGAAAAUUCACACUUAGCGCAACUCCCUCUGUACUAAGUCUCACUCAGCAUGCUAAUUCUCGCUCAGUGCAAUUCCCUCUCGAGUUGGAAUUGCACUAAGUGCGCCCUUCACGCUUAGUGAGACAUUGAAAGUUGUUAUUUUAAAAAUCCCAACGGUCAGACCGUGGAGACUUGUCUUAGGAACCUCCAGACAAAAGUUGAAGACAAUCUAAUGGUUAAGGAAUCCUGGAUCACUAUUUUACUAAAAUUUGAAAUAUCAUAAUUUCAACUUAGUUCAACAAAACUCCACAUAACUCAACAUCCACACCAAGAAAUUCACACAUGACUAAUUCCAGCCAUACCUCAACUCAUUCAAGUCAACCAUAUAGUAAAAUAAUAUGAUAAAUACAAUUAAACAUCGAUUUAUAAUUAGUAAUAUUUUAGGGUGUUACAACUCUCCCACCCUUUUAGAAAUUUCAUCCCCGAAAUUUACCUGACUCAAAAAAGGAUGGAUAGGCUGCUCGCAUCUGACUUUCUAAUUCCCAUGUGGCAUAUUCUCUUGAUGCACCUCCCCUGAUCACCUUAACCAACAAAAUUUCCUUCCCUCUAAGGUGCUUUCUUCGUCUAUCCUCGAUCCUCAAAGGCAAUGUUUCAUAUGUGAAGUUCUCUUUCACUUGUACGUCAUCCAAUUUGAUCACAUGAGAUGGAUCAUGGAUAUACUUACGGAGUUGAGACACAUUAAAGACAUUGUGAAGAUUAGAAAGAAAUGGGGGUAAUGCAAUUUGGUAUGCGACAGGACUGACUCUUUUAAGAAUUUGAAAAGGACUAAUAAAGUGAGGUGUUAGUUUUCGGGAUUUCAAUGCUCGACGAACCCCAGUCAACAGAGUGACUCUCAAGAAUACAUGAUCACCAACCUCGAAUUCCAGGUCUUUCCUCCUCUUGUCCUGAUAACUUUUCUGCCUACUCUGAGAAAUUCUCAUCCUCUCUUGGAUCAACUUGAUCUUCUUAGUGGUUUGUCGUACCACUUUAGGUCCUAAGGUGAGGUCUUCUUUGGGAUCUAGCCAACAUAGGGGUGUCCUACACCUUCUACCAUAUAGAGCUUCAUAGGGAGCCAUGCCAAUGGUAGAGUGAAAACUAUUGUUAUAGGUAAACUCUAUCAACGACAGAAAACUCUCCCAACUACCCUUUUGCUCUAAGACACACGCCCUCAAAAGGUCCUCCAACGAUUGAAUGGCCCGUUCAAUUUGGCCUUCAGUUUGAGGGUGGUAGGCUGAACUUAUUCUAAGCUUGGUUCCCAAUGCUCAGUUUAGGCUCUCCCAAAAUCUAGAGGUAAACCUAGGAUCUCUAUCAAACACUAUGCUAGAUGGCACACCAUGUAAUCUGACAAUCUCACUAAUAUACAGGGAGGUCAACUUCUCCAAGGAAAAUAUGAUAUUAAUGGGAAAAAAGUGAGCAGACUUGGUCAAUCUGUCAACAAUAACCAAGAUAGAAUCUAAACCUAUGGGGGUCCUAGGUAGUCCUACAACAAAAUCCAUGGAAAUACUGUCCCACUUCCACUAGGGUAUCUCCAAGGGUUGUAUCUUCCCUGAAGGUCUCUGAUGUUCUAUCUUAGCCUUCUGAUAGACUAAGCAUGCAUACACAAACUCACUAACUUCUCUCUUCAUCUUGGGCCACCAAAACAACAUCUUCAAAUCCUGAUACAUCUUGGUAACACCAGGAUGGAUGCUCAGGUUACUCCUAUGUCCUUCCUCCAAGAUCAUCUUCCUAAGUUUAGGCACAUUGGGAACACAAAUCCUUUCUUGAAGUCGCAAGGCUCCAUCUGAUCCAACAUUGAAACUACUAUCUCUUCCUGACUCUAUAGCUUCAAACUGAGUCCUUAGAAAAUGAUAUGUCUUUUGGCCCUCCCUGAUAUCUCCUAGUAACUCACUGUAGAUCCUCAAAGUUCCUAAUCUCACACUAUUAGGGGUGUCGCAACCUACCCUUCGGUGGGAGGGCGAGGCGAGAUAAAAAUUGCGUCUUCUCAUGAAGAAAACACGUGGAGUUGCCACCAACGUUUACUCGAGGGAAAAAGUUAGAAAAACCAAAAAGACAAAGGUCUGUGAAUUUUGAAAAUAAGGGUUCAGGAUUUGUUUACGCACAGGGCUGCAGAACUCGCUAAGCGCGCAUCUGUGCGCUAAGCCCAAAACCUUCUUGGGUUUUCUAAUUUUUGAACUGGGCUAAGCGAGUCUAUCCCGCUAAGCGCGUGAAUUUAAAAUCUAAAAAUUCAGACGUCACUGAGUGCUCACUUAGCAAAUCACUCGCGCUAAGCGAGACAGUUGAAAUUGCCAAAAAUAAGACAUAACUGCCUUAGGCAGUUACUUUUGUGCAAAUUAUAACUUCCCUAUCUCAUCAUUGGCAUUCAUCUGCACUAUGCUCACAAUUCCUUGUGUUCUCUGCUUCUUUGCUUCCAUCUUGCUUACACUUCCUCUGCAAUCCAAGUAAGUGCCCAUUUCUUUCUUUUUAAUUUUGUUUUUGAACCCUAGGGUAGAUGACAUUCUAAGUUUUCUGUGAUUCUACUGUUAUGAGUGUUGUUUAGAUUUUGUAGUUAGUUGUUUGAUUGUAGGUUGUUAAAGCCUUAGUUUUGUAGGUAAUGUAGGUUCAUUUCACAUGUUUUGCUUAGAGUUCUUAGGCCUAAAAGUUGCUCGAAAGUGGGGGCUUUGAAGCCUUACUUUUUUUGGAAAUUUCGAUGUACUCGCUAAGCGACUUCAUCAAUUUUGGAUGAAUUUCUGGGUUUUCCGAUGAACUCGCUAAGCCAGCCCUGUCCCGCUAAGUGUGUUCAUCAUUUCUGUUUGAAUUUAUGCUUUCAUGUAUGAACUCACUAAGCCACUGCACUUCGGCUUAGCGAGUGUUUAAAUUCCCAGUUUUUAAUUUCUGAAUUCAUAUGAACUCGCUAAGUUGGCAUGUCGCGCUAAGUGAGUUAGUUAGUUAGGUCUGAGUCUAUAAGGCUUUUGGUAUUCUGGUUUCGGAUAAGCGAGCCACACUCACUAAGCCACCAGGCCUCUAUUGUUUGAAUAAUCAUGGGCUAAGCGAGUCAGUCUCGCUAAGCCUAAGGAAAUUUAGUUGUUCUGAAAUUUUGUUCAUGCGCUAAGCGAGUCGCACUCGCUAAGUGCAAUUUCUUCUCUAUUUUUGAAUAAGGCUUAGCGAGCCUGCUCACUAAGCCAAUUAAGUUCCAGUGGUCAAGUUAGACUAAGCGCCCACUGGCGCUAAGCCUGUAUAGUGUGUUGCGCUAAGUGAGCCUGUCUCGCUAAGUGCAAUUAGCUUUCUGUUAGAGAAUAAGGCUUAGCAAGCCAUACUCGCUUAGCCAUUGUGCUGUGUCAGCUAAGAGAGUGUGUCUCGCUUAGCCAGAGUCUUUACUUUUUAGUAGUCGUGCUAAGCACGCCCUGCAUGCUAAGUGUAUCAGGUUAUUUUCUGAAGGCGCACUAAGCAAGUCUGUCUCGCUAAACCAUUUUUCUGUUUUAAUUUUUUUGCUUUUAGUUUUGCAUAAAACCUGUAUAAUUUUCUUUCCUGUGAUUCUUUUGAUGCAAAUGGCCUCUAGGAAAAGGAAAUCAACCGCAUCCUGACCUCAGGAACCAUACGACACUACUAGAUUCGUCUUAGAGGUCGCCUGGGAAAGAUAUGAGCAGAAUGUUCACUCUCGGAACAUACUUCUGGAGAUGAAUGUUAAUUUAUUUGUGACAGAGUAUGAUGAGUUCCGUUGGGAGCUCAAGAGGAGGCGGUGACAUAAAGCCUUGAUCAGGCAGCCUAACGGUCACAUUGAUGUGGCCCUAGUCAAGGAGUUUUAUGCUAAUUUGUUUGAUCCAGAGGACAAGUCCCCGAGGCAAGUUCGAGUACGGGGCAAGCUGGUUAAGUUUGAUGGGGAGACGCUUAACGCAUUUUUGGAGACCCCUGUAGUUUUGGAGCCAAGGGUGUGCUACACAGCUUACUCCAGGUUCUGCCACACACACCCAAACCCUCAGGAGCUUGCUUCCAAGCUCUUCAUUCCAGGGCAUAAUUUUGUUUUAAAUGCUGAAGGAGCGCUCUGGAAGCUCCUGAGGAAGGAUUUGACCACUCUGGUGCAAACCUAGAGCAUCCUCUCUUAUUCUAACCUCGCCCCCACUUAUCACACGUCCGAUUUGAAUAUGGACAAAGCGAGGUUCGUUUAUGGACUCGUCACGAGGAUGGAAAUGGAUGUGGGCUCGUUCAUCUCUAGACAGAUAUCACAGAUGGCCCAGUCCAACUCCUCCCAGCUCGGCUUCCCUACCCUUAUCACUGCUAGAGGAUUUGUGCCUGACUCGUUGACCUUCAAGUCCCUUAGCCCUGCCAUUAAUAUGGCUUAUAUCAGAAAGAACUGCUGCAACCCGGAUGAUCCCACGAUCACAUAUCUGGGGACCCGACACUUCUGCUCCUUCCUCCUUUGCUCUCCCUGCUCCAGCUCCACCAGCACCACCAGCUCCCGUACCAGCACCCUCCGACACCUCCGCUCAGAGCACAUAGAUCUUACGGCCGAUACUGCAGAGCCAUCACCAUGGCUUAUGCCUGGUGAUGCAGAGCAUUCACGAUUUGGCUCAGCAUCAAACCAUUGUGAACAUGGAGGAUUUCAUGGCACAUGUGGCCUGGCCAGGAGUCCAGCCUUCUCCUGUGGGGGAAGGUGAGGCUCCUACAGCCCAGGAGCCGUAGCUAGAGCCAGAGGCGACACUUGAGGCUACACCGGAGGAGACUCCAGAGGUCAUUCCUGCUUCCACACCCGCUAAAGACAUAGAUUAUGUAGCAGAUAUGGCUGCGCCUCAGAGCACCUGGGAUCCCUGGCCCACUCUAGCAUAGGAUAUACCUUAGCUAGCCCAGGAUGCUCCCUCCACACCUCAGGAUGACCCCACUCCAGCACAGGAUGAUUGAAGACAGGACUUUAUUUAUAUUUCUGCUUUUUAGAUUCAAUUUUUAAAUUUCAACUUUAGUUUUAGUUUAUUUACUUAUUUAGAAAAUUUUACAGUUUUUUUAAAAAAUAGUUCACAUUUAUAUGCAUAGUGGAUUGGUUUGGUUUUAAAUUUUUGGUGUUUGUGAUUGGUUUUGAAAUUGGUUGAUUGCAUGACUGGAGUGAAUUGCGAUGUUAGAUCACGUGCUUUGAAUAAGUAUGCAGUAAUUAGAAGAGAAAGAACAUGAAUUAGGGGCGCGAGUGAAAAUGUUAGUUUGUUUGACAAGUAAAUAGUGAAGGUAAUCAUUAGCCAUAACCCGGUGAGUUGUGUGAACCUUAAUUGUGAGAGAACGACUAGCAUUGAGUACCGAUUUUUGCAUGAAUCUCUGAAUACUGAAUGAAUGCAUGAUUUUGGAAAUGAUGAAGGUCGUGAUUGAUUGAAUUAGCCACUUAGCCAAAUAGCUUACCCUGUUCUUGAAUGAUGAAUCCUUUGCACCCGUAUUGAUCCUAAAUCUGAUUGAUUGAGUUGAACCCUAAGCCUAUUAAAUUAUAAUCUCCAUCUACCUUUCUUUAGGUUGUAGGAGAGCAUUGUGGUUCAAGGCAAAUUUGUUCCAAAUUUGGGGGAAGGUAUUGGGUAAUGAUGAUUGUGGUAAGACAAGCAACAACCACAGAGAACUUGUACAAAGAAGCAGUAAGUAAAAAAACAGCUAAAAUAAAAAAAAGAGAGAAAAUGAAAGUUUUAAGAAUAAGCACAGUUUAUGUGUGUUGUUGCUUAAGUUAAGUGUCUUAUAUGAUUGUGGCAUUUCAAUAGAAGCAUGGAAUAAAAAGAAAAAGGUGAUCUAAGGAUGAAUGCUCUGCUAGAACCUAAGUUUUUGCAUCCUAGAAAAACCAUGAAUUGUUGCAGCCUAGCCUCAUUACAAGCCAAGAAAGUCCUUCAAAUUCAAUUUGUGUGUUUGUGAUUGAAUGUCAUGAGAUGAAAUGCAAAAGUUAAGACUUGUGUUGGUUGUUGAUUUGAAGAAUUACCUUAAACACUUGUGCUUAUGAGAGAAAUAGUGACCGUGAGGAUUAGGCUUGAUGAACCUUCCUUGAUACCUGUCUUGCUUGCUAGCUUAUUUCACUUGUGCUGCUUAAAAAUCAUGUUCAUAUCUUUUGAAACUCUGCAUAUCUUUAUGAAGAGUUGUUGGUUGAAGUAUUGCUCACCACUUAUGUCAUGUGAUUGAAUGCUUUAAAACAAACACAUUAGAUUGGUUAACCACAGUGAAUUCCGUCACUUGAGGACAAGUAAACUGUUAUUUCUUUGCUUGAGGACAAGCAAAACUGUAAAUUUAGGGGAGUCUAUUAGUCGCUUUUUAUGACUAACUUUUGUAUUCAAUAGUUACAUAAAAUUAGCAUCUUUCCUCCAAUUUAUGGUUCUUUUUGUAGGAAUUAUACAUAUUUUCAUGUUUGUUAUUAUUUUAUAUAGUAAAUACUCCCAUUUUGUGAAUUAAUGUUGAAACCACUUCAGUUUCAGACCAAAAGAAGAUAAGGUUCAAGUAGCUGAUGUCUCGCUAAGCGAGGCAUAUGCGCUUAGCGAGUGACAUCCGCUAAGCGAGGCAUGCAGCUUGCUUAGCAUGCUAGUAAACCCCAGAAGAGGAUCAGUCAGAGAUGUGCUCGCCCAACGCGCUGCAAGCUCGCCCAGCGAGUCAUUUGUCUCUUCUCAUGCUCAGCGUGCCCAGCUCGCUAAGCCAAAUUUCACAUACUCUCGCUAAGCGAGCCUUCAGAAGUUGAAAUGUCAAGGAGCCUUUAAAACACUGAAGUUGGCAGAAACCAAAAAAAGAAGUUGGAGGAGUAAAAAAACAGAGCCAAGGGAGAAGCUGAAGCAACAGAAUUCAAGUCACCAAGAGAACUUUGAUUAGAGGAGUGAAAUUAGGGUUUUAGAGGUUGAAGGAGACAUCCUCAACCCUUCUUUGCCAUUUUCUUUCACUCAAACUUUGUUCUUCCUUGUAUUGUAAGCUUAUUUCUUGUAAUGGAAGGCUAAACCUCUUUGUUGGGAAGUUCUGCUGAGCCUUUGAUGUAAUAUUCUUUCACUAUCUAUUUUAUUUUGUUUUUCUGUAUUCAUUGCUUCUAUCUAUGCUUAUUUUUACAUGCUUGUGGCUUGAUCACCCAUUUCUAUGUAUAGUUAGGAUUUUUAGCAUUGGAAAGUGCUUUAAAGCCUGAGAACUUGGUAGAGCAAGCUACAAAACUGUAUGUCUAGGAAUGGAGUGUAGCGAUCUAGUCCAUUUUAUGUUGUAGACUUAAUGCAACUCUUUUAGGCUGAGUUUGUUGAGGGAUCAAGGACAAGGUUUAAAGAGAGUUAGGCUCAUUCACUAGAGGGAUCUUGGUUUGACUAGUUUCUCAGCAUAAGAACACUAGAAUAGCAUUAGAUAGAGAAAAAUCCAAAACAACAUCAAGGAAAAUUCAGUAGAACGACCCAACGCUUUUUACUUGACUAUUUUUACUUCUCAAACUUUUGAUAUUUAGUUUAUAGUUAACUAGAUUUUAACACAAAAACCCAACUUGAUAUUUACUUGCUUUCAAUUUAUACAAAUGUUUGCUCAUUGAAUGUAUAGUUCUGAGUGAAACAAAUUCCCUAUAGAUACGAUACUCAAUCUUAUCAUUUUAUACUACUUGUGCAAAUCGGUGCACUUGCCGAAGAGCGUAUCACUUGCCCCUCAAUGGCAUAUCUGAGGUGAGGUUCAAAGUUGGCUAGAUCGUGGUCUCGAGGUGCUUCAUGUGUCUCCCCCAUGGGUGGAGAGACACGUGCAUGAUUAGAUUUGGGUUAUUGGCUGUCAAUGGGUAUGGGUGCGGAGUUGUCGACAUUCUCAUUGGGAGUGUGUGCAACAUUGGGCGGUGUAUAGUUAGGAGGCAAGCCAUAUGGUGGGAAGGAAUGCUUGUUCUGAACCUGCACAAAAUGGGGGCCACUUGUACUUAAUAACGCUUCGCCUCCUUGUCCUACUAUAUCCGUGAUUGGAGGAUUUGCUUGAUUGAGGCCAUAUAAGUGAUUUGGGUCCACUUAUGUGGCGGUACUUGCGGAAACAAUUGUAGCCGCAUUGACCUCCAUAAUUUUUUUCAUACUCACCAUGGCUUCCUGUUGGAACAAGUGGUCUCAGAAUAAUUAAGAAGGGGGGCGGGGGGGUUGAAUUAAUUAUGAACGUGUCUUGACUAAUUAAAAUUUAUCCAUCUUAAUUUUACUAGAUUCAAUUAGGCUUUACUACUAAGUUAUGAGAAAGUAAAGAACAAAACCAAUAACUUAGAAUGAAUUUGGCAAAGGUUUUGCAUGAGAAAAGCAGUGGAAAGUUCUAUGUAAUCAGAUGUGUUUUUCUAUGUUAUUGUAUUUUUAAAAUGCGUGCCAAGGUCUUAUAUUUUAGAACCUUGAUACCUUUUGAGAAAACCAUGUUAAAAGUUAUAACUCUUAACAUUUUCUUCAAAAACAUUAACUGGUAAUCGAUUACCAUAAUGGUGUAAUCAAUUACACAAUGUAUUUUAUAAAAAGUUAUGACUCUUCACAGUUGGAUUUGAAUUCCAACGUUCAGAUUCACUUGUAAUCGAUUACUAAUAUAGUGUAAUCAAUUACACUAUUUGAAAAUCAUUUUGGAACAUUGCAAAGCAUUGAAACCAGUUUGAAAACCAUUCUGGUCAUUGGUAAUCGAUUACUACCAAAUGGUAAUCGAUUACCAAAGAGUAAAAACUUUGGUAACUUAGAAGAUUUCAGAAAAUCCUUUUCAAACAAAAAGUGUGCUAUUUGAUGUUUUUUGAAAAAAAAAAAUUUACUACCUAUUUUGAAUUGGCUUGAUGCUUCUUGAUUUCUUCAUUUGAUUCUUGAAUCUUUGAGUGGAAUCUUGAAUGCUUGAUUCUUUAAUCUUGAAACAACUCCUUGAGCUUUGGCAUCAUCAAAACAUCUUGGUGAAUCAUCAUGGUAGCUUGGUGAAUCAUCAAAACAUGCUUGGUGAAUCAUCAAUUUAGAUUUUCAUUAAAACAACAUGGUCCAUCACAUCUUGUCAAAGUGAAACUGGAAAUAAAACAUGGACGUCAAUAGUCCAUAAUUUUUUGUAAAUUAUUUAGCUCAAUCAUGCAUUGGAAGUAAACAAAGAAACAAUGUAACUUGAUCCAUCUUCUGCCCCAACUUUUGAAGCUGGUUGCUUCCAUACUUGACCUUGACUUGAUGAACCUUUCCUUAAUAGCAUGUGCUUGGUUCAACCCCAUAAUCCCAGGAAUAGAAAUUUUGAUCGUCAAUACUUUGACAACAUAUCAAGAAGAUGAAUCACUAGGGCAUACUUAUGCUAUGCAUGCCAAAUGUAAUUAUGAGAUUGACAUGAGAUGCCUGAAGAACCAUCAUUUCCUAGUUAACAAUGCAUUAGGUACCAUGUUCACGUGAUUUUCAAUCAUUUUCCCAAGAGAAAUGAGUGUAUAAUCCCAACAUGGUUGGUUUAUAGCCAUCAUCAUGGUACCCAACACAUGUAACUAAAAAUGCGGUGUAAACUUUCAUGCUUUAUGGUGACUUUCUUUUGUUCUUUUUUUGUUCUUUUUUUUGUUUUUUUUGUUUCCUCUUUUUUUGUAGAGGAAAAUGCAAGGAUCAUGCAUGAGUGAACAUAAUAUGCGAACAAUGAAAAUAAAAUGUAUGCAGUUGGCAUGCUAAAUGAAGAUGUAUGAUAAUGCAAGGAUUUAUGCAAAUGCAAUGCAUGAAUAUGAUAAAUGACAAAUGUAGGAAUGAUAUGUCCAUCAUGAUGCCAUGAAGAAAUGCAUGAUGUAAUCAAGGAACAAGCCAAAGUAAGUUUGCUAUGUGCCCCCCUAAUUUAGGAACCAUAUGGACAGGAUCCAAAAGUCCUCUUCUAGUGAUAACUCCCACGGGUGCUUUCAUGUAACUUUAUUGGCUUCUAGAGAUAUCAUCCUCUUAGGUAAUACAUUGUGGUGAUAGGGACUAUCAGCGACAAUGCAUCACUUAAAGAGGAAAACUCUAGAUAAGGCUUCACUGUCAUCAAGCGAGUCGAAGACCCAACAUGACCACAGAUCUACCUCCACUCCUUAUGGCUCACAUAGACUCGCGUAUAGGGCUUAAUAUCUCAAUGUGUGUGCGAGGUGUAGGUGCCAUGUGUGCAAAGAAAAAUAUUUCUAACUAUGAGUUUAAUAGUCACCAACUAUCGCAACCUACCCUUCGGCGGGAGGGCGAGGCGAGAUAAAAAGUAUGUCUUCUCAUGAAGAAAACGCUUGGAGUCGCCACCAACGUUUAUUCGAGGGAAAACGUUACAAAAACCAAAAAGACAAAGUUCUGUGAAUUUUGAAAAUAAGGGUUCAAGAGUUGUUUAUGCAAGGGGAAGGUAUUAGCACCCCACACACUCGUCACAUGGGACAACAACUUUUAAUCGAGUGUGUAAAACAUGACUUCAAAAUUAUGUAUUUUCUUUUUUAAUAUUUUUUAUAUAUUUUCCCUUUUCAUAUUUUAUGUUUUUGGGGUUGGCAAGGGUGUUGCCCUUGCUCCUAUGUAUCCUCAAGUGCAAUGAGGAAUUUAGACCUACGUAGUUCUUUAAGUUUGAAAGUUUGUGUGUUACAUUGAUUUUAUGUUUUUUGAAAGAUUGAUUUUAAUUUUGAACAAAAGUCAUUAAGGCGUUGGACCUUGAAAUGAUCUCAAGUGAUGUUUGAUGAAAAACGGAGAUAAUCGUUAAGGCAUUGGACCUUGAAACAAUCUCAAGUGAUAUUUGAUGAAAUGAAGAAGUUUAUAAGUUGGUUUUAUUUUGGUUUUUCUUAUUAACCUUCAAUCUUUUUUAAGAUAACUUGCGGCACUGAUGAUCGGUUGAAACUUACUUUACAAAAGAAAAGCGAUUACCGAUGAUAGGAGAAGGAGAUGAAGAUGCACAAAACAAGAAAGAGGACCCCUAAGGGAGGAUAGAUCGCAUUCAAAUCCUUAAAACAAAAACUAAUAGGAUGAUGAACGAAGAACGAUGUAGAAGUCGAUUACGGUCGCAAUUUGAUAGCGCCUCGGCCUCGUUUCCUCUUCUUUCUUCAUCUUGUUUCUCUCCUCUCUCAAUUCCCUCCAUUUCUGAGCUUGGAACCCAUAAAACAACCCCUAGAAUGCCUAUUUAUAAGCAAAGGGUCACUUUGGGGCAGUUGCAGCUCGCCAAGGUGAGCUAAAACUUAGUGUUGAAGGAAUGACCUCGCCUAGGAGAGUUGGUUUCUUCACCAGAGGCUAGCCUGGGCGAGCUAGGGUCUAGGAAACCAAGGAAAAGACCCUUUUGCCCCCUUUUUUUUGGUAUUUUUCGCAUUUUUGAUCAAAACACUAUGUCAUACCCUAAUUUCGUCCGGGGACCUUUGCUUGAUGACAUGCGACCUUUCUUUGGUCCUUGUGAGGUGCUUGGCAUCCAUCAUUAGGAAAUUUGUGAAAUUUCAGGACAUGCCGAAAAACCGAAAAAUAUUGAUGCACAAUCCGUAAGUUUCCGUGACACACCGGAAAUCAAAUGGAAGCAUCGUUGCAUAAUUAAGUGAGAUUCCGUAACAUUCCGUAAGUCAAAAAGGGGAUGAUUAUGUAAUCCGCAAGGUUCCGUAACAUUACGGAAAGAAAACAAGUAUCGUUACGAAAUUCGUAAGUUUCCGUAACUUUACGAAAAAAGAAUCACCAAAAAACAGCAGAGGGGGUGUACUUAGUAAAAAUGGGGGUGCAAAUAGCACCCAGGCCCACUUGGGCCCUCCAGAAUAUUCCUCCAGAAGGCUGUUGCUUCUGGAGGAAGCAACCUGGCUCGCCUGGGCGAGCUGGGCGGCAACCACCUCCCCUAUUUUGCUAUAAAUAGGGGAGGAAAUGAAGAAGGAAGGGGUUCAGCCCCUUAGGCACUUCUCUCUCUUUCGAAUUUGCUUGGAAAAAUUGUUUCCGUGAAGAAAAUCUAAGCCGAGGCGCUUCCGAAACGUUUCCGUAACGUUUUCCGUGAGGAAUCUCGCAAAGGUUUCAACCGUUCUUCGACGUUCUUCAUUCGUUCUUCAUCGUUCUUCGAUCUUCAACGGGUAAGUACCUCGAACCAAGCUUUUCGAUUCAUUCUAUGUACCCGUAGUGGUCCACAUUGUGUUUCGUGCAUUUUUAUUCUCGUUUUGUUUACUUUUUAUACCCCCUGUUGACGUGCUUAAGUCAUUUUACUUAAGCCAUUUCUCGCUUAACUUAAAAAUAAAAUCAAUUUCCACCGAACGUUUGAAUUGUAUUAUCCGUUAACUUCGGUUAAAAUAAAUUCCGACCGUUCGGUCGUGCCAUAAUCACGUUGGAAAUCAAAAAGAGGUAAAAAAUAAUAUAAUAAUCAAAAAAACAUCUUUUAGUAAAAUAAAGCGGAAAAUCAAUCGGACGUUUUCUCUUUGGGAUUUCUCAUUCUUAAUCGAAUUGAUUAAUAACUAAAGUGAAACUUAAGGCUAAAAUCAACUCGCCUAGUCGAGCUCGUCCACAAAAAUAGGCUUUUGAAGUUUGUCAUUUCAAUUUCUCACUAAGUAAAAUGGAUCAUUUUUAAGGUCCAACGCCUUAAAAUGAUCACCUCUUAAAAUAAAAAGAAUCACUUGAUAAGAAAGAACUACGUAGGUCUGAUUUUCUCAUCCCAAAUUGAGGAAUACGUAGGAGCAAAGGGAAACACCCUUGUCGACCACAAAAAAGAGAAAAAUAUAAAAAGGGUAUAAAGGAUAUAAGGACAUAAAAGGGAACGUAAAAAUCAAAGUCAUGUUUGCACAUUCGAUUAAAGGCUGCCGUCCCUUGGGACGGACGUAUGGGGUGCUAAUACCUUCCCCGUGCGUAAAUACAACUCCCGAACCUUUCACUUAAAAGUUCGUAGAUCGCGUCUUUUCCGGUUUUUCCGACGUUUUCCUCAAAUAAACGUUGGUGGCGACUCCGCGCGUAUUCCUUUCGUGGAUUCCGCAUCCCGCGAGUCUCGCGUCGCCCUCUCGCUGAAGGGUAGGUUGCGACAGUUGGCGACUCCACUAGGGACCUUUUUUAGAGAGUUAGGCCAUUUAAUCUUGUGCAAAUGCUUUACCAUGACUUACUCCUUUGUUGUUUUCCUUCAUUAUGUACUUGUGUAUAUAAACUCUUUGUUGCUUUUAGUGCGUUUUAAAAUGUAUGCAUGAGGUAAAUAUUUAUUCAUUUGAUGCACACAAACACCAACACUAUUUGCACACACUGUGAGUGAAAAAGGGCCCUAUACCCGGGUUCAUGGGAACAUAAGGAGUGGAGGUGAAUCUGUGAUCAUGCUAGGUCUCCGACUUGCUUGAUUACAGUGAACCCUCAUCUAGAGCUUUUCUCUUUGAAAACUUAUUGUUGCUAGUAGUCCCUACUGCUGCAAUAUGUUCUUCGAAGGGGAUGAUACCUCUAGAAACCAUCAAGAGAGAUAUGACUACCUUGGGGAUUAUUACUAAAAGCCUAGUUAGCUCUUUCCCUUAUAGGUCCCUUAAAUAGAGGCACGGAGCAAACACGUUGCGUGCCAUUUUUCACACUGCCAUGCAUAAGUAUCAUAUACCCUUUUGCUUAUAUUUGUUUGUGAAUAUUGUCGUACUAUGUACAUCCCCGUGUUGUGCCUUUCGCAUAUGCAUCAUGCGUAGGUUUCGUCUUCGAUCCCCUCGCUUUAGCAAACCAACGAAGGGUCCGUGUCACCAUUUUAAAUACAUACGUUGGGGCACUUUGCUACCCCUAGACAUUGUAUCUAAGAAGGAGACAGUUUCUCGGGCUCCCGUAUUCGUAAAUUACACCUGUGUCAUAUGCAUUUCUUCAUGCAUUCAUCCAUUCCACCCAUGAUAGAUGUCGGAGUUUUGAUUCGAACUAGAUUUUAUUUCACUUUAGUAAAACAUGGGAUCAAGUCAAAAGCCUUCGCUUAAAAAGAGGUUCUAUCAAGUCAAAAUCAAGAGCUUAGAGGUCACUAGUUUACGAGAGUUGGGGCAAUUAAUGGGUCAACUUCAACAGCAAGCCUUCCGCAAAGCCUAUGGUAAGAUUUGGGACCUAGCUAGGGUAGAAGUCUCCAUGGAACCGAUUGCAUCCCUUUCCCAGUAUUAUGACCAGCCCCUAAGGUGCUUCACAUUUGAGGACUUCCAGCUAGUGCCGACUUGAAAGAGUUUGAAGAAAUCCUGGGAUGCCCACUGGGAGGAAGGAAGCCAUAUCUUUUCUUUGGGUUCUAUCCCUCCAUGACAAGAGUUGCCAAGGUAGUGAAAACCUCAGCACAAGAGUUGGACCGUGUAAAGCAAAACAGAAAUGGAGUAGUCGGAGUACCAAGGAAGUGUUUGGAGGAAAAGGGCAAAGGCCUUGGCAAAAUCAAGGCGAAUGGGCUUCUUUUAUUGACAUCUUGGCGCUUUUGAUCUUUGGAGUUGUCCUCUUUCCGAAUAUGGAAGGGUUGGUGGACCUAGCAGUGAUCGACGCUUUUCUCGCCUAUCAUAACCACAAAGAAAGCCCGGUCGUCGCCAUUUUGGCCAUGUAUGACACGUUCAACCGGGGAUGUAAAAAGAGUAACGCAAGAAUUGUUUGUUGUGCACUGGCUCUCUAAGUGUGGCUGGUUUCACACCUUUUUCUCCAAGAAGGUAGGCCCGUCUAUCCGCUACAAGGUCACCGCUCGUGCGUCGAAAAAGGAAAGGCGAAUUGGGACCAACUCUUGGCUAGCAUGGAGAGGCGUCUGUUAAUUGGUUCCCUCGCUGGAAGGAAGGAAGAAUCAGGAUUCUAUCUUCAUGCGAAGGAUGUCCAAAUGUCCCUUGAUGGAACAAGGGGUUGUAUUAAUUAUAAUCCCGUCCUCGCCAUAAGACAGCUUGGCUACCCCAUGAGAGGAGUGCCAUCAGACGAAAGCAUCACGCCUUUCAUCGCACGGGGUUUCAGUGACCACAACGCGAGAGUACUCCAAGGAGUUCGCAAGGCAUGGGAUGCGGCGUGAAGAAAGGACAGAGAGCUUAGGGGAAGCAGUAAUGGGAUCAUCGGCGGCUAUCAUAUGUGGCUGAGAGUCCGAACACAAGGAUUGGAUUGGCUCCCAAAUCUAAAGACUGUGAGAGACGAUGAGGUUAAAGCUUCGGAAGAAAGUGAUGAGGUACAAGCCCUAAAGGCAAAGCUUGAAAGAGCCCGGGUAGUCGAAGAGAAGUUCAAGUCCAUAGCCAUCAAAGUCUGAAAAGAGUAUGAUGAACUAAGGGACGUCAAUAUGGCCACCGCUGAAGCCUUGGAACGAGAAACCAAGAAGGCCCGAAAGGAAGAACACAACCAAAGCAAAGUUUUGAGGGGCUUUAUAGGGCAGAAAUAGUGAGCUCAAGCUCCGAAGAGGUGAAAGGAAUCAUCAUGGGUCAAAGGCAUGAUCUUGAAGGACGAGCUAAAGGCUUGCCUUAGGUCGAAAAGAAAUUUGUCCCAACAGUUAAAGCGAGACUGAAGGGAAUAUGUGGGCCAUCAUCGAUGAGUGCAAAGAGAAGCUAAAUCUAGCGGCGACUAACGAGCAAAGGCUAGAGGAUGAGUACGCCAAGAUAUCAGCAGAAAGGGAAGCAAGGGAAAGGGUAAUUGAUUCGUUGCACCAAGAGGCGACAAUGAGGAUGGACCGAUUUGCUCUUACUUUGAACAGGAGUCAAGAACUUCCUCGAUUGCUAGCCAAGGCCAAAGCAAUGGCGGACACCUACUCCGCCCCCAAGGAGAUCCACGGACUUCUCAGCUAUUGUCAGCAUAUGAUAGACUUAAUGGACCAUAUGAUUAGAAACCGCUAGGAAGUUUGUAUUGUCGCUCAGAUCUUGACUAGUUAUAACUUUUUGAAAAAAAUGAGUUUAUCCCACGUUCUUACUACAAAAAUCAGUGCGAAUCAAGUCACUCCCACAUUUUAUCUCUAGCAUGCAUUGUAUGUUGGUCUCGUCCUUUGUCACGGGAAGCCGGAAGGUCCAUAUCACCUUCUUAAUUGUACACAUGGGGCACUGCGCCCCCAAAUGCGCAAGUAAGAAGAGAUAAUUUUCCGGGCUCUCGUGUCCAUAAAAUGUGAAAUUCUGAUACCAGGGGACAGAUGUCGUACGGGAUGUCACGACAUCACGCUUCAGAACAUGCAGAUUAUAUGUGUCCGUAUGAACAGAUUAAACAAGUAAAUAACACAAGAGAAUUGUUAACCCAGUUCGGUGCAACCUCACCUACAUCUGGGGGCUACCAAGCCAGGGAGGAAAUCCACUCUCAAUAGUGUUAGUUCAAGGUCUAACAGCCCCUGUUUACAACCUUCUCACCUAACCACUACCCGUGCGAUCUCUACCUAAGAGCCACUCUUAGAUAUGAGAACCUCCGCUCACUCCCUCUCACUCACACUCCCGUGUUUACAAUUAAGUCAAAGACACACCAGAGAUCAACUCUGAACAAAAGAGAUCAACUCUACACACUAGAGAUCAACUCUACACACUAGAGAUCAACUCUACACACAUAGGUCCAACACUUGAUGUUAGGGUACCAUCAAGGUGGCUCACAAAUUACUCAAGUCCCAAAACUCACAAAAUAACUCUUCGAUCCCGGACUUGGUACAGAACUCGUGCAGCCUCCAUGAUUAUAUAGCCGUGUACGAUUCUGGGCUGCAACUCCUUGAUGCUGGAGGAGAUCUAUCUUCUUCUGAAAAAUCUGCAGUUAAAGAACUAAAAGAUAACUUUUGAUCUUUUAGUUUGAAUCUUUAAUCUUUAAUCUUUAAUCCCUGAACGAACUCUUCUACUUUGAAAUUCAAACUUUAAUGAUCUUUUAAUUCGUUCCUAAAGAUAGAUCUUCUUAUCUCUUGCUAACUGCACAAUAAUCUGUUAAAGAUAUAACAGAAUUAUAUGUCCAGUAUUAUCGGGCCGGAUGUCAGGACAUCGUAUCCGACAUCGUGGAUCCUGCAGCUUCACUUCUGCACUUGACUUUUAUCUUGCAUUGCACAGCAACUCCAGUAUUCUCGAGCAGGAUGUCAGGACAUUGUAUCCGACAUCGUGGAUCCUGCAACUUCAAUUCUUCAUUUGACAUUUUAUCUUGCCUUGUGCAUUGUGCAGCCCGAUCUCAUUCCUUGACAUAACGUUGGACAUCAUGUGCAGCAACUCCAGCUUUCCUUCAUUGUCUAAGUGCUUAUGUUUUAACAAAAUCUUAGCCAAUCUUUUAAAGCUCAGUAGAGCUAAGCACUAACAAUCUCCCCCUUUGGCAAAUUUUGUCUAAAACAUACUUAGACACUUCCUGAGCAGGUACGAGCAGUUAUGCAAGUGGGAUCAGCAACUUCCAUUAUCAGAGUAAUCAAGCACAGCGGAAAUUCUUCAAGUUGCAAAUCUACAAGUCUUCUCCAGGAUGUCAAGACAUCUCUCGUGACAUCAGCUUUCUGCUACUGCUCCCCCUGUCUCCAUGCUUACUGCAGCAUCUUCUAUCAGCUACUAGUCUUUUCCAGGAUGUCGAGACAUCUCAUGUGACAUCCGCUAUCUGCUCCCCCUGUCUUCAUGCUCUUACUGCAGCAUCUUCUAGUAGCUUACAACAGUCAUCCUCAGCAGCAGUCUCCCCCUCAAAAUCAUAUUCAUACAACUCCAUAUUCAUACAACUCCCCCUCAAGAUCAUGAAUCAUGCAUACACCGUAUCCUCAAGAUCAUGAAUCAUGCAUACAUCGUAUCCUACUAUCCUACUGCCAUACAUCAUACAUUCAACAUAAUCAUGCAUAAUAGCAAGCAUAAUACUAUUACUCCCCCUUUUUAGACAUAAAUUUGGCAAAAGUAGGAUGCAUGAAAUUAAUGUGCAAAUAUUACAGACCCAUAGUAAACAAUUGUUCAAAGGGACAUGCCCCUUUAACUAAUAACAGUAAAAGCAAACAUAAAGGUCUGAUGAUCAUGGGGUGGCUUCAGAAUCAUCAUCUGAUUCUGUCUCUUCUGCUGCAUCUUCCUCUUCCUCAGCAGCUUCUUCUUCUUCCUCGGCUGCUUCUUCCUCUUCUUCAGCAGCUUCUUCUUCUACUUCAGCUGCUUCACCAUCUUCCUCAGCUGCUUCACCAUCAAUGCCACUUUCUGAGAGCCUUUUGAUCAGCCGUUCCAGCUCCAUCUUCUUCUCUGUGUUGGCUUUGAUGGUUGCUUCCAGCACCUUGCAUGUGUCCUUGAGUUCUGCAAUCAAGGCAUCCUUGGACACAGCACCUGAAGCAGCAGCUUUCCCUGAUGUCGAGACAAUGUCUGGGACAUGUGUCCCCUCAAACAGUUUAUAGUGCAGGGAUAGAGGAGAUUCUCUUUUCAUCACAGAGUCAGUGUAGUUUAACAUAUUGGGAUGCUGACUCAACAUAAUGCCACACAAUACAGUAGGGAAGGCAAUGGGUAAUUUGACAGCAAAAGAUUCUGAAUGCUUAACAGUUUGAUCAAAAAUAUAGUUUCCAAAAUUAAAUUUGGACUUGGUUCCAACAGCAUACAGAAAUUUACCCAAACCUGUGGCAACAGUGGAAGUAUGAUUGGUGGGUACCCAGUUUGCAGCACCAAUCCUGUGUAGAAUUGCAUACUUCACACUUAGCUUCCCUGCUGAAAGCUUCCCUUUCUUUGGCCAAUGCUGGACUCGUUUGGCAGUGAUUUCCUUGGCAAUUUGAUGCUCAGAAACAUCAAUAUCUAUCACUCCAUCAGUAGGUCUGCCCAAAUAUUUGUUGAUCACAGCAGGGGAGAAUCUAACACACUUUCCUCUGACAAACACUCUUUGAUAAUCAUCACUUUUUCUGUUUGAUAUGUCAGAGGGAAUGUUGACAAUGAAUUCCCUGACUAGGCCUUCAUAACAGUCUCCCAACUUGGUGACUGUCUUCAGCAGUCCAGCAGCCUUGAUGAGGUCCAUGGUCUCCUUGCAAUCCAAGGCAUCUCUUCCCAGUUCUCUUUCAACCGCAAGUCUGCGUUGAUACACAUAUUUCCACUUUUCAACAUUGCCAAUGGAGUGGAAAGAGAUGUUGUCCAAUGGUGCAUCAGGAACAUUUCCAGGCACCUUUCUUCCAGAUUUCUUGGCCCUCUUAGAUGUCGAGACAUCUAGUUCGACAUCCUCAUCAGAAUCGGAUGAGGAAAUUUCUUUCCUUUUCUUGGAGGGGAUAACAACCUUGCUUCUUCUGGAUGUGGCAGGAGUGAUUGGAGUACUCUUCUUCUGUGCCAUUGUCUUGAUUCGUCCAGACCUCUUAAGGGGGGUUUUUCCCUUUCUGUUUUGAAGUCUUUCCGCAAUGCCAGGUGCCAACCUGUUGGCAAUGGGUUCUUCAUCAGAUUCGACUUCUUCCAGGUCAAUGAGGUCACCUGGAGCAGGUUCUGGUGCCCUUGGUGCAGGGGUCUCCUCUGCGGCUUGAUCAUCUUCUUCCAUUGAUUCCUCUUCACUGGGUGAAGGGACGGCUUCAGCAUUUGGAGCGGAAGAUGUUGGAACAUCUUUCUCAACAUCAGGCACAGACACAUUCGGGGUGGAAGAUGUUGGAACAUCUUUCUCAGCAUCAGGCACAGAGGCUUCUUUCAAAAUGCUACUCACAAUACUGCGGAUUUUCUUGUCCAUCUCCGUGUCUACUUCCCUAGGACUUGUUGCAAGGCUAGGGUUUUCAGCAAUCUUCACUCCCUGUUGUCUUCUGGGAACCAGUUUCUCAGGGACAGAAGCUUGACCAGGAAUUAUUUGGAUGGGUUGGAUGUUGAAUUCAGGUUGUUCCUGGUGCGGAGAUGAUGGUACUGCGGGUGAACCAGAAGCGGAAGUUUCUUUUGGUGAGGUAGCCAUGGAAAAGCAGAGCGUUUGGAAUGAUUUCGUAAAUCUCAGAAGGCUGCUGGUAAAAACACGAAUGCCAAGCAGAUAUAAAUUUGAAUGAAGAAUGUAGAGGGGCGUGUGAGGCAACGGUCGAAUUUGCUUUGUGGUGAACGUGCUAUUAAUGUUAAGUGAUUCGUUUGGGCACGUUCAGAUUGCAGUAGCUGCUAUAAUUCCUCUAGCAGACAAAUGCCCAGCUUGCCCCUCAGUUUUUCAAACUGAUUUGCAUCCAAAGCCUUUGUGAAAAUAUCUGCUAUUUGUUCCUCAGUGUCAACAUGCUUCAGUGUGAUCACUUUAUCAUCAACAAGAUCUCUGAUAUAGUGAUGUCUAAUGUCAAUGUGCUUGGUUCUGCUGUGUUGAACAGGAUUUUUAGAAAUAUUAAUAGCACUCAUGUUGUCACAGUACAAUGUCAUGACAUCUUGUUCGACAUUGUACUCCUUCAGCAUCUGCUUCAUCCAAACUAGCUGUGAACAGCUGCUUCCUGCUGCAAUAUACUCGGCUUCUGCUGUAGAUAGGGACACACAGUUCUGCUUCUUGCUGAACCAUGAAAUAAGGUUGUUCCCCAAAUAGAAGCAUCCACCAGAAGUGCUUUUUCUGUCAUCUGCACUUCCAGCCCAAUCAGCAUCACAAUACCCAACCAGCAUUGAAUCUGAACAAUGACAGUACAUAAUCCCGUAGUCACUGGUGCCAUUUACAUAUUUCAGAAUUCUCUUUACUUGAGUCAAGUGACUUAUCUUAGGAUUGGCUUGAUAUCUUGCACAAACACCUACUGCAUAGGUGAUGUCGGGUCUGCUAGCUGUUAAAUAUAGUAAGCUCCCAAUCAUGCUUCUGUACAGACUUUGAUCAACACUGGUGCCUGCUUCAUCCUUUGACAGCUUCAAGUGAGUAGGUGCAGGUGUUCUUUUAUGGCUGGCAUUCUCCAUUCCAAACUUCUUGACAAUGUUCUUUGCAUACUUGCUCUGUGAGAGGAAUAUGGAGUCUUCCAUCUGCUUCACUUGGAGUCCCAGAAAAUAAGUCAGCUCUCCAACAAGACUCAUCUCAAAUUCAGAUUGCAUCUGUUGGACAAAAUGUCGAAGCAUCUCAUUCGACAUCCCUCCAAACACAAUGUCAUCAACAUAUAUCUGUGCAAUCAUCAAGUUUUCACCAUCUUGUUUGACAAAGAGAGUCUUGUCAAUUCCUCCCUUCCUAUACCCUUGCUGAGUAAGGAACUCUGUCAGCCUUUCAUACCAAGCUCUUGGAGCUUGCUUCAAUCCAUAGAGAGCCUUCUUGAGCCUGUAUACAUGAUCUGGAUGAGUUGGGUCUACAAAUCCCCUUGGCUGCUCCACAUAGACUUCUUCAUUCAGGUAUCCAUUCAGAAAUGCGCUCUUCACAUCCAUCUGGUACAGCUUGAAUUUGAGGAUGCAAGCUACACCAAGUAAUAAUCUGAUGGACUCAAGUCUAGCAACUGGGGCAAAAGUCUCAUCAAAGUCUACACCUUCAAUCUGAGUGUAGCCUUGAGCAACCAGUCUGGCCUUGUUUCUGGUUAUGACACCUUCUUCAUUGGUUUUGUUCUUGAAGAUCCACUUGGUGCCAAUCACAUUAGUUCCCUCGGGCCUAGGAACUAGCUCCCAUACUUCAUUCCUUUUGAAUUGCUCCAAUUCUUCUUGCAUAGCAUUGAUCCAGAACUCAUCUGUCAGUGCCUCUUUCACAUUCUUGGGCUCAAUUUUGGAGACAAAACAUGAGUUUGAGACGAUCUCAACCUCCCUUGAUCUUGUAGUGACCCCUCUGUUUGGAUCUCCUAUAAUCAGCUCCUUGGGGUGCAUCUUCUGGAUUCUAAUGGAGGGUCUCUUGUCAGGUUGGUUGAUGUUUGAAUCAUCUGUAGCAGGAUCAGAGUUUUCUGCAUUUUCUCCACUUUUAGCUGCAUCUGCUACAUUGUCUCCCGAUGUUCUGACAUCUUCUUCGACAUCCUUCUUUCUUGCUGGAGACAGAUCAUCAACAACCACAUUGAUGGAUUCCAUCACUGUUCUGGUUCUGGAAUUGAAUACUCUAUAUGCUCUGCUGUUUGUAGAGUAUCCCAGGAAUAUUCCUGCAUCACUCUUGGGAUCCAUCUUUCUCCUUUGCUCUCUAUCUGCCAAGAUGUAACAUGGACUUCCAAAGAUGUGGAAGUGCUUGACAGUUGGCUUCCUCCCUUUCCAGAUUUCAUACAGUGUGGUUGGAGUGCCUCUUCUAAGUGUGACUCUGUUGUGGAUGUAGCAUGCUGUGUUCAUGGCUUCAGCCCAGAGAUUAUAGGGAAGUUCUUUGGCAUGAAGCAUGACCCUAGCAGCCUCUUGCAAAGUCCUGUUUUUCCUCUCAACUAUCCCAUUCUGUUGUGGUGUAAUGGCUGCAGAGAACUCAUGAGUGAUGCCUUCAGAUGUGCAGAAUUCAGUGAACCUGCUGUUUUCAAAUUCUCUGCCAUGGUCACUCCUGAUUCUCUUGAUGACACAGUCUUUUUCUCUUUGAAGUCUUAGACUCAACUCUUUGAAUACUUCAAAGGUUUCUGAUUUCUCUCUGAUAAAGGUGACCCAGGUAAAUCUGGAGAAAUCAUCCACAACAACAUAGGCAUACCUCUUUCCUCCAAGGCUUUCAACUUGCAUAGGCCCCAUCAAGUCCAUGUGAAGUAGUUCCAGCACCCUGGAAGUGGUCUGAUGUUGAAGCUUCUGGUGGGACAUCUUGACUUGCUUUCCAAUCUGACAUUCACCACAGAUUCUGCCUUCUUCUAUUUUCAGAUUGGGAAUGCCUCUAACAGCACCUUUGUCAAUGAUUUUCUUCAUGCCUCUUAAGUGCAGAUGUCCAAAUCUUUGAUGCCAUAUUCUGACUUCAUCUUCUUUGGAGGAUAGACAUGUGGAGGAGUAGCUGGUUUCUUGGGGUGUCCAUAGGUAACAAUUGUCCUUCGAUCUGCUGCCCUUCAUUAGAACUUCACUCUUCUCAUUUGUCACCAAGCAUUCUGACUUUGUGAAGUUUACAUUGAACCCUUCAUCACACAGUUGACUGAUGCUGAUCAAGUUUGCAGUCAGUCCCUUCACCAGCAGUACUUUGUUCAGACUAGGAAGUCCAUCAUGAGCUAGCUUUCCCAUUCCAAUGAUCUUUCCUUUAGAGCCAUCUCCAAAUGUCACAUAGCUAGUGGAGCAGGGCUCAAUAUUCAGCAGGAAUUCUUUGACUCCUGUCAUGUGUCUGGAACAGCCGCUAUCUAGGUACCAAUCUUCCUUAGCUGAUGCUCUAAGUGAAGUAUGAACAACAAGACUGACAGCCUUGUGUUUUGGAACCCACAUCAUCUUCUUUCUGCUGUUGCUACUUUGAGUUCCAUGAUGUGGAUGGCCAUGUAGAUGAUAGCAAAAGGGCUUUAUGUGACCAUACUUGCCACAGUAGUGACACCUCCACUUCUUUCUUUUGCUCUUUUUCUGCUGCAUUCCAUGAUGUCGAGACCGAUGUUGUGACAUCGUGGCUCCAGUCCUGUUUUUGGCAGGAACAAAUUCUGUCAUGGUUGUUCUGCCAGCAGACUUAGGAUUAAAUCCAAGUCCUCUCUGGUUUCCAGCAUUCUUUCCAAGCAGCAGCACCUCAUUAAGCGUAUCUGAGCCUUUAUUCAGCAUCUUUAUUGAUUUGGUCAUGUUUUCCAAUUUAGAGUUCAGAAAACCGACUUCUCCUUUAAGCUCAGAGAUCUCCUCUUUAUGUGCCUCCUUUUCAGCCUCCAGAUCUGCAAUGACCUUCUUCAGUUGUGCUUCUUGCUGAAGAAUCUUCUCACUUUUGAUGCAUAGUUCUCUAUAGGAUGUAGCAAGCUCGUCAAAAGUGAUUUCACUGUCUGUAUCACUUGAAUCUUCAGCAGAUUCAAAUCUCCCAGUGAGUGCAUUCACAUCUCUGUCAGAGUCACUUUCUUGUUCACUCUCUGUAUCAGAUCGACAUACAGAAAGUCCUUUCCUCUGCUUCUUGAGAUGAGUGGGGCAUUCAGCUAUGAUGUGUCCAUAGCCUUCACACCCAUGGCAUUGAAUUCCUUUGCUGUGACUGGGCUUUACAUCUGAUCUUUUCUGGUAUUUACUGUCUUUCCUGAUGUCGAAAGGGAUGUUCUGGACAUGUGGUUUCUGCCUCUUGUCCAUUCUGUUCAGCACUUUGUUGAAAUGCUUUCCAAGGAGCACAACUGCCUUAGUCAGACCUUCAUCAGUAUCCAGGUCAUACUCAUCAUCUUCUCCUUCAUCAUUGGACACGAACGCCAAGUUCUUGCUCUUCUUUUCAGCCCCAUCCGAGAGUCCUAGCUCAAAGGUUUGAAGGGAACCAAUGAGUUCAUCCACUCUCAUGUUGCAAAUGUCUUGGGCCUCCUCUAUUGCAGUGACUUUCAUGUCAAAUCUCUUAGGCAAGGAUCUGAGGAUCUUUCUCACCAGCUUUUCAUCUGUUAUCCUCUCUCCCAAGGCAGUGCAAGCAUUGGCAAUUUCAAGAAUGUUCAUGUGGAAGUCAUGAAUACACUCUUCCUCCUUCAUCUUCAGAUUUUCGAAUUUUGUAGCCAAGAGUUGCAAUCUGGACAUCUUAACUUUGGAGGUUCCUUCAUGAGUGGUUUUCAGGAUCUCCCAUGCAUCUUUGGCCACUGUGCAAGUGUUGAUUAGUCUGAAGAUAUUCUUGUCAACUCCAUUGAAUAGAGCAUUCAAAGCUUUGGAGUUUCCAAGUGCCAAUUCGUCUUCUUCUUUAGUCCAGUCUUCUUCUGGCUUCAAUUCAUCAGUGGGCUUUCCUUCUGUGUCCAGCAUCUUGGGAUGUUCCCAGCCUUUGAUGACAGCUUUCCAGGUUCUGCUAUCCAGUGAUUUGAGAAAGGCCACCAUUCUUGCUUUCCAGUAUUCAUAGUUGGUUCCAUCAAGAAUUGGUGGUCUGUUCACUGGUCCUCCUUCUUUCUCCAUGUUCAUCAGAAUUUAUCUCCCCAGAUCUCACUCUGUGAUUUCGAGUGUUGGCUCUGAUACCAAUUGAAAUUCUGAUACCAGGGGACAGAUGUCGUACGGGAUGUCACGACAUCACGCUUCAGAACAUGCAGAUUAUAUGUGUCCGUAUGAACAGAUUAAACAAGUAAAUAACACAAGAGAAUUGUUAACCCAGUUCGGUGCAACCUCACCUACAUCUGGGGGCUACCAAGCCAGGGAGGAAAUCCACUCUCAAUAGUGUUAGUUCAAGGUCUAACAGCCCCUGUUUACAACCUUCUCACCUAACCACUACCCGUGCGAUCUCUACCUAAGAGCCACUCUUAGAUAUGAGAACCUCCGCUCACUCCCUCUCACUCACACUCCCGUGUUUACAAUUAAGUCAAAGACACACCAGAGAUCAACUCUGAACAAAAGAGAUCAACUCUACACACUAGAGAUCAACUCUACACACAUAGGUCCAACACUUGAUGUUAGGGUACCAUCAAGGUGGCUCACAAAUUACUCAAGUCCCAAAACUCACAAAAUAACUCUUCGAUCCCGGACUUGGUACAGAACUCGUGCAGCCUCCAUGAUUAUAUAGCCGUGUACGAUUCUGGGCUGCAACUCCUUGAUGCUGGAGGAGAUCUAUCUUCUUCUGAAAAAUCUGCAGUUAAAGAACUAAAAGAUAACUUUUGAUCUUUUAGUUUGAAUCUUUAAUCUUUAAUCUUUAAUCCCUGAACGAACUCUUCUACUUUGAAAUUCAAACUUUAAUGAUCUUUUAAUUCGUUCCUAAAGAUAGAUCUUCUUAUCUCUUGCUAACUGCACAAUAAUCUGUUAAAGAUAUAACAGAAUUAUAUGUCCAGUAUUAUCGGGCCGGAUGUCAAGACAUCGUAUCCGACAUCGUGGAUCCUGCAGCUUCACUUCUGCACUUGACUUUUAUCUUGCAUUGCACAGCAACUCCAGUAUUCUCGAGCAGGAUGUCAGGACAUUGUAUCCGACAUCGUGGAUCCUGCAACUUCAAUUCUUCAUUUGACAUUUUAUCUUGCCUUGUGCAUUGUGCAGCCCGAUCUCAUUCCUUGACAUAACGUUGGACAUCAUGUGCAGCAACUCCAGCUUUCCUUCAUUGUCUAAGUGCUUAUGUUUUAACAAAAUCUUAGCCAAUCUUUUAAAGCUCAGUAGAGCUAAGCACUAACAAAAUGCAUUCAUAUCAUGCAUUGCAUAAGCAUCUCUUCAUAACAUCAUAAUGGACAUAUCCUGCAUUUGUCCGUUAUCAUAUUCCAGCCUCACAUUUUGCAUGAGUCAUGGCAUCAUCAUGCAUAUGCGUUCAACAAACUUUUUGAUCUGCAAAAUUGCAUACCAUUUGUUUUCAUGUUUGCUCAUCCUUGCAUUUUCCUCUACAAAACAAAAACCAAAAAGGGGGAAGCGUGAAACUUCACACUACAUUCUUAGUUUCAUGUGUUAGGCACCAUGAGCCAACCAUGUUGGGAUCAUAAACCCGUUUCACUUAAAAACAAAAUAAUUGAACAUGGUACCUAAUGCAUGGUUAACUAGGAAAUGGUGUUUCUUCGGGCAUCUCAAUUUCAUAAUUACAUUUUCCGUGCAUAAGCUUAAAGUAUGCCCGAGUCAUUCAUCCCUAUGAGACGUUGUUGAAGUAUUGGCGAUCAGAAUUGCCAUUCCUUGGAUUAUAGGGUUGAACCAAGCUCAUGCUUUUACAAAAAGGUUCAUCAAGUCAAGUUGAAAUAUGGAAGUAACCGUCUUGCAAAAUUGGGGCAAAAGAUGAAUCGAGUCACAUCACUGCUUCGUCUACUGCCAAACAUAUUUAGGAUUAUUGAUGUCCUUGUUACUUCCAGUUUCACCUUGACAAAGAUUUCAUGGACCAUGUUGAAAAUCUAAAUUGAUUCAACCCCAUAUCUUGCGUAAAAAUUCGCAAUACUUCAACUGUACAUCAUUCGCAUGCAUCCAUGCUUUUCAUUGGUUCCAUUGCUCGUUGCAUUCUUUCCUUGAAAAAUAACAUAAAAUGAACUUAAUCAUUGUUAUAAAAAAGAAAGGGACACGCUUUACGACGCCCUUACCGAACUCGUGCUAGAGCUAGAGUAAUGGGUGAAGUAGAGGAGAUACAAGAGAAGAUGAAGGCCGACAUGGAGGCCAUUAAAGAGAAAAUGGCCACAAUGAUGGGGGCCAUGAUGAGCGUGAAGAAGAUAAUGGAAGCCAAUGCGGUUGCAAUUGUCGCUAUUAGCGCUGUCGCUAAGGUGAACCCGAUGCUCCCAUCUGGCCUCAAGCAAAUGAAUCAUCCAACCUCAAAUAUGGUAGGCAAAGAUUUGGGAAGUACGGAUGACCCCAUGAUGUGCAAAUUCAAAACGAGUACGCCUUCCCAUCAUAUGGCUUGCCUCCCAACUAUACACCACCCAAUGUGGCAUACACUCUCAAUGAAAAUCUCAAUAACUCCACUCCGAUACUCAUUGAGAACCAAUAACCUCAUCAGGCACAUAUCUCUCAAACCAUGGGGGAGACACAUGAAAUUCCCCACCACAAUCUAGCUGACUUCGAGCCUUGGCUCGGAUAUGCCACUGAAGGGAAAGCAGUUGGUGGUAUACCCUUUGAAAACACUUUGGAGGGCCCUCAGUUUCGCCCACAACGACAACCAUUGCAUUUUGCGGUGGGAAGAGCCCCUCCUGCUAUGGCCGAAAAGGGAAAGGCGGAUCAUCUAAAGGAAAGGCUCAGGGCCAUUGAAGGAGGUGAAGAUUAUGCCUUUGCUAACCUAGAAAAGUUGUUCCUAAUACCCAAACAUGGUCAUUCCCAAGUUCAAGGUGCUGGACUUUGACAAGUACAAGGGGACUACUUGUCUCAAGAACCAUCUAAAGAUGUAUUGUCAGAAGAUGGGGGAAUACGCAAAAGAUGAGGAAUUGCUGAUACAUUCCUUCCAAGAAAGUCUUACUGGGGUAGCUGUUACCUGGUACACUAACUUGGAACCUUCCCGAGUCCAUUCUUGGAAGGACCUAAUGGUUGCCUUUGUUAGGCAGUAUCAGUACAAUUUUGAUAUGGUUCCGGAUAGGAUGCAACUACAGAACAUGUGCAAAAAGGGGGACGAAUCAUUCAAAGAACACACCCAAAAGGUGGAGGGAUCUGGCGGCCCAGGUGGUACCCCCAAUAAUGGAAAGGGAGACGAUAAUCGUGAUGGUAGACACAUUAUCGGUACUCUACUAUGAAAAGAUGGUGGGCUGUGCACCCUCAAAGCUUUGCAGAUUUGGUCUUCGCCAGUGAAAGGAUCAAUGUGGGUCCGAAAAGAGGCAAAUUUGAUCAUCCUACUAGGACGACUGAGAAAACUGGGGCAAAUAAAGAGGGUGAGGAUGAGGGAGAAGCCCAUGCUGUGACUGCCAUUCCUGUACGGCCAAGUUUCCCACCAACCCAACAAUAUCUUUACUCAGCCAAUAACAAACUUCCUCCUUACCCACCACCCAGUUAUCCACAAAGGCCAUCCCUAAAUCAACCACAAAGUCUGUCUACCGCACUUCCAAUGACGAAGACCACCUUUAGCACAAACCAAAAAACACCAACAAAAAGGAAUUUUGCAGUAAAAAGCCUGUAGGGUUCACCCCAAAUUCUGUUGUCAUAUGCUAAACUUGAUCCCAUAUCCACUCGAUAAUUCAAUGGUAGCCAUAACCCCAACCAAGGUUCCUCAACCUCCAUUUUUCUAAGGAUACGACUCGAACGCAACGUGUGCUUAUCAUGGAGGAGCCCCUGGGCAUUCCAUUGAGCAUUGUAUGACCCCGAAGCAUAAAGUGUGAAGUCUAAUUGAUACGGGCUGGCUGAAAUUUGAGGAGAAUCGCGUGUAAAUCCUGACAUUGACAAGAGAUGCCACACAUGGGGCAAUUUUGAAAGCCGUUGUUAGAUGUCUCUAAUGACUCAUCAGGAUUUUCAUGUGCAAGCCAUUGGUCAGUUUGCUCAAGCGACCUGUGCUCCUGAGUUUGGACUUCCAAGACCGUUCAAUCAGAGAUUACUCGUCUUGCACGUUGGUGGGGUUGCCAUAAAACAACGAGUAAAGUUCAAAACAAAUUCCAAAACAAAUAAGUUUCAAAAAGAAAAAAAAGGAGCAUUUGAUUGACUGUGUUUUCAAGACGUUCAUGUGACCUCAUUCCGGAAAGUUUGUCUUUUUAGAGAGAAGUGAGUUAUCAAGAAUAGGAUGUUGGACAAAUGGCCUCAGUUACCUUAAGAAAAAGAGGGGUUGAAUUAAGAUGCAAAGACUAUUCCCCAAUUGAACUAUCACUCUCUCUUUUCGGAUUAACAAUGCACACAGGGAUAACCCUUCCCUUGUGUUCAGGAAUCCUCUACAACAAGAGACCCACGGUCUCUUAAAUUCUUUUUCAAAAAUAAGAAGAAGAUGAAAUCUCUCUUAAAAGAGGUAGAUUGUAAAAUGAAGAUCAAUCAAAUUCAUUAUUGAAUAUGCAAGUGGUUGACCAAGGAAUCUUUUUAAGAGGAUAAGACAUUUCAGUUCAGAAAAACUCUUGAUCUUUCGAGAGGAUAAAACUGUUUGGGCAAUGAAAACUCUCUUUAAAACAUUUGAAUGGCCGUUCAUAAAACAUUUGAAUAGAUAUGUCUCUUGGAAAUUAUUUUCUGAAAUUCCCCUCUGGUAAUCAAUUACAAGACUUACGUAAUCGAUUACAGGUUUUAAAAAUUUGAAUAAAAACAUUUUUAACUACUGGUAAUCGAUUACCAGAGAGCAAAUCUCAAAUUGAAAUGAUAGAAUUCUUUGGUCAAACCUUUGCUUCUUCAAUUUGGAAACUUCUUCCUAAGAUUCUAGAGAUCAACUUGAUCAUAUAUCUUGAUUUUCUUGGAUUCUUGUCUUGAAUAAAACUUAGAAGCACUUGAUCCUUUAGCAUCAUCAAGACAUCAAAACAUCUUGCUUCUACAUAGGAGUCAUUUGACUUAAUCCAUCAACUGAAAGAUCCUUCAACUAUUUCUCGUCCUUGGAAAAUUCUUUUUGCAAGAAUCAAUUGCUUCUUUCAUUCUUCCUCACUACGAGGUCGUGAAAACAAGACAACACUUGGUACCUCUAAGCCCUACACUGGGGCAACGAAAGGCACCAUGCAAAAACCUCAAGCGAACCUAGGGGCAGAUUAGAAGUUCUCACCCAAUAGGUUCCCUCCUACAAGGUCAUGACGAAAGACAACGAUUGGUACCUCAAAGCCUUACACUGGGGCAAUGAGGGGCACCGUUCAUGAGCCUCAAGUGAACAUAGGGGCCGAUCAAAAGUUCUCACCCAUCGAGGUUUUUAACAAAAAAAAGGGGGACAAACCUUAGGAUUUCAAUGGAUUGAUCAAACAUCAAACGACUCCAUUGCCGUCACUCCAAAAUGGUCAAGUGACUAAAUCAAACAGAACACACACUCUGAGGGAGUUACCAGAGAGAUUUGCAAAAAAGAUAGGAUGAGGUUGCAUGAAUUAUCACCUCUUUCAAAAGGACAGUCAAUCUGUGUUUUCCAAAAAAAUUAAAUCAAAAUCAAAAUCACAAAAUAGGGAAAGAAUGUCAUGAACAUUGUACAACUUUCCAUUACAUUGCAUUGUUUCAUAUGAAGUCCGCAUUUACCAAAUUUCACGACAAAGGUUGCAUGCAUCUGCAUCCCUAAAAAUCAUGUUAACUGCAUAGAUUUCCUACAUCUAAUGUCCAAAUCUUGUGGAUUUAGGAUGACCGGCCCUCUCGAUGAGUCGAUCUCUUGCUUUCUCAUAAGGGUGGACCCUUGGGUACUUGUACCUAUCACCUUGAGAGGACUACAUGUCCUCGCCAUCAGAGGACUGCAUGUCCUCAACUUGAGAGGACUACAUGUCCUCGCCAUCAGAGGACCUCAUGUCCUCGCCUUGAGAGGGCUGCACGCCUUCACCUCCAAAGGACUACAUGUCCUCGCCUUGAGAGGGCUACACGCCCUCACCUUGGGUACUAGUUACCCUCACCGUUGAGAGGACUACACGUCCUCGCCUUGAGAGGACUACACGUCCUCACCAUCAGAGGGCUGCACGCCCUCACCUCUAGAGGACUACAUGUCCUCGCCUUGAGAGGGCUACACGCCCUCACCUUGGGUACUAGUUACCCUCACCGUUGAAAGGACUACACGUCCUCGCCUUGAGAGGAUUACACGUCCUCACCAUCAGCGGGUUGCACGCCCUCACCUCCAGAGGACUACAUGUCCUCGCCUUGAGAGGGCUACACGUCCUCACCUUGGGUACUAGUUACCCUCACCGUCAGAGGGCUACACGCCCUCACCUUGAGAGGACUACACGUCCUCACCAUCAGAGGGUUGCACGCCCUCACCUCCAGAGGACUACAUGUCCUCGCCUUGAGAGGGCUACACGUCCUCACCUUGGGUGCUAGUUACCCUCACCAUCAGAGGGCUGCACGCCCUCACCUCUAGAGGACUACAUGUCCUCGCCUUGAGAGGGCUACACGCCCUCACCUUGGGUACUAGUUACCCUCACCGUUGAGAGGACUACAUGUCCUCGCCAUGAGAGGGCUACACGCCCUCACCUUGGGUACUAGUUACCCUCACCGUUGAGAGGACUACAUGUCCUCGCCUUGAGAGGGCUACACAUCCUCACCUUGGGUACUAGUUACCCUCACCGUCAGAGGGCUACACGCCCUCACCUUGAGAGGACUACACGUCCUCACCAUCAGAGGGUUGCACGCCCUCACCUCCAGAGGACUACAUGUCCUCGCCUUGAGAGGGCUACAUGUCCUCACCUUGGGUGCUAGUUACCCUCACCAUCAGAGGGCUGCACGCCCUCACCUCUAGAGGACUACAUGUCCUCGCCUUGAGAGGGCUACACGCCCUCACCUUGGGUACUAGUUACCCUCACCGUUGAGAGGACUACAUGUCCUCGCCUUGAGAGGGCUACACGCAAUCACCUUGGGUACUAGUUACCCUCACCGUUGAGAGGACUACACGUCCUCGCCUUGAGAGGGCUACACGCCCUCACCUUGGGUACUAGUUACCCUCACCGUUGAGAGGACUACACGCCCUCGCCUUGAGAGGACUACACGUCCUCACCAUCAGGGGGUUGCACGCCCUCACCUCCAGAGGACUACAUGUCCUCGCCUUGAGAGGGCUACACGUCCUCACCUUGGGUACUAGUUACCCUCACCGUCAGAGGGCUACACGCCCUCACCUUGAGAGGACUACACGUCCUCACCAUCAGAGGGUUGCACGCCCUCACCUCCAGAGGACUACAUGUCCUCGCCUUGAGAGGGCUACACGUCCUCACCUUGGGUACUAGUUACCCUCACCGUCAGAGGGCUACAUGCCCUCACCUUGAAAGGACUACACGUCCUCGCCAGCAGAGGGCUGCACGCCCUCACCUCCAGAGGACUACACCUCCUCGCCUUGAGAGGGCUGCACGCCCUCACCUUUAGAGGGCUACGUGUCUUCAUUUUCAGUGUGCUCGACAUCCACACCUUAAAAGAAUUUAAGGUCCUCUGCCCUUAAAUGCUUAACCGAGACUUGCACUUCCGGUUAAGGGGCCAGUAGUUUCCUUUUAACGGUUCCUGGGCCUCCCCCUGAUAUUGGAGGAGGGCCAACUGUGCGAGCACAACCAGAGAGGGAGGCUAUCAUACAGCUACUAUGCAUACCGGGGCAAGAUUUCACCUGUGCCGCUGCAAAGAGACGAGUGCGGAUCAUGCGCACCAACAUGACCACUCUUACAUAGAUAUAGAUGACAUUGCUACUUAGCAACAUUCUGCCCAGCGACCGCAAUGCCAAUCUCCCCCUACGGAAGUAUCAGUUGGUCUGUGCCGUCCCGACAUGGGUAAGUAUGCAUAUGGUUCAACUGAUUUCUGAUACCAUUUAUUUGUUUGCAGGGAUCGCACCCACAAAGACACCCAGUGAACCUGAAGAAGUCCAACAGGGCCCUGGGGUUUCCAGCUCUGGUUACGGGCCUCUAUCAGUCCUACAGGGUGCCCGUACCCCCCCGGCAAGGUCACGUCAUCAUAGGUAAGUAUGCACAUCGCUCAACUGAUUUCUGAUUUCAUCUAUUGUUUGCAGGGAUUGCGCCUGCAAGACACCCAGUGGACCCGAAGAAGUCCAACAGGGUCUUGGAGUUGUCAAGCUCUAAUUACGGGUCUCUGUCAGUUCUACGAAGUACCUGUCACCUCUAGCAAGGGCAUCAGGCCCCCUACUAAUCGAGCUUUCAUCAAGAAGUACUGCGCCCCCAGGCAGACGCAGGGCGAGACACCACAGUAGCAUUAGGAUGGCCGGUAGCGGGCAAUAGACGCACCGCCACCACCUUUAGAGUUCACCUCUGCUCAUCCACAAAAAAGUUAGAGUGUUGCCUACGACACAUGGCCGACCAGUAGGCGACCAAGUCCAAAGCCAAAGGUAAGCGAAGUACUAGGUCCGUGACCAACAAGUCAUAAGGCGUCCAGCUAAAGACGUUAAAGAAGCGCUACUAGGAGGCAACCUAGUACCUUUUGAAUCUAUGCUUGUUAUUUGAUCACUUUUUAUAGUAGGACGCACCUAGUUGCUCAUGAUCCUGGGGAUUUAAAUAAAACAAGCGCAAGCUCGGAAGGUAGUCAUACCUCACAAAAUAUAUAUAUGUAUGUUUAGGUAGUGAAAAUACCUUAGAUAUGCAUGUAUGUAAACAAAAAAACACUUCACAAAAUAUAUAUAUGUAUGUUUAGGUAGAAAGAUACCUUAGAUAUGCAUGUAUGUAAACAAAAAAAUACUUCACAAAAUAUAUAUAUGUAUGUUUAGGUAGAGAGAUGCCUUAGAUGUGCGUGUAUGUAGCAAAAAGAUACCUCACAAAAUACAUAUAUGUAUGUUUAGGUAGCAAGAUACCUUGGAUAUGCAUGUAUAUAGCAAAAAUACCUCACAAAAAUAUACACAUGUUUAGGUAGCAAAAUACCUCAUGAAAAAAAAAGGAAAAAAAAAAAACAAAAAACAAACAAGAAAAAGAAAAAAAUGAAAUGAAUGAAAAGGAAAAGAAGAAAGCAAGUAAGGAAAAAGGUGGAAAAAGAGAAAAUAAGUUGUCUAGCUAAAAACCGACAUGCUUUUGAAAAGAGACGAUUUGCAACUUUUCUUUGAAAAAAAUUCAUUCAUUGAUCAUAACCGAUUUUUGAAGAAAAAACGUGUCUACACCUGAAGGGUGAAUGCUGUGGAAAUUUCCCCGGACGCCCAAAAUGGACUCGGAUGAAUGCACAAAUUGAUAAAAGAAUAUAUUUUGGAAACAUUGGGUUGAUUUAAAAUAGAGGAAAUGAAUCCUGAGCCCUAGCAUCACAUGACCAUAAAAAUUUGACACUUGAGUGUCCGCAUAGGUGCAUGCAUGACCAGUUUUGCAUAAAAUUUCCAAAUCAUCAUUUUUGCAUUUGUGUCAUGGAAAUAAUGUGGGGCAUCCCUUUUAUCCUUGAGCCAAACCAAACCCCGACAUGUAUCAUGUCUAGCCAUUCUACAAACCUUGAGCCAAAAUCCUGACUCACCAUAAUCCUUACCCUCGGAAGCAAAAAAGAAAAGAAGGAAAAUUUCCAAUCAAAGAGAAAGCAAAAAAAGAAAAGAAAGGAAAUUCCCAAUCAAAGAGUGGGAGAAAGCAAAAAGAAAAGAAAGAAAAUUCCCAAUCAAAGAAUGGGAGAAAGAAAAAAGAGAAAAGAAGGAAAGAAAGCUCCUGAUCAAGGAUCGAAAGAAAACAGAAGAAAUGUGCAGAGAGGUCUUUGGACCGGACAAUAUCUGAACAAUACAGAAUUGUCACCAAAUGAACAAAAAAGGAAGGAAAGGAAACCACGACCUAAAAUGGUCUUCUCCCUUUGACUACCAACCAAAAUCCCGUGCGCUAGCGACUUUUUUUCUCGCCCCGCACUAAACAAAAAAAAAACAGAAAAAGAAAAAGCCAGAAAAAUCAAAAGCCAAAAACACAAAAAAAAAAAAAAAACCACCAAAAGAACCCAUUCCCAAGGGAAGCCCUAUUGAUCCAUGAUCACACAUGUAAUUUUUGAUUUGAUAGGAAAUAAUUUGCAAAGUCAAGUCAUGACAUAUCUAUGGUCCGGAAGUAGGAUGAGACACUUACCUGUGCGAGAUUGAUACACUUUGAGUGAUUUUCUUCUAUUUUUGUCGAACCCAGUGUUUCCUCUAAAUGGUCAUUUAGAAACGAAAUGCUAACAUCCAAGAUCUCAUUUAUGGUUAUAGGGGAUCCCAUCAGCAGACUCUCCUUCCCUGGUAGACGCAUUGUUUGUCACUCAAAAAAGCAUAUGCUGCUCUAAACAGUUGGAAUAUUUGUCUCUUUGCUAAAGCAUGUUUGCAUUUUAGUGGAGAAAACACCGAGACUUUUUCAAGUCUCACAAGUUAUCCAGAACUACGUAGGUCUGAGUUCCUCAUUGGAGGAUACGUAGGAGCAAGAGCCUCGCUUUUGUCGACCACACCGCCUUUUGUUGCCAUGACUCAAGAGCUGGUAGCCCGCGGAGACACCUUACGGUUAUCCGCACCUCGUCAUUCAGUGACCCCAAGUGUGAUUGACGAGCAGAGACCAAUAUGGUCAUCUGCGCCCUUUCCGGAGAUGUCAGCAUUUUCCGAUGGAGACUUUUCAAGUCUCACAAGUUAUCAAGAACUACGUAGGUCUGAAUUCCUCAUUGGAGGAUACGUAGGAGCAAGAGCCUUGCUUUUGUCGGCCGCCCCAUAAUCUUUGUCAUACUGACCCUGAGGUCAUGUGACAUGCACCCUUGUAUCAUCCAGAGGCGGCGGGCCCGAUGAUACGCGGAGAUACCUUACGGUUAUCCGCACCCUUUUGUCAUCCAGAGGCGGCGGGCCCGAUGACAAGCAGAGACCAAGUUUGGUCAUUCUGCACCCUUGUAUCAUCCAGAGGCGGCGGGCCCGAUGAUACGCGGAGAUACCUUACGGUUAUCCGCACCCUUUUGUCAUCCAGAGGCGGCGGGCCCGAUGACAAGCAGAGACCAAGUUUGGUCAUUCUGCACCCUUGUAUCAUCCAGAGGCGGCGGGCCCGAUGACAAGCAGAGACCAAGUUUGGUCAUUCUGCACCCUUGUAUCAUCCAGAGGCGGCGGGCCCGAUGAUACGCGGAAAUACCCGAGUGGUUAUCCGUAUAAACAUUCUUUUGCUAUCAGACAGAACGCUUGAUAGCAUUGCGAAGGUUGACACAGUCUUCCUUUUGUCAUCCAGAGGCGGCGGGCCCGAUGACAAGCAGAGACCAAGUUUGGUCAUUCUGCACCCUUGUAUCAUCCAGAGGCGGCGGGCCCGAUGAUACGCGGAGAUACCUUACGGUUACAUGCACCCUUGUAUCAUCCAGAGGCGGCGGGCCCGAUGAUACGCGGAGAUACCUUACGGUUAUCCGCACCCUUUUGUCAUCCAGAGGCGGCGGGCCCGAUGACAAGCAGAGACCAAGUUUGGUCAUUCUGCACCCUUGUAUCAUCCAGAGGCGGCGGGCCCGAUGAUACGCGGAGAUACCUUACGGUUAUCCGCACCCUUUUGUCAUCCAGAGGCGGCGGGCCCGAUGACAAGCAGAGACCAAGUUUGGUCAUUCUGCACCCUUGUAUCAUCCAGAGGCGGCGGGCCCGAUGACAAGCAGAGACCAAGUUUGGUCAUUCUGCACCCUUGUAUCAUCCAGAGGCGGCGGGCCCGAUGAUACGCGGAAAUACCCGAGUGGUUAUCCGUAUAAACAUUCUUUUGCUAUCUGUAAGACAGAACGCUUGAUAGCAUGCAGAGGCUGACACAGUCUUCUGCACCUUUUGUUCCUCCGGGAACAACAAGUCAUUUACAUGCGGAAAUUUCAUGGUCACCCGCGACUCUCGUCAACCGAGAGGAGCGAAAUUAGUGUCAUACACUGAUUUUCGUCCGGGGACCUUUGCUUGAUGACAUGCGACCAUUCUUUGGUCCUUGUGAGGUGCUUGGCAUCCAUCAUUAGGCAAUUUGUGAAAUUCUGGGAACAACAAGUCAUUUGCAUGUGGAGAUUUUAUAGUCACUCGCGACUCUCGUCAAAUCGAGAGGAACGAAAUUAGUGUCUUAUCUUUACUUUCCUUUUAUCUCCAAUAAAAGACAAGUAAAGAGGGGCAACUGUCAUACCCUAAUUUCGUUCGGGGACCUUUGCUUGAUGACAUGCGACCUUUCUUUGGUCCUUGUGAGGUGCUUGGCAUCCAUCAUUAGGCAAUUUGUGAAAUUUUAGGACAUGCCGAAAAACCGAAAAAUAUUGAUGCACAAUCCGUAAGUUUCCGUGACACACCGGAAAUCAAAUGGAAGCAUCGUUGCAUAAUUAAGUGAGAUUCCGUAACAUUCCGUAAGUAAAAAAGGGGAUGAUUAUGUAAUCCGCAAGGUUCCGUAACAUUACGGAAAGAAAACAAGUAUCGUUACGAAAUUCAUAAGUUUCCGUAACUUUACGAAAAAAGAAUCACCAAAAAAUAGCAGAGGGGUGUACUUAGUAAAAAUGGGGGCGCAAAUAGCACCCAGGCCCACUUGGGCCCUCCAGAAUAUUCCUCCAGAAUGUUGUUGCUUCUGGAGGAAGCAACCUGGCUCGCCUGGGCGAGCUGGGCGGCAACCACCUCCCCUAUUUUGCUAUAAAUAGGGGAGGAAAUGAUGAAGGAAGGGGUUCAGCCCCUUAGGCACUUCUCUCUCUUUCGAAUUUGCUUGGAAAAAUUGUUUCCGUGAAGAAAAUCUAAGCCGAGGCGCUUCCGAAACGUUUCCGUAACGUUUUCCGUGAGGAAUCUCGCAAAGGUUUCAACCGUUCUUCGACGUUCUUCAUUCGUUUUUCAUCGUUCUUCGAUCUUCAACGGGUAAGUACCUCGAACCAAGCUUUUCGAUUCAUUCUAUGUACCCGUAGUGGUCCACAUUGUGUUUCGUGCAUUUUUAUUCUCGUUUUGUUUACUUUUUAUACCCCCUGUUGACGUGCUUAAGUCAUUUUACUUAAGCCAUUUCUCGCUUAACUUAAAAAUAAAAUCAAUUUCCACCGAACGUUUGAAUUGUAUUAUCCGUUAACUUCGGUUAAAAUAAAUUCCGACCGUUCGGUCGUGCCGUAAUCACGUUGGAAAUCAAAAAGAGGUAAAAAAUAAUAUAAUAAUCAAAAAAACAUCUUUUAGUAAAAUAAAGCGGAAAAUCAAUCGGACGUUUUCUCUUUGGGAUUUCUCAUUCUUAAUCGAAUUGAUUAAUAACUAAAGUGAAACUUAAGGCUAAAAUCAACUCGCCUAGUCGAGCUCGUCCACAAAAAUAGGCUUUUGAAGUUUGUCAUUUCAAUUUCUCACUAAGUAAAAUGGAUCAUUUUUAAGGUCCAACGCCUUAAAAUGAUCACCUCUUAAAAUAAAAAGAAUCACUUGAUAAGAAAGAACUACGUAGGUCUGAUUUUCUCAUCCCAAAUUGAGGAAUACGUAGGAGCAAAGGGAAACACCCUUGUCGACCACAAAAAAGAGAAAAAUAUAAAAAGGGUAUAAAGGAACUUUUAAGUGAAGGGAACGUAAAAAUCAAAGUCAUGUUUGCACAUUCGAUUAAAGGUUGUCGUCCCUUGGGACAGACGUAUGGGGUGCUAAUACCUUCCCCGUGCGUAAAUACAACUCCCGAACCUUUCACUUAAAAGUUCGUAGAUCGCGUCUUUUCCGGUUUUUCUGACGUUUUCCUCAAAUAAACGUUGGUGGCGACUCCGCGCGUAUUCCUUUCGUGGAUUCCGCAUCCCGCGAGUCUCGCGUCGCCUUCCCGCCGAAGGGUAGGUUGCGACACACUAAAUGAUCAUUUGUUUUGCACUGUAACUGGCGUUCAACACCAUAAGUUGACUAACAAGAAUCAGAAGAUCAACAAACGAUAGUCCUCGAACGAAAUUUGGGUAUGAAAAGGGGUAACCUCACAUGCAAGGCUAAGGUUUCUAAAUUGUUCUUGGAGAUCCAUCUCUCUAACCAUCAAGGUAGAUAUUUGUAGGGAUUUCCUACUCAAGGCGUUAGCCACUACAUUGGCUUUGCCGGGAUGGUAGCUAAGCUCAAAAUCAUAAUCUUUAAGAAACUCUAAUCAUCUCCUUUGACGCAUGUUCAACUCUUUUUGACUAAACAAGUACUUAAGGUUCUUAUGAUCACUAAACACCUCAAACAUGGAGCCAAACAGGUAAUGCCUCCACAUCUUAAGGGCGAAAACUAUAGCAACCAACUCCAACUCAUGGGUGGGAUAAUUCCUCUCAUGAGUCUUGAGUUUUCUAGAAGCAUAGGCCAAUACUUUUCCAUUUUGCAUCAACACUCCUCCUAAACCCAUCUUUGAUGCAUCACAAUACACCUCAAAGGGUUCUCUCGGGUUAGGCAAAACUAGCACUAGAGUCGUCGUCAAUUUUUCCUUAAGGGUUUGGAAACUAUGCUCACAUUGGGUAUCCCACACAAAAUCUUGACCCUUACGAAUUAGUCAAAGGUAAAGCUAACUUGGAGAAACCUUCUAAGAAUCUUCUGUAGUAUCCUAUUAAGACCAAAAAACUCCUAAUCAUAAAAAUUGAUUUAGGACUCUCCCACUCAAGAACGACUUCUAUCUUAGAGGGAUCUACAACUAUAGCCCCUUGAGAUAUCACAUGCCCUAGGAAACUAACUUUCUCUAACCAAAACUCACACUUGGACAACUUAUCAUAAAGUUGUCGGUCCCUAAGGGUAUGCAACACAAUCCUCAAGUGUUUUUCAUGUUCCUCUCUAGUCUUGGAGUAUACCAAAAUAUCAUCUAUGAAUACUACCACAAAACUAUCAAGGUAAGGGUAAAAGCCUCUAUUCAUGUAGUCCAUAAACACACCUGGAGCAUUAGUCACACCAAAGGGCAUGACUAGAUACUCAUAGUGACUAUAACGGGUCUAUCUUGCUAAACACACAAAAGCAGUUUUCGGUAUAUCCUUAGACUUCACUCGGAUCUGAUGGUAACCUGAUCUAAGGUCUAUCUUGCUAAACACAAGCUCCUACCAGUUGGUCCAUAAGGUCAUCUAUUCUUAGUGUGAAAAUUCACACUUAGCGCAACUCCCUCUGCACUAAGUCUCACUCAAUGCGCUAAUUCCCACUCAGCGUAAUUCCCUCUCAGGUUAGAAUUGCGCUUAGUGCGCCCCUUAAUUCCCUCUUGGGUUGGAAUUGCGCUUGGCGAGACAUCCAAAUUUGUACUUUCCAAAAUCCUAACGGUCAGAAUGUGGACAAUUGUCUUGGGAACCUCCAUUCAAAAUUUGAAGACGAUCCAACGGUUAACGAAUCCGGGAUAGCGAUUUUACUGAAAUAGGUUUAGGUAAAAUUUGAAAUCUCAUAAUUUCAACUUAGUUCAACAAAACUCUACAUAAAUCAACAUCCACACCAAGAAAUUCACACAUGACUAAGUCCAGCCAUACCUUAACUCAUUCAAGUCAACCAUAUAGUCAAAUAACACAAUAAAUACAAUUAAACAUCGAUUUAUAAUUAGUAAUAUUUCAAGGUGUUACAUUGGCUGCUCAUAAUCAUGGUUUUUUUGGUGAGGCAUUAAGAAGUAAUGUGUCCUCUUCCAAGACAUUUAAAGCACUUUAGCCUUAAGGGUUUUCUUUUCUAUUGUCUUCCCCUUAUAUCCUUUUGGCUUAGAAGGUGCCGCCCCUAAGAUGCCUUGACCUUGGUCUUUCUUUGGAUAAGAGCGAAAGCCAUAAGAUUUUGAAGUAGGCUUCCUCUUAAGUUGUUGCUCUACCCUUAUGCAAAGUUGGACUAGGUUAUCUAGGUCCCUAUAUGGAAGGAGAUCUACCUUGUCCCUCACUUCCAUAUUUAGUCCACUAAAGAACCUAGCAAUACUUGUUCUUUCUUCCUCCAUAAGCCCAACUCUCAAAAGGAGUAGUUCCAUUUGUUGCCUAUACUCUUCAACACUCAUACUCCAUUGUCUAAGCCUUUGGAGCUUGUCCAUAAGCUCCCUUUCAUAUUAGGAGGGGAUGUGCCUCUUCCUAAGGGCAUUUUUCAAGUCAUUCUAAUACUCUACUAGAGGAUCCCUAUGAAUCCUUUUUUCCCUAACAAGGGAAGUCCACCAAUAGGGGGUAUACCCUUAGAAGCUAAGGGUAGCCAAAGGAACCUUCCUUUCCUCACUUGUAUGAUGGCAAGAAAAGAGUUGCUAAACCUUCAUUUCCCAAUCUAAAUAUGCCUCUACAUUGUCCUUCCCAUGGAAGUAUGGAAGGUUAAUGUUAGCCUCUUGAGGCUUUCUUUCCUUUUCUCUCCUAUGGGAGUGAGAUCUAGGAUGUGACCUAUGCCUUCCUCCAUAAUAGUCACUAAGUUCUUCACUUAGGCUCUUGCAAGAGUCAUGACUACUAUCGGAGGCAUGUUUUUAUUUUCUUAACUCUUUUAGUAUUUUCUUUCUUUCUUCUUCCCUUAUUUGUUCCCUCUCAUCUUGACUUAUUUCUACCCUCUCUUUUCCUUUUUCUUUUCUUUCUAGUUUUUCUUUUCAUAACUUGAGGGAACUCAACUCAUCUAAUAUUCUAGAUAGAGGUUCCUUAUGACUAGUACCCUCACCAUUAAUACUAGAUGAACGAUGACUCAUAUUGGUUCCUAAGUUGUGUUUCUUUCUUGUUGGGGGUUUGCAAAAAGGUAAAAGCUAGGGUUCAAAUGAUCUUAAGAUAAGCGUGAUAAGAAAGAAGAAAUUAUUAUGCAAUAACAAGAUAAACUAAGCGUGACUAUUAAAGAAAAUAUGCUAUGAAAGUAAGCAAGAAAUUAAAGUACAAAAUAUGUAAACUAGAUGGAUUCUAAGAGUGCUCGGAUAACCACAUUUGAGGUUCCCAAUAAAACACUCACUAUCCUGAGGGGAAAUUGCCUAAAAUUAUUACACACAAAUGAAAGUAUGGUAACCUAUUGGAGGCUCCCAACACACUUCCAAUGAAUGGCCUUUUGUUACAAAAUUUUAAAGCAAUGAAGGUAAACAUACAAGUGUCCAAUUACAAGUAAAUUGCCCAAUUACAAAAUUACAAAAAAAAAAAUCCUCAAUUUUGGUGGCUGUUCUCUAUUUGGUGUUUCACUCAAUUUGGAGUGCUUCUUAGUCUAAAAGCUCUUAAGGUGGUUGGCCCCUUGCUUCUAGACUCAAAUUCUUCAAUUGAUGGCACCAAUCCUCCUUUCCAAUUCCCUGUAGGGUAACUCUCAAACAAGGAAACAAAGAGACAAGCAAUAAACAAAGACAAAAAAAUGAAAUGAAAGUUAAACCAAUAGAGUUUUAAGAAGACAAAUUUUCAAGGAUUUUCAACAAUUAAAGCAAUGAAUAGCACAUAAAAGCAAUCUAUGACUCAAAGAGAAACCUAGAAUGACUCUAGAAUAGAGUAAAAAAAACUAAAAAACUCAAGAAACCUCUAGUUUUGGCACAUGUUUUCACACUACUUUUCAAUUGAAAUUUUAGAACUAAGAUUGGUCUAAAGCAAGAACUAAUUAUAGAAUAAAUUUUGAGCCAAAACAACAAGCACACUUCCCUUUCACUUUUUUUUUAUUUUUUUUCCUGGACACUAAUUUUCCUGCCAACUUGUAUUAUUUUUAUUAUCUUUUCCUUUUAUCUAAAUCACUUGGUUCUUUUUUUCUAAUUCUUUUCCAAAUCUCUAGAAAAUUUAGAUAAAUUUCAGCUCAAAAUUUAAAGUGACCAAUUCCCAAUAAUUUUUACACAUUUGUAUGUGCAAGCUGCCAACACUAGCAAUUUCAGACUUCGAAUUUCUUUUAAGCAUGGCAUAUUGAUUGCCUUAGGUUUACUUUCAACUUUCCUAUGUAUAUUAAACUCACUAGGCCUAUUUACCACAGUUUUAGGAGUUCAAUAUUCACUUAGUAUCAAAAUUUCAGCCAACAAUUCUAUCACCAAAGCUCAAAUUCACAAUAGAUACAAUCACAAGGAAACCUAAAAGUUUAAGAAAAGGUUCACAAUAAAAGACUCUCUAAGAAUUAUGCAUGAACAUGUUAAGGACUAAUUAACAUGCAAGAUUUGACUAAAAUCAAAUAAUAGGCUAAAAAUUUUCAUACACUCAUGAACAAAUGAAUUAGACAAAGAAACAAGAAAAAAAAAAUUCAGCACAACAUAAGGAAUCUUAUGUGACAAGUUUCAUGACUAGACAUGACUUCUAUGACAAAACUACAAUAGGUGAACAUGUUACUCUAGAUUUUUGAGGUUUUCUUCUACUUUAAUCUUUUUGUAAGAAUUUUAUGGUUCAUGUUUUAGCCACAAAAAAUAGCAAUACAAAACUCAAAGGAACCUAAACUCAACACAAUUCAUGGUUCACGAACAAGAACAAGAAAUUUGAACCAUAAAAGAAACAACAAUGAAGGAGAACCUACCUGAAGGUUUAAGGAACACCUACAUGAAGCUCUUGUGCUCUGACCACUUGACGGAAUCUUGCUUCAGAAGCUUCUAUGGAGGCUGGAUCUUUGAGCUUCACUAAGGUCCUUCAAUGGUGAUUUUCAGCCAUGGAGUUGCACCGAAAGAUAAAGAAGAAGAGGUGAGAGGAGGCGCCAUCCACUAGAGAAUAAACCAUGGAAGGAAAAGCUUUACCUCCAAGAGAGUGCCUUGGAUAAGAACCUUAGAGAGGAAGCUUUAAUGGAGGAAGAGAAUGAGAGAGAGAGAGAGAGACAGAGAGAGUGGCAUGGAAAUUGAAGGAUAAUAGGGAGAAAAGUUGAACUUUGAAGUGUGCCUCACAAGUUUCUCAUUCAUCAAAGUUAUGACAAGUGUUACACAUGUUUCUAUUUAUAGCCUAGCACAUAGGAAGCUUCCUUGAGAAGCAAGGAAGGUAGCUUCCUUGGGAAGCUAGAGGAAGAAAGUUUCCUUGAGAAGCUAAAGGGGGCAACUCACACCCCUCCAUUAGCUAAGCUCACCCCAUGCCAAAAUACAUGAAAAUACAAUGGGAAGCUUCUUUGAGAAGAAAGGAAGGUAGCUUCCUUGGGAAGCAAGGAAGAAAGCUUCCUUGAGAAGCUAGAGGGGGGCUACUCACACCCUUCCAAUAGCUAAGCUCACGCCUAUGCCAAAAUACAUGAAAAUACAAAAUAAUCGCUACUACAAAGACUACUCAAAAUGCCCUAAAAUACAAGGCUAAAACCAUAUACUACUAGGGUACCCUUAAUUUGUAGGGUCCCCUACAAACCUAAAAUGGCCAAAAUACAAGGCCUAAAAGAAGGAAAAUUUAUUCUAAUAUUCACAAAGGUAAGUGGGCUCAUACUUAGCCCAUGGGCCCAAAAGAAGGAUGUUGCACUUAAAUUGGGCAAGAUCUUCAUUCGCAAAAUUAAACUUAUGGUUAAUUCUCCAAAUUUUAAAAAGGGUGUAUGCAACAAAAAGAAUAUGAGAUGUUAGGUUAAUUUGGGGAAGGAAUGGUGAUCUGGAACUACACAGGUCAGACUUUGGAGAGGUUAGGUUUCAUAACAUUUGCGGGUCAAGAUUUAGUUGGCCUAACAAGUUGGUCAAGAGAGAGUAAGGAUUGGGGACAACCUAGUUUCUCUCAUUUGAGACGUAGAUUAGAAAUCCCAUUGAAGCAUGAGAUGCACAGGGUAGCCAAAGGAUUUAAUCAAAGGAGGGCAAGUCUAGAAGGUAGGGUGAGCGACCUUAGAAAAGGAGACAAAGAUACUAAGUGCGACAACAUCGACAAGGUUGUUAAGGAGGCAUAGUCUGGAUGGGAUGGCAAUGGGCUUGUGAGGUGUAGUUCAAAGGAGAUCUAAUCACGAGGAGAGGAUAAUUCUUGCAAAUGGGUAUAUCCAAUACAUAGGGUGUUUUCUUCGAAAAGUUUGCUAGAUCCAAAUGCAAGCAUUUUCCCAAAAAUAUUAAAUAUGGCAGGGGAUGGAGCAAGGAAGAUAUAAGUUUUGCUUCAAUAGUUGUGGUUGAAUAGGGAUUUAUGGGAAGAGGUUUAAGUUGAACAAAGUGGAGUGAUGGAGAACCGAGACGAAGAAGCAAAUCGAGAGAUGAGGGAUCUAUCGGGUGACUUAUGAAGACUUUAUCAUUGAACGUGUGGGGGAUAAGAGAUAGAAUCAAAAGAAGAAGGUUACAGUCAAUCAUUACUAAUAAGAUAGAUUGUUGUCUCUAACAAGAAACCAAAUGUGAACACUUGGCUGAUGUGGGGUUAAGGAGAUUUGGGGGCUCUGAAUAGAAGUGGUUAGCAAAACCAUUUGAGGGUCUAGUGGGAGGCUUGCUAAGUAUUUGGAGGUUUGAAACAUUGUCACUAAAAUUCCAUUUUCAGGGUGAGGGGUUCUUAGGGGUGGGAGUGGAAUAAGCAGACUCUGGGGAACUUUGUAUCUUGGUUAAUAUCAAUUCAUCUUGUUCUUAAGAAGGGAAGAAGAUGUAGUGGGAUAAUAUUAUCAUAAUAGAAAGCAGAUUCAACUAUUCAAAGUAGUGUAUUGCAAGUGAUUUCAAUGCGGUAGAGGAUUCAUUAGAAGUUUUGGGUAGGUCAAGCAACUAUAGCAGAGUAAAAAUGGCUCUCUUUGAAGCCUCCAUUCAUGAUGGAGUUUUGUUAGGGAGAAGACUCUAGAUGGAUUAGCAUCUAGUAAAUUGGACAGAUUCCUUUUGUCAAAAGAUUUAAUACAAUUAUGGAAUAUCACACCACAAUGGAUUGGGCCUAAAUAAAUCUUAGAUCAUUGUGUUAUGAUUUUGAAAAAGGAUAAGCAAAAUUAGGGCAGUCAACCAUUUUGCUUUUUUGAUCGUUGGAUGCAACAUUGAGUCUUUAGAGGAAGUGGUGGAAGAGUAAUGGAAUUAGGAGAUGAAUGAAAGGUGGAAGAUGUUCAUAGUGAAAGAAAAGUUAUAAAGAUUGAAGGUGAAGCUCUAGGUGUGGUAGAAAAAAGUCUUUAGGGUUCUUAACGUUCAAAUAGAAGAAAAAUUAGGGGACUUGAAUAAAUUGGAUGAAAACAUUUUGGAAGGAAACCUAGAAGUGAUACAAAUUAGGAAGACUUUGUCAUUAGAUUGUUUUGAAAUUGGUGACAGUCAAAUAAAGUACAUUAAUUCAAAAGGCAAAAGUAAAAAUGGAGACUUCAAUUUGAGUUUCUUCCAUUUUUGUUUCAAAUCCAGGAUGCAAUAGAAUCAUUUGGUGGUAGUAAAUUCUUAGAGUGGAUGGAUAGAAGGGGUAAUAAAGGUGAAAUUUUCUGUGAAAAACCAUUUUAAGACGUUGUUUCAAGAAUCAUUUUAAACUUGUCCAAAGUUGGAUGGAAAUUAUUUUUAAAAAAAUAUCGACAGAGGAAUACAGGGAAUUUUCAUUUCCUUUAUCUUAUGAAGAAAUAAAAUAGGUGGUGUGGAGUUAUGAGGGGGGCAAAAGUCUAGGGCCUGACGAAUUUGGAUUCUCUUUUUACAAAUCAUGUUGGGAAAUAGUUUUAAGCAGUAUAUGUGAAGGCAUACAGGAGUUUUAUCAAAAUGCAACUCUUCUGAAAGUAGUUACAUUCUCUUUAUUGGCCUUGAUACAAAAGAUUAAGCAUCCAUAAAGGAUAGAAGAGUACAAACUGAUUUCAUUAACUCCUAGUCUACAAAAGAUUAUUCCGAAGUUGUUGGCAUCUAUAUUAAAGAGGGUAUUGGCAAAGGUAAUCCCAAAAGUGCAGAAAGCAUUCCUCCAAGAGACAAGUUCUGGACAGGGUUUUGGUAACUGAUGAGAUAGUUGAUUGGGCUCAGAGGUUCAACCAAAGUUGUUUUAUUUUUAAAGUAGACUUUGAAAAAGCCUAUGACUCAAUCAGUUGGAACUUUCUUGAGUGCAUGCUCAUUAGAUUAGCUUUGGGGAGAAAGAUUGAGGGCCUAGAUCGGAACUAUUGCCUUCUUUAGUUAGGUAUUAAUAAUAGUAAACUUCUAAAUUUGUUGCACAAAGUGGGUUAAACUUGAGGGAUCCUUUAUCCCCCUUUUUGUUCUUAAUAGAGGCAGAAGGUUUGGGGUUGUUUAGAGAAGCAGUGAGAGGUCUCCUUGUAGAAGCAAGCUUCAUGAUGAUGAAUCAAGUUGAUUCAAGAAGUUUUGAUGAUGACAAAGAUGAUGACAAAAAUCCCAAAGAAUGAUUUCAAGAUUGAGUCAACAAGUUCAAGAUCAAGAUUAAUUUCAAGUUUCAUGAGAAGAAAUCAAGAAGAUUCAAGAAUCAAGAGAAGUUUGAUUUCAUGAUUCAAGAGAAGUUGAAUUCAAGUUUCAAGAGAAGAAAUCAAGAAGACUUCAAUGGGAAGUAUUGAAAAGAUUUUUCAAAAAACAAACAUAGCACAGUUUUGUUUUUCAAAAGAGUUUCUUACAAAAUUUUCUAAGUUACCAGAGUUUUUACUCUCUGGUAAUUGAUUACCAAUUUCCUGUAAUCGAUUACCAGUGGCAAAGUUUGAUUUCAAAAGCUUUUAACUGAAUUUGCAACGUUCCAAUUGUUUUCUAAAUAGUGUAAUCAAUUACAAUAUAUUGGUAAUCGAUUACCAAUGUAUCUAAACGUUGAAAUUCAAAAUCAAUUGUGAAGAGUCAUAUCCUUUCAUAAAAAGCUUUGUGUAAUCGAUUACAUGGUUUUGGUAAUCGAUUACCAGUGACAAGUUUUGAAUAAAAAUCAAAAGAUGUAACUCUUCCAAUGGUUUUCAGGUUUUUCUAAAGGUUAUAACUCUUCCAAUGGUUUUCUUGACCAGACAUGAAGAGUCUAUAAAAGCAAGACCUUGACUUGCAUUUCAAUAACUUUGACAACUUUUACACAUAACUUUUUGAUAACCUUUUGAUAACUUUCUUCUUCUUCCUUUGCCAAAAGCUUUCUGAGUUUUCUGGUUUCCAAACUUUGUUCUUUCACAGAAAACAAAAGUGUGCUAUUCAUCUUUUUCAUUCUCUUCUCCCUUUGCCAAAAAUAAUUCACCAAGGACUAACCACCUGAAUUCUUUUUGUGUCUCUCUUCUCCCUUUUCCAAAAGAACAAAGGACAAAUCGCCUGAAUUAUUUUGUGUCUCCCUUCUCCCUUGUCAAAGAAUUCAAAACGACACAGUCUAAGAAUUCUUUUGAUUCUUCCCUUUCCCAUAAACAAAAGAUUUCAAAGGACUAACCGCCUGAGAUAUUUUUUGUUUCCCCUUCACAAAGUUUCAAAGGACUAACCGCCUGAGAACUUUGUCUUAACACAAUGGAGGGUACAUCCUUUGUGGUACAAGUAGAGGGUACAUCUACUUGGGUUGUUGUGACUGAGAAUAAGAGAGGGUACAUCUCUUGUGGAUCAGUUCAAGUGGAGGGUACAUCCACUUGGUUGUUCAAAGAGAACAAGGGAGGGUACAUCCCUUGUGGAUCUUUGCUUGUAAAGGGUUUUACAAGGUUGAAAAGAAAUCUCAAGGACUGCAGGUCGCUUGGGGACUGGAUGUAGGCAUGGGUUGUUGCCGAACCAGUAUAAAACUCUUGUGUUUGUCUUCUUCUUCCCUUCACUUUUAAUUUCCGUUGUGCACUUUAAUUAUCGCUUUUACUUUUGGUUAAGUUUCUAUUUAUGUUCUUUACUUUCUUAACAUUAUAGUAAAAAGGAUAGAUUUCUAAUUAGUAAAGGUUCGUUAAUAAUUAAUUCAACCCCCCCUUCUUAAUUAUUUCGAGGCCAUUUGAUCCAACACUCCAAUAUAGUAGUGUCAAGGUGGGUAAAGAAGCCCAGUUCUCCUUUCUACAGCAUGCGAACAAUGCUAUAAAUGUAGGGGAGGUGUCAUAUCAGAACCAUUGGUCCCUAAAGACAAUAAUGAGAGCUUUCGAGAUGGUGUCAAUAUUAAGAAUUAAUUUCUGGAAAAGUAAUAUGUAUGGGGUAAACAUGGAUCAACACUUCUUUCAAGAGGCUGAGGUUUUCCUGCAUUGGAAGGUUGCUUCAUUACCUUUUAAUUUCCUGGGUUUGUUAGAUAGAGUCAACCUGAGAAGGAGCUGUUCAUGGGAUAAGUUGGUGCACAUUUUUUAGAAGCGACUAGCAAUGCGGAAAAGCUAGAUAGAUAUCAAUUAUAGGUAGAAUUAUCAUGAUAAACUUUGUUUUAUGUAGCCUCCCUCUAUAUUCCUUUUCCUUCUUUAAGGCACCAAAGUAGGUCAUUCAAAAGCUAGUCAGUUUGUAAUGGAGAUUUUUAUGGUUCAGGGGUUUAGAUACUAUAAAAAUUUCUUGGAUUAGAUGCGAGAGGAUCUGUUUGCCAAAGAAUGAUGAUAGGUUAUGGGUAAAAAAUAUGGAAUGGUUCAAUAUUAGCUUGCUAAAUGGAGGUGGAUUGUUGAAGACAAGAUAUAGGAAAUUCCAAGAUCAUGCAUAUGAGAAAACCCCUCCUACAAGAUGAUUGAUUUGGUGAUGGGAUAUUAUUGGUUUGGAUUCAAAAGGUUUGAUAGUACGGGGAUGGUUCACGAAAUGUACUAGACGUUGUUGGAUCAAGUAGCCUCGGAAUAAUUAAGAAGGGGGGGGGGGGUUGAAUUAAUUAUUAAUGUGUCUUGACUAAUUAAAAAUUUAUCCUUCUUAAUGUUACUAGAUUCAACUAGGCUUUUAUUACUAAGUUAAGAAAGUAAAGAACAGAAACAGAAACUUAACCAAAAGUAAAAGUGGCAAUUAAAAGUACACAGCGGUUAGUCCUUUGAAAUCUUUUGUUUAAGGGGAAGGGAAGAAUCAAAAGAAUUCUCAUGUGGUUAGUCUUUUGAAUUCUCUUGGAAGAGGGAGAAGGGAGACACAAAAGAACUCAGGCGGUUAGUCCUUCGAUUCUUUUGGCAAGAGGGAGAAGUGAAUUAAGAAAAAGAAUAGCACAAGUUUUUGGUCAAUGAACUUUUCUUGAAAGAGAAAGUAUUGAACAAAAACUUUUAGAAAGAUGAAGAGAAAUGAAUGAAAGUUCUGUAAAAGAAAACGUUAUUGAAAUUCAUGCCAUGGUCACAUAUUUAUAAUAAUUUGAUGACUCAAGUUAAAGUUUGUGACUCUUGGCAAUUUCUUUAAAACUAGUCACCUUUUAAAAAUUGUGACUCUUUUUUGAAAACUAGUCACUUAAAAGGUUGUGACUUUUGGAAAAAUCUUCAGAAACAAGUCACUUUAAGAAUUGUGACUUUUGGAAAUUUAUUUUUCGAAAUCAGUCACUGGUAAUCGAUUACCAUCAUUGUGUAAUCGAUUACACAUAAACAAAUAUGACUCUUUAUGUUUAAAUUUGAAAAUCAAAACAUUUAGAAACUCUGGUAAUCGAUUACGAGUAUUGUGUAAUCGAUUACACAAGUUUAAAAUGAUUUGAAAAUGUUUUUAUCACUAGUUGUGACUCUUGAAAUUUGAAAUCUAACAUUUUAAAAUAUUGGUAAUCGAUUACAUGAUUAUGGUAAUCGAUUACAGCUUUGUAAAUCUGUUUUGAAAACAAUGUUGGCUACUGGUAAUCGAUUACUACCUUUUGGUAAUCGAUUACCAGAGAAUUUUACUCUCUGGUAAAAGAUUUUGUGAAAAAAUUCUUGUGCUACUCAAUGUUCUGAAAAACUUUUCUUAGUACUUAUCUUGAUUGAGUCUUAUCUUGAUUCUUGAUUCUUGAGUCUUUAAUCUUGACCUUGAUUGUUCUUAAAUCUUGAUUCUUGAAACUUGAUUGUUCUUGAAUCUUGAAUCUUGAAACUUGAUUGUUGAAGCUUUUUGACUCCUGAUUCUUUGGAACUUUCUUAACUAUUGAUUCUUUGGCAUCAUCAAAAUAAUCUUGGAAGGCAUUGCUUCCACAAUCUCCCCUUUUUGAUGAUGACAAUCUUGAAAUCAAGAGAAUACAUACAAGUUUUGUUCUAUCGUUCACUCAUUUCUUUCUCCCCCUUUCCUUUUGAAUUUAUGCUUAAUUUUAAAGUUUUGAAAAUAUAAUAUCUUGAUUUCUAAAAUACCCGAUUUCUCUUCGCCUUUGGCAACAUCAAAAAGGCCAAAGUGCGUAAAAUAAAACAUACAUGAAUAAUUCGAAUACAUACAACACAAUACCAAAUGUAAGUACAUACCACUAGACAUAUAUAUCAUAAAAAAUAUUUAAGUUUAACACACAUGACCUAUUUUUCAGAGAAUAAAUAACAUAAUGUCAUAAAUCAUUCACAAAAAAUAAUAAAAGCAUGUGUAUUAAACAAGUCAUAAGUCAUCAUAACAUAAAACAAAUCAUUUGUCUAAGUCACUGGCAUCUAGAAGUCCUAAUUCUCUUCUAAUGGUGUAGAAGGAAUCUUUGGGUAGUGGUUUUGUGAAGAUAUUUGCGAGUUGAUUUUUGGUAUCUACAAAUUCUAGAACACAAUCACCUUUUAGGACAUGAUCUCUAAGGAAAUGAUGCCUAAUUUCUAUGUGCUUAGUUCUAGAGUGGAGAACUGGGUUCUUAGAUAUAUUUAUGGCGCUUGUGUUGUCACAUUUUAAGGGGAUAUGGUCUAAUACAAUCCCAUAAUCAGAUAGUUGUUGUUUCAUCCAUAGAAUCUGUGCACAACAACUACCAGUAGAGAUGUAUUCUACUUCGGCUGUGGAUAAUGCUAAACUAUUUUGCUUCUUGUUGUGCCAAGAGACAAGAGCAGAUCCUAUGAAUUGACAUGUGCCACUAGUACUCUUCCUAUCUGUUUUGGAUCCAACAAAAUCUGAAUCUGAGUAUCCUACUAAAUUGCAUAAAGAAUUUUUUGGGUACCAUAAUCCUAAGUUAAUUGUUCCUAAGAGAUAUCUUAUGAUCCUUUUUACUGCAGUUAAAUGUGAAAACUUUGGAUUUGAUUGAAAUCUUGCACACAUGCACACACCAAACAUAAUAUCUAGCCUACUUGCAGAUAAGUAAAGUAGAGAUCCAAUCGUACCUCUAUAUUGCUUUUCAUCAACAGGUUGACUGGACUCAUCUUUGUCAAGGUAGCAACUAGUGCUCAUAAGAGUAGCCAAAUGUUUUGAGUUCUCCAUUCCGAAUCUCUUGAUGAUUUCUUUACAGUAUUUUGCUUGGUUGACAAAGAUCCCAUCAUUUGUUUGUUUGAUUUGUAAUCCAAGAAAGUAAUUUAAUUCACCCAUCAUGGACAUCUCAAACUCACUUUGCAUGUCAAUAGAAAACUCCUUACAUAAAGAUUCAUUAGUAGAUCCAAAGAUUAUAUCAUCAACAUAAAUUUGUACCAAUUAGAUAUCAUUAUCCUUCUUUUUAAUGAAUAAGGUGGUAUCUACCUUUCCUUGAAUGAAAUUCUUUUCUAAUAUGAAUUUACUUAAUCUUUCAUACCAAGCCCUAGGUGCCUGUUUCAACCCAUAAAGUGCUUUCUUUAACCUAUAAACAUGAUCUAAUUUUUGUGAGUCUUCAAACCCGGGAGGUUGUUCUACAUAUACUUCCUCUUGGAUUAGACCAUUUAGGAAGGUACUCUUGACAUCCAUUUGAUAUAUUUUAAAGUUCAUAAUAGAUGCAUAAGCUAAAAGCAUCCUAAUGGCUUCUAAUCUAGCUACAGGUGCAAAUGUUUCUUCAUAGUCUAUACCUUCUUCUUGGUUGUACCCUUUUGCAACUAUUCAAACUUCAUUUCUAAUUACUAUACCAUUUUCAUCUAGUUUAUUUCUAAAUACCCACUUAGUUCCUAUAAUGAGGUAGUUAUCUGGUUUCUCAACUAGUUCCCAAACAUUAUUUCUCUCAAAUUGAAUUAACUCUUCUUGCAUAGCAACUAUCCAUUGAUCAUCUAUUAUGGCUUCUUUAAAGAUUUUAGAUUCUAUCAUAGAAACAAAUGCCAUGUUAUUGCAUAAAUCUUUGAGAGAGUGUCUAGUUGUUACCUCUUUUGAGAUAUCUCCGAUGAUGUUGUCAUGAGGAUGAUUUCUUGAAGUUUCCCAUUCUUUGGGAAGAUCAUCAUUUUCAUGGGCUAUGUCAUCUUGAACAUCCUUGUUUUCUUCAUUUCUCUUCCUUUUCAGAUUCCUUUCUUGAUUGAGCAUAUCUUCCAAAGAAUCUGCAAUAUCAUCAAGAAACUCCUUUCUCGGAGAAGUAAUAUUAGUUUCAUCAAAAGAAACAUGUAUUGAUUCCUCAAUUGUCAUGGUUCUUUUGUUGUAUAUCCUAAAGGCUUUGCUAUGUAGGGAAUAACCAAGGAAGAUGCCCUCAUCUACCUUAGCAUCAAAUUUACCUAGGCUUUCUUUACCAUUGUUUAGGACAAAACAUUUACAUCCAAAAACAUGUAAAUGAGCAAUGUUUGGUUUCUAUUGUUAAAUAGUUCAUAUAGGGUUUUUUUAAGAAUGGGUCUUAUUAAGGCUCUAUUCAUAAUAUAACAUGCGGUGUUGACUGCUUCUGCCCAAAAAUAUUUUGGAAGUGGCGUGCCAUUUAAAAGGGUUCUAGCGAUUUCUUCUAAAGAUCUAUUUUUCCUUUCUACUACACCAUUUUGUUGGGGUGUCCUAGGUGCAGAAAAGUUGUGUUCUAUGCCAUGUUCAUCACAAAACAUUUCAAAAUCAUUGUUUUCAAAUUCACCUCCAUGAUCAUUUCUAAUGGAGAUAAUUUUGAGAUUUUUCUUGUUUUGGAUGACUUUGGAAAGUCUUCUAAAUGCAUGAAAUGCAUCAUUUUUGUGAGUAAGAAAUAAAGUCCAAGUAUACCUAGAAUAGUCAUCGACAAUUACUAAGGCAUAGUAACUACCACCAAAACUCAUGACCCUAUAGGGUCCAAACAAAUCCAUAUGUAAUAAUUGUAAUGGUUGAGUGGUAGAGACAAUAUUUUUAGAUUUAAAAGAUAUUUUUGUUCGUUUACCUUUUAGGCAUGCAUCACAUAACUUAUCUUUUUCAAACUUUAAUUUUGGUAAACCAACAACUAGGUCUUUUGAAAUUAAUCUAUUUAAAUGAUCCAUGUUAAUGUGAGCAAUUCUCUUAUGCCAUAACCAAGGAUCACUAUCUUUGCUUAGAAAGCAUUUAUCAUUUUUAGAUUUUUGUUUCAAAUCAAUCAUGUAAACAUUAUUUUCUCUUAAACCUAUAUGCUCAAUAUCCUUGUCUUGCUCAUGCUUGAUAACACAUUUUUCAGAAUCAAAAGAUACUUUAUAUCCUUUAUCACAUAAUUGACUAACACUUAAUAGACUAUGCUUUAAAUCUUCUACAAGUAACACAUUUUCAAUGGGAGUAGAGGAACUCGUACUUAUUUUUCCGACUCCAAUGAUUUUGCCUUUGUUGUUGUCGUUGUAUGUAGCAUGUCCACUUUUCUUGGGGGAAAUGGUUGUAAAUUUGGAUACAUCUUCUGUCAUAUGCUUGGAGCAUCCACUGUCGAUGUACCACUUUUUCCUAACAGAUUCUUCCUCGUUGGUCUCAUGAGAUUUUGUCAUGAAACAUAAGUUGGCUUAAUCUUCAUCAUGAUCUUGAAAUGAUUUCAGAUUUGACCUAUACCUGAAAUUUCUUUUGACAAACAGAGAAUUUAAAGAGGCCAUUUAUCUUGAAGUUGUGAACCUUUUCUCAAGAAACCUGCUCUGAUACCACUUGUUGGAUCAAGUGGCCUCGAAAUAAUUAAGAAGGGGGGGGGGGGUUGAAUUAAUUAUCAAUGUGUCUUGAUUGAUUAAAAAUUUAUCCUUCUUAAUGUUACUAGAUUCAACUAGGCUUUUAUUACUAAGUUAAGAAAGUAAAGAACAGAAACAGAAACAUAACCAAAAGCAAAAGCGGCAAUUAAAACUACAUAGCGGAAAUUAAAGAGUGUGGGGAAGAAGAAGACAAACACAAGAUUUAUACUAGUUCGGCAACAACCCGUGCCUACAUCCAGUCCCUAAGAAACCAACGGUUCUUGAGAUUUCUUUCAACCUAGUAAAAUCCUUUACAAGCCAAAGAUCCACAAGGGAUGUACCCUCCCUUGUUCUCUUUGAACAACCAAGUGGAUGUACCCUCCACUUGAACUGAUCCACAAGAGAUGUACCCUUUUUGUUCUCAGUAUAACAACCAAAGUAGAUGUACCCUCUACUUGUGCCACAAAGGAUGUACCCUCCAAUAUGUUAGGACAAAGAAUUCUUAGGCAGUUAGUCCCUUGAAUCUUUGUAUGGGGAAACAAAAGAUAUUUUAGGCGGUUAGUCCUUCGAAAUCUUUUGUUUAAGGGGAAGGGAAGAAUCAAAAGAAUUCUCAGGCGGUUAGUCCUUUGAAUUCUCUUGGAAGAGGGAGAAGGGAGACACAAAAAAACUCAGGCGGUUAGUCCUUCGAUUCUUUUGGCAAGAGGGAGAAGUGAAUGAAGAAAAAGAAUAGCACAAGUUUUUGGUCAAUGAACUUUUCUUGAAAGAGAAAGUAUUGAACAAAAACAUCUAGAAAGAUGAAAAGAAAUGAAUGAAAGUUCUGUAAAAGAAAACAUUAUUGAAAUUCAUGCCAUGGUCACAUAUUUGUAAUCAUUUGAUGACUCAAGUUAAAGUUUGUGACUCUUGGAAAUUUCUUUAAAACUAGCCACCUUUUAAAAAUUGUGACUCUUUUGAUAACUAGUCACUUAAAAGGUUGUGACUUUUGAAAAAAUCUUCAGAAACAAGUCACUUUAAGAAUUGUGACUUUUGGAAAUUUAUUUUUCGAAAUCAGUUAUUGGUAAUCGAUUACCAUCAAGGUGUAAUCGAUUACACAUCAGCAGAUAUGACUCUUCAUGUUUAAAUUUGAAAAUUAAAAUGUUUAGACACUCUGGUAAUCGAUUACGAGUAUUGUGUAAUCGAUUACACAAGUUUAAAAUGAUUUGAAAAUGUUUUUAUCACUAGUUGUGACUCUUGAAAUUUGAAAUCUAACAUUUUAAAACAUUGGUAAUCGAUUACAUGAUUAUGGUAAUCGAUUACCGCUUUGUAAAUCUAUUUUGAAAACAAUGUUGGCUACUGGUAAUCGAUUACCAGAGAGUAAAACUCUUUGGUAAAAGAUUUUGUGAAAAAAUUCUUGUGCUACUCAAUGUUUUGAAAAACUUUUAUUAGUACUUAUCUUGAUUGAGUCUUCUCUUGAUUCUUGAAUCUUGAUCUUGAUUGUUCUUGAAUCUUGAUUCUUGAAACUUUAUUGUUCUUGAAUCUUGAAUCUUGAAACUUGAUUGUUGAAGCUUUCUGACUCCUGAUUCUUUGGAACUUGCUUAACUCUUGAUUCUUUGGCAUCAUCAAAAUAAUCUUGGAAGGCAUUGCUUCCACAGAUGUAGGGUUAGUGAUGGAUCAUUUACUAAGUUCUAGGGGUGUACAUGAGUUAGGUUGGAUCGAGUUUAGGGAAACUCAUCACUGUUGGAUCGAGUGGCCUCAGAAUAAUUAAGAAGGGGGGUUGAAUUAAUUAUUCCUAAACCUUUACUAAUUAAAAAAUUACUCUUUUAAGGCUUUUACUUUUGUUGUUAAGAGAAUAUGGAGCAGAAGAGAAACUUAACAGAAAGUAAAAGCGGAAAUUAAAUGCACAGCGGAAAGUAAAAGAGUAGGGAAGAAGGAAACAAACACACAAGAGUUUUUAUACUGGUUCGGCAACAACCCGUGCCUACAUCCAGUCCCCAAGCGAUUUGCGGUCCUUGAGAUUUCUUUCAACCUUGUAAAAAUCCUUUUACAAGCAAAGAUCCACAAGGGAUGUACCCUCCCUUGUUCUCUUUGAACCUAGUGGAUGUACCCUCCACUAGAGCUGAUCCACAAGAGAUGUACCCUCUCUUGUUCUUAGUCAAACCCAAGUAGAUGUACCCUCUACUUGUACCACAAAGGAUGUACCCUCCAAUGUGUUGAGACAAAGAUCUCAGGCUGUUAAACCUUUGAUACUUUGUGAAUGGGGAUACAAAAUAAUUCUCAGGCGGUUAGUCCUUUGAACACUUUUGUAUUAGGGAAUGGGAAGAAUCAAAAGAAUUCUCAGACUGUGUCGUUUUGAAUUCUUUGACAAGGGAGAAGGGAGACACAAAAGAAUUCAGGCGGUUAGUCCUUCGUUCUUUUAGAAAAGGGAGAAGAGAGACACAAAAAGAAUUCAGGCGGUUAGUCCUUGGCGAAUUCUUUUUGGCAAAGGGAGAAGAGAAUGAAAAGAUGAAUAGCACAAGUUUUCAAGGUUUAGAAAACCAGAAAACUUCAGAAAGCUUUUGGUACAAAGAAGAAGAAGAAGUUCAAAGAGAUUCAAGGCUUGUAAAGGAUUGUAUGAAUAAGUGUUCAAGAUUCUUGAAAUGCAAAACAAAGCCUUGCUUUUAUAGACUCUUCGUGUCUGGUCAAGAAGACCAUUUAGAAGAGUUAUAACUUUUAGAAAAACUUAAAACCAAUUUGAAAAAGUCAAAACCUUUUUGAAGAGUUACAUCUUUUGAUUUAUUCAGAAACAGUCACUGGUAAUCGAUUACCAAAUAAGUGUAAUCGAUUACACAAGGCUUUUAAGUGAAAGGAUGUGACUCUUCACAUUUGAAUUUGAAUUUCAACGUUCAAGGGCACUGGUAAUCGAUUACCAAAACAUUGUAAUCGAUUACAGCCUUUUGAAAAUAAUUGGAACGUCGUAAAUUCAGUUUGAAAACUUUUUCAAACUCAUUUUGCUACUGGUAAUCGAUUACCAGAGAGUAAAAACUCUUUGGUAAAAGGUUUUGUCAAAAACUUAUGUGCUAUUCAAAGUUUUGAAAAAACUUUUUAAUACUUAUCUUGAUUGAGUCUUCUCUUCAUUCUUGAAUCUUGAGCCUUGAAUCUUGAUCUUGAUUCUUGAGAUCUUGAACCUUGAAUCUUGAUUCUUGUCUCUAGACUUUCUUCUUGAGUCUUGAAUUCUUCUUGAUUCUUAUCUUGAACUCUUGAAUUGUUCUUGAUUGAUCUUUGAGCUUUUUGUCAUCAUCUUUUGUUAUCAUCAUUGUUAUCAUCAAAACACCUUUGAAUCACCUUUGAUUCACCAUGAAGAUUUGCUUCUACAAUCACCUAGCCCAAUUAAAAAUUCUCGAGUUGGGAUAGAUCGGGUUCUAGCGAUUUUGUUGUCAAAUCUAACCCAACCCAACUCGUUCAUAAACAAGUUGAGUUGGGUUGGGUCAAUCUGGUCAUAAUUUUAAAAUUAAAAAUUUCAUAACAUAUUUUUUGCAUAAAGAAAUUUAUCAUCAAAAUUCAAACCACCACUGCAUAAAACAAAAUACAAAUUUGUUCAUUUUGUUGUCUAACUGCAAUUAAAACACCAACUCAAAUUGAAAAGAACAAAGUGUUAAGCGUUGAUAUAAAAUAAAGUUGUUGUCUAAUAGUGUCUUGCAGGCUUGCACCCAUAAAGCAAACACUUGAACAAAAUAAAUUUGAUAAAUGAUAAUGAUAUCAGUCCAAAAGUCUAAAACUAAAAACAACAGUGUAGUUUGUUGAUCAACCAUAAGAUCAAAAUCAAUUACUGUAUUAGUAAUAAGUUGAAAAUGUGCAAAAAAAAUUAAAUAACAUUAUAAACUAAGUUGAAAAUAUUAUCAUAAGAACUAGUGGUCUUAACUUCUACUAGCAAUCCACUAGUAGUCCAACAAUCAUAGUAUUUAAAGCAAAACCAUACAAUUUUAAAAAUUUAAUCAAAAUCUCUUUAGAACAGGAUAUUAAUUCAUAUUGAUAUUAUAAACAAUUGAAAAAAAAUCAAGAUUUUUCAUACCUGAUUCACUAUUUUUUGUUUCAUCUAAUUCAACUUGCAAAUCAUUGACAUUUUGCUUAUCAAAUUUAAGCCAAUUUUGGGCACAAAUCAAAGCUUCAACCGUAGUGGGACACAAUGAGCUUUGGAAUGGAUCAAGUUCUUGAGCUCCUAUGUUGAAUAUGAACUUAGAUGACACAAUAGACACAUGAAUGACUAAUAUAUCUCUAGGCAUAUAAAAAGAACAUGACAUUUGGUUGCUUUUGUAGAUGCAUAUGCUAUAUGAAGCUUUUGAUGAUGCCAAAAAGAUGAAAGUCAUUCAACAUUGAUCUAAGACAAGAUCAAGAAAUCAAGAGAAAUGAUUAACAAUUAGUCCAUUAUAUGAUAAAAGAAUCCCUUAAAAGAGAUUGCAAAGGUUUGCCUUAAGUUAAUCUUUCAAAACACCUUGCAAAGUUUUGAAGUUAAAUUCUGUUUUGAAAAAUAUGUUUUUCUCUAUGGUAAUCGAUUACCAGAGGCUGUAAUCGAUUUCCAGAAGCAAAAAUAGUUUUAAACAGUUUUAGAAAAGAUUUAAAUUUGAAUUUUAAAUGUGUAAUUGAUUACCAAGAGAUUGUAAUCGAUUAACAGAGGAAAAACUGUUUUAAAACAACUUUUAGAAAGUUUUGAAUUUAAAUUUUAAAUCUAUAAUCGAUUACAACAAUUGUGUAAUCGAUUACCAGUCACAAAAUUUUGAAAUUCAAAUCUAAAGAGUCAUAACUACUCAAAAUUAACUGUGUAAUCGAUUACCACAUAUUUGUAAUCGAUUACCAGUGAGGAAAUUUUAAAAAUAACUUUGAAAAGUCACAACUCUUCACAAGUUUUUGAAAGGCCACCAAAGGCCUAUAAAUAUGUGACUGGUGUUCGAAAUUCUUCAGAGUUUUUCAGAAUAAUAAUUGUCCUAUCCUCUCAAAAGAAAACCUUUGACCAAACACUUGCAAAAUCAUUAAGGAUUCUUAUAAGAUCUUCAUCUUGUAACAUUCUUCUCUAUAAGAGAGAAACAUUCUUCUUUAUUUCAAAGAAAACAACUGUUAUUCAAGAGAUAGUGAGUCUCUUGAUUUGUAAAAGAUCUCUGAACACAAGGGAAAAGUAUCCCUUUAUGGUUCAUAAAUUGUAAAAGGAAUUUACAUGUUUGUGGAAAUCUCAAGUGGGUUACUUGAGGACUGGACGUUGACACAGGGUGUGGCCGAACCAGUAUAAAACUGAGUUUGCAUUUCUCUCUUCCCUAAACUUCUUUAAUUUAUUGCAUUUUAAUUUUACUUUGCUUAUUUUAAAGAAGUAUCGAUUGAAUUGUUCUUUACUUCAUUUAUAUUAAGUCUUCAUAUUUCAUUUCAAGAGAGAAUUAAAAUUUGUUAGGGGAAAAUUUUUAAACUUAAUUCAUCCCUCCCCCCUCUUAAGUUAUUGAGGCCAAGUAUUUAACAAGUGCCAUCAGAGCUUAAUUCUUGUACAAGGUUUAUAAACUUCAAGAAUAUGGUCUCAUCAAACUUUUUAUUUCCCGAAGGAAACUCUAUAAAUAGGCCUCCUAUUUUCAAUGGCGUGGGUUAUCAUUAUUGGAAAACCCGCAUGCAAAUUUUUAUAGAGGCUAUAGAUUUAAAUAUCUAGGAAGCCAUAGAAAUUAAACCUUACAUCCCUACUAUGGUAGUAGGAAAUACAACCAUAGAAAAACCUAGGGAACAAUGGGAUGAGGAGGAAAAGAAGUUAGUACGAGAUAAUUUAAAAGCCAAAAAUAUAAUUACAUAUGCAUUAGGAAUGGAUGAAUACUUUAGGGUGUCAAAUUGCAAGGGUGCAAAAGAUAUGUGGGAUACCUUACAAGUAACCCAUGAAAGAACAAUAGAUGUGAAAAGGUCUAGAAUAAAUACCUUAACUCAUGAAUAUGAAUUAUUUAGAAUGAUUCCUAAUGAAACUAUACAGGACAUGCAAAAGAGAUUCACACACAUAGUAUAUCAUCAUGCAUCAUUAGGAAAGAUAUUUCCCAAUGAGGAUCUUAUUAAUAAAGUUUUGAGAUGUUUAAGCAAGGAAUGGCAACCAAAGGUAACGGCUAUUACAGAAUCAAGGGAUCUUUCUAACAUGUCUCUUACAACUUUGUUUGGAAAGUUACAGGAACAUGAAAUGGAACUAAUGAGACUAAAUCAGCAUGAGAAGAAUGAUAAGAAAAAGAAAGGAAUCUCACUUAAAGCCUCAUCCUCAAUUCAAGAAGGAAGUGAUAAAGAAGAUUUAAAUGAAAUAGACGAAGAUGGUGAUUUCAGUUUCUUUGUAAAGAGGUUCAACAAAUUUCUAGGAAACAAAGGAAAUCAAAGAAGAUCAAAUUUCAAAUCAAAGAAAAGAGUAGAAGAUUCAUCUUCUCUUCCAAAAUGUUAUGAAUGCAAUCAACCAGGACAUCUGAGAGUUGAUUGCCCAAGUUUCAAGAAAAGAAUAUAUAGAUCUGAAAAGAAAACUUUCAAUGAUAAGAAAGCAAAGAAGGCCUACAUUACUUGGGAAGACAAUGAUAUGGACUCAUCUGAAGAUUCAGAAAAUAAAGUUUUAAACCUGAGUCUGAUGGCCAAGAAUUAUGAAAGCGAUGAAGAGGUAACAUCUUCUGACAACAAGUUAUCUAUUUCAUUUGAUGAAUUACAAGAUGGACUCACUGGUUUACAUAAAGAAUCAGUCAAACUAGCAAAACUAGUUUCAUUUUCUAAGAAAACUAUUUCAAACUUAAAAAAAUAAGUUUUAAAAUAAAAUGAAGAAUUAGAAAAUCUUAAAACUGAAGUCAAAACUUUAAGAUCAACUGACACAAAUCAUUCUUCCACCACAAAAAUAAUACAUGAUAAUAUAUAAGCAUCUAACUCUUGUAAUUAUUGUAACAAGUAUAUAGAAGAAAUCAAGGAUUUGAAAAAUUCUCUUGCCAAAUUUUCUAUUGAAAAAAAUAAUUUAGAUAUUAUAUUAGGAAAGCAAAGAUGUGUUUUUGAUAAGGCUAGAUUAGAAUAUAAACCUGAUAAACAACAAAAUUUUUAUAAAAGUUUCUUUGCAUCCACACAAAAGAAUAGUUAUCCUUUCUUAACUUUUUUUACUGUGGAAAGAAAGGACAUGGUACAUCUACAUGCUUGUCGCAACCUACCCUUCGGCGGGAGGGCGACGCGUGACUCGCGGGUGCGUGUUCCAAGAAAGGAAUACGCGCGGAGUCACCACCAACGUUUAUUUGAGGAAAACGUCGGAAAAAAUGGAAAAAGACAUGAUCUACAAACUCUAAGCGAAAGGUUCGGGAGUUGUAUUUACGCACGGGGAAGGUAUUAGCACCCCACGCAUCCAUCACAAGAGACGACAGCCUUUAAUCAAAUGUGCAAAUAUGACUUCAAUUUAUAUUCUUUUCCUUUUUUACAUUCUUAUGUCUUUUUAUGCCUUUUUAUGUUUUUAUCUUUUUGUGGUCGACAAGGACGUUUCCCUUUGCUCUUACGUAUUCCUCAAUUGUGAUGAGAAAAUCAGACCUACGUAGUUCUUUUGUGAACAAAGUAUUGGUUAAAUUGUUUUUAUCUUUUUUGCAAAAUAUGUUUUUAUUGAAUGAAAGGUCAUUAAAGGCGUUGGACCAUUAGACAAUCUUUCAAUUCUUUUGAAAAGUGAGAAAUCAUUAAGGCAUUGGACCAUUAAUGAUUUCUUUAUUUUUUGAAGAGGUAACAAAGUUACAUAUUGAUUUUAGGCUUUUUAGAAAUCUACACUUAACCAAUAAAAGCGGAAAAGACCAUUUCAAGACGUUUGACCUUUGAAAAUGGCUUUUUUAGGCGAUAACAAAAGUUUGGUUUAUGAAUUGAUUUUAGCCUUAGUUUCACUUUGGUUAUUAGUCAAUUCAAUUAAGAAAGAGAAAUCCCAAAGAGAAACGUCCGAUUGAUUUUUUUGGUGUAUUUUACUUAAAGAUAUUUUUUGAUUAUUAUAUUAUUAUUUUACCUCUUUUUGGUUUCCAACGUGGCUACGGCAUGACCAAACGGUCAGAUUUCAUUUUAACAGAAAUUAAUGGAUGUUACAAUUCAAAUGAUCAGUGGAAAUUUAUUUUAUUUUGGAUUAGGGGAGAAAAUGACUUAAGUAAAUGACUAAAACACGUCAAAAGGGGGUACGGAAAGUAAAUGAAAUGAAAAUAAAAGCAUGUGAAACAAAUGAGGGCCACUAAGGGAACAUAGAAUGAAUUAAAAAGUUCGAUUUCGGGAGCUUACCGGUUGAAGACCGAAGAACGACGAAGAACAACGAAGAACGUUGAAGAACGGUUGAAAAUCUUUGAGAAAUCACCCACGGAAACAUUAAAAAAGCACCUCGGCUUGGAUUUUCUUCACGGAAACAAUUUUUUUCACUAAUUUCAAGUGAUCUCGAAUUACCAGGAGGGCUGAACAUUUUUUCCCUUCACUUCUCCCCUUAUUUAUAGGAAAAUAGGGGAAAAGCUUGCCACCCAGCUCGCCCAGGCGAGCUAGGUUGCUUCCUCCAGAAGCAACCACCUUCUGGAGGAAUUUUCUGGAAGGCCCAAGUGGGCCUGGUUGCUAUUUGCACCCCCAUUUUUAGUAAAUACACUCCCAUGCCUUUUUUUGGUGAUUCUUUUUCCGUAACAUUACGAAACUUUACGAAUUUCGUAACGAUGCUUGUUUUCUUUCCGUAAUGUCACGAAACCUUACGGAUCACGUAAUCAUCCCUUUUUUGCCUUCUAGAACGUUACGGAACUUUAUGGAUUGCGCACUAACACUUCCUUUUAAUUUCCGGCAUGUCACGGAACUUCACGGAUUGUGCUACAAUGCUUUCUUUUGACUUCCGGCAUGUCACGGAACUUCACGAAUUGCCUAACGAUGGGUGCCAAGUACCUCAAAGUGGUCAAAUGAGGGUCGCAUCCCAACAACGGAUGGUCCCCGGACGAAAUUAGGGCAUGACAGUUGCCCCUCUUUACUUGUCUUUUAUUGGAGAUAAAGGGGAAGUAAAGAUAAGACACUAAUUUCGUUCGAGCGAAACACCAUUCGGCCAGUGAACCUCCCUACCAGCGGAACCUGCAAAAAUUUGAAAAUGAUCAGUACCGACACAUCAUCCUGAUACCGUCGAAUUUGUUCCUCUUGGUUGAUACAAGACGUAGAAUGACCAUAAUUUGUCUCUACGUUUUGUUGGACACGAUCGAGCCUGGACGGCGAGACACAAAAUGACCAUAAUUUGUCUUUGCGUUUUAUUGGACACGAUCGAGCCUGGGCGGCGAGACACAGAAUGUCCAUAAUUUGUCUCUGUGUGCCACCGGACACGAUCGCCUGUGGAUGGCGAAAAGGUGUGCAGAAUGACCAUAAUUUGUCCCCACCCACCUCUCAACUUGUUGUUUUUGAAAGAAAAAGGGCGCAGAAUUUGUCUCUGCGCAUUUAUCACCCAACUUGCGAAAUCUGAAUGACAAAGGGCGCAGAAUCUGUCUUUGCAUGUUUAUCACCCGCCUCGCUGCUCCUGAAUGAUAAAGGGCGCAGAAUUUGUCUCAACGCAUUUACCCACUCAGCUUGUUGUUCCUGAAUGAUAAAGGGCGCAGAAUCUGUCUCUGGGCGUUUACCCACUCAGCUUGUUGUUCCUGAAUGAUAAAGGGCGCAGAAUCUAUCUCUGCGUGUUUACCCACUAAGCUUGUUGUUCCCGAAUGAUAAAGGGCGCAAAAUCUAUCUCUGCGCGUUUACCCACUCAGCUUGUUGUUCCCGAAUGAUAAAGGGCGCAGAAUCUAUUUUUGCGCGUUUACCCACUCAGGUUGUUGUUCCUGAAUGAUAAAGGGCGCAGAAUCUGUCUCUGCGCGUUUACCCACUCAGGUUGUCGUUCCUGAAUGAUAAAGGGCGCAAAAUCUAUCUUUGCGCGUUUACCCACUCAGCUUGUUGUUCCUGAAUGAUAAAGGGCACAAAAUUUGUUUCUGCGCAUUUACCCACUCAGGUUGUUGUUCCUGAAUGAUAAAGGGUGCAUAAUUCGUCUAUGCGCGUUUACCACCCAACUUGCUAUCAUGAUUUGAGUCUUAUAGAUAGCAAAGGAAAGUUUUAAACGGAUAACCACUCGGGUAUCUCCGUAUGUCACGUGACUCCAGUGUCAGUAUGACAGAAAUUGUCUGCGCAGAAGAUGACGUCAAUCUCCGGGUGUCAAUGGGCUCGUUGGCCGCGAUUGAUAAAGUGUGCAGAAGAUGACAUUAGUCUCUGCGUGCUAUCAUGCUUUGAGUCUUAGAGAUAGCAAAAGAAAGUUUAAAUGGAUAACCACUCGGGUAUCUCCGCAUGUCACGUGACUCCAGUAUCAGUAUGACAAAAAUUGUCUACGCGGAAGAUGACGUAAAUCUCUGAGUGUCAACGGGCUCGUUGGCCGCGAUUGACAAAGGGUGCAGAAGACAACGUUAGUCUCUGCGUGCUAUCAUGCUUUGAGUCUUAGAGAUAGCAAAAGAAAUUUUAAACGGAUAACCACUCGGGUAUCUCCGCAUGUCACGUGACUCCAGUGUUAGUAUGACAGAAAUUUUCUGCACGGAAGAUGACGUAAAUCUCCGUGUGUCAAUGGGCUCGUUGGCCACGAUUGACAAAGGGUGUAGAAGACGAUGUUAGUCUCUGCGUGCUAUCAUGCUUUGAGUCUUAGAGAUAGCAAAAGAAAGUUUAAACGGAUAACCACUCGGGUAUCUCCGCAUGUCACGUGACUCCAGUGUCAGUAUGACAGAAAUUGUGGGGGCGGCCAACAAAAGCGAGACUCUUGCUCCUACGUAUCCUCAAUGAGGAACUCAGACCUACGUAGUUCUGGAUAACUUGUGAGACUAAAAAUAGUCUCGGUGUUUUCUUCACUAAAAUGCGAACAUGCUUUAGUAAAGAGAGAAAACUUCCAACUAAUCAGAGCAGCAUAUGCUUUUCGGAUGAAAAACAGUGUGUCUACCGGGGAAGGGGAGUAUGCUGAUGAAAUCUUCUCAUAACCACAAAUGAGAUUUUGGAUGUUAGCAUUUCAUUUCUAAAUGACCAUUUAGAAGAAAAUCACUCAAAGUGUAUUAAUCUCACAUAGGUAAGUGUUUCGUCCUAAUUCCGAACCAUAGAUAUGCCAUGACUUGAUCUUGCAAAUCAUUUCCUAUCAAAUCAAAGAUUACAUGCGUGAUCAUGGAUCAGAAGGACUCUUUCUUGGGAAUGGUGUUUUUUUGUGGGAAUUUUGGCUUUGAAUGUUUUUGGCCUUUUCCUUUUCUAUUUUUGUUUAGCGCGAGGCGAACAAGUCACCGACGCACAGGAUUUUGGUUGGUAAUCAAAGGGAGAGGGCCACUUUAGAUCGUGGUUUCCUUUCUCUUUUUGUUUUCUUGGUGACAAUUCUGUAUUGUUCAGAUAUUGUCUGGUCCAAAGACCUUUCUGCAUGUUUCUUCUGUUUUCUUCGAAUCUUUGAUCGGGAAUUUUCUUUCCUUUUUUGCUUUCUCCCACUCUUCGAUUGGGAACUUUCUCUUUUUGUUUUCUCCCGCUCUUUUGAUUGGGAAUUUCCUUUCUUUUUUUGUUUUCUUCCGAGGGAAAGGAUUGAUAUUCUCACCCUGGGUCAAGGUUUAUGGUAAGUUGGGUCAAGGCUUGUAGAACGAAUGGACAUGAUAUAUGUCAGGGUGUUGGUCUGGUUCAGGGAUAAAAGGGGAUGUUCGACAUUAUUUCCAUGACACAAAUGCAACAAUGAUGAUUUGGAAAUUUUAUUCAAAACCAGUCAUGCAUGCACCUAUGUGGACACUCAAGUGUCGAAAAUUUUUUGGUCAUGUGAUGCUAGGGCUCAUAAUUUAUUUUCUCUAUUUAAGUCAACCCAGUGUUUCCAAAAUAUGUUCUUUUAUCAAUUUGUGCAUUCAUCCAAGUCUAUCUUGGGUGUUCGGAAAAACUUUCACAGCAUUUACCCUUCAACUGUGUAUACACAUUUUUUUCAAAAACUGGUUAUGAUCAGUGAAUUUUUUCAAAGAAAAGCUGGAAAUUAUCUCUUUUCACGAGCAUGUUAUUUUAUAGCUAGACAACUUUUUAUUUUUUUUUCUUUUUUCUUUUUUAUCAUUUGUUUAUUUCUUUUCCUUGUUUGUUUUUGUUGUUUUUUUUCAUGAGGUAUUUUGCUACCUAAACAUGUGUAUAUUUUUGUGAGGUAUUUUUGCUAUAUACAUGCAUAUCCAAGGUAUCUUGCUACCUAAACAUACAUAUAUAUUUUGUGAGGUAUUUUUGCUAUAUACAUGUAUAUCCAAGGUACCUUGCUACCUAAACAUACAUAUAUAUUUUGUGAAGUAUUUUUGCUACAUACAUGCAUAUCCAAGGUAUCUUUCUACCUAAACAUACAUAUAUAUAUCUUGUGAGGUAUGACUACCUCCCAAGCUUGUGCUUGUUUUAUUUAAAUUCCCAAGAUCCUGAGCAACUAGGUGUGUCCUACUAUGACUUGAGAAACAAAGGUGAUCAAAUAACAAGCAGAGGUUUAAAAGGUUCUAGGUUGCCUCCUAGUAGCGCUUCUUUAACGUCUUGAGCUGGACGCAUGACGACUUGUCGGUCACGGACCUAGUACUUUGCUUACCUUUGGCCUUGGACUUGGUCGCCUAUUUGUCGGCCAUGUGUCAUAAGCAAUACUCUAACCUUUUUGUGGAUGAGCUGAGGUGAACUCUAGAGGUGGUGGCAGUGCGUUUGUUGCCCGCUGUCGGCCAUCCCUAGGCUGCUGUGGUGUCUCGCCAUGCGCUUGCCUGGGGGCGCAAUACUUCUUGAUAAAAGCCCGGUCAAUAGGGGGCCUGAUGAACUUGGUGGGGGCGACGGGCACUCCGUAGAACUGACAGAGGCCCGUCAUCAGAGCUGGAAACCCCAGGGCCCUGUUGGACUUCUCCGGGUCCACUGGGUGUCUUGUGGGCGCGACCCCUACAAAUAGUAGAUGGCAUUAGAAAUCAGUUGGAAAUAAUGCAUACCUACCUAUGUCGGGACGGCACAGACCAACUGAUACUUCCGCAGGGGGAGAUCGGCAUUACGAUCGCUGGGUAGAAUGUUGCUAAGUAGCAACAUCAUCCAUAUCUGUGUAAUAGUGGUCAUUUUGGUGCGCAUGAUCCGCACUCGUUUCUUUGCAGCGGCACCGGUGAAAUCUUGCCCCGGUAUGCAUAGUAGCUACGUGAUAGCCUCCUUCUCUGGUUGUAUUCGCACAGUUGGCGCCCUCUAAUAUUAGGCAGCCUUGCAGCGGCGCUUUCCAUUUGUCCAGAGCUAGGCAAGGGACGAUGACCCAUCGGUCAUGACCCUAGCCUCUAGUUGUGUCUGUCCCUAAGUACCUGAAAGUAGGAAACAACAUUGCGUGGUAAACUAUGGCCGCAUUACCGUUUUACAUUGAUGGGUUUCGGCCUCCAACUUCAUCCUGACAUCUGACUACGGCCAGUAGAUUCUGCCCCUGUUAUGACAAAAUAUGCAUGUGUAUGCGUAUGCAUGAAUGUUUUCAAACGCAACAAAUUUUAGUGAAAGCUGGUUUAGGUUCAAUUUUAUUUAAGCGCUUUGGGGCAUCCCGUGGACUGAGCGAAAAGGCUCAGGUUAUCAUAAACUGCACAUGGUUUUAAAGCACGAAGUGAGGACUGAAACCUCAAACUCAUAUUCUCUUCUUUUAAAAGACUGUGACGAGAAAUAUACGGAAGACGGGAAUCCCUGGGGGAAACCAAGAAGAAUACACAAAAAUAAAAGAACUUGCAGCGACAUCCUCAAUUGCCCCAGAUUCUAAGCAUAGUAUCGCUUGACAACAUCGGAAUUCACGGGUAAAGGCAGCUCCUCGUCAUCCAUGUUGGUAAGCACCAGGGCCCCUCUGGAAAAAACCCUUUUCACAACGAAAGGUCCUUCGUAGUUCGGGGCCCACUUCCCUCGAUUAUCUUUAACAGCGUGGGACAUCUUUUUUAGCACAAGGUCCCCUUCAUGGAACUUGCGCAAAUGCACCUUCUUGUUGAAUGCGUUCUUCAUUCUUUGUUGAUACAGGCGCCCAUGGCUCAUGGCCGUCAAGCGCUUACCUUCAAUAGGGUUGAGUUGGUCAUAGCGUGUUUGAGCCCACUCUGAUUCUUCUAAGCAUGAUUAUGCUAGUAUCCUCUGAGAAGGGAUCUCUACUUCAAAUGGGAGUACCGCUUCCGCUCCAUAAACCAAGGAGUACGGUGUUUCCCCAGUAGAAGUUCGUACCAAAGUUCGGUAUCCAUGCAAGGCAAAAGGCAACAUCUCAUGCCAAUCUUUGUAUGAUAUUGCCAUUUUCUGAAUAAUUUUCUUAAUAUUCUUGUUGGCUGCUUCCACGGCUCCAUUCAUCUUUGGUCGGUAGGGCGUGGAAUUGUGAUGCUGGAUUUUGAAAUCCGUGCACAUUUCCUGCAUCAUCUUGUUAUUCAGAUUGGUACCAAUGUCGGUAAUGAUCUUCCUAGGGAGUCUGUACCGACAAAUCAGCUCCCUCUUGAUGAAUCUGACCACUACACUCCUCGUGACAUUGGUGUAGGAAGCCACUUCGACCCAUUUGGUGAAAUAAUCUAUUGCCACGAGAAUGAAGCGAUGACCGUUCGAAGCCUUAGGUUCGAUGACCCCUAUAACGUCUAUCCCCCACAUGGAAAAAGGCCAAGGAGAGGACAUGACAUUCAGGGGAUGUGGCGGAGCAUUGACAUUGUCCGCGAACGCUUGACAUUUAUGGCAUUUCCUUACAUGGAUGCAGCAAUCACUUUCCAUGGUGAGCCAGUAAUAACCUGCUCUCAGGAUUUUCCUGGCCAUAGCAUGCCCGUUGGCAUGCGUUCCGAACGAACCCUUGUGGACCUCCUUGAUCAUGUGGUCUGCCUCUUUGGCAUCCACGCAUCACAUGAGAGUCAUGUCAUGGUUUCUUUUAUAUAGUAUGCUCCCACUCAUGAAGAAACCGGCCGCCAAUCUCCCCAAUGUCCUUUUAUCGUUGUCGGAAGCCCCCUGUGGGUAUGCUUUGCUUUCAAUGAACUGCUUGAUAUCGAAAUACCAAGGCUUACCGUCCCGUUCUUCUUCCACCUGACAACAAUGCGCGUGUCUGCCACGACACCAUAACUCAGUGUAUGGUAGGACCCCGUGCGGUGUUAGCUGGAACAUGGAUGCCAAAGUAGCAAGCGCAUCCGCCAUUUGAUUUUCCUCCCGGGGAACGUGAUGGAAGGAGAUCUCAUCGAAGGAAUCAGCCAACUCCUUGAUAUAGGCUUUGUAGGGUAUCAGCUUGGGGUCUCUAGUUUCCCAUUCCUCUCUCAGCUAGUGAAUCACCAGUGCUGAGUCCCCGUACACUUUGAGCAUUUCGACAUUAGAGUUAAUUGCCGCCUAGACGGCCAGGACACAUGCUUCAUACUCAGCCAUAUUGUUUGUGCAGUCAAACCCCAGCCUGGCUGUGAAAGGUAUACAUUGAUUGUCUGGAGAGACCAAUACUGCUCCAAUGCCAUGGCCUAGAACGUUUAACGCUCCAUCAAACCAUACAGUCCAUUUGUCCCGAUCUUCGUCUAGUUUUUCCUCAAACAAGGUCAUGAUGUCCUCAUCCGGGAACUCGGGAUGCAUGGGCUAAUAGUCGUUGAGAGGCUGCUAAGCCAAAUAAUCUGCUAAGGCGCUUCCUUUUAUCGCCUUUUGGGUGACGUAAACUAUAUCAAACUCGGAUAGCAAGACUUGCCACCGGGCGAUCCGUCCUGUGAGAGCUGGCUUUUCAAAGAUGUACUUAACCGGGUCCAUCUUGGAUAUCAACCAAGUGGUAUGGCUCAGCAUGUAUUGUCUUAGACGGUGGGACGCCCAGACUAAAGCACAACGUGAUCUUUCGAGCUGGGAGUAAUUCAUUUCACAGGCCGUGAACUUCUUACUCAAGUAGUAGACAGUGCACUCUUUCUUCCCGGACUCGUCAUGUUGCCCCAGCAUAUAUCCCAUCGACUCGUCCAAAAUCAUCAUAUACAAGAUGAGAGGCCUUCCGGGUACCGGUGGCAUAAGCACAGGAGGAUUCAUGAGACACUUUUUUAUCCUCCCGAAUGCCUCUUGAUAAUCCUCAUUCCAACGGACGGUUUGGUUUUUGUGUAAGAGUUUGAACAACGGCUCACAAAUAGCAGUGAGCUGUGAUAUGAAUCUGGAAAUAUAAUUCAAACGUCCCAGGAAACCUCGAACUUGCCUCUUGGUACGGGGUUCCGGCAUUUCAAGGAUAGCCUUCACCUUUUCGGGGUCCACCUCUAUCCCUUUCUGGCAUACGAUGAAACCUAGCAAUUUCCCUGAUUUGACCCCAAAAGUGCACUUAGCGGGGUUCAACCUCAAUUGAUACUUCCUAAGCCUUUCGAACAACUUCCGCAGGUUGACAAGGUGUUCCUCCUCGGUCUUAGAUUUGGCAAUUAUAUCAUCCACGUAGACCUCGAUCUCUUGGUGCAUCAUAUCGUGGAACAAAGCUACCAUAGCCCGUUGAUAAGUUGCCCAAGCAUUCUUGAGUCCAAAGGACAUCACCUUGUAGCAGAAUGUCCCCCAUAGGGUGAUGAAGGUAGUCUUUUCCAUAUCCUCCGACGCCAUUUUUAUCUGAUUGUAACCGGAGAAUCCGUCCAUAAAGGAAAACAAAGCAAAAUUGGCCGUAUUAUCCACGAGGAUAUCGAUGUGCGGCAAAGGAAAAUUGUCUUUGGGACUGGCUCGAUUCAAAUCCCGAUAAUCCACACACAUUUGCACCUUCCCAUCCUUCUUAGGGACUGGCACAAUGUUGGCAACCCAUUUUGGGUACCGAGUGACAGCCAAAAAACCAGCGUCAAAUUGUUUCUUCACCUCUUCUUUUAUUUUCAAGGAUGUCUCGGGUUUCAUCCUCCUCAGUUUUUGUUUUACCGGGGGACACUCGGGAUCUAGAGGUAAUUGGUCUUGUACAAUGUUAGAACUCAAACCGGGCAUAUCUUGGUAUGACCAAGCAAAGAUGCCUUGGUAGUCUUUCAGCAGGACUGUCAAUUCUUCACGGAUGGGUGUGGUCAUACCUGUGCCUAUCUUUACUUCCUUUUUCCCACUACCAGUUCCUAAGUUCACUAGUUCUGUCUCUUCUUGAUGAGGCCCCAUUUCUCGGUCCUCAUGGGUGACUAUCUUCUCCAACUCCGGGGGAAGUCCCACAUCCUCGUCCUCUUCACCCUCCGUUUGAUUUGUUUCUUACUCGAAAUCGACGGUCGGGUCCCAGGUAUUAGUACCUUCGAGGGACUCGUCGUCGGAUCUGGCGUUAAACGUAAAGAAAUAAACAUGCAAAUGGAUGAGAAUGGGUAGAGACGUAGGAACAGAUGAAAAAAGAUCUUUUAUUUUAUAAUUCUAGGAACAAAAAGACAUAAAGCCUUAACAAAAGAAAACUCUAAAGCCUAGGCCCAACUGUAGAGUUUAAAGCCACAAAGGGUUACAUUAUGCUUGCUGCAUAAAUAUCCGGGAGUUCCUCCACUCGCCAAUUUCCUAGUCGGAAACCAGGAGGGCAUGGUUGUACCAACUCUGACCAACUUGGAGCAUCAUCUUCGCAUAUUGCAACGACUUGGCCUUCGUGUCCUAGACCCGCACUUACAAAGCUCCUACUGAUGUGGCAGGGCAGGCCUCCUUUGACUUCUUGUCCCAAUCGCGAGCCUUGACCUCUGCUCUUCCUUCCUAUAAUGCCUUUCUUUAUGUCCGCUUGUGUGGGUUUAUAGCCUAACCCAAACUUCCCACGGUUUCCUUUGGCGCUUAUCAGGCUGGUUAUGCCACCGUUGUCCUUGCCUAAACCCAUUCCGGGCUCGUAAACAUUCCCCAACGUCACUCUGGCCAUCAUUACUGCCGCAUCGGAUAGGCAAGGUUGCCCAGAGAAGGAAUCUACAAAGGCAAUGCUAACCACCUCAAAAGACUGGAAGGCCGUUUCUAAUGACUCCUCCGCGACUUCCACAUAUGGCAUAGAGGACGGGCAACUCACCAAGAUGUCUUCCUCGCCCGAUACGAUAACCAACUGCCCUUUCACUACAAACUUCAAUUUUUGGUGGAGUGUAGAGGGAACGACUCCCACCGAAUGGAUCCAUGGGCGCCCCAACAGGCAGCUGUAAGCGGGGUUAAUGUGCAUUAUUUGAAAGGUAAACUGACAUGUAUGGGGGCCUAUUUGUACAGGGAGGUCGAUCUCUCCCCUAACCUCUCGGCGGGUGCCGUCGAAGGCACGAACUACCAUGGAACUUGGCUUUAGAUGGGAAGCAUUAAACGGUAAUUUCUCCAAAGUGCUUUUGGGCAUUACAUUUAAACUGGAACCGUUAUCGAUAAGCACCUUGGAUACGACGUGGUCCAUGCACUUGACUGAUACAUGUAAAGCCUUGUUAUGCCCUUUCCCCUCGGCAGGGAUUUCUUCUUCGGCGAAGGCGAGAUAAUUGUUGGCGGUGAUAUUAUUGACAAGUAAUCCAAAGCCCUCUACAGAGAUAUCUUGAGCCACAUAAGCUUCAUUCAAGACCUUUACUAGCAAAGCCCGAUGAGGCUCAGAGCUCAUGAGUAAUUCCAAAAGAGAGACCCUGGCCGGUGUUUUGUUGAGCUGUUCAAUGACCUUGAACUCGCUCUGCUGAAUAAUGCGGAGAAACUCGCUUGCUUCCUCUAGCGACACUUCCUUCUUGCCGCAGCCAUCCCUUUUCUCCGGAAGACCCUUUACUGGAAUAUCCUCGUUCGGAGUGGGGGUCAUCUUGUCAUUUUGUUCCUCUACCAUCUUGGCCUUUCCCUUAAUGUUUGCAGGUUGUGUUGGUAGGUCGGAAGGUGCAAACACACGACCGCUGCGAGUCACACCGCUCAGCCCCGUGAUAUUGGUUACCUUGGCCGACAAUGAGCUGAUGUCGGUGGUUUCUUCUUCCCUUUCACUCGGAGGUGUAUACUUCCACGGGACUGCGUGGCUAUUUUGGUAUGGGAAAGGAACAGGUUUAGUUGCCAGGGGGUAUUCGCGCUUUUGUGGAGCUGCGUCCUUGGUGAAAUAUAUCACCAAAGGUUUAGGCCUUCCAAAGCUUCUCUCAUCCGCGGACUGCAUACAUAUAUGUUGCUCUUCCUUCCCCUCAUCACCGACUUCCAGUCAGCCUUGAUCUAUCAUUCGUUGCAACAAUUCCUCUACUGCCAAACAUGUUUCCAUGUUAUGUAGCUCGCCGGGAUGCAACAAACAAGAAUCCUCUUUAUGCCCACCGUGGGGAAUCACACCUCCCUUUUGUAGGGCCUCAAAGAUAAACCUCCUAGGGGUUGCCACGUCCUUUAAAGGUUUAGACCUUCAAGACCUAUCUGACUCAAUGGCAUUAACCGCUCCUCCUCCAUGAUUGGCGAGUGGGUUGAUUUUCAAAUUGGGCCGAUCCUCUUGAAAUGUCAGCCAUCUAGCAUCUAUCAAAUGUUGGACCUUGUAUUUAAGGGCCAAGCAUUUUUCGAUGGAAUGCCCCGGGGUAUUCCCAUGGUAUGUGCAAGUUGCGUUUAGAUCAUACCACUUUGGGAAAGGGGGUUGGUAGAUCUUCCCGGGAGUUAUUACGACCAUUUGGUUGGCGAUGAGGGACGGCAAGAGGUCCUCGUACGUCAUUGGGAGUGGGGUGAAUUCUGGAAUUGGCCUCGGGGGAUAGUUCCUCAUUGCGUUGGAACUGGCGCUAAAGUGGGCAUUGCCGGCCGGGCGAGUCGUGGUUGGAGCUGGAGCUUGGGGGGCCUCCCUCUGGAUGGGGGCGGGCGCCCUAGGUUGUACGGGUGAUGAACUGAAGGAGUUCCCAGCGCGAGCUGAGAAGCUCAGAUGAUGUUGCGCAUACUGAUGUGUACCAUGAGAUGUCUGCGGGGGUUUGACCCAUGCGGGCGCCGAAGUGACGGCGUGGGCAUCUCCCUCCUUCCUUUUUGCCCCAGUUGCUCCGAUUCUUUUAGCAUUGGCGCUUGUGGAGGAAACGUAAUCGAACUUCCCUCUUUUCAACCCUACUUCGAUUCUUUCCCCGGCGAAUACUAGGUCCGCAAAGCUGGACGGCAUGUAACCUACCAACUUCUCAUAGUAAAACACUGGCAAGGUGUCUACCAUCAUGGUGAUCAUCUCCCUUUCGACCAUGGGAGGGGCCACUUGUGCUGCCAGGUCUCUCCACCGUUGUGCGUGUUCUUUAAAGGUCUCACCUUCCUUCUUGAACAUAUUCUGUAGCUGAGUGCGAUCGGGAGCCAUAUCGGAAUUAUACUGAUAUUGCCUUUGGAAAGCAGUAAUCAGGUCCUUCCAAGUACGAAUGCGGGAAGCUUCCAGAUUAGUGUACCAAACAACCGCGGCUCCGACCAAGCUAUCUUGGAAAAAGUGUAUUAAUAGCUUCUCAUCCCUAGAGUGCGCGCCCAUCUUGCGGCAAUACAUCUUGAGAUGGUUCUUGGGACAAGUCGUCCCUUUAUACUUGUCGAAGUCCGGCACCUUGAAUUUUGGGGGGAUAACAACAUUCGGUACCAAGCAAAGAUUCAUCAUGUCCGUGAAUGGAUAGUCACCAAAGCCUUCAACAGCCCUCAAUCUCUCCUCGAGGAGAUCGAGUUUCCUUCUUUCUUCGGCCGCCGGGGGUGGUCCUUCCGUGGACAAGAAUACUGGCUGUGCUGUGAGGUUGUGCUGAGGCAAUGUGUUGGGUGUCGGCCCCUCGACGGGGAUCGGGGGAUAGAAAUCAACAUCCCCUUGGGCAUGCUCUUGAUGAUCUUCAUGGGCCUCGUGGGGCUGUUGAGGAGGCUCCCUUUCAAGGAUGGGGGAAGAGACAUGACCUGCGUCAUCGUGCAUGACUGGCGGCGUGUAAUUAGGCGGCAAUCCAUAAGGGUAAGCCACCCGAUUGUAUCCCAAACGGGGGUUGCUGUUGUGACCCUGUGUACUCUUCUCUCGUCCUAUUGCGUUUGGGGGAGGAUGGUGUGCGGUAGCUAGGAGAGUUGGGUCUGCUUCGGCAGCCGAACUGACAGCGGCAGCGGUGGCCACGUUUUUCUCCAUGAGUUGCCUCAUUCCUAGCAUGGCCUCCAUCAUAGAAGCCAUUUGUUCUUUCAAAGCUGACAUGUCGGCUUUCAUCUGUUCCUGUGUCUCCUCUUGGUCACCCAUCGCUCUAGAUUUGGAUCUGGUGCGAUAGGGAUGCCUUGUGGCGCGUUUAGUUAUGGUGUUUUUCCUAAAAAAACCCAAACGUGAGGAGUAGGUAAAGAAUAAUGAAUUUAUGCUAGAGAUAAAAUGCAGAAGUGAUUUGAUUCGCACUAACUUUGGAGUAGAAAUAUGGGAUCAACUCAUUUUAUUCAGAAAGUUAUAUCUAGUCAAGAUCUGAGCGACCAUACAAGCUUUCUAGCGGUUUCUAAUUAUAUGAUCCAUUAAAUCUAUCAUAUGAUGAUAAUAGCCGAGAAGUCCGUGGAUCUCCUCGGGGGCGGAGUAGGUGUCUGCCAUUGCUUUGGCCUUGGCUAGCAAUCGGGGAAGUUCUUGACUCCCGUUCAAGGUAAGAGCAAAUCGGUCCAUCCACAUGGUUGCCUCUUGGUGUAACGAGUCGAUCACCCUUCCUUUAGCCUCCUUUUCCGCGUACACUUGGGCAUACUCGUCCGCCACCCUAUGCUCGUGGGCCGUGGCUAGACUUAGUUCCUCUUGGUACUUGCUGAUGAUGGCUAACAUGUUGGUCUCUGUCUCGCAUAAACACUGAGACAAACUUCUCUUGGACCUCGAGCAAGCCUUCAACUUAUCCUUCAAGAUCAAACUGUCUACCCACGAUUGGUCCCUUUCCUCCCUCCGGAGUUUAAGCUCGUUGUUACUACCCCAAAGAGCCCCUCGGAACUUGUUCCGACCGUGCUCUUCCCAACGAGCCCUCUUGGUCUCUUGUUCAAAGGCCUUGGUGGUAGCUACAUUUACAUCCCUCAGUUCGGCAUUCUCCUUUUGGAUCCUAAGAGCCACUGAUUAGAACCUUUCUUUGACUGUUUGAGCUUGCUCGAGUUCUGCCCUAAGGGCCUGCACCUCUUCGUCUUCCUCCGGUGCCUCCACUUCCUCCCUUUUAGCGGUUCUCAAACUCGGGAGCCAAUCCAAACCUUGCACGUGGGCUUUCAACCACUUACGGUAGCCACCGAUAGGCCCAUUGUUACUGCCUCUGAGUCCUUUGUCCUUCUUUUGCAACACCUCCCAUGCCUUGCGGACCUUCUGAAAUGUCUCCAUGUUGGUCUUAUUGAAACCUCGUGAAAUGAUAGGCGCGAGCUCAUCCUCUAGUGGUGCCCCUCUCAUAGGGUAGCCAAGUUGUCUUAUAGCAAGAACGAGAUUGUAGCUGAUGCAACCCCUCGUCCCCAUCAAGGGAACAUUUGGAAAUCCUCCGCAUGAAAUAAGAACCCCGGUUCUUCCUUCCUUCCAUCGAGGGAACCAGUUGAUAGAUGCUCCUUCUUUGCUUGCUAAGAGUUGAUCCCAAUUUUCCCCUCCUUUCUCUGUGCAUGAACGGUGGCUUUCUAGCGGGCAAGCAUGCCUCACCUCUUGGCGAAAAAGGUGCGAAACUAACCAUACAUAAAGAGUUGGAGUACAACAAACAAUCCUUGUAUUGCUCUUUUCACAUCUUCGGUCGAAGGUGUCAUAUAAGUCGGCUAGCAUAGCGACAAUCUGGCUUUCCUUGUGGUUAUGAUAGGCAAGAAAAGCGUCGAUCGCUGCUAGGUCCACCAACCCAUCCACCUUCGGAAAGAGGACUCCUCCGAAGAUCAACAGUGCGAGAAUAUCUAUGAACGGGGCCCACUCGCCUUUACCUGCCAAGAUUCUUGCUUUUGCCUCCAAAUAUUUUCUUGGUAUUCCAACCACCCCAUUUUCGACUUGCGCCGAGAUUUGGACUAUCUUAGAAAUUCUAGCUAAUGAGGGAUAGAACCCUGAGAAGAGGUAUGGCCUCCUUCCCCCUAGAGGACAUCCUAGGAUCUCUUCAAAUUCUUCCACCAAGGGUGAUAGCUGAAGUCCCCAAAGGUGAAGCACCUCAACGACUGAUCAUAAUACUGGGCGAGGGAGGCAAUGGCCUCUGUGGAGACUUCUACCAUGGCUAGGUCCUAGAUUUUACCGUAAGCUUUACGAAAAGCUUGCCGCUGGAGCUACCCCAUUAACUGCCCUAGCUCUUUUAGACUGGUGAUCCCUAAGCUCUUGACCUUGACUUGAUAGAACCUCUUUUUAAGCGAAGGCGUUUGACUUGAUCCCAUGUUUUACUAAAGGUGAAACAAAAUCUAGUGCGAAUCAAAACUCCGACAUCUAUCAUGGGUGGAAUGGAUGAAUGCAUGAAGAAAUGCAUAUAACACAGAUGCAAUUUAUGAAUACGGGAGCCCGAGAAAUUGUCUCCUUCUUAGAUACAACGUCUUGGGGUAGCAAAGUGCCUGACGUAUGUAUUUAAGAAGUUGGCACGGACCCUCCGUUGGUUUGACAACGAGAAGGGAUCACAACAGAAUCCGUGUGUGAUACAUAUGCGAAAGGCGCAACACGGGAAUGUACAGUAGGACAAUUCACAAAAUAUAAGCAAAAGCGUACAUGACGCUUAUGCAUGGCAGUGUGAAAAUGGCACACAGCGUGUCCGCUUCGUGCCCCUAUUCAAGGGACCUACAAGGGAAGGAGCUAAAAAGGCUUUUAGUGAUAUUUCCCAAGGUGGUCAUAUCUCUCUUGAUGGUCUCUAGAGGUAUCAUCCUCUUCGAAGAACAUAUUGCAGCAGUAGGGACUACUAGAAACAAUAUGUUAUCAAAGAGAAAAACUCUAGAUGAGGGUUCACUGUAACCAAGCAAGUCGGAGACCUAGCAUGAGCACAGAUUCACCUUCACUCCUUAUGUUCCCACGAACCCGGGUAUAGGGCCCUUUUUCAAUUCAUCGUGUGUGCAAAUAGUGUUGGUGUUUGUGUGCAUCAAAUGAAUAAAUAUUUACCUCAUGCAUACAUUUUAAAACACACAAAAAGCAUCAAAGAGUUAUAUACACAAGAACAUAAGAAAAAUAAAGGGAAACCAACAAAGGAGAAAGUCAUGAUAAAACAUUGCACAAGAUUAAAUGGCCUAACUCUCUAAAAACAGUCCCCAGUGGAGUCGCCAACUGCCGCAACCUACCAUUCGGCGGGAGGGCAACGCGUGACUCGCGGGUGCGUGUUCCAAGAAAGGAAUACGCGUGGAGUCGCCACCAACGUUUAUUUGAGGAAAAUGUCAGAAAAACUGGAAAAAGACGUGAUCUACGAACUCUAAGUGAAAGGUUCGGGAGUUGUAUUUACGCACGGGGAAGGUAUUAGCACCUAACGCAUCCGUCACAAGAGACGGCAGCCUUUAAUCAAAUGUGCAAAUAUGACUUCAAUUUAUAUUCUUUUCCCUUUUUACGUUCUUAUGUCUUUUUAUGCCUUUUUAUGUUUUUAUCUUUUUGUGGUCGACAAGGGCGUUUCCCUUUGCUCCUACGUAUUCCUCAAUUGUGAUGAGAAAAUCAGACCUACGUAAUUCUUUUGUGAACAAAGUAUUUGGUUAAAUUGUUUUUAUCUUUUUCGCAAAAUAUUUUUUUAUUGAAUGAAAGGUCAUUUAAGGCGUUGGACCAUUAGACAAUCUUUCAAUUCUUUUCAAAAGUGAGAAAACAUUAAGGCAUUGGACCAUUAAUGAUUUCCUUAUUUUUGGAAGAGGUAACAAAGUUACAUAUUGAUUUUAGGCUUUUUAGAAAUCUACACUUAACCAAUAAAAGCGGAAAAGACCAUUUCAAGGCGUUGGACCUUUGAAAAUGGCUUUUUUAGGCGAUGACAAAAGUUUGGUUUAUGAAUUGAUUUUAGCCUUAGUUUCACUUUGGUUAUCAGUCAAUUCAAUUAAGAAAGAGAAAUCCCAAAGAGAAACGUCUGAUUGAUUUUUUUGGUUUAUUUUACUAAAAGAUAUUUUUUGAUUAUUAUAUUAUUAUUUUACCUUUUUUUGGUUUCCAAUGUGGUUACGACAUGACCGAACGGUCGGAUUUCAUUUUAACAGAAAUUGACGGAUGUUACAAUUCAAAUGAUCGGUGGAAAUUUAUUUUAUUUUUGAUUAUGGGAGAAAAUGACUUAAGUAAAUGACAAAAGCACGUCAAAAGGGGGUACGAAAAGUAAAUGAAAUGAAAUGAAAAUAAAAGCACGUGAAACAAAUGAGGACCACUAAGGGUACAUAGAAUGAAUUGAAAAGUUCGAUUUUGGGAACUUACCGGUUGAAGACCGAAGAACGAUGAAGAACGUCGAAGAACGGUUGAAAAUCUUCGCGAAAUCACCCACGAAAACGUUACAUAAACGUUACAGAAGUGCCUCGGCUUGGAUUUUCUUCACGGAAACAAAUUUUUUCACUAAUUUCAAGUGAUCUCGAAUUACCAGGAGGGCUGGAAAUUUUUUCCCUUCACUUCUCCCCCUAUUUAUAGGAAAAUAGGGGAGAAGCUUGCCACCCAGCUUGCCCAGGCGAGCUAGGUUGCUUCCUCCAGAAGCAACCGCCUUCUGGAGGAAUUUUCUGGAAGGCCCAAGUGGGCUUGGUUGCUAUUUGCACCCCCAUUUUUACUAAAUACACCCGCAUGCCUUUUUUGGUGAUUCUUUUUCCGUAACAUUACAAAACUUUACAAAUUUCGUAACGAUGCUUGUUUUCUUUCUGUAAUGUCACGAAACCUUAUGGAUCACGUAAUCAUCCCUUUUUUGCCUUCCGGAACGUUACGGAACUUUACGGAUUGCGCACUAACACUUCCUUUUAAUUUCCGACAUGUCACAGAACUUCACGAAUUUCCUAACGAUGGGUGCCAAGUACCUCGAAGUGGUCAAACGAGGGUCGCAUCCCAACAACGGAUGGUCCUCGGACGAAAUUAGGGUAUGACAAUGCUAUUUUAAGAAAAAUAGUAAUAAUAUUAAAAUGAUAUGGGUCCCAAAAGGAUCUUUUAUUAAAACGAACGCACAAGGACCCAAGAAAGUUUGGGUACCUAAGUCAUAAACAUGAUCAUAUAGGUUUCUUUGAAGAAGAGUUGGUACAUAGAUAGCGGAUGCUCUAAACACAUGAUGGGAGAUUCAUCAAAGUUCACUCAUAUUUCUCCCAAGAAAAGUGGACAUGUGACUUAUGGCGACAACAAUAAAGGUAGAAUUCUUGGUGUCGGAAAAAUAGGUACAAAUUCAUUUGCCUUCAUUGAAAAUGUUCUACUUGUUGACGGUCUUUAGCAUAGUUUGCUAAGUGUUAGUCAAUUAUGUGAUAAAGGCUAUCUAGUAUCAUUUGACUCUCAUAACUGUGUCAUUGAAAACAAACAUGAUAGAAAUAUAAAGCAUAUAGGCUAUAGAACAAAUAAUGUUUACAUGAUAAAUUUAGAUCAAACACCAAAUCAUGAUCAAUGUUUUCUAAGUAAAGAUGAUGAUCAUUGGUUAUGGCAUAUAAGAAUUGCCCAUAUAAAUAUGGAACAUUUAAAUAAACUAAUUUCUAAAGAUUUUGAAAAAGAUAGAUUGUGUGAUGCUUGUCAAAAAGGAAAACAAGAGUUUCUUUCAAAUCAUAGAAUAUUGUGUCUACAACUCAACCCUUACAAGUUUUGCAUAUGGAUCUUUUUGGUCCCUUUAGAACUACGAGUUUUGGAGGAAACUAUUAUGCUCUUGUUAUAGUUUAUGAUUACUCUAGAUUUACAUGGACAUUAUUUCUCACUCAUAAAAGAAAUGCCUUUCAUACUUUCAAGAAACUUGCUAAAUUAUUCAAAAUAAGAAAAAUCUCAAAAUUGCAUCUAUUAGGAAUGAUCAUGGAGGAGAAUUUGAAAAUAAAGAUUUUGAAUCAAUUUGUGAUGAACAUGGCAUUGAACAUAAUUUUUCUGCACCUAUAACCCCUCAAAAAAAUGGAGUUAUUGAGAGGAAAAAUAGAUCUUUAGAAGAAAUAGCUAGAACUUUGUUUAAUGAUACAUUUCUUCCCAAAUAUUUCUAGGCUGAAGCUGUAAAUAUUGCAUGUUACAUCAUGAAUAGAACUUUAAUUAGACCAAUCUUGAAGAAAACUCCAUAUGAAUUAUAUAAUGGAAGAAAACCAAACAUUUCACAUCUUCAUAUGUUUGGAUGUAAAUGUUUUAUGCUAAACAAUGACAAAGAUAACUUAGGUAAGUUUGAUGCAAAAUCUGAUAAAGAUAUAUUCCUUGGCUAUUCCUUGCAUAGUAAAGCAUUUAGAAUUUAUAACAAAAGAACUAUGAUUAUUGAAGAAUCCAUCCAUGCAGUGACUAUGUAUAAAGGUGUAUGCAACAAAAGGUACUGAUUACAUGAUAAGAGAAUGAAGCAAAAUGUCCUCUUCACUUGUCUUUUACAAGGCAUGCAGUUAUCCAAAGAGAAGAAUAAAAUGUAACCUGUACAAUUAGAUGAAGUUAGGCAUAAGAUAGAUAUCAAGGAAAGUAGCUUAAACCACAGUCUCACGGCCACUGUUUCACUCAUGCACAAGUGUUUAAGUUAUUCAUUAAUAACAACGAACAAGAGGUUCAAUCUUUGCGCUUCAUCUCAUGCCAUAAAGUAAAAAAUGUACAAACAGAAUCAGAAGGACAUUCCCAGGCUUGUAGUGAGGUUUGGCUACAAAAAUUCAUUGGUUUUUCUAGGAUUCAAAGGCUUAGAUUCUAAGAGAGCACAAAUCCUAGACUUAUCCAAGUGACCUUUUUAAUACAAUUAGCUUGCUCACUAGCUUUUCACUUUCAUUUUCUUUUGACCUUAUUACAACAGCACAUAUUUUCUUUGAUUGCUCUUUUUUUUUUUAAACACACAACGUAUUUGUUGUGUGUGCUGAUGCUUUAUCUUUUUCUUUGCAUCCCAAAUAGUUCCACUCCCCCAAAUUUGGAGUAAAUUUUCCUUGAACCAUAUGUUCUCCUAGAAUCUAAACAAGGUAUCUGGAGAUAAUCAUUUAGAUUCAGGGUUCAAUUAUUGACAAAAUCAUUCAGCUCAAAAAGGGUGCAAAGGGUAUAGUUAUCAUUCAAGGUAAGCUUUUUGGUCAUAAGGCUUGUGUAAGAACAAUCAUGGCCUUCAUCAUGUCCUCAUUUAUACAAUUCAUUCUAAAAUUCAAAGAUUAAUGCAAAGAUUAUUACUCACAGCUAGUCGUUCACUCACAGUUUAAGUUCACACUCUCACCGGUUUUAGUUCAAGCUUUUCUUUCUCAAUCAAUCUGUCUACUGACUAACAAUUCUAAAUGCAAGUUCACAUUCUUGUUCUUUCUUUGUCUAACAUACACACUUGCUCAAACUCAUGAAAAGAAACAUAAACUCCAUCACAAUCAUGCAUUCCAUCCAAAAUCAAACCAUACACCAAUUUUCACAAAAAGAUAAAAGUGUUUUACUGCAAUAUCAUCAAAAUCAAGUCCAACUGUUCCAUAUGGUUCAGAAUAAACAAACUAACUACCCAUAAAUAAAACUAGCAGUGUAUAUAAACAUAAAAGAAAUACUAUACUGAAACCAUAAUCAUAAUAAUAGUGAACCAAAAAGCAAAAAGUAUCAUCAGGAAUCAAAAUUCCUAUGACUAGUCUUGGGUGUCUGAACAUCCUCCUCAUUUGUCAGAUGGAAAGACUAGGGAAUCAGAGAGAGCAACAACUUCUCCGUAUGAGGAAUCAGAAAGAUCAACAGCUCCUCCAACUGGGGAAUCAGGGGGAUCAGCUGCUUCUCCAGCUGGUGAAUCAGGGGGAGCAACAGUUUCUCUAGAUGGGGAAUCAGAGAUGAUAAUCAGAGGUGGAGAUGGGAGAACCACUUCAAGUUCAGGAGAAGAAGGUGGAUUCACCACUGGAGAUUAUGGGUCAGUUGGCUCUGGAUCAACCUGUGUAGGUGUGGGCUCAGGAGGAGCAACCUCGUUGGGUCUCACCAAUGGAAGUUGAGCUUCAGGCCAGGCUACUUGCUCAAGAAAAUGCUCCAUAGGUAUGAUUGGCCUGUUAUGAGCCAACUCUUGCAGGCUGUGCAUGAUAAUAAAUUGUCCUCGGAAUAAGCUUUGUAGCAUAGGGACUAAAGUUUGUGAGCUUUGGACAUCCUAUCCUACAGUUACUGACAGAGGAGCUGGAGUGGAUGAUGAAGGGAUGUCAUUUGUGCUAGCCCUUUUUCUCGAUGCCAUCUGUAACUAAAAAGAAUUCAAAAUUCCUUAGACCAAAUCUGUUCAAGUUUAAAAAUAGAAAUAAAGGCUGAAAUUAACGAUGGGCACUUAGCGAAACGAUGGGCACUUAGCGGAAUACAGCUCGCUCAGCUCGCCCUCGGACACUUAACAUAUUGGCUUAGCUGGAGCCAAGCUCGCUUAGCCUAAUAGUUGCCUAAUGAAAUGUGCUUAGCUCAGAUAGACUCGGCUUAGCGCAAGGCUUUCAAAACAAAAUUUUCUAAGUCACCUGGGCUUAGCGAUUCAGCCUCGCUUAGCCAUAAGUAUCUCAACAGGAGGAUGAGUGUUCAUCCUCACAAGAUGAACUCGCUUAGCGCGGUAUGUGCACUUAGCGAGUUCGUCUGGAAACGCAUAUCUUCAAUGAAUAUCGAUGAACUCGCUUAACGCAGCAUGCUCGCUUAGUGAGUUCAUCGCAUUUUCCAAAAAAAAACACAGAAAACAUAGUUCGUUUCCUUGUCAUUUAAAGCCUCUAAAAGGCAUUAUCAACAUGCAAGACAAUUGAAAAUAUCUACACAUCACUAUCAUAUAUAAAGUCCUAAUUUUUACCUAAUCUAAAAUCAUGAAAACCCUAAAGAUUAAAAGCUAAAAUCUAUGGUUUUCUACCCUGAGGUUCAACAACACAAAAGAAUGAAGGGAGUAAGGAACUUACUUGUAUCGUUGAUGCUUUGAUGCAGAAGAAGGUGAAAAUGCAGGAAAAUGAGUGCGAGAGAGAAGGUGCAGGCAACUCAGCAGUUUCCAACAAAUGUGAGUGUAACUGCCAUUACACUCACAUAAGCCGUUUUGCUUUCUCGAAGUGACGUUUGGUUUUUCGAAAAUGCUCGCUUAGCGGCACCGUGUGCUUAGCCCAACUUUGAAAUUCAAGUUUUUUUUUUUUUUUGCACGGAGAAGGGAUUGGCUUAGCAUGCAGAUAGGGCCGCUUAGCAAAAUUUGCAUAGCAAAAUACCUGCAACUCUCGCUAAGCCGGGCUCUGGGCCGGCUUAGCUAAAAUAAUGCAUCUUGAGUAUAGAGGACCAUGCACUUAGCUGAUAAGGACUCGCUUAGCGCUCACAUUGUCGCAAGGAAUUCAGCUUAGCCGCCAUGACUGACGCUUAGCUUCAUGAACCCCAAUUCUGGCUGCAAAGAAAUGAGCUUGGCAGCAAUGACUCGCGCUUAGCCAAAAUGUAGGAUGGGCUUAGCGAUUAGGCUGCAACUUAGCCGAAUUCAGAUCGAAUUGAAGUGGGCUUAGCUCAGCCUUGGCCAGCUUAGCCGAUCAAAUCAGCCUCAGAUGCAAGGGUUGGGCGCUAAGCGCUUGAGACUCGCAGCUUAGCGCAUGAACAAAGAUGCACUUAGCACGAGGCUUGCACUUAGCAAAAGGACUGUUUUUCAAAAAAUGUAUUCUAAGUUAUUUUUCAGUCCCUUCCUCAACAAAUACAAACCCUUAUAUCUAACAUUCAAGGUUAAGUUGAUAUACUCCAAAGUACAAAUUAUAAAGCAAGUUCCACAUGAUAUAUGCAUGAAAAACAAAGAUAACAAAAAUUAAAAAUUGGGUUGCCUCCCAGGAAGCACUUCUUUAACCUCAUUAGCUUGACGUAUUUACCUCAUUGGGUGAUAUCAUGUUUUGGUUCUUACUUUCAUAACCUCUUGACCUACUUCCAUUACCUGUAAGCAAACAUUUUGUUCUGUAACGGGCUUGUUUUCAACAAACAAAUCAAAAUCAAUUUUCUGAUCCUCAAAACCCAUUUCCAGCUUCUUUCUACCCAUGUCAACUAUGAAACUUGCAGUUAACAUGAAUGGCCUUCCCAAUAUUACAAGAAUGUCAGUAUCUUCACAGAUAUCAAUUACCACGAUGUUUGCCGGGAAGAUAAAAUGUUUCACUCUGACUAGCACAUCUUCAAUUACUCCAUAUGGUCUGGUAAUGGAGUGAUCAGCUAGUUGUAAAGUCAUUUUAGUGGGCAUGAUCUCCAACUCUCCCAACCUUCUACACAUGGAGAGUGGCAUUAAAUUUAUACUGGCUCCUAAGUCAAUAAGAGUCUUUCCCACAGUGACUUCUCUAAUUGAACAAGGAAUAGUUACACUCCCAGGGUCUUUAUGCUUAGGUGGAAGGAUCUUUUGAAUCACAGUGCUACAAUUUCCUUCCACUAUAAUGUUUUCCUGGUGAAUGUACUUAUGUUUCCUUGUUAACAUAUCCUUCAAGAAUUUGGAGUAGAGUGGCAUCUGCUAUAAAGCUUCUCCGAAGGGCAUGGUUAUCUCCAGUUUCCUAAAAAUAUCUAAAACUCUCGCCAAAUGACAGUCCUUCUCCUUCUUGGAAGGUACCACAGGAUAUGGUACUUCCGCAGCUUCAUUCACAGCUUUUUCACUUCUACUCUUCUUUUCAUUCUCAUUUUUUUCAUCUUUUUCAAUUUUUUUAUUUUCUUUUUCUUUUUCUACUUCUUUUUCUUUUUAUUGGUCAUUCAAUUCUUUUUUAUUGACCAUUAUUUGUUUCUCUUUUUCCUGAUUAUUUUCACCUCUCACAUCAUUUUUCCUUCCAUCAAUACCUUUCUCUUCAAUAGCUUUCUUCUUGAGUCCAACACUCUUCUCUUCCUCAUUCUCCACAAACCUUUUACUUCUUGUCAUCACAGCUUUGCAUUCCUCCUUGGGAUUCUUCUUUGUAUUUUCCAUAAAACUAUUGGAUGACUUGUCAGCUAUCUACUUAGCUAGUUGUCCCACCUAGACCUCAAGGUUCUUCAGUGCUGACUCAGUGCUUUUAUGAUUUGACAUUGUUACCUGCAUAAACUGAGUCAAAGUCUCCUCCAGCUUAGUAGUCCUCUGAAAGAUGUUAGGCCCUUGUUGGAUUGGCAUGUUCGAAGGUCCACCCUGGUCUUUGUUAAAUUGAUUACCAAGGUGCGACCUCCACUAUCCUUGUUGAUUAUAAGGACCCUGCUGGAAGCCUAAAAAUCCUCCUUGAGUAUACCUUUGUCGCUGUUGGUUUCCCAUAUAAUUAAUUUCUUGAGUGUUCUCUUCAAUGGGAAUACAUUGGCCUAUUUCAUGAGCCUCACCACAGAUGGUACAACCUGUAAUCUGCAAAACAGAAGAAUGUGAAGGUUGACUACUAGAUAGUUUAGUUGGCAACUUACCAAGUGUUUCUGUUAAAAUAUCAAGUUGCUUAGAAAGCAACUUAUUCUGUGCCAAUAAAGCGUCAUGUGAUGAUAGUUCUAACAAGCUUUUCUUUGUGGGUUAAUGGGUUCUAUCACCCAGAAUGGCGUGAUCACUGGCUGACAUAUUCUCAAUUAGCUCAGUUGCUUCUUUCGGGGUCUUCAGCUUUAUUUUUCCCCUUGCUUGGUUUGUGGUCUCAGGCCAUCUAUGAACAUAUUCAAUUGGAUUGGCUCUAAAAAUCCAUGUGUGGGAGUUCUUCUCAAUAAACCUCUGAACCUCUCCAAUGCUUCACUCAGAGAUUCAUCAGGGAACAGAUGAAAUGAAGAGAUUGCAGCUUUCCCUUUCGUAGUUUUGGACUCUGGGAAGUAUUUCUUUAGGAAUUUUUCAACAACUUCUUCCUAGGUUUUCAAACUGUUACCCUUAAACGAGUGAAGCCACCUCUUGUCCUCUCCUGCCAAUGAGAAUGAGAAUAUGCUGAGUCUUAUAGCUUCAUCUGGCACACCAACAAUCUUAACCAUGUUGCAUAUUUCGAUGAAUGUUGCCAAAUGUGCAUAGGGGUCUUCAUUAGGUAAUCCUUGGAAUAAAUUCCCCUGUAUUAAAUGAAUCAAAGAAUGCGGGUAGUUGAUGUUGUGAGCUUGCACUUCAGGACGUGCAAUGCUAGUAAAGAAUUGCGGUACUGAGCUGCUUAAAUAGUCCUCAAGGGUGAUCCUCUGGUGUUGCUUGUCUGCCAUGAUAGUGGCUUCAAGCAAUUGAGUGGCAGAUUCCCUUGAUGAUGGCGAAUCAGGUGAUAAUGAAUCAGAAAAAUGAGUUUCUUCCUCAAGAAUGGAUGCAACUGUUCUGUCUUGCAAAAGUUUCCUUCUCCUCUUGGCCCUAUUCCUUCUCAAUGUAGCUUCAAUUUCUAAGUCCAGAGGAACUAAAUUGCCUAUGGGAGAUCUAUGCAUAUAAAAUACUAACAGACACAGCGGUUAUUCAAUUCAAUAAGAGAAGAUAACUAUGAAUUGAAAACAACUAUUCACAAAUAAUCAAAGAAUAACGAAUAAAGAAUAAACACCUAAAAACGAUCUAACUUUCCAAAUAAAAAGAAGUUCUCCUAAGAAUCAUACCAGUUUCCACUGUUGAAUGAUCCUAAAAACACAUGCAUCUAUGUGAUCAAGGCAAAAGCAUGGUAGAAUGAAGUUCUGAUAGCACAGUGAACACACAAAACAUCAUUAAAUCGAUAAAAAAGAUAUUUACAUCAAAUACCUACAAGGAAGAUCCAACAGAGGAUUUAGCUUUCCAUAAUUGGGAAGCUUCCUUUACAACAAAGAGAAGAGAAAGAUGAAAGAUUGCAUAAAUACAAGUAGUGGAGAUGUCUCCUCCACCUCUAGGGCCUCACAAUCACUCACGAACUCAUCUCAAGCUCUCAGGACGGCUUCCUCUUCAAGCUCUGGUCUCUGCAGAUCUUCACAUAAUAAAAUCUCUCAAACUCUCUGGAACUUAGCCCUUUCUCUCUCUAGAAUCCCUCACAUGCAGAAGCUCCUUGAGAAAAUGGCCAAACUCCCUCUCUAAAUCCGAUUUCAGGCUUAAAUAGGUGGCCUUGUUCGUGUUUGUGCGCUUAGCGCAACUCUGAUCCACUCAGCGCACAUUAGUGAAUAUCGACUUAGCACGUGCUUUUCUCACUCAGCGAAUGGACUGAAGCGGUGCGCUUAGUGGGAUGGACCUUCGCUCAGCGAACAAGCACAGCUCAUCCUUCUUCCAGAUUCUUCCGCGCGCUUAGCUGAGGAAUGUUGCGCUCAGCGGAUGGCUCGCUAAGCCAACAGAUUAGCUUAGCGAGAGGGUGAAAAUCAGCACUUCAAAACUUGCCUAAUUAACCUGAAAUUGAGAGAAAAUGAUUAUUAAACACACAAAAUAGAAUUACUAAGUAUUUAUUACCUAUCUUUAACUAAAAGAACUUAUAACACUACAAAAUAACCAUAAAUUGGAGGAGUUUGAUACAAUUUACACAAGUUUUAUACACAAAAGCUAGUCGUAUUCACCGACUAACAAUGGCGAAGAUCACAAAGGCAAAGGAGAGGGAAAUGAUGAAGACUUUCACAUUGAUGAAACAAAAACAAGUAUUGAUCUUCCAAGAGAGUGGAAAACUUCUAGAUAUCAUCCUCUUGACAACAUCAUCGGUGAUAUAUCUAAAGGGGUAACAACUAGGAAGAAGGAAUAGAUUAUGAGGAAACAUAUGCGCCAGUUGCCAGAUUUGAAGCCAUUAGAAUGUUAUUAGCCUUUGCAUCCAUAAUGGAUUUUAAAAUUUACCAAAUGGAUGUGAAGAGUGCCUUUUUGAAUGGCUUUAUCCAAGAGGAAGUAUAUGUAGAUCAACCCCCUAGUUUUGAAAACUUACAAAAGCCUAAUCGUGUUUUUAAAUUGAAAAAGGCAUUAUAUGGCUUAAAACAAGCCCCUAGGGCUUGGUAUGAAUGUCUGAGUAAAUUCCUUUUAGAAAAGGAUUUUUCAAGAGGUAAAGUUGAUACUACUCUUUUUACUCAAAGAAAGUUGAAUUAUAUACUCUUAGUUCAAAUCUAUGUUGAUGAUAUCAUUUUUGGAUCCACUAAUGAUUCUCUCUUCAAAGAAUUCUCUCAAGAUAUGCAAAAUGAAUUUGAAAUGUCAAUGAUAGGCAAGUUAAACUUUUUUCUUGGGCUACAAAUCAAGCAAACAAAGAAUGGAAUAUUUAUCAAUCAAUCAAAAUAUUGCAAAGACCUAAUUCACAGAUUUGGGAUGGAAAAUGCUAAACAUAUGGCUACUCCAAUGAGUACUGCUUGCUACUUGGAUAAGGAUGAAACCGGUUAGUCAAUAGACAUUAAGAAAUAUCGAGGUAUGAUCGGAUUUCUUCUUUAUUUAUCUGCUAGCAUACCUGAUAUAAUGUUUAGUGCUUGUAUGUGUGCUAGAUUUCAAGCAAAUCCCAAAGAAUCACAUCUUAGUGCAAUUAAGAGAAUCAUGAGAUAUCUAUUAGGCACUAUUAAUAUAGGAUUAUGGUAUCCUAAAAAUUCUACUUGUAAUCUAAUAUGGUACUCUGAUUCUGAUUUUGCUGGUUGCAAAACUGAUAGAAAGAGGACUUGUGGAACCUAUCAUUUCAUUGGAUCUAUUGUAGUUUCAUGGCAUAGUAAGAAACAGAAUAGUGUUGUUUUAUCCACUACUGAGGCAGAAUACAUUUUUGUUGGCAGUUGUUGUGCUCAAAUACUUUGGAUGAAACAACAACUUUCUGACUAUGGAAUAAUUCUUGAUCAUAUUCCCAUUCGAUGUGACAACAUGAGUGCUAUAAACCUAUCUAAAAGUCUUGUUUAGCACUCAAGAACCAAGCAUAUUGAGAUUAGGCAUUAUUUCUUGAGAUAUCAUGUUCAAAAAGGGGAUUGUGUACUAGAGUUCGUUGAUACAAAAAAUCAGCUAGCUGAUAUCUUUACAAAACCUCUCCCCAAAGAAACCUUCUUUGCUAUUAGAAGAGAAUUAGGACUUUUAGAUAUCAAUGACUUAGAUAAAUAGUUAACUUGGUUGAUUAUUAUUUUCUUUCCUUAUGAUUGUUAAUUCUAUUUUUUUAUAAUUGAGUUUGGUUUUGUUGGUUUUUACUGAUUGUGGAUUAAUGAUUGUCUUUGUUUGUGUUUUGAUAAUCUUGAUAAUUGUUGAUUAUGGAUUAAUGAUUGUCUUUGUUUCUGUUUUGAUGAUUAUUUUUGAUUAAUUGUUGUUGAUGAUUGUUUUUGCACUUUUGAUUGUGCUUGAUGAAUGUAGUUAAGAAGUUUAUGAUGCUUUUUUUUCAAUGUCUAUUUUUGGAUCUUUGACUGUUAUUGAUAAUAGUUACAAUGAGUGUGUAGGUUUUAUGAGUAAACAAUAGUUAGUUUUUAUAGAAAAAGCUGUGUUUUAGGGUCUGGUAAUUGAUUACCACUCCCUAUAAUCGAUUACCAUAGAACAAUAGGCUAUAAUCGAUUACCAGAGAGUCUAGUUAGUUAUAGGAUAAGCUUGUAAUCGAUCACAGCUCGUCCCUGCAUAUAAAAAACUGCACUUUCUCUCUCUUUAGCAGAACCCUCACUCCCCUCUUCUCCUUGACGAUGCCCAACCUCCUUUAAACUUCAAAUCCUCAUAACUUUCUCGUUUCUUGGCUGAAUUACUUCAAACAAGGCCCAAACUUCUUCUUUUUCAAUUCUCUACAAAGCCCACCAAUCAUGAUUAGCUAAAACAAGCUCCAAUGGUAGAAUCUUUGAAGAAACGAAAGGGAUCCUCCUCCACCACCACCGCUACAGGCCACCGCCGCCAUGGAACAUCUGGUGACCCACUAGCACCAAUUCCUCCUUCCUUUUCAUCUCCCAGGUCAUUAACUCUGUUUUCCUCUGAUGAUCAGCGUUAGAGGUAUUACUCCCAAUUCUGCAAUUGUGUCAUUCUUGACCCUAAGUAUUUAGAUAUUGAAUUCUUUGAUGGUGAAACAUUUGAUUGCUACCAAGUGUUUCAAAAUUCUGAACUGGUUAAAUUUAUGUCUCUGAAAUGGCCUUAUUUUCCUGAAUUAGUUAGAGUCUUUUAUAAUAAUCUAAAAAUUCUGGAUGGAUUUAUUUAUUUUGAGGUGCAUCAAAUUCCUAUUAUUGUUGAUCAAUCCUUAUUUUAUUCAUUGACUAAGCUGAGCAGUCAAGGUGUUCCUUUUGAGGGCACUCUUGUAGAUGACUAGAAACAUGUUUAUUCAAGUCAUGAUGCUCGAAAAAUGGUUUGUAAUGACCAUGCUGACAUGACCGGAAGAUUGCUUGCUGGGUCAUUUACAUUUGAGUGUUGCAUCAUGCACUAUGUUCUUUGUCAAAUUUUGCUUCCUAGGUCCACUAAUCUUGCCCAGGCCUCUAAGGAGGAUUUAAUGUUGUUGUGGGCUCUUCAAAUUGGUCGUCAAAUUGACUGGGCCCAUCUUGUUCAGUACUGAAUGCAUAAGGCAUUACGGGCCAAUGCACCUCUUCCGUAUCCUCAUCUAGUUACUUUAUUUCUCCAGCAUUUCAAUGUCCCCAUAGACGAUGAACCUUUUUGUCAAGGUUAAAUGGUCUUUUGCUAUUGGUGUUGGUGUGUUACAUCUUUUGGAUAUCGGAAAGAUAUGGAGGCUCAGUGGGUGCGCAAGUAAGACCUGUCGCCUCCCAUUCCCGAUGAACAUACACCGUCUCCACCACUGCAACGGGAUACCUCUUCUUCUCUCUUGACUGAAGUCCUCACCGAGCUACGAGAUCUUAGAGCUUUUGUUGGCGAUCGCUUUGAUGCGAUGGAUUCUCGUAUCACUCGUCUUAAAGACGAUACGAUUUUCAUUCGACGUUGCUUCGAUCCACCUGCAGAUUCUUAGUUGUUUCUUGUGUUCUACGUCAUUCAUUUUCUAGACAUUUUUACUAUUUAGCCUUGUAUUUUGGCUUUAGUUAUUUGGUACUUUGGUUAACUUUUGGAUAUUAUGCAUUUAUUGCUUUUUGAAUUUGAUAUUUAGUUUGCUUUUGUUUGGAUAUUUAGCCUUUGCUUGGCUUAUGCAUUGGUUUGGAUAUUUAGACUUUGCUUGACUUAUAAUUUGCUUGACUUAUGUUGUGGUUGAUUAAGUUUUUGGAUGAGUUAAAGUUACUUGCUUUGGAUUUGUUCUUUUCUCCCGUCGUUUUUGGCUUUUUGAUGUUGCCAAAGGGGGAGAGAAACUAAGGGUAGAUUUUAUCUAAAAACUAGGCCAUUCUUUCCAAUUUUAAGGGGGAGUAAGGAUGAGUGCACGCAUUGCAAAUCAUGUAUCGUUUAUCUUGUUUUCAAAUUGUUGUCAUCAUCAAAAAGGGGGAGAUUGUAGAUGCAUAUGCUGUAUGAAGCUUUUGAUGAUGCAAAAAAUAUGAAAGCCAUUCAACAUUGAUCCAAGACAAGAUCAAGAAAUCAAGAGAAACGAUUAACAAUUAGUCCAUUAUAUGUUAAAAGAAUCCCUUAAAAGAGAUUGCAAAGGUUUGGCCUUAAGUUAAUCUUUCAAAACAUCUUACAAAGUUUUUUAGUUAAAUUCUAUUUUGAAAAAUAUGUUUUUCUCUCAGGUAAUUGACUACCAGAGAGAAAAUAGUUUUAAACAGUUUUAGAAAAGAAUUAAAUUUUAAUUUUAAAUGUGUAAUCGAUUACUAGAGGCAAAAUUGUUUUAAAACAACUUUCAAAAAGAUUUGAAUUUAAAUUUUAAAUCUGUAAUCGAUUACAACAAUUGUGUAAUCAAUUACCAGUCAUGAAAUUUUGAAAUUCAAAUCUGAAGAGUCAUAACUCCUCAAAAUUAACUAUGUAAUCGAUUACCACAUAUUUGUAAUCGAUUACCAGUGAGCAAAUUCUAAAAAUAACUCUGAAAAGUCACAACUCUUCACAAGUUUUUGAAAGGCCACCAAAGGCCUAUAAAUAUGUGACUUGUGUUCGAAAUUCUUCAGAGUUUUUCAGAAUAAUAAUUAUCCUAUCUUCUCAAAAGAAAACCUUUAGCCAAACACUUGCAAAAUCAUUAAGGAUUCUUAUAAAAUCUUCAUCUUGUAACAUUCUUCUCUAUAAGAGAGAAACAUUCUUCUUUACUUCAAAGAAAACAACUGUUAUUCAAGAGAUAGUGGGUCUCUUGAUUUGUAAAAGAUCUCUGAACACAAGGGAAUGGUAUCCCUGUAUGGAUCAGAAAUUGUAAAAGGAAUUUACAAGUUAGUGGAAAUCUCAAGUGGGUUACUUGAGGACUGGACGUAGGCACAGGGCGUGACCGAGCCAGUAUAAAACUGAGUUUGCGUUUCUCUCUUCCCUAAAAUUCUUUAAUUUAUUGCAUUUUAAUUUUACUUUGCUUAUUUUAAAGAAGUAUCGAUUGAAUUGUUCUUUACUUCAUUUAUAUUAAGUCUGCAUAUUUCAUUUCAAGAGAGAAUUAAAAUUUGUGAAGGGAAAUUUUUUAAACUUAAUUCACCCCCCUCUUAAGUUAUUGAUGCCACUUGUUUAACAGCUUUCAUUUUCAACCAUGUCAAAAUGUCAAAUCCAAGGUUGUCAUCUUCAACUUCAUCCUCAAAAUACCUUUCCAACUCAUUCCUUUGUUCAUCACCAUAUUUUUUUCAUUUUCUUUCUAAAUUGAAAAUCCCAAUCCUCAUCACCUUCUUCUGCAUUCAAUUGUGAGCCAAUGUUUGAAGCCAAAGUACUAGAAGUACUACUUUCAAUGGAAAUGGGAUGUUGUAUUGCAUAAUCCGCAAACAAUUUUUUUAUGAGAUCAUCCAAUUUUUUCACCAUCUCUUUGCUUUUCUCAACAUCAUACAUUUUCUUAAAACAAAAUUCAAUAUACUCAAACUUAUAUUGUGGAUCAGGAAAAAAGCCAUAAAUAAAAGAUUGUUGAUCUCACCAUUCUCUCAAUACUUGUUAAAGUUUAGUUGCAUAUUAACCGUCAUCUUUUGUAUCACUGGAUCAUCAUUGCACCUCUACUUAUUUAGGUAUUUUUGAAUACUAACCAACCACUUGAAGAAAUUGUUAGUUGUAACAUGCAAUAACCCAUAAAAAGAAAGAUUUACAUCAUUGAAAACCUUAAAAAAAACUCACAAAAACACGAGCACGUUUCCAUUCAAUCUCUUUAAGACAUCCUCCUUCACCAGUAAGAAGAUUGAGCACAUAUGCAACCUCAACAUAUUCAAAUUUUUCAGAAAUAUCUAAUAUCAUAUAAGUGGAGUUCUACCUAGUUGGUACAUCAAGUGUUAGCAUUGCUUUCGAAUUUACACUAACUAGCUCCACACACCUCUUAAAAGUUGUCAACCUAACCGGAGAAGACCUCACAAACUUGCAUGCAACCCUUAUUUUACUAAUUGAGGAGUCAAUUUCAUUCAACCCAUCACUGAUAACCAAAUUAAAAAAUGUGAGCGGAAUAUCGCAUAUGAAUGAACUCUUCAUUCAACAAAGUACGACCAUUCCAAAAACUUAGACCUCUACUUAAAUAUGAAAUGGCUAUAUUGUUACACAGCAAAUUUUUUCAAUCCCCCGUUCUUUCAAGCAAUUCUCUAAGGUUAUUAAACGAAAUUUCUAUAUCUUCUUAUGCAACCUAAAUGCCUUGUUAAUAUAAUGAGAUGUCACACACAUUUAAUUGAGAUUUUGGAUUGAUCUCCAUGUAUUAUUUGUUAGUGAAACUAAUUCUAUAUUUGUAGACAACAUGCAUUUCAACUUCUCUUUUUCGUCAUUAAACACUUGAAUGCAAUAUCUAGCAAUAAUUACACAAGAAAUAAUUUUAAAAUAGGGUUGAGCCUUUUCUAUAAACUUCCUAAACCCUUCAUUUUUAACAAAUUUAAAAGGAAGUUCAUCUAAAAUUAUCAUCUUUGCAAGUGCUAUAAGAAUCUGCUCUUGAUUGAAUUCAACAAGUUUCAUACUAGCAACAUUAGGGUCAUCCUCAAAAUCUUUUCCAACAUUAAUUGUCUUUUGUUUCCUAUCAACCUCCUUAUUAGGGUUUUUCGUACAAUCUCUCACAUGCCUGAUCAAGUUAGUGGUUCCGUAUUUAGAAUUGUUAGCCUUAUGUGAUUUACCAUAAUACUUGCAAAAAGCAUCAUCAUUUACUUAUUGUAAUGCAUCCAAACACUAAAAGGGGUUUUAAUAGCUUUUCCUUUUUGUACCUUUGCUUGUCUAGAUGGAGAUGGAGCUUUUGUCCCUUGUUGUGUUACUUGUGUAGGAACCUCUGGCUCUCAUUCUGAUAGUGACGGAGCUCUAAUUGGUUCAAUAGGACACUUGGAGGGAGUAACCGGUGGUAGCAACUUGCGGCAUUGCCACUUCUAGUACAACUUCUAUAUGUUAUUUAUCUUGUUUAUAGACUUUUAACAAAACUUGUGCAACAAAUAUAAAAUAAAAUAUCAUAUAAAUGCAAACAACAGAAUAUAUAUAUAUAUAUAUAUAUAUAUAAUGUCUUCUAUGUUGGGGCAGUACUAUCAUAGCAAGUAUUGACAAACAAAAAUUAAAUUAUUGCAAGUCACGAGAACCAAAAUAAAAUGAAACUAAUAUAGUCACAACCUCAGAAAUUCUGAAUUGCAUAAUAAUAUUAACAAGGCAUGAUAAUGCCAUUCAAUCCCAAAAGAUGGUUUUGGUGACUAUUAUCAUCAUUGGCAGGUGGCUACAUUGUACUUUGGAUAUACAAGUAAAGAAAGUUGGAAGCAGACAAAUUUCAUGCUAGCAACCAAGAAAGUUAAAGCUUAGAGCAUUCACUAUCAUGUACAUAUAGGAAUUUCACUUUUAGAAAAGGAAAAUUAAGAAGAAAAAAAAGUGUGUGUAGUAUGUAUAUAGGCACUCAUAGACGCACGAUGCUGAAAAAUGAAAGCAGAAUAGCUAUAUAUUUAAUUAUUAUGAUUUUGAAAUAUCAUAUUCAAUUUUUCAAAUCUUCAUGACACUAAUAAUCUCUCAUGAUGGUAACUAUAUGUAGUAACCAUGAUCAUAUAAAAAGUAAACUAAAAUGUAGUAUUAAUUACAAGAUAUUGCAUUAAUGAUAAUUCAUAUAUGGUGAUGGCAUGGAAGAUAUGAGAUAUGUAGUAUAAGAGAAUGUUCUCAUGGGAAAAAAAAGAGACACUAGCUAAAAAUGAAUAAAAUUAGAAAUGCAAAAUAAGCUUUGUUUCAAACUUGAUCAAGCAUUAACAGAGACAUAUAGCACUAAUUUGAACAACCAUACAUAAAUAUUCAAAUUCAAACUCCAAAUAUGAAAGACAUAAAGCCAAUCAAUCACAAUCACAAUCGUUGUCUAUGAAUUCCAAAGAGAUUGAUACUAUCAUCCACCAUAUAAUGGCACUAAUUUCAUUCGAGAGAUAUGGCUAUUCAAAAUCGGAUGCCAGAGAAAAAAAAAAAGAAACUGAAAAAAGCAAAAGGACAUUGAAGUCCUGUAACACCAAACAGGGGACCUUGAAGUCCUACAAAACAUAAAAUGGAGAACAUUGGAGUCCUAUAGCAUAAGAGCAGAGGAUGUUGAUAUUGAAGUCUUGUAAAGCAUAUAAACAAAAGACAUUGAAGUCUUAUAAAGCAUAAAAGCAGAAGACAUUGAAGUUUUCAAAAUCAUAAAAGUAGAAGACAUUGAAGUCUUUGAAAGUAUAAAGAUAGAAGACAUUGAAAUAUUUGAAAGCAUAAAGAUAGAAGACAUUGAAGUCUUUGAAAGCAUAAAGACAGAAGACAUUCAAGUCUUAAGAAUCAUAAAAGAAGAAGACAUUGAAGUCUUUGAAAGCAUAAAGAAAGAAGACAUUGAAGUCUUUAAAAGCAUAAAGAAAGAAGGCAUUGAAGUCUUGUAAACUGUAAAGACAGAAGACAUUGAAGUCUUGAAAAUCAUAAAAGCAGAAGACAUUGAAAUCUUUGAAAGCAUAAAGAUAGAAGACAUUGAAGUCUUUGAAAGCAUAAAGAUAGAAGACAUUGAAGUCUUGAAACAUAAAUGUGAGGACAUUGAGUCCUAUGGAAACAUAAAGGCGGAAGACGUUGAGUCCUAUGAAAACAUAAAGACAAAGGAUGUUGAGUCCUAUGAAAAUAAAGACAAAGGGCGUUGAGUCCUAUGAAAGAUAAAGGCGAGGAGUUUGAGUCCUAUUGAAACAUAUAGGCAAGGACGUUGAGUCCAAUGAAAGAUAAAAGCGAGGAAUUUGAGUCCUAUAGAAAGAUAAAGGCGGGGACUUUGAGUCCUAUGGAAACAUAAAGGCGAGGACUUUGAGUCCUUUGAAAGCAUAAAGCCGAGGACUUUGAGUCAUAUGGAAACACAAAGGUGAGAACGUUGAGUCCUAUUGAAACAUAAAGGCAACGAUGUUGAGUCCUAUGAAAGCAUAAAGACAGAGGACAUUGAGUCCAAGGAAACAUAAAGACAAAGGAUGUUGAGUCCUAUGAAAACAUAAAGAUGGAGGAUGUUGAGUCCAAGGAAACAUAACGGCGAAGGACUUUAAGUCUUAUGAAACAAAAAUAAAGGAUGUGGAGUCAUAUGAAAACAUAAAGCAAAGGACGUUGAGUCCUACGAAACAUGCCAGUAGGUACUAGUACCCAAGGGCUUAACCUUAUAAGAAAGCAAAAGAUUGACUCUUAGAAAGGGCCUCUCAUCCUAAACUCAAAAGAUAGGAGAUAGUGAUGGAAGCUUGCUUGUUGGGCUCCUAUGGAGGCUGGAUCUUUGAGCUUCAAUGAGGUCCUUUAAUGGUGAUUUUCCACCAUGGAGAUGCAGUGGAAGACAAAGGAGAAGAGGUGAGAGGAGGCACCAUCCACUAGGGAAUAAGCCAUGGAAGAAGGAGCUUCACCACCAAGAUGUGUUGGAUCGAGUGGCCUCAGAAUAAUUAAGAAGGGGGGUUGAAUUAAUUAUUCCUAAGACUUUACCAAUUAAAAAAUUACUCUUUUAAGGCUUUUACUUUUGUUGUUAAUAGAAUAUGAAGUAGAAGAGAAACUUAACAGAAAGUAAAAGCAAAAAUUAAAUGCACAGCGGAAAGUAAAAGAGUAGGGAAGAAGGAAACAAACACACAAGAGAUUUUAUACUGGUUCGGCAACAACCCGUGCCUACCUCUAGUCCCCAAGCGACCUACGGUCCUUGAGAUUUCUUUCAACCUUGUAAAAACCUUUUACAAGCAAAGAUCCACAAGGGAUGUACCCUCCCUUGUUCUCUUUGAACCUAGUGGAUGUACCCUUCACUAGAACUGAUCCACAAGAGAUGUACCCUCUCUUGUUCUCAGUCAAACCCAAGUAGAUGUACCCUCUACUUGUACCACAAAGGAUGUACCCUCCAAAGUGUUAAGAAAAAGAUCUUAGGUUGUUUAAACCUUUGAUACUUUGUGAAUGGGGAUACAAAAGAAUUCUCAGGCUGUUAAACCUUUGAACGCUUUUGUAUUAGGGAAUGGGAAGAAUCAAAAGAAUUCUCAGACUGUGUCAUUUUGAAUUCUUUGACAAGGGAGAAGGGAGACACAAAAGAAUUCAGGCAGUUAGUCCUUCGUUCUUUUGGAAAAGGGAGAAGAGAGACACAAAAAGAAUUCAGGCGGUUAGUCCUUGGCGAAUUCUUUUUGGCAAAGGGAGAAGAGAAUGAAAAGAUGAAUGGCACAAGUUUUCAAGGUUUAGAAAACCAGAAAACUUCAAAAAGCUUUUGGUACAAAGAAGAAGAAGAAGUUCAAAGAGAUUUAAAGCUUGUAAAGGAUUGUAUAUUAUUCUUUUUAAAAUGCAAAACAAAGCCUUGCUUUUAUAGACUCUUCACGUCUGGUCAAGAAGGCCAUUCAGAAGACUUAUAACUUUUAGAAAAACUUAAAACCAAUUUGAAAAAGUCCAAAACCUUUUUGAAGAGUUACAUCUUUUAAUUUAUCAGAAACAGUCACUGGUAAUCGAUUACCAAAUUAGUGUAAUCGAUUACACAAGGCUUUUUAAGUGAAAGGAUGUGACUCUUCACAUUUGAAUUUGAAUUUCAACGUUCAAGGGCACUGGUAAUCGAUUACCAAAACAUUGUAAUCGAUUACAGCCUUUUGAAAAUAAUUGGAACGUUGUAAAUUCAGUUUGAUAACUUUUUCAAACUCAUUUUGCUACUGGUAAUCGAUUACAACAAUAUGGUAAUCGAUUACCAGAGAGUAAAAACUCUUUCGUAAAAGGUUUUGUCAAAAACUCAUGUGCUAUUCAAAGUUUUGAAAAACUUUUUAAUACUUAUCUUGAUUGAGUCUUCUCUUCAUUCUUGAAUCUUGAUCUUGAUCCUUGAAUCUUGAUUCUUGUCUCUAGACUUUCUUCUUGAGAUUGUUGUUAACAUUGUGACUGUUGUUUAUAGUAAUAUCAUAAACCUGAAAAUCCUAAUGAAUCAUUGGAAAUAUCUAACAACAAACUUCAAAUUGCCCCAAGCAUCAUGCAUAGUAUUUCUUGUCGACAUCAGAAUUCACAAGUGAUUUUCCUCCUCAAAUCUUAGCUAGCCCACAUCGAUCAGACUUUGCACCUUAUAUUUCAGGGUCAUACAAUGCUCAAUGGAAUGCCCCGGGACUCCCCCAUGAUAAGCACAUGUCACAUUGGAGUUUUAUCUUCUGGGAAAUGGAGGUUGAGAAAUCUUUGAUGGGCUCACAACUACCAUUGCAUUAUCGAGCAGAUACGAGAGUAAGUUAGCAUACGAAAUUAGAAUUGUGGUGAAUUCUACAGGCUUCUUUUCUGGAAAGUUCCUUCCAUGGUUGGUGUUUUGAUUGGUAUUAGGGGUGGUGUCUGGUCUUGGAUGUGCAGCAGGUAGAUUCUGUGGCCGAUUUAGGGGAGGCCUUUGCGGAUGAUUGGGCGUUGUUGGUUGGUAGGGUGGUGAGUAAUGGGAAGGAUUGAUAUUGGCUAAGUAUUGAUAUUGUUGGGGAGGAUAUUGGUACAUGGGAUUUAAAGGGGCUAGUGGGAAAUUUGGCAAUGUAGGAACAACAGUCACAACAUGGGUUUCUCCCUCCUUAUUUCUUCCACUCAUGCUAGGUCUUGUAUUACUAGAACUCGCAGUAGCAGCAUAAUCUAAUUUCCCUCUUCUCAUACCCACUUCAAUCUAUUGGAUCAAGUGGCCUUGGAAUAAUUAAGAAGGGGGGGUUGAAUUAAUUAUUAACGAACUUUUACUAAUAAAAAAUCUAUCCUUCUGAAUAUUAAUAAAAGUAAAAACAAUAAUUAAAGUGCAUAGCGGAAAUUAAAAGAGUAGGGAAGAAGAAGACAAACACAGGAGAUUUAUACUGGUUCGGCAACAACCCGUGCCUACAUCCAGUCCCCAAGCGACCUGCGGUCCUUGAGAUUUCUUUUCAACCUUGUAAAAAUCCUUUUACAAGCAAAGAUCCACAAGGGAUGUACCCUCCCUUUUCUCUUUGAACAACCUAGUGGAUGUAUCCUCCACUAGAACUGAUCCACAAGAGAUAUACCCUUUAUUGUUCUCAGUCACAACAACCCAAGUAGAUGUACCCUUUACUUGUACCACAAAGGAUGUACACUCCAAUGUGUUAAGACAAAGUUCUCAGGCGGUUAGUCCUUUGAAACUUUGUGAAUAGGGAAACAAAAGAAUUUUCAGGCGGUUAGUCCUUUGAAAUCUUUUGUUUAUGGGAAAGGGAAGAAUCAAAAGAAUUCUCAGACUGUGUCAUUUUGAAUUCUUUGACAAGGGAGAAGGGAGACACAAAAGAAUUCAGGCGGUUAGUUCUUCAUUCUUUUGGAAAUGGGAGAAGAGAGACACAAAAAUAAUUCAGGCGGUUAGUCCUUGGCGAAUUCUUUUUGGCAAAGGGAGAAGGGAAUGAAAAAGAUGAAUAGCACAAGUUUUGUUUUCUAGGUUUGGAAAACCAGCAAACUUAAGAAAACUUUUGCAAAGGAAGAAGAAGAAGAAAUUCAAGAGGAUGUUCAAAGAGAUUCAAAGGAUGUAAAAGUUUGUAAUCAAUUUUCUUGAAAAUGCAAGUUAAGGACUUGCUUUUAUAGACUCUUCAUGUCUGGUCAAGAAAACCAUUAGAAGAGUUAUAACAUUUAGAAAAACUUGAAAAAUAUUGGAAGAGUUGCAUCUUUUGAUUUUUAUUCAAAACUUUUCACUGGUAAUCGAUUACCAAAUCAUUGUAAUCGAUUACACAAAGCAUUCUUGUGAAAGGAUGUGACUCUUCACAUUUGAAUUUGAAUUUCAACGUUCAAACAUACUGGUAAUCGAUUACCAAUAUAUUGUAAUCGAUUACACCAUUUUGAAAUUGAUUGGAACGUUGUAAAUUCAGUUGAAAGCUUUUUGAAAACAAACCUUGCCACUGGUAAUCGAUUACAGUAAACUAGUAAUCGAUUACCAGAGAGUAAAAACUCUUUGGUAAAAGGUUUUGUGAAAAAUUCAUGUGCUACUCAAUGUUUUGAAAAACUUUUCAGUACUUAUCUUGAUUGAGUCUUUUCUUGAUUCUUGAAUCUUGAGUCUUGAAUCUGUUCUUGAUUAUUCUUGAUUCUUGAUUCUUGAAAACUUGAAACUUGAAACUUCUCUUGAAUCUUUCUCUUGAUUCUUGAAUUGUUCUUGACUCAAUCUUGAAAUCAUUCUCAUAGGCUUUUUGUGAUCAUCUUUGUUAUCAUCAAAACACCUUGAAUCAAUCUUGAUUCAUCAUCAUGAAGCAAUGAAGUUUGCUUUUACAAUCUCCCCCUUUUUGAUGAUGACAACUCUGAAAUCAAGAAACGCAUACACACACUUUUUCCUAGUCGAUCACUCACUUAAAUUUUCCAUUCUCCCCCUUUGUUUUUGAGUUUAUGCUUUACUUGAAAUUAAGUUGAUUACUUAUGUGAGUUCUUGAUUUAAUUCCUAUUUCUCUCCCCCUUUUGCAUCAACAAAAAGCCAAAGUGCGUAACAAGUAUAAGACAAUCAUAUACUAUUAAUCAUUCACAAGACAUACAUUGAAGAAUAUAAACCAAUCAUGAAGCAAGAAACAUGAAUAGAUCAAAUAUAUAAAAACCACAUAGUCAUAUAACAUAAUUCAUAAUUGUUCAAUCAAACCAUGCUAAUAAAGAAAUACUAAAUUAUCCAAAUGUCAUAAUAUAGUCAAAUACACAGCUAGAAAACAAAGUGCUAGUAAUUGUAGAAGCAAGCUUCAUGAUGAAUCAAGAUUCAUUCAAGGAGUUUUGAUGAUAACAAAGAUAAUGACAAAAAGCUCAAAAGUCAAGAUCACUUCAUGAUAACAAAGAUGAUGACAUUCAAGAAUGAGUUCAAGAUUGAGUCAAGAACACUUCAAGGAUCAAGAGGAAAUUUGAUUUCAAGAAUCAGGAUUCAAGAAUAAUCAAGAUAAAGAUUCAAGACUCAAAGAAUCAAGAAUCAAGAGAAGACUUAAUAAAGAUAAGUAUUAAAAAAAAUUUCAAAACAUUGAGUAGCACAAGAAGUUUUCACAAAAUCAUUACCAAAGAGUUUUACUCUCUGGUAAUCGAUUACCAGAUUAUAGUAAUCGAUUACCAAUGGUUUUAAAACGAUAAGAUUUUCAAAAUUCAAAAUGAAGAGUCACAUCUGUUGAUUUGUAAUCGAUUACACCUUUAUGGUAAUCGAUUACCAAUGACUGUUUUCGAAAAAUUCAUUUCCAAAAGUCACAUUUCUUCAAGUGACUUGUUUCUGAAGAGUUACAAGUUUUGACUUGAGUUAUCAAGAAACUAUAAAUAUGUGACCUUGGCAUGAAACAUUACAACAAUCACUUUCAUAUCCAUCAUCUCUUUCAAUCAUUCUAUCUUUCAAUAUCUUCUUUCAUUUCUUUUAGAACUUUCUUAUUUCAUCUUCUCUUCAUCUUUCUAAAAGUUUUUGUUCAAAAAUUUUUCUUCCAAGAAAAGUUCUUUAUUCAAAAACUUGUGCUAUUCAUCUUUUUCAUUCCCUUCUCCCUUUGCCAAAAAGAAUUCGCAAGGGACUAACCGCCUAAAUUCAUUUUGUGUCUCUCUUCUCCCUUUUCCAAAAGAACGAAGGACUAACCGCCUGAAUUCUUUUGUGUCUCCCUUCUCCCUUGUCAAAGAAUUCAAUAAGACAUAGUCUGAGAAUUCUUUUUAUUCUUCCUUUUCCCAUAAACAAAAGAUUUCAAAGGACUAACCGCCUGAUAAUUCUUUUGUUUCCCCCUUCACAAAGUUUCGAAGGACUAACCGCCUGAGAACUUUGUCUUAACACAUUGGAGGGUACAUCCUUUGUGGUACAAGUAGAGGUGACAUCUACUUGGGUUGUUGACUGAGAACAAGAGAGGGUACAUCUCUUGUGGAUCAGUUCUAGUGGAGGGUACAUCCACUAGGUUGUUCAAAGAGAACAAGGGAGGGUACAUCCCUUGUGGAUCUUUGCUUGUAAAAGGAUUUUUACAAGGUUGAAAAGAAAUCUCAAGGACCACAGGUCGCUUGGAGACUGAAUGUAGGCACGGGUUGUUGCCAAACCAGUAUAAAAACUCUUGUGUGUUUGUCUCCUUCUUCCCUACUCUAUUAAUUUCCGUUGUGCACUUUAAUUCCCGCUUUUACUUUUGGUUAAGUUUCUUUUCUAUUUUUCAUUUACUUAACAACAUAGUAAAAGCCUUAGAAGAGUAAAUUUUUAAUUAGUAAAGGUUUAGGAAUAAUUAAUUCAACCCCCCUUCUUAAUUAUUCUGAGGCCACUUGAUCCAACAAGUGGUAUCAGAGCAGGUAUCUUGUUGAAAGUUUAACCACUUAAUCGAUUACCAAUAUAUUGUAAUCGAUUACACCAUUUUGAAAUUGAUUGGAACGUUGUAAAUUCAGUUGAAAGCUUUUUGAAAACAAAACUUGCCACUGGUAAUCGAUUACAGUAAACUAGUAAUCGAUUACCAGAGAGUAAAAACUCUUUGGUAAAAGGUUUCGUGAAAAAUUCAUGUGCUACUCAAUGUUUUGAAAAACUUUUUAGUACUUAUCUUGAUUAAGUCUUUUCUUGAUUCUUGAAUCUUGAGUCUUGAAUUUGUUCUUGAUUAUUCUUGAUUCUUGAUUCUUGAAAACUUGAAACUUGAAACUUCUCUUGAAUCUUUCUCUUGAUUCUUGAAUUGUUCUUGUCUCAAUCUUGAAAUCAUUCUCAUAGGCUUUUUGUCAUCAUCUUUGUUAUUAUCAAAACACCUUGAAUCAAUCUUGAUUCAUCUUCAUGAAGCAAUGAAGUUUGCUUCUACACAAUCUUCUCACCAUCUAACACUAAAUCUAUAAAACUUGAAGGCAUGUAACCUACCAUCUUCUUAUAGUAAAACAUCGGCAAUGUGUCCACUAUCGUUAUUAUCAUUCCUCUCUCCAUCAUCGGGGGCACUACUUGAGCUGCCAGAUCUCUCCACCUUUGAGCUUAUUCUAUGAAAGAUUUAUUACCUUUCUUGCACAUAUUCUGUAGUUGCAUUCUAUCUCGAGCCAUAUCAGAUUUAUACUGAUACUGCCUAAUGAAAGCAGCCAUUAGGUCCUUCCAGGAAUGAACCCGGGAAGGUUCCAAGUUAGUAUACCAGGUAAUAGCUGCCCCAGCAAGACUAUCCUGGAAGAAAUGCAUCAACAACUUUUCAUCUUUCGCAUACGCCCCCAUCUUCCUACAAUACAUUUUCAGGUGAUUCUUUUGGCGAGUGGUUCCCUUGUACUUAUGAAAAUCUGGCACCUUGAAGUUUGGAGGAAUAACCAUAUCUGGUACCGAGCACAACUCUGCCAUGUGAGCAAAGGCAUAAUUUCCUCCUCCUUCAAUGGCACGUUGCCUCUCCUCCAUAUGCCCAAUCCUUUCCUUCUCAAGUACUAUGGAAGGCCCCUCUCCGCUUACAAAAUGCAAGGGUUGUGAUAACGAGCGACAUUGAGAUAUUCCAGGAGCGUUCAGCAUAGGGAUGCCAGAAAAUGCUUGCCCUUCAGUGGUAUAUCCAGGAUAAACCCCGAACCUGACAAGAUUGUGGUCUUGGGGGACUUCAUGUGUUUCCCCCAUAGGUUGAGAGACACGUGCAUGAUCAGAUUGGGGUUGUUGAUUCUCAAUGAGUACUAGUGCAGAAUUGUUGAUAUUCUCACCAUAAGCUUAUACGACAGUAGGCAGUGUAUAAUUAGGAGGCAACUCGUAUGGUGGGAAGGAAUGUUUGCUCUGAAUCUGAACAUGAUGAGGCCCAUAUGCAUUUUUCACUGUCUCGCCUCCUUGACCUACUACAUCUAAGACUAGACGAUUCACUUGAUUGAAACCGGUCGGCUAAAUCGGGUCCAUCUCAGUAGCAGUACUCGCAUCAACAACUAUAGCAGUGUUAUCCUCGAUCAUCUUCCUCAUGCUCAUCAUUGCUUCCAUCAUCGUUGUCAUCUAUUCCUUCAUGGCCUCCAUAUUGGCCUUCAUUUGUUCAUGUACUUCUUCGAUUUCACUCAUUAUUCUGACCUUAACACGUGUCUGGUAAGGGUGUCAUAAAGCGCGAUCUUUCUCUUUGGUUACAAUGAUUACAAUUUUGAUUUCAAGGAAAGAAUGCAAUGAGCAAUGCAACUAAAGUGGAAAGACAAACAAGAACGAAUGCAUGUGAAUGAUACAUUGUUGAAGUAUUGUGAAUUUUACACAAUACAUUCAGUAGAACAUAGGGUCGAAUCAACUCUAAUUUUUCAUUAAAUCUCAUCAGAGUCAAAGUACAAUUUGAAAUAAAACAUGGACACAUCAACGGUUCCUAAUUUUGUAAGUUAUUAGCUCAAUCAUGUGUUGGCAGUAGUCAAAGAAGCUAUGUAAAUUCGACCCAUCUUCUGCCCCAACUUUCUCAAGCUGGUUACUUCCAUACUUUGACCUUGACUUGAUAAAAUACUUUUCUUAAAAGACUGUGCUUGGUUUGACCCUAUGUUCAUAGGAAUAGAAAUUUUGAUCGCCAAUAUUUUAACAACCUAUCAUAGAGGAGAUAUGAUGAAUGAUCAGUGCAUAGUUAUGCUAUGCAUGACACAUGUAUUUAUCAAACCGGCACAAGACACCUAAAAGACCACCCUCUUCUUGUUAACAAUGCAUUGGGUACCAUGUCCAUGUGAUUUCAAUCAUUUUCAAGAGAAAGGAUUGUAUAACCCUAACAUGGUUUGUCUAUAGCUAUUACCAUGGUACCCAACUCAUGAAACUAAAAACGGGGUGUAAAAUUUCACACUUCGUUGUGACUUUUGGCAGCGAAGAAGGAAAUGCAAGGCAUGAACAACUAUAUGGUAGGAUUAUGCAUAACAUGUGAAUGAUGAUAACAGAAUGUAUGCAAUUGGCUGAACAAAAACAUGCUAAAUGAAUAUGUAUGACAAUGCAAUGACUUUGGCAAAUGCAAUGCAUGAAUAUGAUGAAUGAUAAAUGCAGGAAUGAUAUGUCUAUUAUGAUGCCAUGAAGAGAUGCAUGAUGCGAUCAAGGAAACCAGACAUGGUGAGUUUGCCCAGUGUUCUUAAUUCAGGAACCUAAUGGAAAGGAUCCAAAAGUCCACUAUCUAGUGACAACUCCCAAGGUUAUUUUCAUGUAACCUUACUGACCUCUAGAGAUAUCAUCAUCUCAGGUAAUAUACUGUGGCAAUAGGGACUAUCAGCGACAAUGCAUCACCAAAAGAGGAAAACUCUAGAUGAGGCUUCACUAUAAUCCAGCAAGUCGGGGACCUUGCAUGACCACAUAUCGACCUCCACUCCCUAUGGCUAACACAAACCCAGGUAUAGGGCCCAAUAUCUCAAAGUGUGUGCAAAAAGUGUGGGUGUCAUAUGUGAACGGAGCAACCUAAGAAUUACCCAACCCCACCUCCAAAAAAAACAAAAAAAUUCCUAGGCAGAUACAAGAAGUAGUAUAGCACAUGUCGUCUAUCCUAGGAUUCAAUGGCACAAUUUAUUUCUAACUACAAAUGUAAUAGAUACAAAGAUACACACCAAGAAGUAACAAUGUACCAAAGGUUAUAUACAAACAUGAGUGAAACAACGAAUAAAGGAAACGAGCUCGAAGCUAAACCGCAAAAUGAACGAUACCGGAAUGAAACUUUAACGAAUGACUUAACUCUCUAACGAUUCCUAGUGGAGUCGCCAUCUGUCGUAACCUAACUUCGCGACGAGACGACGAAAGCAAAUAAAAGAAAGCAUGUUCAUCUCUUAAGGAGAAAAUGAGUGGGAGUCGCCACCAACAUUUAUUUAUGAAAAACGUUAGAAAAACCAAAAAGAGGUCUACGAAUUUUGAAAAGAAGGGUUCGAAAGUUGUUUACGCAUAGGGAAGGUAUUAGCAUCCCAUGCACCUAUCACGUAGAACGACAACCUUUAAUCGAGUGUGCAAUAAAAAUAAUGUGACUACAAAAUUAAUUAUUUUUCCAAGAGCGGUGAAUUUCUUUUCGUUUACUAUAAUAUUUUAUUUAUAUAUUAUUUUUUUAAUCAAGAAGGGUGUGUUACCCUUGCUCCUACAUAUCCCCAGGUGCAAUGAGGAAAUCAGACCUAUGUAGUUCUUAAAGUUUGAAUGUGUGUGUUAAAUUGAUUUUAUGUUUUUUUUGAAAGAUUUAAUUGCAAACGAAGAGUCGUUAGGGCAUUGGACCUUUAAAUGACAUUUUGGAUUCUGAAAAGCAGAGGGAGUUGUUAAGGCGUUGGACCUUGAAACGAUCUCAAAGUGAUAUUUGAGUAGAAAAGAUUACAUAUAUAAUAUCAAGAGGGAUACACAAGGGUACAAAGAUUACACCCGAUCCUUAAAAAAAAUAAUUGAUCGUUGCGCAGGGCGCAAGACUAACAAGAGAAAUGACAAAGGAAAUGAUCCACGGUCACAAUUCUGCAGCGCCUCGACUUUACUUUUCUUCUUCUCAUUUUCCUUCUGCAUUUUUUCCUUUGUUUUCUUUAGUUCCAUCCCCCUUAAACCCCUCCUCUACAUGGCUAUUUAUAAAGAAAGCCAUUUGGUGUAGGGGAAGCUCACCCAGGCGAAUUGGUUUCUUAAGCUUGAAGGUAUCAGCUCACCCAGUCAAGCUGGUUGCUUAAGGCUGAAGCUUUCCCAUGGUCCAAGCGAGUUUAGAUCUAAAGAGUUCCAAAAAAUGAUCAUUUUGUCCCUUUCCUUGUGGCUUUUUGUUUUCGGAUCUGGCAAUCAAACAUCAACCUUGAGCGACCCCGUGUCCUUGCGGUGCAAUGGGUGCCAAACACCGUAGUUCGAUUAGCAAUGAUCAAAACAUCAUAUGUGACUGAUAAAAGCAUUAUACCUGGAUGAAAUUAGAGUUUGACAUCUAUUAAUGAUAUAUCAUCAUCUCCUAUGAAAUGUAUGCAUAUUUCAAAUGUUUUAUUAAUAAAUAUUGUUCAAUUGCUCAAUUUCACUAAAUAAAACAAAUAUAUUUAAGAUAAAAUUGUGACAUCAUUUAAAUAGAAAAAAAAUAAGAAAAAAUGUCAUUUUUUUAAUAUAUGUCUAUGCUUAUUUUUAUAGUUAAAUAAAAAAUUUCAAAUAGAAACACAUCAUCUCUCUGUUUGAUGCAAAGGUCAAAAAUCUAAUUCGUAUAGGACAAGGAGCAAUAAUAGACCUAGAUCAAAUACUAGUAAUUAAAUGAGGAAAAUAUUGAUAAUUGACAAUAUUUGAGGUUUUGUUAGAAUUAAAAUUAGAGAAAAUUGGAAUGUACCCAAAAUCACAAUCUUAGGUUGUUUAUCAUAUUUAUAAUUAUUUUCACAUCAAGUCUUUUAAUUUUAUUCUUAUUUACUAAAUUGAGCAUCUAACUACUAGUAUCCUUUAUUUAACAUAAACUCUUAUUUUGUUAGUUUUAGGAAAUUAAUUAUUUGGGAACAUAACUCAUGCUUUAGGUUUAACAUUAAGUUUUUGGUCCACAAUUACUAUUGUAUUCUCCUUAUGUGAUUAUUAUUUCUAUACACAUCAUGCAUAUACCGUAAUUAAUUGUUAUAUUUUAAAUGAAAUUAAUAAUUAACACUUAAAUGAUGAGUUUUAAACUUUCAAUGAUUUUUAAAAUGUAAUUUCAUACUCUUUAAAAACAAUUGAUAAAAAGAUACUCUUUAAAAACAUCACACAGUUUCCUUUAAAAAAAAAUAAAACAUCACACAGUUACUGGAAACUUGUUAAAAAAAUAUCAAAGCACAUCAAAAUAUUACAGUGAGUGAAAAGAGAAUUUUUUUUUUAACAUGAAUGAAAAGAUUUAUAAGUAUGUAUAUACACGAAAGAAAUAAAAGAGAAUACGAAUACAAUAAUAAAACUGUAAAAGUCAAGGGAAGUAAUGUCAGUCAAAUCUGAAAAGAAGUGCACAGUUUUUGUACUGUCAACAUAAUCCAGAAAUAAUUUUAAAUAUGAUAUUCAAGAUAUUUAUUAUUAAAAUAAAAAUUACUAUAUGUAAUAAUGUAUGAUCUAUAACAUUAAAAAAUUGUAUACGUACUAAUACAUUCAUGCCAAAAAAAUAAAAAUAAAAACUUUUUUCUUAUUUAAAAAUGGAAAUUAUAAAUUACAAAUAAAAAUAAAUUGGUGAAGGAGAUUUAUAUUGGAUUGCUCAAUAUUUGUGAUUCUAUAUAGGUAAUUGUUAUAUUAAUUAAAAUUAAUAUAUCAUUCUUAAAAAUAAAGACACUUCUAUAUAUAUAUAUAUAUAUAUAUAUGACCUUGAACAAUAUUUUGUGGUCUAAAAUUUAGUAAAACUAUUAUUAAAAAUAUUUUGUAACAUUUGAAAAAUGUUGUCAAACAAACUAUUAUGUUUUCGCAACAUUAUUGUGUAUAGCACACUUUUAUACUCUUGACUUCCAUUAAAUGUUUUUUUCAAUUGCCAAUAAGGGUGAUAAGGUUUCAGAAAAUGCCGAUGCCUCGUGUAUACUAUUUUUCUACCAUGUUUCUGUUGUAUGUAGCUUGUGUCUUCUUCACAUAUGGGGCAUGCAUGAUAGCCCUUAACAUUGUACCCGCUCAAAUUGCCAUAUGAUGGAAAGUCAUUAAUGGUACAAGAAAACAUUGCACACAAAUCAAAAGUCUCAUUUUAAAACCCAUUAAACACCGAAACCCCUUCGUCUCACGACUUUGUCAAGUCUUCAAUCAAGGAACUGAGAUAAACAUCAAUGUCAUUUCCUGACUGUCUUGAGCCCGAUAUCAUCAUAGACAACAUCAUCUAUUUUCGCUUCAUGCACAACCAAGGAGGCAAGUUGUAAAUUACUAGCAAAACUAGCCACAAACUAUGUUGAGUGCUUAAACUGCCAUAUGGAUUCAUUCCAUGAGUGGCAAGUCGAAGCCUAAGAUUUCCUGGCUCUUUGCCGAAAUCUAGAUACAAACGAUCAAUCUUCUUUCACUAGGAGGAAUCAGCAAGAUGACGGAGCAUUCCAUCAUAGUUUCUCCCAUUUGCAUUCCAUGUAAGGUCUUUUGUACCAUCUACAUUAGCAAAAAGACGCUUAAACCUGGAAAUGAUCGGAAGAUACCACAACACCUUUGCUGGGGGGGACUUUCUUUGAGUUUUCGUGAAUACUACACUCAUCUUCAUCCUUCACUUUGUACCGUGAUACCCCACACCAAGGGCAUUUGUGCAUUUCUUCAAACUCAUGUUUGUACAAUAUGCAAUCAUUAGGGCAAACAUGAAGCUUCUGAUACUCCAUACCCAUCGGACACAAUAUCUUUUUUGCCUGAUAGUAACUUUUUAGCAGCAUGUUUUCCUCUGAAGCAUAUUGUGCACUACUUGAAGCAGUGAACUGAAGCUUUUGUCACUCCACCCAUAUCUGGCCUUGACAUUAACCAUACUUAACAUCGCUGACAACAAUGUCAAUGAAUUCUUGCACCACGGAUAAAACAGCUUCUUCAAAUCACUUUGAAAUGUAUCAUACAUAGGGGCAUGUGCUUGCUAAAAAGAUUCUUCUCCAAGAUCACAAAUCAUUUCCUCUAUGCGAUCUCCCUUUUGUACAUCAACUGGUUCAGAUUGGGACUCCCUUUGCAUGUCUAUGAAUUCACCAUGCCAUAUCCAUGUCAUAUAAUUCUUCUUAAUCCCAUCACAGUAAAUGUUCUUGUAUGUCGUUGAGUAGUUGUCGUCUCCUGUUCAAACAAUUUAUAUAGGGACAUAAAUAGUUUUUAUCCUCAUCUGGUCGACUUCUUUUGGAAGCAAAUUGCAAGAACUAUUCCUUGCCUUCCUCAUACACAGGGCUUAUGCAACUUGCGUUCAUCCAACUUCGAUCCAUAAAAUUAAUAACUUCGUGAUACUCACAAAGUUAUUCAAUGCAUGAAGAUUUUACUUUUCAUUAAAGGUGUGGCCAUAUCCCAUUCAGGAAGACAUUUUUUUAUAGUAGAUUGAUACGUCAAGGUUAAUUCUAUUUUUUAAAAUUUGAUAAAAUGUCGACAGUAUUACGCAUUGAUCUCCAAGUACAUGACAUGAGAGUGGUGAGAUUAGCUCCCCGACAAUCAAGUAUGCACACAGAGAACAACUAGAAAUGCAUUGUAGCAUGAAUCUACCAUAAAAUAUGACUCUUCCCAAACUAUCCAAACGGACAAUUCAAGAUUCAAUACAACGAUUAAUGCAAAUUGUCCACGAGAAUCAUUGUAUUCAAUCUCAAAUGGAAAUCUAAGGUUCACUCAUGAUGAACAUUAAUUAUAUACGAAGUAAUAAUGCAUUAGUAAUGUAAAACAAGGUAAAUAAAGACUCAUUACAAAAAGCAGCCCAACAAAAGUGUGAAAGACAUCCGUACUUGUGAUAAUGCUCACUAAAAGUCUCCAACAAUGAAUAUUGUUAUCACGAUGUAAACACCAAAAGAAAAGUGCCUAAAAAAUUAUUCAAGAUGUUAUAAUUUAGAAGAAAAAAAUUCCAGCAACACCAACCUAGUAAUUGCAUUUAUAUAUAAAGAAAAAAAUAAUUAUAACUAUGGUAAUUGGAACAUACUAGAUCAACAUUUGGAUAUGCAAUUGACCAAAUUUGACCUAAAUUAGUUCAAUUAAUCAACAAAUGGUAUGACCAUUCGCUUUUUAAUUUACUCCUUCAUACAAAUAUUACAUAAAUUUUUAUAAUAUAUUUUGGUACAAGCAAGAUAAAUAUUACAAACUAGCACAAAGAAGAUACUAGAAAAACCAAAACUAAUAUGGUAAUUAAGUUCCAUUGUUGCAUCCAAAUAGAUCUAACUAUUUUUUUUCCUUUUACAAUCAAAUGCAUUCAAAACUAGGAGUAUGACAAUACACAAGUAGUUUACUAACUAUCACAUUGAAUCAAAUGUCUAUACAAAUCAAUGGGAACACAUAAGACCCUUUCUGAACAAACCGGAAAUACAAAUAUCUACUAAGCCACUUCAAGUGUGUAAACAUAUCUCUACCAAAUUGGGCAAAAUCAAGAACAUUAAACUAACAACACUCAACAACCAACAACCCAUCAACAUAUUCAACAAAUGUUCCUCCUAUAUUUUUAGCUCAAAACAAAUGUAUACCCAAAUCAAGAACAAUAAUCAGAUAAACCAAUUUAAUGUACCAAACAUUAAGCUAACAACAUUCAACAACCAACAACCCAUCAAAAAAAUUCAGCAAAUGUUCCUCAUACAUUUUCAGGUUAAAACAAAUGUAUACCCAAAUCAAGAACAAUAAUCAGAUAAACCAGUUUAAUGUUUCAAACAUUAAUAUAACAAAAUUCAUAAGCAACAACCCAUCAACAAAUUCUAAAUUAGAAUAUCAAAAGUAGAACACUGACAAAAUUUGAAACCCCCCUUAGACACACACAACACCCUCUUCACACUUAUCGAAAGUGAGGGUGUUGUUGUGUGUUGUUCAUCCUCAUGAUGAACUCAAAAUCAAAAGUCUCAAACAAACACGCGACUUACUUGUUGACAGAGUGGAACGAGGAGGCAAGAGGAGUUACUACCUCACGGAGCAAACACAACGAAGAGGCAAAGAGGCGCAAGGAGGUGAACAGGCAAAAGGGGGUGAGGAGGCAAUUUUUUAUGGAGACAGCAGAGAGCACACACGAGAGAAGGAACUCAGACGAAGAAGAAGACAACGUGAAAAAAAAGGGCUCAUAGAGGCAAUUCAUAUAUUUUUAAAUGUAUGUUUCAACCUCGGUUUUUUAGUAAAAAAACCGAUGUUAACUAAGUGAUGUUAACGAUAACAUCAUUUUUUUAUUAUAAAAAACUGAUGUUAAUGUAUCAUUUACUAACAUCAGUUUUUCUGAAAAACUGAUUUUAACUUAGUCAUGCUAACAUACAUUUUUCAAAAAUCGAUGUUAACAUGACUUCGUUAACAUCGGAAUUUUUAAAAUCGAUGUUACCAUUACUUUGUUAACAUCGGGUUUUCAAAAAACUGAUGUUAACAAAGUUACACUAUUUACAAUUAUAUCACCAAACUUUUGUUAGCAUCGGUUUCAUCCUAAACUGAUGUUAAGGUAACGAUGUUAAAUCUAUAUUUUCUAGUAGUGAAAGUGUUUAUUACUUUUUUCCUCUUGAAUGGAGUUGUUUAGGCUUGUAGUGUUUCUUAGUCGUCUUAUACGACUAACUUUUGUAUAGAAAAUUUUUUCAAAACAUGUAUAGUUUCCCCAAUUUAUAGUUCUUUUGUAGGAAUUUGUAAAUAAAUCUUGAUAUGUUUCGAUACCUGUCAUUAGAGUAUCUUUAAUUGGAAUUAAUGAUAAAAUCUAUACAAUUUCAGGUCAAAAGAGGCUAAAGUCUUGAAGUGCUAAAAGGAGCAGUCGCGCUAAGCAGAACCUGUGGGCUCAUCGCGCAUCUACCGCUAAGUGCAGCUUCAGCGUGCUGAGAGAAUCUGGAAGAGCACAAGAAUUUAGGUCAUGCGCUAAGCGCGAGAUCAGCUCGCUAAGCGAGUCGUUAGUCUCUUGCCAGGCUCAGCGCAUAACUAGCACCAAGCCCAAAUCUAGUUACUCACGCUAAGUGCAACAUCGCGAUGUCAGAGCCUAUUUAAAGCCUGAUUUGUCAAAAUUAGGGUACAGAACACAAUACCUCUACCAGAGCUGCAUACUUUUCCACAAAAUUUGAGAAGAGUGCUCUGGAGGCAGCAGAGAGGCAACAACUAAGCAAGGAAGCUAGGGUUCAUCACUUUGAGAGAUUAGAGAGUGUUUGAGUGAUUGUGAGGUACCAAGAAAAGGAGGGGGGAUCCCCCUUCCUGUGUAAGCAACAAUUGCUCUGUACUUUCUGUCUCACUUGUAUUAGGGUUCCUUGUAUGGCUGGCUAAAAACCCUAGUUGGGGAUUUCUAAUGAACAGUUGACGUAAUUACUUUUCAUAUCUAAUUAACUGUGUUUUGUGUGUUCAAUGCUUCUUUCAAUGCUUAAUUACUACAUGCUCUUGGUCUGAUCACCCAUUUGUGUGUACUGUUAGGUGACUUUAGCAUUGGGAAAUGUACUAUUUCCUUAGAACUUGAUAGAAGCAGGGCUAAAUAACUGCAUUACCAAGGAUGGAUUGCAGGGUUUUAGUUUUCUUAUUAUGAUGUGAUGAUAAUGUUGAUUAAGUUAAGCCUAGUCCAACAAGAGGGAUCUGAGGACGAAGCUUGGGUUAAAUUAGUCUAACUUACGAGGGAUCGAGGUUUAGUACUUUAGGCUUGAGCAUAGAACACAAGAACAUGAUCAAUUAGAGAAAUACCUUCAUAUGCAUCAACUCGUUUGUUAGAAAGACCCAACUCUUUUUAGCUAUUGCUGUCAACUUUUAAUUACUUGCAUUUACUGCUUUUUAACAUAGAAUCUAGUUUACUUUUGUUUCGAUUCACAAUUAUCAAUGUUUUCCUGCACAAUGCCUAAUUCUUGAAUAAAACUUUGUCUAAUAAACAAGUUCCCUGAAUUCGAUACUCGGAUCACUCCGUUUUAAUUUUAAAUGCUUGACGACCCGGUGCGUUUUCCGAUGUUUCAUUUCCCUUGAAUUUACUGCUUGUAAAUUUGAGAAAGAGAAACCAUGUUGAAGGGUAAAUAAAAAUCACAAACAAACACAAAAGCAUAUAUGGCGCCGUUGUCAGGGAACUUAAUUCAUUAGAAGAGUUCAGUUCAGUUUUAAGCCAUUGCUUUAUAUUUUUUUCUUUUAUUCAUUGAUUCUUUUUGUGAAUAUUUCCAUUACUGCAUAUUUUAUUGUUCUUUGGAAUUGGAUAAUUGUUGUUCUGUUUCUUUUGUAUGCAUAGGAGAUCUGCUGCAGUUGAUUUAAUUCCCAUAGAUUUGGAAAUUAACGCUACUUGUAGGAGACGAAACACAGAGAGAAUUAGAAAAUUUUUGUAGGACUUAGAAGUAGCAGCAACUCCAGGAGAAGAACCUCGAUCUUCCGAGGCAUCUUCUAGCAUUCUUAUCCCAGGACAAUCUCAUACAGAUUUGAUUGAAGAAGUUAUCAUGGCUAAGCAGCCAAGGAGAGUGACCCUAGAAGACUAUUCAAGUUCAAGUGUACCACAAUUUUUCACUAGCAUUGCACAACCGGAGGUUCAAGCCCAGACCAUUACAUACCCUCCAUCAUUGAUUCAAUUAAUUCAGAAUAAUUUGUUUCAUGGUUUACCAAAUGAAGACCCAUAUGUGCACCUAGCCACUUACAUUGAAAUCUGCAAUACUAUUAGAUUGGCUGGUGUGCCUAAAGAUGCAAUUCGGUUGAGCUUGUUUUCGUUCUCACUAUCUGCAGAAGCUAAGGGGUGGCUUUAUUUAUUCAAAGGCAACAGUCUUAAGACAUGGGAUGAAGUUGUUGAGAAAUUUCUAAAGAAAUAUUUUCCUGAGUCUAAGACUGCAGAAGGCAAAGCCGCAAUCUCUUCUUUUCACCAAUUUCCAGAUGAAUCUCUGAGUGAGGCCUUAGAAAGAUUCUAUGGUCUAUUGAGAAAGACACCCACUCAUGGAUUCUCAGACCCGAUUCAGCUCAACAUUUUUAUAGAUCGGUUAAGACCACAGUCCAAGCAGCUGUUGGACGCUUCUACAGGGGGUAAAAUCAAGAUGAAGACCCCUCAAGAAGCCAUGGACCUUAUUGAAAAUAUGGCUGCAAGUGACAUUGCUAUUUUGAGAGAUAGAGCCCACAUUCCAACAAAGAGAAGUCUGUUGGAACUUACAUCACAAGAUGCAUUGUUGGCACAGAACAAGUUGCUAUCUAAGCAACUUGAGGCAUUGACUGAGACACUAAGUAAGUUUCCAACUCAAAUACAUUCUGCACAAUCUUUACCAUCUACUAUUUUGUAGGCUGUAGGGUGUGUCAUCUGUGGUGGAGCUCACAAUUCUUGUUGUUGUAUCCCCAAUGAAGAACCAACAUCUCAUGAAAUCAAUUACAUGGGAAACCAGCCCAUAAAUAAUUUUAAUGCAGGUGGACUUCCCGGAUUCUAGCAUGGACAACAAUACAACCAACAACAAGGACAAUGGAGGAACCACCCUGGGAAUCAAUUCAAUAGAGACCAGGGUGGACCGUCCACAAGGCCGCAGCAACAAGGGCCUAGUCUCUACGAUCGUACAACGAAGCUGGAAGAGACUCUAGCUGAAUUUAUGCAGGUUUCUAUGUCUAACCAGAAGAGCACGGAGUCUACCAUAAAGAAUCUGGAAGUCCAAGUGGGACAGCUCGCAAAACAGUUGGCGGAUAGGCCGUCAAGCAGCUUUAGUGCUAACACUUAGGAAAAUCCAAAGGAGGAAUGUAAAGCUGUCAUGACGAGGAGCAGAAUGGCAACCCAUGUUGAUGAAAAGUUGAGAAGAAGGUGGAGGAACAUAAACAGCAGUUGGCAACUGAGUCGGCACUUGAACCCGUUUCUGUUGGACCUUGUGGCCUCAAUAAUAUUAAGAGGGAUAGGCUUAGAAUGCAGAAGAAGCAACAACAAUCAAUUUAAUAAUGUUCUAUAAACAUGCAAGGCAAAAUUGAUUGCAAUAACAUAAAUGAGAUAAGGGAAGAGAGAAUGCAAACACAGUUUUAUACUGGUUCGGCCACAACCCGUGCCUACGUCCAGUACUCAAGCAACCCACUUGAGAUUUCCACUAUCUUUGUAAAAUCCAUUACAAAGUCUGAACCACACAGGGACAACCCAUCCCUUGUGUUCAGGAAUCCUUUACAACAAGAGACUCACAGUCUCUUAACCAAUCUCAUUGAAUAAGAAGAAUGGAAGAAGAAUUCUCUCUUCAGGAGAAGAAUAUUACAAUAAAGAUCAUAUAGGAAUCCUUAUAGAUUUUGCAAGUGUUUGGCCAAGGAUUUCUUUUGAGAGAGCAUUUGACAAUGAAGUUCUUUUGGAAUCUCUCUCAUUGUCUUUUGAGAGGAUAAGACAUUUUUGCCAAGCAAAACUCUCUAUCUAAAAUUCGUGCCCAAGUCACCUAUUUAUAGGCCUUUGAUGACCAUUCACAAAUCUAAUGAAAAGAUGUGACUGUUGGCAGAUUUUCUGAAAACUUUCCACUUGUAAUCGAUUACAAUGUUUGUGUAAUCGAUUACACAGUUAUAAUUUGAAGGGUUAUGACUUUUGAAUUUGAAUUUCCAAAGUUUCAUUGCUGGUAAUCGAUUACAGACAUAUGGUAAUCGAUUACAUGUUGAAAAUUCAAAUUCAAAACCUUUUUCAACAGCUAUUUCUCAACCCUGUCUUCGGGUAAUCGAUUACACUUCCUGGUAAUCGAUUACCAGAGCCUUUCAUGUCUUGAAAGCACUUUGUUUUAAGGCAAGGCUUGGUCUUUAGUGAAUCUUGAAACAAGGCUUUGUUUGUUGAAGCAAUCUUGAAUUAUUCUUGAAGCAAAUGCUUAUCAUUUGAAGUAGCCUUGUUAGAUUCUUCUUUGACAUCAUCAAAAUCAUGUAUACAUACAUUCACAGUUUCUGACUUUGUUGAACUUCAGGAAGUUGUGGAAGAUGAAGAUGACCAACAUGAGAGAGAGACACCAAUAAAAGAGAGUGAAAUAGAAAUAAAGAUGAAGGAAAACAAAGAAAAAGAAAAAGAAAAAUAAGAAGUAUGAUGUGCCAUCAUUUUCUUCUAUUUUCUAAACCCUUUUUUGCACCAUUUUAAUUACUGAUUGGUCUUAAUUGUCAAUUAAUCAGGCAGUUUUAUUAUUUGGGCUCAUUUAGCUAAUUUGAUGUUUUUAAUCUAAUUUCAGGAAUUAAUGAAACAUUGGGCUUAAUCCGGAUUUUGGUUAUGGACUUGAAGAGGGCAAAUAAAGCAGCGCUUACCUUAGUUAAUUUCUAAUUAGGAAAUUUCGCAAUUUUAUUUUAUGUUGUUCAGUGUUUAUUUCGUUUUGGGCCAGAGUAUUGUAAUAGGGCCCUGUGACUUUGAGUGACUCUUUUUAAAUAGCAGCCUUGGGAUUCGUGGAAGGCUAUUUUGUUAUGCUAUUCAUUAUUCGGAGCUUUUGUUUUAGGGUUUUACGUUUUCUGCUUUGAUGCUACUGUUCACAUAAUGCAAUUUUACGUUUUCUGCUUCUAAUUACAAUUUCGUUCUUGCUUCUUCUUCUACUCUCAUUUACGUUUCUGUUUCAUUUACGUUUCUGCUUCAUGUUUCAUUUGCGUUUUCUGUUUGAAUCCAUGGAAGGCUAGAUUUUCUGGUGUUGUUUCCUUUUGAGGACGAAGCCCAACUCUCUUUGAGGUUUCGCUUGUGAUGUGGUUUCCUGGCAGUUUUCCCUUCACCAGUUAUCCCAAAUUCGUGAAUAUUAAUCAGUGCACGCUUCGUGUUCGAUUAAUUGCCUCUGAGCCUAACUUGCGUUCAUGCUUAAUGGACGAAGGGCUAACUGGUGUAUGUGGUGCCUAAUCACGUAUUGAAAACCCUAAGUUGAUUUUCGCUUAGUAAAUUGAAAUAGGGUUGGAUUAAGUGGUUGACUGUUAGGGACGAAUUCUCCAUAACCCAGGAUAAGAGAAUGGCUUCGUAUUCCAGUUUACUUGUUCUGCUCUUUAAUCACAAAACAAACAAACCCCCCCAAUCGUUACUGUUACUGCAAGUAUAUUAUGAACAUUUGGUUUGUCACUGCUCGUUGGGAAACGACCUAGGAUCACUUCCUAGUUACUGCAUUUUCAUGUUUAUUUGAUUCGGGUACGACCUUGAUCAAAUUUGGCGCCGUUGCCGGGGAGCAGUGUCCAAAGGUUCAUAAUAGCUAGCGUUGUGUGUUUAAUUCUUUCGUGUUUUAUGUUUAAUUGUUAGUAUUGUGUUAGUAUGUGUGUUAGUGUUGUUUAGUGUCCUGGUAUUUCGUUUAGUGUGUGUUCUGUUUCAGUUUUCCUAUUGAGCGCUUCCCCUGUUUCAGUUUUGGGUGUUUUGCUGUGAAUAGUGUUUUGCGACGGACUUAGCGACCAUUUCUGCUUGCGGCAAACCAGAGUAGUAGUAGAAAUCCCUUAGCGACGGAUUUUAGCGACCACCCAUGCUGAAUUAUUUGUGAUUUUUUGUUUUAGUAGCUAGGGUUGUUAUUUUUGGCUGAAUUUUUUUGUGGUAACUUCUUUUAAUCCAUAUUUUGUGGGAAAAAUAGCUAGAGCCUUUAGUUUGGUCAGAUUUGAAAGUUCCAAAAAAACUAGCAAAUUUUGUGUUUGUCAAAACUUCAAACGGCCAUAACUUUUGCUCCGGUUAUCAGAAUCGCAAUUAUUAUAUAUGCAUUUGGGGUAGAAAAAAAUUUCCUACGCCGUGGCAGCCGGCCAUAGGCCUAGGCUGGCUGAGGUCUCCAUCGUCCAAAAAAAGUGAUUCUGUCAAAAGUUUUUUAUUUUUUCAAGUUUUAUUCACUUAUUUUUCUUAACCUACCAUUUUUAGCUUUCAUAGUUAGACUUUGAAUUUUUGUCUGAAAUUUUUUGUUCUAUCUUCUCAUCAUUUUAUAAGGUUUCUCACAAAAUUUCAAGUCAUUUGGAUAUCAUUUGAGGGUAGCUGUAGUUCAAACCUACACCUUUAUUUACAUGACAAGGCAACUAGUUGUGUGCAUGCUGAAUGUAGUGUAUGACUAGAGGCAAUCCAUCUGACUUACAACCCUUUGAUCCUGAGAUAGAUAGGACAUUUCAUAGAUUAGUUAGGCAUCAUUUUACACCUUUUGAUCAUUCUGAGCAUUCCAUUACUGGUGAAUCUGUGCAUUCUGUUAUUGGUGAUUUUGAACAUCCUGAUCUUGAGCAUUAUAAUUUUGAGCAUUCUGAUUUUGAGCAUUCUGUUUUUGCACAUUCUGAGAACAUGGCACAACCUCCACCCCGUGAGAGGACUCUAAGGGAAAUGGCUGCACCUGAUAUCACCUACGAAAGCUUGUGCAUCCAAUACCCUGAUGAGGAUGUCCCAUAUGUUCUUAAAACUGGACUGAUUCAUUUGCUUCCAAAGUUUCAUGGCCAUGCAGGUGAAGACCCGCACAAACAUUUGAAAGAAUUUCACAUUGUCUGCUCCACCAUGAAACCCCCAGAUGUCCAAGAAGAUCACAUAUUUCUGAAGGCUUUUCCUCAUUCAUUAGAGGGAGUGGCAAAGGACUGGCUGUAUUACCUUGCUCCAAGGUCCAUCACAAGCUGGGAUGACCUUAAGAGAGUAUUCUUAGAAAAAAAUUUCCCUGCUUCCAGGACCACAGCCAUCAGGAAAGAUAUCUCAAGUAUUAGACAACUCAGUGGAGAGAAACUGUAUGAGUACUGGGAGCGAUUUAAAAAACUAUGUGCCAGUUGCCCUCACCAUCAGAUUUUGGAGCAGCUUCUUCUCCAAUAUUUUUAUGAAGGACUCAGUAAUAUGGAGAGAAGUAUGAUAGAUGCUGCCAGUGGUGGAGCCCUUGGAGACAUGACUCCUCCUGAAGCCAGGAAUUUAAUUGAGAAGAUGGCUUCCAACUCCCAACAGUUUAGUGCCAGAAAUGAUGUUAUAGUCAUUAGAGGAGUGCAUGAGGUAGCUACAAACUCAGCUGCAUCAUCUGAGACUAAGAAGCUUGAAGGAAAACUGGAUGCAUUGGUUAACUUGGUAACCCAGCUGGCCUUGAAUCAGAAAUCUGUACCUGUCGCAAGGGUUUGUGGUUUGUGCUCAUCUGCUAACCCCCAUACAGACCUUUGCCCUUCCAUGCAGCAACCUGGAGCAAUUGAGCAGCCUGAAGCUUAUGCUGCAAAUAUUUACAAUAAACCUCCUCAACCUCAGCAGAAAAAUCAACCACAGCAAAACAAUUAUGACCUCUCCAGCAACAGAUACAACCCUGGAUGGAGGAAUCACCCAAAUCUCAGAUGGUCCAGCCCUCAGCAACAACAACAGCAGCCUGCUCCUUCCUUCCAAAAUGCUGCUGGCCCAAGCAGACCAUACAUUCCUCCACCAAUCCAACAACAGCAAUAGCCCCAGAAACAGCCAACAGUUGAGGCUCCUCCACAACCUUCCCUCGAAGAACUCGUGAUGCAAAUGACGCUGCAGAACAUGCAGUUUCAACAAGAGACCAGAGCCUCCAUUCAGAGCUUGACUAAUCAGAUGGGACAAUUAGCUACACAAUUGAAUCAACAACAGUCCCAGAAUUCUAACAAGCUACCUUCUCAAGCUGUCCAAAAUCCCAAAAAUGUCAGUGCCAUUUCAUUGAGGUCGGGAAAGCAGUGUCAAGGACCUCAACCCGUAGCACCUUCCUCAUCUGCAAAUGAACCUGCCAAACUUCACUCUACUCCAGAAAAAGGUGAUGACAAAAAUUUACCUAACAAUUUCUGUGCAGGUGAAUCUUCUUCCACAGGUAAUUCUGAUUUGCAGAAGCAGCAUAUUCCCCCUCUUCCAUUCCCUCCAAGAGCAGUUUCCAACAAAAAAAUGGAAGAGGCAGAGAAAGAGAUCUUGGAAACGUUUAGAAAAGUAGAGGUAAACAUACCUCUGUUGGAUGCAAUAAAGAAAAUUCCAAGAUAUGCUAAAUUCUUGAAGGAGCUGUGCACUAAUAAGCGGAAGCUUAAAGGAAGUGAACGAAUUAGCAUGGGCAGAAAUGUCUCCACAUUGAUUGGUAAAUCUGUUCCUCAAAUUCCUGAAAAAUGCAAAGAUCCAGGUACAUUCAGCAUACCUUGUAUUAUAGGGAAUAGUAAGUUUGACAAUGCCAUGCUAGAUUUAGGAGCCUCUGUUAGUGUUAUGCCUCUGUCUAUUUUUAAUUCUCUAUCUCUAGGUCCCUUGCAGUCAACUGAUGUGGUAAUUCAUUUAGCUAAUAAAAGUGUUGCCUAUCCUGUUGGUUUCAUAGAAGAUGUCUUAGUUAGAGUUGGUGAACAGAUUUUCCCUGUUGAUUUUUAUAUUUUAAAUAUGGAGGAUGGAUUCUCUCAAGGAUCAGUUCCCAUCAUUCUAGGCAGACCCUUUAUGAAAAUUGCUAGAACUAAGAUAGAUGUAUAUGCAGGCACACUAUCCAUGGAGUUUGGUGAUAUAACUGUUCAUUUUAAUAUUCUGGAUGCUAUGAAAUACCCAUCUGAAGAUCUUUCUGUAUUUCGUGCUAAAAUAAUUGACCAUGUUGUUGAUGAAUACAUGAAUGAUCUUUAUUCUAAUCUGCAUACCUCUCACUCUUCAUGCAUUGAGUCUGAAAUUGUACUUGAUCAUAUGUCUGAAUUUGAUGUUGAGAGUGAAUCUGAGAGUGAUAUUGAUUGCAUGUCUGGUGGUGGUGUUUUACCUCUCGAGAUUGAUUUUAUAGAGUCAGAUAGGACUAACCAUGUUUCAGGAAGUACACAUACCUCUGACUUUCUUUAUGAGGUAAAGGCUGAGAAACCAUCUCCUUCUACCACUGUCCAGCCGACCACACCAGAAUUGAAGCCUCUGCCAUCAAAUUUAAAAUACGCUUACUUGGAUGAUAGCAAGAGUUUUUCAGUGAUUAUAUCUGCCUCCCUUGUUGAUGAGCAAGAGGAGAAGUUGUUGUCAGUUCUCAAGAAGCAUAAGAAGGCUAUAGGCUGGACCCUGGCAGACAUUCCUGGUAUUAGCCCGUCCACAUGUAUGCAUCGAAUAAAUUUAGAGGAUGGAGCUAAACCAGUAAGACAGCCACAGAGAAGACUCAACCUGGUAAUUCUUGAUGUAGUGAAGAAGGAGAUAAUCAAGCUUUUGCAAGCUGGAAUCAUUUAUCCUAUCUCCGACAGCCAAUGGGUGAGUCCCGUCCAGGUAGUCCCGAAGAAGACCGGCCUCACAGUGAUAAAAAAUGAGAAGGAGGAGUUGAUUCCUACUCGGGUGCAGAACAGUUGGAGAGUCUGCAUUGACUAUAGGAGGCUGAACCAGGUAACCAAAAAGGACCAUUUUCCCCUGCCAUUCAUUGACCAGAUGCUUGAACGCCUGGCAGGUAAAUCCCACUACUGUUUCCUUGAUGGUUUUUCUGGUUAUAUGCAGAUUACUAUUGCUCCUGAGGAUCAGGAAAAGACCACAUUCACCUGCCCCUUCGGCACUUUUGCUUAUAGGAGGAUGCCUUUCGGCCUGUGCAAUGCCCCUCGUACCUUCCAGCGGUGCAUGAUUAGUAUUUUCAGUGAUUUUUUAGAAAAUUGCAUAGAGGUGUUUAUGGAUGAUUUCACUGUAUAUGGAUCCUCUUUUGAUGGUUGUUUGAAUAGUUUGGAAAAAGUUUUGAAUAGAUGCAUUGAAACUAACCUUGUUCUAAAUUUUGAAAAAUGUCAUUUUAUGGUUGAGCAAGGUAUAGUUUUAGGCCACAUUAUUUCCAAUAAGGGUAUUGAAGUAGAUCCUGCAAAAAUUUCUGUUAUUUCACAAUUGCCUUACCCCUCUUGUGUGCGAGAGGUGCGAUCUUUUCUUGGUCAUGCAGGAUUCUACAUGCGCUUUAUAAGGGAUUUUAGCAAAGUAGCCCUUCCACUUUCCAACUUGUUGCAAAAGGAGGUGGAGUUUGACUUUAAUGACGGAUGCAAAGAGGCUUUUGAUUGCCUCAAAAGAGCGCUGACUACCACCCCCAUCAUCCAGGCACCCGAUUGGCCAGCCCCUUUUGAGCUUAUGUAUGAUGCAUCAAAUUAUGCAUUGGGGGUUGUCCUUGCUCAGAAAAUUGAUAAAUUGCCCAGGGUGAUAUAUUAUGCUUCUAGGACUUUAGAUGCUGCCCAAGCGAAUUAUACUACUACUGAGAAAGAGCUUCUAGCCAUAGUUUUUGCUCUUGAAAAUUUUCGAUCUUAUUUGCUUGGUACCCACAUUAUUGUUUAUACUAACCAUGCAGCUCUAAAGUACUUGUUGAAGAAGGCUGAUUCUAAGCCUAGGUUGAUCCGAUGGAUGCUCUGGCUCCAAGAGUUUGACUUGGAGAUCCGUGAUAGGAGCAGAGCACAAAAUCUAGUUGUUGAUCAUUUGAGUCGGAUCGAACGUGUAUCUGAUGCAGAUUCACCUAUUCGGGAUGAUUUCCUGGAUGAUCAUUUGUAUAUACUGUAUAGUAUUUCUGACUCUCUUUCUACUCCCUGGUUUGCUAACAUUGUCAAUUAUUUAGUUGCUUCUAUUUUUCCUCCCUUAGCAUCUAAGGCCCAAAAAGAUAAAAUUAAAAGUGAUGCUAAGCAUUUUAUUUGGGAUGACCCCUACUUGUGGAAAUUGUGCAGUGAUCAGGUCAUUAGACGGUGCAUUCCAGAUCAUGAGACUAACUCAGUCCUGCAGUUCUGUCAUUCUUCCGCACCGGGAGGUCAUCUGGGUGUUCAAAGGACAGCUCGCAAAGUGCUUGAUUAUGGUUUUUAUUGGCCCACCAUCUUUAAAGAUGCGUGGAAGAUCUGCAGCACUUGUGAGCAGUGUCAGAGAGCAGGAAAUACACUUACAUGGCGACAACAAAUGCCUCAGCAACCUAUGCUAUUCUGUGAGGUGUUUGAUGUCUGGGGUAUAGAUUUCAUGGGCCCUUUUCCUGUCUCUUUUGGUUAUGUUUACAUUCUCCUUGCAAUUGACUAUGUUUCAAAAUGGGUGGAAGCCAAACCCACUAGAACUAAUGAUGCUAAAGUUAUUGCAGAUUUUGUCAGGUCUAAUCUGUUCUGCAGGUUUGGAGUACCUAAAGCAAUUGUUAGUGAUCAAGGAACCCAUUUUUGCAACAGAACAAUGCAUGCCCUGCUUAAAAAGUACGGGGUGGUACACAGGGUAUCCACACCAUACCAUCCCCAGACCAAUGGACAGGCAGAAAUUUCUAACAGGGAAAUCAAGAGAAUUCUAGAGAAGAUUGUGCAGCCAAGCAGGAAAGAUUGGAGUACCAGGCUUGAUGAUGCUCUCUGGGCACAUCGGACUGCCUACAAAGCACCCAUAGGAAUGUCUCCUUAUCGGGUUGUCUUUGGAAAGGCAUGUCAUCUUCCAGUGGAAAUUGAGCACAAAGCUUACUGGGCAGUGAAGACUUGCAACUUCUCUAUGGAUCAAGCUGGCGAGGAAAGAAAGUUGCAACUGAGUGAGUUAGAUGAAAUCCGCCUAGAAGCCUACGAGAAUGCCAAGUUCUACAAAGAAAAGACCAAGAAGUUCCAUGAUAGCAUGAUAGUUAAAAAGGACUUCAUGGUUGGGCAAAAAGUGUUAUUGUAUAAUUCUAGGCUUGGACUCAUGAGUGGUAAGUUGAGGUCUAAGUGGAUUGGUCCUUUUGUUGUUACUAAUGUUUUUCCUUAUGGUACAGUUGAGAUCAAAAGCGACUCCACAAACAAGAGCUUCAAGGUCAACGGACAUCGACUUAAGCCAUUCCUCACGAACCCUUCUUUAGUGGACGUAGCGGUGGAAGAGACUUCCUUACUCCACCCUACUCUUCCCCCACCAUGACUUAGGGAGUUUUUCUUUUCCUAUCUCCUUCUUUGCUUUUAUUACACUUGUCCGAUUCUCUUUGAUGAUUUAAUUGUUUUUAAUCUUUUAAUUGUGCUACAUUGAGGACAAUGUGUUGUUUAAGUAUAGGGGGGAGUGUUCUUUGGUUUUGCUAGUUUUGUUGGUUUUGUUAAUUUGUUAGUUGUGUUAAUUUGUUAAUGUUGUUAGUUUCGUCGGAUUUUUAGUUUAAUAUUUUGGGUCAAUUUUGUGUGCAUGUACGACUUUGCAUGUUUUUCUUUGAAUUAUAGGAUAUGUUCAAGAAAUGGGUAAUUGUUUUGAAAAAAAAGUUCUUGACAUUUUGUGACUUGAAAUCCUUGAUUAUCCUCUACAUGUCAUGAUAGUUUUGAAAGCUCAAUUUGAAAGUGAUGAGUUUACCUUUGUGAGAAUUUGAGCCAUCCAUCAUCAUAAUCAUUUGGUGUGUUUUGCCCCAUUGAUUGCUUGCACAAUAGCUUUGGCUUGAUUCUUGUUGAUGCUUCCUAAUUCACAUGCAUAUUUGGAAAUGAUUGAGGCAAUUUUGUUCUUAUAAGCUUCUAGCCAAAUGGACUUACCUUGAAUUAAUUCCUUUGAUAGCCCUUUUGAGCCUUGUUUCCCUUUCCUUGUUUUGAAGCUCACUACAAGCCUUAAAUGAAAAACCAUGAUAUCACCAUAUCCUUAAGGAAUUUUGGAGCUUUGGAAUUGUUUUGGGAAUAAGUGUGGGGGGUUUUUGUUUCAUUGGAUAACUUGUUUUGUUGGCUAUGCUUCAUGAUGUAUUUUGGGCCAUACUUGAUGUACAUUGUAUAUUGGUUAAAUGUUGGACAUGCUGAAUGAAAUGUUGUUUCUCAAAGGCUAUAGAGUAAAAAAAAAAUUCGAAAAAAAAGAAAAAGAAAAGCAAUAAAGUUGAGUGAAUAAGAUCUUAAAUGGCACAAGAAUGAUGAAACUCUUGGUUCUACUCUUUAUGUUUAAUUUUUAUCUUUACUUCUUUUUAUUUUCUUUUUUUUUUAAUAUGCACUUAUUCCCCAUUGCUCCUCUAUUCCUUUGGGAUUUAGCCACUUAUUCCAUAUUUCUCCAUACCUUGUCCUUGGCCCCAUUACAACCUUAAAAGACCUUUUGAUCCUCAUGUGCUUGUGUUUGUGGGUUGAUUGUCAAUUUUAGAAUCUUGCCAAGUUUAUGUGGUGUUUGCUUUCAUGGGUGCUUUGAGGGUAAAUAGUAGCCUAGACACUUGAGAGAUAGAGUGUAUAUCUUGUGAGGCUUUAUCACUUUUCAUUCUUGAGCUGAUUAACUAUUUUGCCAUGAUUGGGUUGCUUGGAUGAUUUUCAUGAAUGUCUUGACUUUUUGGAUCUCCUUAUGUUAGAUGUUACCCAUUCCUUUCAUUCCUUGAUGUUCAUUGAGAAAUAUGUGAAUGUUUUUGUUUGUCUCUCUUUGAUAUCCUUGGAUUUUGUUCUUUAUUUCAUUUUUCCCAGGAGUGCAAAAGGCUAAGUAUGGGGGGUUUUUGAUGUGCCAUCAUUUUCUUCUAUUUUCUAAACCCAUUUUUGCACCAUUUUAAUUACUGAUUGGUCUUAAUUGUCAAUUAAUCAGGUAGUUUUAUUAUUUGGGCUCAUUUAGCUAAUUUGAUGUUUUUAAUCUAAUUUCAGGAAUUAAUGAAACAUUGGGCUUAAUCCGGAUUUUGGUUAUGGACUUGAAGAGGGCAAAUAAAGCAGCGCUUACCUUAGUUAAUUUCUAAUUAGGAAAUUUCGCAAUUUUAUUUUAUGUUGUUCAGUGUUUAUUUCGUUUUGGGCCAGAGUAUUGUAAUAGGGCCCAAUGACUUUGAGUGACUCUUUUUAAAUAGCAGCCUUGGGAUUCGUGGAAGGCUAUUCUGUUAUGCUAUUCAUUAUUCAGAGCUUUUGUUUUAGGGUUUUACGUUUUCUGCUUUGAUGCUACUGUUCACAUAAUGGAAUUUUACGUUUUUUGCUUCUAAUUACAAUUUCGUUCUUGCUUCUUCUUCUACUCUCAUUUACGUUUCUGUUUCAUUUACGUUUCUGCUUCAUGUUUCAUUUGCGUUUUCUGUUUGAAUCCAUGGAAGGCUAGAUUUUCUGGUGUUGUUUCCUUUUGAGGACGAAGCCCAACUCUCUUUGAGGUUUCGCUUGUAAUGUGGUUUCCUGGACGUUUUCCCUUCACCAGUUAUCCCAAAUUCGUGAAUAUUAAUCAGUGCACGCUUCGUGUUCGAUUAAUUGCCUCUGAGCCUAACUUGCGUUCAUGCUUAAUGGACGAAGGGCUAACUGGUAUAUGUGGUGCCUAAUCACGUAUUGAAAACCCUAAGUUGAUUUUCGCUUAGUAAAUCGAAAUAGGGUUGGAUUAAGUGGUUGACUGUUAGGGACAAAUUCUCCAUAACCUAGGAUAAGAGAAUGGCUUCUGAAUCAGAGGAAACAACCCAUUUUUAAUAUUAGUAGUUUCGUAUUCCAGUUUACUUGUUCUGCUCUUUAAUCACAAAACAAACAAACCCCCCCAAUCGUUACUGUUACUGCAAGUAUAUUAUGAACAUUUGGUUUGUCACUGCUCGUUGGGAAACAACCUAGGAUCACUUCCUAGUUACUGCAUUUUCAUGUUUAUUUGAUUCGGGUACAACCUCGAUCAAAGUAGAAAAAGAAAAAAAUCAGAAAAAUGAAAAAGAAAAAGAGAAGUUUGAGGAAAGAAAAAGGGGUAAGAGUGAGGUUUCAAGAGAGAAAAAGAGAGAGAUUACUCCAGUUGAAGGCAAGGAGGUACCAUAUCCAUUGGUACCUUCCAAGAAGGAUAAAGAGCGACACUUAGCCAGAUUUCUUGACAUCUUCAAGAAGCUGGAGAUCACCUUGCCUUUUGGAGAAGCUCUCCAAUAGAUGCCACUCUAUGCCAGAUUUUUAAAAGACAUAUUGACGAAGAAGAACCGGUGUAUCUACAAUGACAUGAUAGUUGUGGAAGGAAAUUGUAGUGUUGUCAUUCAACGAAUCCUUCCACCGAAGCACAAAGAUCCUGGAAGUGUCACCAUCCCGUGUUCUAUUGGUGAGGUUGCUAUGGAUAAGGCUCUCAUUGAACUGGGAGCUAGUAUCAACUUAAUGCCUCUCUCCAUGUGCCGACGACUUGGAGAAUUAGAGAUAAUGCCCACUCGCAUGACCUUACAGUUGGCUGAUCGCUCCAUCACAAGACCAUAUGGAGUGAUUGAAGACGUUUUGGUCAGGGUCAACAUUUGAUCUUUCUGGCUGAUUUUGUAGUGAUGAACAUAGAAGAAGAUGCUGACAUUCCCCUAAUUCUUGGACGACCAUUUAUGUCUACCACAAGCUGUGUGGUAAACAUGGGAAGAGGAAACUACAAAUGGCCAUAAAAGACCAACAGAUCAGUUUUGAUCUGUUUCAUGAAGAGAAAGCUUUGUCUGACUAAAAUGUUUGUUUGAAGGUGAAUGUGAUGGAGGAAAAGGGACUAGAGAAGAAGGUUCUGGAAGUUGGAACCUUGUUGGAUCCAGGAUAAUAGGACGAUGCGUCAAGCUAGUCACGUUAAACGAGCGCUUACUGGGAGGCAACCCAGCUUUCUUUCUAAUUUCUAUUUUCUUGCAUUUAGUUAGUUUAAUUGCUUGUGAUUGUAUGUGACUUAAGCUUUGUUAGUAUUGAGAAGAAGGGUUUCAAGUUCUUGUGAAGAGAUGGACAAGAAAAAACUUAGAAAUUUUUUUCAGUUGUCCAUCCGCUAAGCACAACCCUUGCGCUAAGCGCCAUGUCUUCACACGCUAAGCCGUUGUUGCUUGCGCUAAGUGAUACCCUUCACCAAUUGGCUAGAUGGUUUAGCUAAGUACACAUCACUGCGCUAAACCCAAUUUCUCCUCUGGAAUUUAACUUCACUGACUUGGGCUUAGCGGAGAUGAUGCGCUAAGCGCAAUUCAUUCCCUGUUGAAAAAUUAUUGUAGUAGCGCUAAGCGCGCUGUCCUGCGCUAAGCUCAAUUUCCUCUCUGGAAUUAAACUUCCAUGAAUUGGGCUUAGCGACAGGAUGUGCUAAGCGCCAAUCCUUCACUGUUUUUGAAACUCAUGGAAUUGCGCUUAGCGCACUCAAUGCGCUAAGCCUGGACUGUCCCUGUAAGUUAGAGCUUGAUUUAGCGCUAAGCCUGACAUCUCAGCCUAAGCGCAUAUUACAGAACAAUUUUGAGUUGUAGACAGUGCUAAGCGCAGGCCUGCUGCGCUAAGCCCUAAAACUCUCUCGAAUUUGAAAAUUUGGAAUUGGGCUUAGCGCAAGGUUGGGCUAAGCGCAAGGCUUUGUUAAAACCAAACAUCACAUAGACUCGCUAAGCGCGGCUAUGCGCUAAGCGAGCAAUACGAAUUUUUACUUAAAAACACAGGCUCAAGCAGUUUUCGUGGUACCCAGAAGCUUUUCUCUCUUGCGCUUGUGCCUACCCCUAUGUUGUUGUGCAUUUCUGAGUGUGCUUUGAGUAUUUCUCUUGCAUUCUUGCUCUCAUCUUACAUCUUUCACUUCAAUCCAAGUAAGUUUUUAUGUUAUUUUCUUUUUCCUUCAAAGCUUAAAACUUAGGGUAGAUGAUUUAUUGCUUUGUAGUUUGCAUUUUUGUUUAGCUAGGUUUUAAAGCUCAAUGGGGGCAAUGCCUGUAAGAGGGGUGAAGACCCCUCAUUUCUGCUGGAAACCGCGAUGAACGCGCUAAGCGCACCAGCUGCACUUAGCUGAUUCAUCACAACUGACAAAUUUUCAGAUUUCCAGAUGAUCGCACUAAGCCCGACCAUGUCGUGCUAAGUGCGUUCAUCCUUCUGAUGAGUUUCAAUGAUGAGCUCGCUAAGCACAUCUGUAUGCUAAGCGAGACUAAUGUUUCAGACACUUAGAAUUUUUCAAAAUUUUUGUUCAGCGCUAAGCCUGGAUGUCAGGCUAAGCGCAAUUACGUCUCUGUUUUUCAAUUUUUGGAAUAAGGCUACGUGUAGCCUGCUGCACUAAGCCCUUGUAAUGUUUUAGUGAGGUUGAGCUAAGCGCACCCUGCUGCGCUAAGCUCAAUUCCCCCACUGUUUUCAAAAAUUGUAGAUUUAGGCUAAGCCCAGCUUGUUGCGCUAAGCCAAAUCUGCAGAAAAAUAUUUUCUAAGUACUCACGCUUAGCCCAUGAGUAAAUUUUCAGAAGGCGCGCUAAGCCCAUCCUUAUGUGCUAAGCUCCCAGUCCUAUUUUCAGUUUUAUUUUUCUGUUUUUGAUGAGAAUAAUCCUGGUUUAACCCUAUUGUUUGAUCUAAUUCUUUUUAGAAGGCUUCUAAAAAGAGAAAGGCACCUGCCUCAGCAUCCCAGGCCCGCUAUGACCGCCAUAGAUUCAAAUCUCAGGAGGCCUGGGAUCACUACUCUGAUAUUGUUAUUGGCAGGAAGAUAUUGCCAGAGAGAAAUGUAAUGAUAUAUCACACAAAGUUUGAUGAAUUCAAAACUGAGCUUGAAAGAAGAAAUUGGCACAAGGAGCUGACCAAUUUCAUGGAUGGGAGCAUUGAUGUUGCAAUCGUUAAGGAGUUCUAUGCUAACCUCUAUGAUCCAGAGGAUAAAUCACCUAAGCAGGUGAGGGUCAGAGGUCACUUAAUCAAAUUUGAUGCAUAUGUUUCGAAUACUUUUCUGAAGACCCCUGUGAUCAUAGAGGAGAGGGAAGAGCUACAUGCCUACUCCAGAUUCUGUCGUUUGAGGCCAGAUCCACAGGAACUGGCAGCCCGACUAUCCAUCCCUGGGAGGGGAUUUGAGCUUAAUGCAGAUGGGCUAUCAUUGAAGAUCUUGCAGAAGAAUUUGACCACUCUGGCUCAGACUUGGAGCAUUCUUUCAUUCUCCAACCUGGCCCCUACUUCUCACACUUUUAACAUCACACUGGAUAGGGCCAGGUUGAUCUACGGCAUCAUCCAGAAGAUGGACAUGAACUUGGGGUAUAUUAUCUCAAGUCAGAUUUCUAUGAUUGCACAACAUGACUCCUCUCGGCUGGGUUUCCCUGCACUCAUCACUACUUUAUGCAAGGCUAGAGGAGUCACUUCAGAUUCAUUGACUUUUGAGAGACUCAUUCCAGCCAUUAAUGUGGCUUAUGUGAAGAAAACCUACUGGAACCUUGAUGACCCCUUGGUCACUUUUUGGGGAACCCGAAAGACCAAGGGUAAGAGGUCGUAGGCUCCUUCAUCUUCUACUCUCCUGACCUCUGCUCCUUCUCCCGCACCAGCUUCAGCUCCCACUCCCUUACCAGCUCCAGUUCCUACAGGACCAUCUUGCUUUACUUCAGAGACAUUAUUCGCUAUGCUGCAAAGCCUACACAAAGGCCAGAUCAUCAUUGUGCAAAGAUUGCAGAGCUUAGUCUUAUAGCCUAUGAUGAGCGUGGAGGAGUUCCUUGCAUAGGUGGCUUGGCCAAGAGUCCAGCCUUCUCCUUCUGGAGGGGGUGAGGCCUCCGCAGCCAAGAGCCUGAGCUAGCAGAGGAGCAUGUGCUAGAAGAAGAGGAUGAGCUUGUUCCUCUUGAGCCAUUUAUCUUUGAGACUGAUCCAGUCGCUCAGGAGGAAGCAGCAACUCAGGAGCUUAUUCCUCCAAAUCCUGCAUCACUAGCACCCAUUACUGAUGAGCAUGCGGAGGAUCAUCAGCAGGAUGACCAGGAGUUUUAAAUUCUGCAUAUUUGAGCAAUUUAUUUUUAUCAGUUUAUUUAGUUUAUGAUUUAUGUUUCAGUUAUUUAAAUUUUAGUCUUUAAGUUCCAGUUCUUUAAAAUUCACUCUUUUAAAUUUCAGUUGUUUUAGUUGUUUUAGUUGUUUGUAGCUUGUACAAAAGCAUGAUUGAACAGUGAACUAAUUGAAUGUGAUUCGGUGGUUUGACUUUGUAUGAAAGGAAGUGUUUGUGAUUGAUUUGAAUGAGAAAUUAUAUGAAUUGAGUGGAUUGGAAUGUAUAGAUUUUUGUCUUGAGCAAGCUUGUAGUCAUUAAAAGAGAAAGAACAUGUGAUUAGAAUUAUGAAUGAAAAUGCUAGUCAGUUUGUCAGAUUGAUUGUGAAGAAAUGCAUUAAUUGUAACCCGGUGAGAGUGUGAUUCUUAUUUUUGAGAGAAAACGGCUAUCAUUAAGUACUGACUUUUGCAUGAAUCUCUUAAUUAUGGACUGAAUGCAUGAAUUUGAGGAUGAUGAAGGCCAUGUUUUGAUUGUGAUAGCCACUUAGCCAAAAAGCUGACCAUGUGCAUGAAUGAUUUAUCCCUUGCACCCAGUUUUGAGCUGAAUGAAUGUUUGAUUGAUUGAACCUUGAGCCUAUACAGUUUUAUCUCCUGCUACCUUGUCUUAGGUUGUAGGAGAGCAUCAUCCACAGAAAAGCUUAGUUCAAGGCAGAUUUGUCCCAAAUUUGGGGGAGUUAUAUGUCAAAAUAAAAUUGUCCCAAAUUUGGGGGAGACACUAGGUAAAGGAAUGAAAUGGUCGAAGCAGAGCAGCAUACACACACAGUUUUGGGUGUUCAAAAAUAGAAAAAAAAAAUUAAAAAAAUAAUAAUAAAAACUGUAAGUAUAAAUAAAAGUGUGUGUGCUGCAAAUCAAUGAAAUGAAAGUUGAGUGCCUAAAAAGGGGCAAGUAGUGGGUUGGGAAUUAAUAAAAGUAAAGGUUGAUCUAUGGAUGAAUGCUCUCCUAGAAUUUAAGCUUUUGAAUCCUAGAAAAACCAUGAUUUGUUGACAGCCUAAUCUCAUUACAAGCCUAGAAAGCCCUUUAGAUUCAAUUUGUGUAUUUAUUUUUGUAUGGCAUGAGAUGAAAUGCAAAGGUUGGGACUUAUGUUAGUUGUUUAUGAUGGAAUGAGCUUAAACACUUGUGCUUGAGUGAAACAAUGACUGCGAGGCUUUGGUUGAUGAUCCUUCCUUGAUCUCUGCCAUUCUUACUAGCUUAUUUUAGUUGUGACUCUAGUACAUAUGUUCCUAUCUUUGAAAAUCAACAUGUUUUGUGAAAGGACAUUGAUUGAAGCAUUCUAUGACAUUCAUUUCAUAUGAUUGAAUUUUUUUGUGAAACAAGCACUAUUUUGAUUAACCACUGUAUUUUGUCACUGAGGACAAGUGAACUGUUCUUUCUUUGCUUGAGGACAAGCAAAACUGUAAAUUUGCGGGAGUUUGUUAGUCAUCUUAUACGACUAACUUUUGUAUAGAAAACUUUUUCAAAACAUGUAUAGUUACCCCAAUUUAUAGUUCUUUUGUAGGAAUUUGUAAAUAAAUCUUGAUAUGUUAAGAUACCUAUCAUUAGAGUAUCUUUAAUUGGAAUUAAUGAUAAAAUCUGUACAAUUUCAAGUCAAAAGAGGCUAAAGUCUUGAAGUGCUAAAAGGAGCAGUCGCGCUAAGCAGAACCUGUGGGCUCAUCGAGCAUCUACCGCUAAGCGCAGCUUCAGCGCGCUUAGCAUGAUGAGAGAAUCUGGAAGAGCACAAGAAUUGAGGUCGUGCGCUAAGUGUGAGAUCAACUCGCUAAGCGAGACGUUCGUCUCUUGCCAGGCUCAGCGCACGACUGGCGCCAAGCCCAAAUCCACUUACUCGUGCUAAGCACGACGGUGGCGCUAAGUGCAACAUUGCGAUUUCCGAGCCUAUUUAAAGCCUGAUUUGUCAGAAUUAAGGUACAGAAAACAAUACCUCUACCAGAGCUGCAUACUUUUGCACAAAAUUCGAGAAGAGUACUCUGGAGGCAGCAGCUAAGCAAGGAAGCUAGGGUUCAUCACUUUGAGAGAUUAGAGAGUGUUUGAGUGACUGUGAGGUGCCAAGAAAAGGAGGAGGGAUCCCCCCUUCCUGUGUAAGCAACAAUUGCUCUGUACUUUCUGUCUCACUUGUAUUAGGGUUCCUUGUAUGGCUGGCUAAAAACCCUAGUUGGGGAUUUCUAAUGAACAGUUGAUGUAAUUACUUUUCAUAUCUAAUUAAUUAUGUUUUGUGUGUUCAAUGCUUAUUUCAAUGCUUAAUUACUGCAUGCUCUUGGUCUGAUCACCCACUUGUGUGUACUGUUAGGUGACUUUAGCAUUGGAAAAUGUAUUGUUGCCUUAGAACUUGAUAGAAGCAGGGCUAAAUAACUGCAUUACCAGGGAUGGAUUGCAAGGUUUUAGUUUUCUUAUUAUGUUGUGAUGAUAAUGCUGUUUAAGUUAAGCCUAAUCCAACAAGAGGGAUCUGAGGAUGAAGCUUGGGUUAAAUUAGUCUAAACUUACGAGGGAUCGAGGUUUAGUACUUUAGGCUUCAGCAUAGAACACAAGAACAUGAUCAAUUAAAGAAAUACCUUCAUAUGCAUCAACUCGUUUGUUAGAAAGACCCAACGCUUUUUACCUAUUACUGUCAACUUUUAAUUACUUGCAUUUACUGCUUUUUAACAUAGAAUCUAAUUUACUUUUGUUUCGAUUCACAAUUAUCAAUGUUUGCCUGCAUAAUGCCUAAUUCUGGAAUAAAACUCUGUCUAAUAAAAAAGUUCCGUGAGUUUGAUACUCGGAUCAUUCCGUUUUAAUUUUUAAUGCUUGAGGACCCAGUGUGCUUUCCGGUGUUUCAUUUCCCUUGAAUUUAAUGCUUGCCAAUUUGUUCCAGAAAGAGAAACCGUGUUGAAGUGUAAAUAAAAAUCACAAACAAACACAAAAACAGUGUGAUUAUUACACACUUGUAAUUUGUUUUCCUAAGUUUUUACAAAAUUUAGAUUCUUGUCAUCACACUGAAUAUUUGUUACCGUACGUGUAUUUUUGUAUAUAUAGAUUUCUAAACAUAAAAGUGAAAAAUCAUACAAAUGUUAGGUCAACUUUCCUGAACAUUGAAGAUAAGAACCAAGGAUUCAUCUGUUGUGUGUCAAUCUCUAAUCUUGAUCCAUAGUGGAGUUGCUCUCUCACGUGGAUGUAGGUCAUAUUGACCAAAUCAUGUAAACCUUAUGUAUUAUUUUUGGAAGACAAAUAAGGUAUAUUUAUAUUAAAUAUGUAAACCUUUUGUAUUGUUUUCUUCCUUUUUCUUUCUUGCUAAUUUUGUACUUUUUCGUUUUUAUUUCUCGGUUUUUUUUAUUCCAUAGUUACUGCAAUUAGAUCGGGCCGGGGGGCAAGCAGGGCUUUUGUCCCCCCUCCUCUUUCCUCAAAAAGAAAAUUUAAAAAUUUAAAAUAUUAAUAAAAGAAAAUAUAUUAAAAUAAGUUUUGAGUUGAUAUUUAUUUUAAAAUUUUCUAGUAAUAGAUCAUAUUUCUAAUUUCAUCUAAUAAAAUUAAUAAUUAAUAUUUUAAAUUUAUUAUUUGUUGGAAGUAAAAUAUUUAAAUAAUUAUGUAUAAAAGAAAUUUCGGCCUCCUUUAAUAUACUCCUGAUCCAUACUUUCUACAAUCUGCUGUUGUGUUUUUGUUGCCUCCCCUUCCUCUCCAUUAGGACCCUAUGUGUAAACACGAGGAAAAAAAUUAAAAUAAAAAUUAAAAAUAUUAAUAAAGAAAUAUAUAAGAAAAAUAAGUUAUGGAGUAGAUAUUUUUUCAAAAAUUUUCUAAUAGUGAUCAUAUCUCUAAUUUAUUCAGAAAAAUCAAUAAUUAAUAUUUUGAAACUUGCUAUUUAUUAAAUAAUUAUUUAUUUGAAGUAGAAUAUUGAAAUAAUUAUGUAAAAGAAAUUCCAACCCCCUUUAAUACAUUCCUGGGUCUAUCCCUGCUGCGAUCUGUUGUUGUGUUUUUGUUGCAAUCCUAAAUGAAAUUUUCUGCAUAAAUUACAUUUUCUGUCAUAUGCAUUUUGUUGUGUGCUUGGUUGCGGCUGUUUGGUUUUAUUUUGUGCAGGGAAUUUGGCUCCUCCUAUAGGUGUUGGACCAACAAUUUGUAUCAGUGUAUUCAUAUCAUGAUGCUAUAUGUGCAAAAUUAUAAUUUCCGAUAAUAAUAUUAAAGUUAUGGCCAAGAAAAAUAUACCAAAAUUUGAAAUCUUUUUAUUUGAUUAAAUGACUAAUUUUACAACAUGACAUCGUGACGUUGAAGAUCACAGAAGUAAAUGUGAUCACUGACUUAAUUAUGAUUUAAAAAACAAAAGAUUUUGAAUAUGAUUAAUAAAGUUGAAUGCUACGAUAUAUAGAGAUUAACUACAAGUUUAAAGGAAUAAAAAAAAGUGAUAUAAUUAUAAUGUGAUAAGAAAAAAAUUGUUUUUGUGAAGAAUAAAACUGAGAGGUUUGUAAAAGGUAUUAAUUGAGUGGUUAAAAAAAUCAAUUCUCAACAUACACUCUCUGUUUUAUUUUUUUCAUAUACUUUUCUACUUUAUUUUCUUAUGUAUGAUUGUUUCUUAUGUAAAAAUUAAGGUGUUUAAUUUUAUUUAAAAAAAAACAUGUUACAAAAUAGUUUGGCCAAACUGCGACAAGAUAAGCUCAAACAAAGCAUUGCGAAAAGUAAAUCUUCCUGUAGCGACUUGUUUAAUUAAGGAGUCAAUACCAAGUGCUAGCUUUGUGUAAAAAUGAUUCUAAACAAAUAUUAAUGUAUAGAUAAGCUUACGCACGAGGCAACAGUGUUUGAUGAUGGCAAUGAAUAUAUAAUUGAGUAUAAUGAUUAAAGUUGGAUAUAUCAAUCUAUAGUUUACUUGGAUAUAUGGUGAUUCUCCCUAAAAAAGAUAUAUGAUGAUCAAUUACUACGUAAAAUAUGAUUAAUUUUAUUUUAAAGUAAUUAAAAAAUAUAAUUAACUACUUUUAAUGCAUUAUUAACUAUUAUUAAAUAGAAAGAAAUAAUUAUAUAAUGUAAAAACCUUUAUAAAAUCAUCCCAUUAUAAUUUAUAUAGGAUAAGUUAAUUAUUGAGUUUUAAAAUAAUUAUCUUGAAUUAAUUAAAAUAAUUUAUAAUUAAAUAAAAAUAUAAACUUAGUUUACACUUUCAAUAUAUAUAUUAAACUUUAUUAAUUUAAGAAUAUGAUCAUAUUUAUAAUAGUUUAUGAUAAAAAAUGAAUUCUCAUUAAACAAUUCAAUAAUUAUAUACAUCACUAAACGAAGUACACCUCACAAUACCAAAGACAUACGCAGACAAAUGAAAACAUUGAGUGACACUUUAUCCGCAUUAAUCUUUAGACACAAAAUCUAUGAAUCAAACAAAAAACAACAAUGUCUUCCAUCCACAUAAAUCAAUCGGAGACACCAACAACUUAUUUUCCAAAUCGAAAUUUUUUUGAGUUUUAUUACAAGAAAAUUCAUAUCCAAUCUGGUAAAUCGUGGCUCAUAUCCUGAUCCUAUAUGUGCAAAAUUUUAAUUUCUGAUAAUAAUAUUAAAGUUAUGGCCAAAAAAAAUAUACCUAAGUUUGAAAUCUUUUUAUUUGAUUAAAUGACUCAUUUUAUAACUUGACAUCGUGCCGUUGAAGAUCACAAAAGUAAAUGUGAUCAGCGACUUGAUUAUUAUUAAAAAAAACAAAAUAUUUUAAAUAGGAUUAAUAAAAUUGAAUGCUACGAUACAUAGAGAUCAACUACAAAUUUAAUGGAGUAAAAAAAAAAAUACACGCAUUUAAAGGAGUCAGUUUUUCAAAUUCUAGAUUUGUGUAAAAAAGAAAAGGAUAACAUUAAUUGGUGAAAAAUCACUUCAAUGUAGAGAUAGAAAGAGAAGAGAAAUAAAAAGUGAUAUAAUUAUAAUGUGAUAAGAAAAGAAUUGUUUUUGUGAAGAAAAAAACUGAGAGGUUUGUAAAAGGUGAUAAUUGAGUGGUUAAAAAAAAUCAAUUCUUAACAUACACUCUCUGUUUUAUUUUUUUCAUAUACUUUUCUACUUUAUUUUCUUAUGUGUGAUUGUUUCUUAUGUAAAAAUUAAGGUGUUUAAUUUUAUUUAAAAAGAAAAACAUGUUACAAAAUAGUUUGGCCAAACUGCGACAAGAUAAGCUCAAAUAAAGCAUUACGAAAAGUAAAUCUUCCUGUAGCGACUUGUUUAAUUAAAGAGUCAAUACCAAGUGCUAGCUUUGUGUAAAAAUGAUUCUAAACAAAUAUUAAUGUAUAGAUAAGCUUACGCACGAGGCAACAGUGUUUGAUGAUGGCAAUGAAUAUAUAAUUGAGUAUAACGAUUAAAGUUGGAUAUAUAUCAAUCUAGUUUACUUGGAUAUAUAGUGAUUUUCCCUAAAAAAGAUAUAAGCUGAUCAAUUACUACGUAAAAUAUGAUUAAUUUUAUUUUAAAGUAAUUAAAAAUGUAAUUAACAACUUUUACUGCAUUAUUAACUAUUAUUAAAUAGAAAGAAAUAAUUAUAUAAUGUAAAAAGCUUUAUAAAAUCAUCCUAUUACAAUUUAUAUAUGAUAAGUUAAUUAUUGAGUUUUAAAAUAAUUAUCUUAAACCAAUUAAAAUAAUAAUUUGUGAUUAGAUAAAAAUAUGAAAUUAAUUUACACUUUAUUAAUUUAAGAAUAUGAUGAUAUUAUAUAAUCGUUUCUAAAAAAAAUGUAUUAUCAUUAAACAAUUCAAUAAUUCUAUAUAUACCACUAAACGAAGUACAACCCACAAUAUCAAAGGCAUACAGACAAAUGAAAAUAUUGAGUGACGCCUCAUCCGCAUUGAUCGCUAGACACAAAAUCUUUGAACUGAACAAAGAAAAACAAUGUCUUCCAUCCACAUAAACCGAUUGGAGACAUCAACAACUUAUUUUCCAAGUCAAAUUUUUUUUAGAUUUUAUUGGGUGAAAAUUCAUAUUCGAUCUAGUAAAUCGGGACUCAUACCUAAGUUUGUAAUCUUUUUAAUUGAUAAAAUGACUCAUUUUAUAACUUGAUAUCGUGCCGUUGAAGAUCACAAAAGUAAAUGUGAUCAGUGACUUGAUUAUUAUUAAAAAAAACAAUAUUUUAAAUAGGAUUAAUAAAGUUAAAUGCUAUGAUACAUAAAGAUCAACUACAAAUUUAAAGAGUAAAAAAAAAAUAUACGCAUUUAAAGGAGUCAGUUUAUCAAAUUCUCGAUUUGUGUAAAAGAGAAAAGGAUAACAUUCAUUUGGUAGAAAAUCACUUCAAUGUAGAGAUAAAAAGAAAAGAGAAAUAAAAAGUGAUAUAAUUAUAAUGUGAUAAGAAAAGAAUUGUUUUUGUGAAGAAAAAAACUGAGAUUUGUAAAAGGUGAUAAUUGAGUGGUUAAAAAAAAUCAAUUUUUAACAUACACUCUGUUUUAUUUUUUUCAUAUACUUUUCUACUUUAUUUUCUUAUAUAUGGUUGUUUCUUAUGUAAAAAUUAAGAUGUUUAAUUUUAUUUUUUUUAAAAAAAACAUGUUACAAAAUAUUUUGGCCGAACUUCGACAAGAUAAGCUCAAAUAAAGCAUUACGAAAAGUAAAUCUUCCUGUAGCGACUUGUUUAAUUAAGGAGUCAAUACCAAGUGCUAGCUUUGUGUAAAAAUGAUUCUAAACAAAUAUUAAUGUAUAGAUAAGCUUACGCACGAGGCAACAGGGUUUGAUGAUGGCAAUGAAUAUAUAAUUGAGUAUAAUGAUUAAAGUUGGAUAUAUCAAUCUAUCGUUUCUUUGGAUACAUGGUGAUUCUCCCUAAAAAAGAUAUAUGAUGAUCAAUUACUACGUAAAAUAUGAUUAAUUUUAUUUUAAAGUAAUUAAAAAAUAUAAUUAACUACUUUUAAUGCAUUAUUAACUAUUAUUAAAUAGAAAGAAAUAAUUAUAUAAUGUAAAAAAUUUUAUAAAAAUCAUCCGAUUAUAAUUUAUAUAUGAUAAGUUGAUUAUUGAGUUUUAAAAUAAUUAUCUUAAACUAAUUAAAAUAAUAAUUUAUGAUUAGAUAAAAAUGUUUAUCUUAAAAAUAAUAAUUUGAUUUGGCCACAACCAGGUUAUCGUUGGUGAGUUUUCACUUUCCAAAACCAAAGAGGUUAUCAUAACCAACAUCAUCAAGUACAUGCAUAGAGAUCAAAUUGAAGCAAACAUCCGGACCAUGUUUUCCUCCUCUAAGUAACAACUUCAUGUUAGUUUGCAAACAAACAUCACCAACACCAAUCACCUUGGACACACGAUUAUUACCCAUCUUCAAGACUCUAAAAUCACCUGGAGUGUAAGAUGUGAAGAACUCCUUCCUAAUUGUAAUAUGCAGUGUAACACCACUAUCAAUUAUUAACAUGCUCUCAUCAAAUACAAGAUAAAGCGAAUCAGGGUCAUGGAUAAUAACAAGAUCAUCACUGGUAGUAAUAGUCACACAGUCAUCAUCAUGAUCUUUCUCUUUUUGCUUACCGUUCUUGUCUUUACUCUCCUUCUUUCAUAGAAAACAGUUCCUCCGAAUAUGUCAUGUUCUGUGACAAUAAUGACACUCAAUGUUCUUGUAUCGAGACCUAGACUUUCUUUCGCUCUUGUCUCUAUCACCCUUCAUAUGUGCCUCCAUCAUUCAAGCAAAUAGAAAAACAGCCCCUUAACCAAAGAGCUCUAAUACCACUCGGAUGGGAAAAAUAGGCCUACACAAUAACAAACUCCAUAACAGAGUAAUAAGCAGCAGAAAUAAGGAAAAAAAAAGACACAAUUUGUUUAACGUGAAAAACUCCUCAAUGCAAGGGUAAAAACCACGGGUCGUUCAGAUCAAAGAAAUAACUCUACUAUAAUCAAUAAAGAUACAAGAGAACCACCAACAAAUGCACUAAAAUGUGUUACAAACAGUCAAAUCAAAAUAAACCCUCAAUUGAUACGAUAGAGACAAGAAGAUAAAGCCCCAAAAUAUAAAACAAAUAAUGCGAAACACUUAUCUCUCUACAUAUAUCUUUUUCCUAAUCCAACCAGACAGACAAUUUGAAGUAUCACACGCGUAGAACCUGCUGUUCAAAAAUCAAUCUGAUCCAACGGUGAACAAAUCCGCAGUUGCAAUUUGAAAAUUACUCUAUGGUGGGUAUGCGAAAAUCACAAUGAUUUUCCCUCUCUUUCUUUCUCUCUCAAUGAUUGGUAACUGUAUUCCCUCCCAAAUGAAUAUCUCUCACUUUAUCUCACUUUCUAAUCUGACCCUUCUCGACUUAAAUAAAUGAGACAUAUAAACUUUCCCAUUUGAGUUUUUACUCCACAUAAGAAAGAAGCCAAAAAAUCCACCAGUAAUAAUCACGUAUCCAUAGUUGUACGUAAUGACAUUCAGUUACUAUCUAUUAUUUGUUAAAUAAAAUUAACUAUAUUUACACAUUUACGAAAUCAUGUCCCUGUAUGACAGUAAGUAAUCUCAUUAGAAUGUUAACCACUUUUUUAAGACAGAGUUCAUUUACUACAUAUCAAUACUUGUAUAUAAUUUUCACGCUCAUUCACUACUCUUAACAAAUUAAGAGACACAAUUAAUCACAUUUAUAAAAAGUUAAUAAUAUUAAGUGUGAUAGGUGGACACGAGAGUAGAAUUUCCGGUUGUGUAUCACUCAAUCUUUUUUCUUGAAUAUUUUUUUUUACAAUAUUAUUGAUAUGAAAUAUUCCUCAAUUUUUGUUAAUGAAUUAUCUUUAUAAAAAACUUAAGUAAUCAUCUAUAGUGAUCAAGUCAAAAACUUAUUUUUAAGGAGAUCGAGUCAAAAUAGUAUUCUAAUCAAUGAUUUGUUGGUAUCUUUUGCCUUGAGUGUAACCAUUAUAAAAGGCUACUACCCUGCUCUAGUUUCUGUACCAAUAUUAUCCAAAUUCGUGAGAGCUAAUUCAAUCAAAAUGUCUCCCAAAUACAAGCUAGUGCUGUUGAUAGCAUUGGUUUUGGUUGCAACCUCCCUUGCUGGUCGCACAAAGGAACAUCCUAAGCAUCCUCCAUCCCUUCAAGAACAACAACACACCCCACACCUUGAUAGCUACCCGCCAAAGCAUAGACCGAAACCACCUCAUCCUGUACAUGGUGCCGGGGAGGAACCAACCUCCAUUCCACGAAAGAAGGGACCAAGAAGGCCUCCGAACUGAUGAGUGAGUCAAAGGUUUCAGAUUGCCUCAAAUGGUUUAACUUUGACUCGAUCUCUACCACCACAACAUCACGAUAUGUUGUUACAAUCAUAAUCGCAAUUUGAAACCUUGGGCUAGCUAAAACUAUUUUAAUAUAAAGUAUUAAUGGUCACUGCUACAUGAGCGUCUAUGAUUAAAUAAAAAGUAGGGAGUUUGAACCCAUGUAAUACCAUGUUGUGAGGUUCUCCCUCUUUGUGUGUGCUUUAAAUUUUCACAU